rnacentral:lncRNA from 1 species
CUGUUGUAGAUGAAUAGCCCGCCAGAUUGCAGAAACGGUGAACAUGGGAUGAUUGAGUUGACGAGGUACCCAAAUAAAAUCAGGUAGGUUUAAAAAGACAGGUAUCAACAACGGUGAUAACCGAACAAAGCUAACGGGUCUAGGUGGACGGUGAAUGUCUGAUUUCACUGGUCUGCCGACGUUAAUCAGAAAUCAUCCACAAAACAGGCAGGCAUCAUGAUGUAGGAACAACCGAACAUCAGCAAAGGCUUAAGGUCCAUAACUCCAUAGACAAAUUAAAGUAUUCAAAUGUUUUAAAGCAUCAUCCAUGAUAUGAUAACAUACGGUGGUAGCCGGUAUGUGGACAUAUGCCUUCACAGCAUCGGGAUGCAAGAGCAUGCACUUUGUUGACAUUCCACCUAGUCGCGAUGUGCAGGAGAUGCAACUGGCUUCAUGUGCUGAUGUUGGCCAUGGUUGAGCCAAGGGAGUCUGCACUGGCAUUAGAGGCAUCAAAGGAGCGACGCCGUCGUCGGCUUACACAUUUCACUUGAUGGCACUGAGGAAAACAUAAGCAGCAUGCGUAAGUCAUAUUAAUAUAAAAUAAAUAAAACUAAAAUCAUGUUAUUUAUUUAAUGCACGGAGUGGUUUCAUCAAGAGAAGAUAGUGGAACAGAUGGAAAUGAUUCCACACGCUAGAAAAAUGUUGGAAACAUUUUUACUUUAAUCUUUUUGUUCUGAUCCAAUCAUCCAACAGCAAAUCUAACGCAAUACUGCAUAUGAAUUCUGAAACUCAAGCACCCAACAACUUAGUGUCACAUCAACUAGUUAAAGUAAACAAGCCCGGCUCGGAAAAAUCAAAAGUUCAAUGUAUCACACAAAGAUCGAGCCACUCACCCAAAGAAACCAAGAUUCCCAUCAUCAGCCCCCAUAUAAUAUUUUCACAAAUGGAAUUUUAGAAUCAUCAACUAGUAUCAUGACCACAGCUAGGCUUGCACUCGACUUUACUGCACUGGCUAAUUUGCAAUUGCUAUGUUGUAUUCUCCAAAUUCAAGAAGCCUAUCACAACCCUCCUCCUUUACCCGGGCUUGAGACCGGCUAUGCCUAGAAGACAUAUGCCUAGAAGACAUUCAUUACUAUAGGCAGAUCUCCACAUUAAUUGUUAUAAAUCAUCUUUAUGCUCACAUGGCGGCUGAAUACAAUUGUUAGAUACGUGGUGAGAUGGGGCCAUUAUUAAAUGUUAGUUGUACUUUUAGUACAGUCUAAGACAGGGACAUUUAUUUCGCGUAGCUCGAUUUCAGUUGAGACCACCCCUCGUAUCACUUUAUGUCCGCAUAGAGAUUCUCUUCUUCCCCCAAAUAUCCUGUUCAUCUUCUCCUUCGAAGCACAACCGGACGGAUCCAAGAAAGAAAUCUAGAAAUAAGUGAAGUUGCUGUGGAGUCGGGCUAAUGAGAGACACUGCUGCGUAUCAGAAUAGGUAUUUGUUUUCGAACUAAUCUCUACUGGUAUCCUUAUUUCUAAGAUCUCGAAUUUGUCAGUUUAGAUUUGUACAGACUUGAUAAUAAUCUCUCCAUGAUUUGAACGAAGCAGUAAUCUUCAAGACUGCGAUUUGUUCAGAUAAAUUGGUCCUUUGGACAGAUCUAUUGUUGUUGGGUCUUUGGAGAGGACUCCUCUGCGUACUGUGCAUGAGGAAGAAGAUGUGCUGCAUGAAGAUGGUGAUACGAUAUCGUCUAACAACAGCACCAGAUUAGAUUUAGAAAACCAUGAUAUCAAUUCGGACGCUCAUGGCACUAGGAGGCCAAUCUCAUGGAUGUAGAAAGAGAGAAAAAUAGUUGGGCGCGAAGGUAAUAUUACUUGUUCCAAUUAUUAAUAAAUCAUUUGUCGUUGCUGUAUUUCUACUGGCAUAUUAACAAGAUUGUUGUAACUAGUAAAAGCUAGGAAUUACAUAAAGCUAUCAUGUUGUUUAAUGUGUAAGACUGAACUUUAACAGGCAAAGGCAUGGAGCAAAGCCGGAUGAAAGGCCAGCCAGUGCCGAACGGAUCACUGCCUUAGAGAGUACUUUUCGUGGAUUUGCUGAAAGGAAAACUGAAGCUGUUGUUGCUCCUGCAACUGGACUUACAUUUCAUUCAAUUUUGGAGGCUUAUAAUUUCUACAAUCUGUACUCCUGGAUGUGUGGUUUUGGUAUCAGGUAUGGUAAGAGCAGGAACAAUGUUAAGGGUGCAAAAUCAAUGCAAGAAUUCCUAUGCAACUGCGCUGUGAGUACAUUUUGUUUCACAUUUCUCCUCGUUUCAAUAUAAUUUUUUUCUAAUGACGGAGUUGUAUAUAUUGUUUCAAUAUUUUGAGACAGUUUCCUUUUUCGUUUUAUCAGGGUAAGCCAAUUAAACAAAACACAUCAACUAUUCGUACAGAGUGCCCUUCAAUGUUUUAGACUACUAAGGCUUGCAGGUGGCAGAUGGUGCAGAGAGUGGUGUCUCUGGAAUUCGGGCACGUUGUGCUCAACAUUCAUUUAUGGGAGUGGACUGGAAAAGAAAACAACAUAACUCAUUUUUAGAGAGCAGUUAUGAUUUGAGACAAGAAUGUUAAGAAUGUUAUUUCAUAGAAAACUUGGGAGCAUAAUUCAGUGGGAAAAGCAAGUUGGAGUUGGUUGCGAGACUGCAGAGAACAAAAUAUAAUGGAGAAAAAGAAAUGUAGGUAAGAUGUGAAAUAAGCUGAAGAUUACCAGGUGGCGAUGAUAACAUUUAGCAGGAUUAAUGUAUGUCCAAAUCCCAGGCACUUGACAGUUAGCAGACAGGAUGACAGGAGUAUUAAUUUGCAGCUUACAUGGGAGCAUGGAUAACUGUUCAGAGAAGUUGGGCACACAAAUUUGAAUGAAAUUUCACUUUUUCUAACAAGAACAUAACAUGUGAGCGGGCAGAUAAGAUAACAAUCCAGUGAAAAAACAUAGGAAAAUCAAAUAUCACAAUCAACAAGCACAUAUAUNNNNNNNNNNNNNNNNNNNNNNNNNNNNNNNNNNNNNNNNNNNNNNNNNNNNNNNNNNNNNNNNNNNNNNNNNNNNNNNNNNNNNNNNNNNNNNNNNNNNNNNNNNNNNNNNNNNNNNNNNNNNNNNNNNNNNNNNNNNNNNNNNNNNNNNNNNNNNNNNNNNNNNNNNNNNNNNNNNNNNNNNNNNNNNNNNNNNCCUGGAACGGUAGCCUCACAUCAGAUUAACAGUUAACUAUGUAUUAAGCCGAGAAGAUCUGGGUGGGAGCUCAAGAGGGGAACGGAAGAAGAGAAGAGUGAACAUGAAAGAGAAGUGCAGGGUGGGCUCACCAGAGCUAGGUGAGUUAAUCGCGAACAGAAGCUUCUCUGCACAGAACAGCUUCUAUCCCAGUGGUGGGACCGACACUGCAAAAAGGACAUGCAUAUACGCGGUGAUAUAUUUGCUACAAUUAAGUGAUACGAAGAACUAUACACAGCACAUCGUACUAUACAUUUCGAAUCUAAAUGCAGGUGCAUGGUGAAGAUGUAGGGGGGUGCAGCACCUAGGAUCCCCUAUGCAAUUCCCGACCCCUCACAAGCUUAUUUUAUAAGCCGCCCCCAAUACUCACUGAAGCUGCUGAACUAAUUAAUCCUUAACUCGCAACAAAUAUGGGGAACGGUUUCUAAAUAAUCUAGGAAGGGGGCGGCUUAUGCCAUAAGUCGCCAAAAGAACUAAGCCUCGGUACAGGAUGUAGUGUGCAAAUGAUAUCCCUGUUGAUAAUGUUGCAAGUUGUUAACAGGGGAGAAACUUGAAUAUGGUCUCUGAAGUACAAAUGAUGAUUAAUUAAUUAUCCAAUUCAGUUCCAAUAAAUAUAAAACCUCACAAACAGAUGCAAGAACAUAAAGUUCAACCGACAUUUUCUUCCUAACGUCAGCUGUAAUAAACAGCAAGAAAGGCAAUACGGUGACCCAAAUCUAUCAUACGUUAUUUUGGAAUCAUGAUAUCAAAUGUUAAUGUUCAAUAAUUUCUAACAUUUUAGAGUUAAAUAUUGUGAGUCAAGAAGAACUAGGAUACAAGAACGGCACCAUAUUACCUAAUCGAGUUGAAGACAACAUUGGCUGCCCAGAUUGUGUCAAACUGGAUGGCUGCUGCACGCUAUAACCAUAUUCACUCCAACCCCCAUUGCAGCCACCCUCAUUCCACAUGUUUUGCUGGGGUUGCUGUAGAAGGGUUAACAUAGAUCUUAUUGAGGAGAUGGCAAAAUGGACACAUCUAUAAUAGUAGCAAGAUGAUUACAGGAUGCCUACCACACUGUUCGGAACAGUAUCCCUCGAUGAAAGAUGAUCAUUCAGCACACCAUUCUGAGCAGACUCUGCUGCAGCUUCCCAUUACACGGCCUAAAGCAAAUUAAGAGGCAAAAUGUCAAGUGCCAUGUGAUAAAAUAAGUUAAGAACUGGUUUAACAAAUCUUUUUACUUGAGUGUAUGAAGGUCAACAGAAGCAGAGCAAAAGAAAACCAUGCCUUGGACUUGGAGCGGUAUUUAGAUAUUUUGAGAAUGCACAUGAAAUGGCAUCAAAAGAAGCGGAUCUCCCGCCACAAGAUGGUUCGAUGACUUCCUGCUUCCUUCCAAUUUUAAAACGAACAACCGGAAUGGGACCAAAAGAAAUGGAUCUCCCGCAGCCAUAUGCUUUGAUGGAUUCCAGCUUCAUUUUUCGAAUAUCAACACCAACAAGCAAUGCAUCAUUAUCCUGAGACUCCGCCUUAGACACGAGAUAGACAACAUCACCGCCGUAAAAACCAAAGGUCGGGAAGCUUGUACACUUCAGUUUUCCCAAUGUCCAUUUCUUGUCUGUAUCAUUCCAUAGAUGAGAUUGCAGCACAGAGGGUUCAGGUGGGGAGGCUGAUAUUUCGUCAACAUGAAGAAUGUGACUACUUUCCCAAUAGUUCCAAUCAAUGCUCCUAAACAUUGUCCGGAUCUUCCAGCCAGCAGGUACAUGCUGCACAGGUUUGUCAUCUCUAACGCCGUCCAUAUCAUCAAGACUGAGGAGCUCUGCAUCAUCGAUGGUAUCUGCAACAUCAAAAAUCAUGGCUGUCUUCAAAUUGCUCUUUCUGACAACGGGGAACCACCUGAGACAGUGUUCGAUCUCGAUGAAGUUGAUGUAACCAUCGGUGAAGCCAAUGACGUCCCGCACUUGCCGUGCUUUGCUUUUCCGGUGCAGGUCGAAUUCGGCCUUGGGCAGCGGGAUGAAAUGGGGAACAGGCUCCUUUUCAAGCAAAUUGCAGACGACAAUGCCACGCCAGAGGUCGACCCAUCCUACUGUGCUUCUUCCGAGCAAGAUCACCUUGUCAGUUAGGAUUGGCAGCUCCAGUGGCAGGACAUUCGGGUCGGUCUGCAGCUGCACAUGUUUGGUGCUCCACUCGUUUGUCUCCGACAAGAAGAUGUGCAGGUUGUAGUGCCCAGGGUCCCCAUUCAGGGAAAGAUCAGCGACCAAGAAAUUGUCGCCCUUGCCGGGCACGAUGGCGGCGUGCCAUGAGUGCACGUAGGCUCGAGGGGAACACGGAACAGAUCUGAUGGUGGGCUUGCCGUCGGAGGCAGCCUUGUAGACGAAGUACUCGAGAUGGGAGUCUUUUUCUGUGCUCCGUGGGCCGGAGCUGAAGGCGAAGCAGAGGAGCACGAGGUCACUGGCGGAGGAGACGACGCGGGGCUCCGUGGUGUAACAACCUUCGGGGCAGUGGACGCAGAAGUAGGAGACGGCGGGCGGGUCGGCGAGACAAAAGGUGACCUUGAAUUCGUGGCCCGUGCUCGCCGUGGCCUUCACGGUGGUGGCGUUGACGCGGUCGGCGAAGUAGGCUCUGCUGUCGAGGAGGACCCAGGAGGGGUANNNNNNNNNNNNNNNNNNNNNNNNNNNNNNNNNNNNNNNNNNNNNNNNNNNNNNNNNNNNNNNNNNNNNNNNNNNNNNNNNNNNNNNNNNNNNNNNNNNNNNNNNNNNNNNNNNNNNNNNNNNNNNNNNNNNNNNNNNNNNNNNNNNNNNNNNNNNNNNNNNNNNNNNNNNNNNNNNNNNNNNNNNNNNNNNNNNNNNNNNNNNNNNNNNNNNNNNNNNNNNNNNNNNNNNNNNNNNNNNNNNNNNNNNNNNNNNNNNNNNNNNNNNNNNNNNNNNNNNNNNNNNNNNNNNNNNNNNNNNNNNNNNNNNNNNNNNNNNNNNNNNNNNNNNNNNNNNNNNNNNNNNNNNNNNNNNNNNNNNNNNNNNNNNNNNNNNNNNNNNNNNNNNNNNNNNNNNNNNNNNNNNNNNNNNNNNNNNNNNNNNNNNNNNNNNNNNNNNNNNNNNNNNNNNNNNNNNNNNNNNNNNNNNNNNNNNNNNNNNNNNNNNNNNNNNNNNNNNNNNNNNNNNNNNNNNNNNNNNNNNNNNNNNNNNNNNNNNNNNNNNNNNNNNNNNNNNNNNNNNNNNNNNNNNNNNNNNNNNNNNNNNNUGUCUCAAAAAAAAAAACGAAAAUAGACGCCCCUCAAAAAAAAAAUGCUACGAAAAUAGACAAAACUGCCGCAAACUGGAGCUGCCGCAAAACUGAAGAAAAAAGCUGCUGCAAAACUGAAGAAUCACACUUAUCUGAAUUGAACCUGCUACGGAACUGAAGAAUUACACAACAAUAGACAAACUGAAAUUUAAACAAGCAACCUGUGCAGGUUACAACCAAGUGAAUUCCACUUAAUAGUCUUAAUCAACCGCUGGUCUCGCAUUGACAAAUUCAAGAGCAGUACAAAAGUUAAAAUACUAGAAUUUCCACAUGUUUUUCCCUGGGGCAGAUUUUACUAAUUAGUACAUGACCAACACUAUAAGAAAAAAUGAAUGCAUGACCAGCAGCAUCCACCCAAUCUUUAGCAUUCACCACUCUUCAAGUCCUCCGGUGAUAAAAUAGAUCUUCAAGUCUACUGAUAACAAAAGGGAUCUGAAAGAAACAUAUCAUUUAGAGCACUGCUAUACAACCGAUAUUUUUAGACGACAUGCAGACGACGUUUCCCAUCCAGCCAUCGGUACUUUUGUCCCUGAAGUAUCUGACGGUGUAGAUUAUUUAUCGGCUGCACGUCGGGCACAUAGUGUUGUGUGCACAUCCAUUCCGUAUCAUUUACGUAUAGUUGUUCGACACUAGAACCCUGCAUCAUUAAAGGAUUGCUCAUAUUAGAAAAAACAUCAAAUUUGCUGGAACCGUUAGUCAAGCACAAUGGUAAAUGGGAUGAAGCAUACCAUCAGUAAUUCAGUGUAACUCUUAAUACAUCCAUAACCAUGAAAAUCAUUCUCAACCGGCUUGAAGAUCCUCAACCGGCUUUCCGACGACACCGGGGCGGUCGGAGGUCCUCAACCGGCUUUUCGACAGCACCAUACGUCUUCAUGGCGAGGUUCCGCUCGGUUCUAGCCAGCCGCGAGAUUGGGACGACGUGGCUUCCGGUGAAAAUCGUGCCUGACUGCGAUCUUGGCGGACGAUGGCGGCAUCUCAGACGUCGUUCCCUUCUUAAGGCAUCGUCGUUGCAGGUCACGUCAACCUGAUCGAGAAGUUCCGGGGGAAACCCUAGAUCUGGGUCUACCGGAUCGAACGAUGACGGCGCCUUCGGUGUCGUUCUCCCUCCUGGGGGCAUCGUGUUGGAGCAAGUGCUGGUUGGAGGGGACAAGAGGAGGAGCGGUGAUUUAUCUUGCCCAUUGAGGACGGUGGAUCUCGGCGGCGUGGCGCAGUGAAGACUCGGCGCCCGAUGCGCGGAGAUGGACUCGCGCAGGAGGGUGACGCUGUCUAGCGUUGUGGUAGCGUCGGCGGCAGCUAGACCGGGCAAGGUAGAUGCAGCAGUACAGCUCCGAAGAUGGAUUGGUGGCAGGUGGCUGCGGCGGCCUCAUACCCGGCAGGCGUCCUGGUUGAGGAGCACGUCGGACUGGUGGGUGCCCAUACCCGGCAGGCGUCCUAGUUGGGACCUCAGGUCUUAGAUGUUAGGUUUGGCUGAGAGGUCUGUUUGGUAUUAGGCUCAGACUAUCAGCGCCCCUUCAUCAACUGGAUAGGAGUAGCGACAGAUGUUGCUUGGACGGUGGCUUUAGUCUUACUGUUGUAUGACUUUAUAAGGUCUUGUGUUAAUAAAAUUCAUAAAAUGGUUGUAUGCAUCAUCCAGAUGCAGAGGCCGGGGUAUUCCUCCUUUUCUAAAAAAAAUGAAAAUCAUUCUCAAUGCUCCUAGUAUAUUUCUUUGUCAAUGAAUGAGUCUCAUUUUUGUGUUGCUGGGAACCCAUAGGCAAGUCAUGUGCACUGGUGGUUUUGGUAGACUUUUUCCUUCUUUUGUUGGUUUUCUUGAUUCCAUUCUCUUGCUGCAACAUGUAAAAAGAGAACAAAGUAAAACACUAUACUUGAAUGGACAAGAAAGUAAAUAUCUUUUAGCAUAGAAAAGACAUAUUGUAGGAAAUACUUGUGUCUUUUUAGCUUUGGUUGGUCUUUUCCGCCCUUUCAUUUGUUGUUGGAUCUCAUUCUCUUGUUGCUGAAAACAAAAUGAACAUAGAGAUUCAAUCAUACAAACAUACUAUAUUUGAAAGGUCAACAAAGUAAUUAUUUUUCAGGAUAUAAAUAACAUGUCGUAGGUAAUUCUUGUGUCUCUUUAACUUCUUGGUCUUGUCUUCCAUUUCUUGUGUUGCCUAUCGAUCCAAGUUGACUUUCGCUUCGAACCUUUUUUCUGUGGAGAUUUUUCUUUAGGCGUGCAACACUUAAAUCUUGAUUUGAUUCUUGAGGUACCACUUGGGUAUCACAUUCCUCGACAAGGUGACCUUCGCGUUCCUUUUUCAGUUACUUUUCAACUUCCUUAGUGAGGAUAUCAAGUGCAUUGUCAAGUAAAAUACGACACGGCUGAGAGCUUAGUGCUUGAGUGGCUAUGCUGACAAAUUUGUGUGUGAGAAAUUUGCAGCUAAGAAUGGCAUCCAGAAUUGGAUUCUCAACAACAUUCCUUCCACUUCUAUCUUGGAUAGUUCCACACCGUGCACCUAGAGUCCAACACUUUAAAAUAUAAUGUGGUGGCAGUAAUUUAAUGUUCAUCAAAUCGAGAACUCUAGAGCAUGGGCGCAUAGUAGUCCAAUUCUCUCAAAUUGCCCACAACUACAUGUGGCUAUUUGUUCCAACGGAUUACCAACAACCGUGCGCUCAUCUUCAAAUACUGGAUCUCCGCAAAGGCUACCAACUGUCGUUGCAAAUACAUAAUCCCCAUCCAGUACUUUAUUGCAGGUUGCUAUAGAUCUCACAUACUCUAUUUGAAAACUUUCAAAUAUGCUAGGAGUGUAUACCUCACUUGCUUGGACUAACAUUGGUGUAGUUAUUUUGUUUCUAGGUAGUUUCUCUCUGGACUCAUAAUCCGAAUUCAACUCGUUGUCUUGUUUCCUUUUCACAACCCUUUUUCAAAAUGCUUGAAAAAAUGAACAAGCUAGGUCUAGGUCUGAUUUCAGGUGGAGUUUCAAGUCAUUGUUCAGGCUCUCGCUUAGUUGUGUGCUUCGCAUCCCUAAGGUGAGAGCAUCCCUCAUAUAACAUUCAACCCACUUUUCUCUUACUUUAUAGAUGCUAUCAAACCAAGUUUGCUUCUCUACCUUAGUUCUCAGUGUGUAGAAAGCCUCCAUAAAUGUUUCCUUGUCCUCAUACCCGAACACACAAUCACUAAAAUCCUUAAUAAGAUUUGAUUCUUUAGUGCAAUGAGCACACAAAUGUUUGAUGGCAUUUUGCAUUAUGUGAAAAGUGCACAGCCCAUGCCUUGCUUCUGUAAAUACACAUCCUCAAUUGCAUUUCCCAUUGCAGUGUCUUGAUCUGUGAAUAUUGUUCUAGGUUGCUUCUUAUUGUGUGUUGACAAAAAAGUAUCAAACAACCACCGGAAAGAUGGCAAAAGUAUAGUGUUCACAACCAAUUUCUGAAUGGAAAGAUGGCAAAAGCCAGUUCUAAAACAGAGGAGACUAAAUAUAAUACUUGUCAGAUUUGACUUACUCAUUUGCUCCUUCAUUCUCCUCUUCACCAAUUUUGUUCAAGUUUGUACUGGUCUGGUUUUCCAUUGGAUGAGCAAUGAAGAAUGGCAGAGGCCAACAAAUAUUGCAGCCUACAAAAAGAAAGACAUGUAACACUGAGAAUCAAUGAGAAGUGGAUCUAGUUACUAAUAAUAUGAUCUAUGCAUGUGGUCAACCUGACUUUUGGAUUACCUUUUCACACUGUAUGGAGGGUUUGGCUGGUAUGAACGAUGAAGUAGGAGCGCAGCCUGGUCCGACGGAGGGCUCAGAGAAGAGGUUGAUCAACUAGACCGGAUCAACUAGAGCCCAAGGUGGUUUUGGACAGAAUUUUAGGCGGUUUUUCAUCGGGCAGUGAUGACUAGACAUGAUUAAGCAGUGUUGCCUAGCUGACUGGACGCCCCCUAGAGAAAUAUCUCCAUUCUUCUUUUCCUCCUCCUACGACGACGAACCCUAGGCCCCGCGGCGCACACCUAGUCCAAAAGUUCCCGCGACGACGAACCUAGCUCCCGCUGCGCACACCUAUGGCGUCUGGUAGCUUGUGUAGAAGUUACCGUUCGUCGUCCAUGGUGUCGUCGGGGCAAUCGCUAGUGGCUUGUCGGGAGGGGCCGAUGUAGUACUCGCCGGACGUGCUUUGCCACUGUGGAUUGAAGGCGCCUACAUGGAUUUCGUGGAGCCUCGCCAAUCCCGGCCGUAGAUACUACAACUGCAGCAAAUCGUAGGUAAAUUGUGUUGGCUUAGCCUAGGUGGAUUUAGUCUGAUAGUUCGAGUUCUUCACUGAAAUCCGUUCUUUGAAAUUUGGGUAGGGCGUGGACUGUCGGUACUUCAAAUCGCAUGAAGAUCCCCAUAACGAGUUUGUCAGCCGACUGCUAGGUGACCUACGAGAUGUUGUUUUCCAUCUGAGGACCGAUGUUAGGAAUUUGAAGACUGCGAAUCAUUAGUUGGACCAAUCUUUGAUGGAGGCCAAAUGUACCAUUGUUGAUGCUGAUGUUCAUCUCAUUGACUUGCAAGCAAAGGUACCGUGAAGAAGUUUCUACUCUUCUGAAGGAAUUGGAGAGAUGCAAAAUGAAGUUCAAAUGUGUUAUCUGGUUUUGCAUUAUGUAUGUGAUGUACAUGGCCUACAAGUUGUGACUGGUCGGUGAAGAAGUUGGUUGAAUUAUGUGAUGAAGUGUCUGCACUAUGCAACUUGGUUAAUGUAUCGUGUACCAGAAGUUUUUUGAACUGUUAAUUCAUGUCUGUGCAACUUGGUUAAUGUAUCUUCUUUUGUCUGUGAUGAAACUUGGUUAAUGUAGCUUCUUUUGUCUGUGAUGAAACUUGGUUAAUGUAGCUUCUUUUGUUUGUGAUGAAACUUGGUUAAUGUAGCUUCUUUUGUCUGUGAUGAAACUUGGUUAUGUAUGUACUUUGUGAUGGAAAUAUGCCCUAGAGGCAAUAAUAAAGUUGUUAUUAUUAUAUUCCUUAUUCAUGAUAAAGGUUUAUUAUUCAUGCUAGAAUUGUAUUGACCAGAAACUUAAAUACAUGUGUGAAUACAUAAACAAAUACCAUGUCCCUAGUGAGCCUCUACUAGACUAGCUCGUUGAUCAAAGAUGGUUAAGGUUUCCUAACCAUAGACAUGAGUUGUCAUUUGAUAACGCAGUCACAUCAUUAGGAGAAUGAUGUGAUGGACAAGACCCAUCUGUCAGCAUAGCAUAUGAUCGUUCAGUUUAUUGCUACUGCUUUCUUAAUAUCAAAUACAUGUUUCUUCGACCAUGAGAUCAUGCAACUCCUGGAUACCGGAGGAAUACCUUGUGUGCUAUCAAACGUCACGACGUAACUAGGUGAUCAUAAAGAUGCUCUACAUGUAUCUCCGAAGGUAUCUGUUGGGUUGGCAUGGAUCGAGACUAUUUGUAGACACCUUCGGAGAUACCUGUAGAGCAUCUUUCUGAUCACCCAUUUACGUUGUGACAUUUGAUAUCACACAAGGUAUUCCUCCGGUAUCCGGGAGUUGCAUGAUCUUAUGGUCGAAGAAACAUGUAUUUAACAUUAAGAAAUCAGUAGCAAUAAACUGAACGAUCAUAUGCUAUGCUAAUGGAUGGGUCUUGUCCAUCACAUCAUUCUCCUAAUGAUGUGAUCCUGUUAUCAAAUGACAACUCAUGUCUAUGGUUAGGAAACCUUAACCAUCUAUUGAUCAAUGAGCUAGUCUAGUAGAGGCUCACUAGGGACACGGUAUUUGUUUAUGUAUCCACACAUGUAUUUAAGUUUCCGGUCAAUACAAUCUAGCAUGAAUAAUAAACCUUUAUCAUGAUUAAGGAAAUAUAAUAAUAACCAUUUUAUAAUUGCCUCUAGGGCAUAUUUCCAUCAGUCUCCCACUUGCACUAGAGUCAAUAAUCUAGUUCACAUCGCCAUGUGAUUAACACCCAUAGUUCACAUCGCCAUGUGAUUAACACCUAAAGAGUUUACUAGAGUCAACAAUCUAGUUCACAUCGCCAUGUGAUUAACACCCAAAGAGUUCUAAGGUGUGAUCAUGUUUUUCUUGUGGGAGAGGUUUUUAGUCAACGGGUCUGCCACAUUUAGAUUUGUGUGUACUUUACAAAUAUCUAUGUCUACAAUGCUCUGCCUAGAGCUACUCUAGCUAAUUGAUCCCACGUUUAAUACGUAUCCAUAUUGAGACUUAGAGUCAUCUUAAUCAGCGUCAAAGCUUGCAUCGAAGUAACCCUUUACGACGAAUUCUUUAUCACCUCCAUAACCGAGAAAAUUUUCCUUACCCCUCUAAGCAUAAUUUUGACCGCUGUCCAGUGAUCCACUCCUGGAUCACUCUUGUACCCCCUUGCCAGACAUGUGGCAAGGCACACAUCAGGUCUGAUAAACAUCAUGAAAUGAUUUAUAAAACCUAUGGCUGAGGCAUAGGGCAUGACUUUCAUUCUCUCUCUAUCUUCUGUCGUGGUCGGGCUUUGAGUCUUACUCAACUUCACACCUUACAAUACAGGCAAGAACUCAUUUGACUGAUCCACUUGAACUCCUUAAAAAUCUUGUCAAGGUAUGUACUCAUCGAAAGUCUUAUCAAGCGUCUUAAUCUAUCUCUAUAGAUCUUGAUGCCCAAUAUGUAAGCAGCUUCACCGAGGUAUUCCUUUGAAAAACUCCUUUCAAACAACCCUUUAUGCUUGCCAGAAAUUCUACAUCAUUUCCGAUCAACAAUAUGUUAUCCACAUAUACUUAUCAGAAAUGUUGUAGUGCUCCCACUCACUUUCUUGUAAAUACAGGCUUCACCGUAAGUCUGUAUAAAACCAUAUGCUUUGAUCACCUCAUCAAAGCGCAUAUUCCAACUCCGAGAUGCUUGCACCAGUCCUUUGAUGGAUCGCUGGAGCUUGCACACUUUGUUAGCUCCUUUAGGAUUGACAAAACCUUCUGGUUGCAUCAUAUACAACUCUUCUUUUAAGAAACCCGUUAAGGAAUGCAGUUUUGACGUCCAUUUGCCAGAUUUCAUAAUCAUAAAAUGCGGCAAUUGCUAACAUGAUUCAGACAGACUUAGGCAUCCCUACGGGUGAGAAAGUCUCAUUGUAGUCAACCCCUUCAACUUGUCGAAACCCUUCCGCCACAAGUCGAGCUUUUGUAGACAGUGAUAUUACCAUCAGCGUCCAUCUUCCUCUUGAAGAUCAAUUUAUUCUCAAUGGCUUGCCGAUCAUCGGGCAAGUCCAACAAAGUCCACACUUUGUUCUCAUACAUGGAUCCUAUCUCAGAUUUCAUGGCCUCAAGCCAUUUGUCGGAAUCUGGGCUCAUCAUAGCUUCUUCAUAGUUUGAAGGUUCGCCAUUGUCUAACAACAUGACUUCCAGGACAGGAUUACCGUACCAUUCUGGUGCAGUACGUGUUCUGUUCGACCUUCGAGGUUCAGUAGUAACUUGAUCCGAAGUUUCAUGAUCAUCAUCAUUAGCUUCCUCUCUAGUUGGCGUAGGCAUCACGGGAACAGUUUCUCUGAUGUGCUAUUUUCCAACUCGAGAGAAGGUACAGCUACCUCAUCAAGUUCUACUUUCCUCCCACUCACUUCUUUCAAGAGAAACUCCUUCUCUAGAAAGGACCCAUUCUUAGCAAUAAAGAUUUUGCCUUCAGUUUUGUGGUAGAAGGUAUACAUAAUAGUUUCUUUUGGGUAUCCUAUGAAGACGCACUUCUCCGCUUUGGGUUCGAGCUUAUUAGGCUGAAGCCUUUUAACAUAAGCGUCGCAUCCCCAAACUUUAAGAAACAACAGCUUUUCCAAACCAUAGUUCAUACGGUGUCGUCUCAACGGAUUUAGAUGGUGCCCUAUUUAACGUGAAUGCAACUGUCUCUAAUGCAUAACCCCAAAAUGAUAGUGGUAAAUCAGCAAGAGACAUCGUAGAUUGCACCAUAUCUAAUAAAGUACGGUUAUGACAUUCGGACACACCAUUACUAAAGGAAAUAUGCCCUAGAGGCAAUAAUAAAGUUAUUAUUUAUUUCCUUAUUUCAUGAUAAAUGUUUAUUAUUCAUGCUAUAAUUGUAUUAACCGGAAACUUGAUACAUGUGUGAAUACAUAGACAAAACAAAGUGUCCCUAGUAUGCCUCUACUUGACUAGCUUGUUUAUGAAAGAUGGUUAUGUUUCCUGACCAUAGACAUGUGUUGUCAUUUGAUGAACGGGAUCACAUCAUUAGGAGAAUGAUGUGAUGGACAAGACCCAUUCGUUAGCUUAGCACUAUGAUCGUUUAGUUUAUUGCUAUUGCUUUCUUCAUGUCUUAUACAUGUUCCUAUGACUAUGAGAUUAUGCAACUCCCGAAUACCGGAGGAACACUUUGUGUGCUACCAAAUGUCACAACAUAACUGGGUGAUUAUAAAGGUGCUCUACAGGUGUCUCCAAUGGUGUUUGUUGAGUUGGCAUAGAUCGAGAUUAGGAUUUGUCACUCCGAUUGUCGGAGAGGUAUCUCUGGGCCCUCUCGGUAAUGCACAUCACUAAAAAACUUGCAAGCAAUGUGAAUAAUGCGUUAGUUGCGGGAUGAUGCAUUAUGGAACGAGUAAAGAGACUUGCCGCUAACGAGAUUGAACUAGGUAUUGAGAUACCGACGAUCGAAUCUCGGGCAAGUAACAUACCGAUGACAAAGGGAACAACAUAUGUUGUUAUGCGGUUUGACCGAUAAAGAUCUUCGUAGAAUAUGUGGGAGCCAAUAUGAGCAUCCAGGUUUCGCUAUUGGUUAUUGACCGGAGAUGAGUCUCGGUCAUGUCUACAUAGUUCUCGAACCCGUAGGGUCCGCACGCUUAACGUUCGGUGACGAUCGGUAUUAUGAGUUUAUGUGUUUUGAUGUACCGAAGGUAGUUCGGAGUCCCGGAUGAGAUCGGGGACAUGACGAGGAGUCUCGAAAUGGUCGAGACGUAAAGAUCGAUAUAUUGGACAACUAUAUUCGGACAUCGGAAAGGUUCCGAGUGAUUCGGGUAUUUAUCGGAGUACCAGAGAGUUACGGGAAUUCGUCGGGGAGAAGUUAUGGGCCUUAUGGGCCAUAAGAAGGAAGCACACCAGCCCACAAGGGGCUGGUGCGCCCCCCUUUGGGCAGGAGGCCGAAUUGGAAUAGGUUUGGGGGGGCGGCCCCCCUUUCCUUCUCUCCUAUUCCUCCUUCCCUUCCUCUCCUACUCCAACUAGGGAAAGGGGGAAUCCUACUCCCGGUGGGAGUAGGACUCCCCUAGGGCGCGCCAUAGAGAGGGCCGGCCCCUCCCCUCCUCCACUCCUUUAUAUGCGUGGCCAAGGGGCACCCAUAGACACAACAAUUGAUCUGUUGAUCUCUUAGUCGUGUGCGGUGCCCCCCUCCACCAUAAUCCACCUCGAUAAUAUCAUAGCGGUGCUUAGGUGAAGCCCUGCGUCCGUAGCAUCAUCAUCACCGUCAUCAUGCCGUUGUGCUGACGAAACUCUCCGGCGAAGCUCUACUGGAUCGUGAGCUCGCGGGACAUUAUCGAGUUGAACGUGUGCUGAACUCGGAGGUGUCGUACGUUCGGUACUUGGAUCGGUCGGAUCGUGAAUACGUUCGACUACAUCAACCGCGUUGUUCUAACGCUUCCGCUUUCGGUCUACGAGGGUACGUGGACACACUCUCCCCUCUCGUUGCUAUGCAUCACCAUGAUCUUGCGUGUGCGUAGGAAAUUUUUGAAAUUACUAUGUUCCCCAACAGUGGCAUCCGAGCCAGGUUUAUGCGUAGAUGUUAUAUGCAUGAGUAGAACACAAGUGAGUUGUGGGCGAUACAAGUCAUACUGCUUACCAGCAUGUCAUACUUUGGUUUGGCGGUAUUGUUGGAUGAAGCGGCCCGGACCGGCAUUACGCGUACGCUUAUGCGAGACUGGUUCUACCGACGUGCUUUGCACACAGGUGGCUGGCGGGUGUCAGUUUCUCCAACUUUAGUUGAACUGAGUGUGACUAUGCCCGGUCCUUGUUGAAGGUUAAAGCAACACUAACUUGACGAAAUAUCGUUGUGGUUUUGAUGCGUAGGUAAGAAUGGUUCUUGCUCAACCCGUAGCAGCCACAUAAAACUUGCAACAACAAAGUAGAGGACGUCUAACUUGUUUUUGCAGGGCAUGUUGUGAUGUGAUAUGGUCAAGACGUCAUGAGAUAUAAGUUGUUGUAUAAGAUGAUCAUGUUUUGUUGAAGUUAUCAGCAACUGGCAGAAGCCUUAUGGUUGUCUAUUUAUUGCAUAAGAUGCAAGUGCCAAAUAAUUGCUUUACUUUAUCGCUAUGCGAUAGCAAUAGUUGCAAAAGCAAUAGUUGGUGCAACAACCAUGUGACGACACAUUGAUAGAGAUCAUGGUGUCAUGCCGGUGACGAUGAAGAUCAUGACGGUACUUUGGAGAUGGAGAUCAAAGGCACAAGAUGAUGAUGGCCAUAUCAUGUCACAUACUUUGAUUGCAUGUGAUGUUUAUCUUUUAUACAUCUUAUUCUGCUUUGAUUGACGGUAGCAUUAUAAGAUGAUCUCUCACUAAAUUUUAAGGUACAAGUGUUCUCCCUGAGUAUGCACCGUUGCCAAAGUUCGUCGUGCCGAGAUACCAUGUGAUGAUCGGGUGUGAUAAGCUCUACAUUCACAUACAACGGGUGCAAGCCAGUUUUGCACACGCAGAAAUACUCAGGUUAAACUUGACGAGCCUAGCAUAUGCAGAUAUGGCCUCGAAACACUGGAUACCGAAAGGUCGAACGUGAAUCAUAUAGUAGAUAUGAUCAACAUAGUGAUGUUCACCAUUCAAAACUACUCCAUCUCACGUGAUGAUCGGACAUGGUUUAGUUGAUUUGGAUCAUGUGGUCAUUUAGAUGACUCGAGGGAUGUCUAUCUAAGUGGGAGUUCUUAAGUAAUAUGAUUAAUUGAACUUUAAUUUAUCAUGAACUUAGUCCUGAUAGUAUUAGCAUCUCUAUGUUGUAGAUCAAUAGCUCGCAUUGUUGCUCGCCAUUUAUGUUUUGAUAUGUUCCUAGAGAAAACUAAGUUGAAAAAUAGUAGCAAUAAUGCGGACUUGGUCCGUGAUAUGAGGAUUAACCUCAUUGCUGCACAGAAGUAUUAUGUUCUUGAUGCACCGCUAGGUGACAGAACUAUUGCAGGAGCAGAUGCAGACGUUAUGAACGUUUGGCAAGCUCGAUAUGAUGACUACUUGACAGUUUAAGUGCACCAUGCUUUACGGCUUAGAACCGGGACUUCAAAUUUUUUUUUGAAUGCCACAGAGCAUAUAAGAUGUUCCAAGAGUUGAAAUUGAUAUUUCAUACUCAUGCCCAUGUCGAGAGGUAUGAGACCUCUGACAGUACUUUGCCUAUAAGAUGGAGGAGAAUAGCUCAACCAGUGAGCAUGUGCUCAGAUUGUCUGAGUACUACAAUUACUUGAAUCAAGUGGGAGUUAAUCUUCCAGAUAAGAUAGUAUUGACAAAGUUCUCUAGUCACUAUCACCAAGUUAAUACAACUUCGUGAUGAACUAUAAUAUGCAAGGGAUGACGAAAGUAAUUCCCGAGCUCUUCGCGAUGCUGAAAUCGGCGAAGGUAGAAAUCAAGAAAGAGCAUCAAGUGUUGAUGAUUAACAAGACACUAGUUUCAAGGAAAAGGGCAAAGGAAAGAAGGGGAACUUCAAGAAGAACGGCAAGCAAGUUGCUGCUCAAGUGAAGAAGCCCAAGUCUGGACCUAAGCCUGAGUCUGAGUGCUUAUACUGCAAAAGGACUGGUCACUAGAAGCGGAACUACCCUAGAUACUUGACGGAUAAGAAGGAUGGCAAAGUGAACAAAGGUAUAUUGGAUAUACAUGUUAUUGAUGUGUACUUUACUAGUGUUUAUAGCAACCCCUCGGUAUUUGAUACUAGUUCAGUUGCUAAGAUUAGUAACUCGAAACGGGAGUUGCAGAAUGAACAGAGACUAGUUAAGGGUGAAGUGAUGAUGUGAGUUGGAAGUGGUUCCAAGAUUGAUGUGAUCAUCAUCGCACACUCCCUAUACUUUCGGGAUUAGUGUUGAACCUAAAUAAGUGUUAUUUAGUGUUUGCGUUGAGUAUGAAUAUGAUUUGAUCAUGUUUAUUGCAAUACGGUUAUUCAUUUAAGUUAGAGAAUAAUUGUUGUUCUGUUUACACGAAUAAAACCUUCUAUGGUUAUACACCCAAUGAAAAUGUUUCGUUGGAUCUCGAUCGUAGUGAUACACAUAUUCAUAAUAUUGAAGCCAAAAGAUGCAAAGUUAAUAAUGAUAGUGCAACUUAUUUGUGGCACUGCCGUUUAGGUCAUAUUGGUGUAAAGCGCAUGAAGAAACUCCAUGCUGAUGGGCUUUUGGAAUCACUUGAUUAUGGAUCACUUGAUGCUUGCGAACCAUGCCUCUUGGGCAAGAUGACUAAAACGCCAUUCUCCGGAGCAAUGGAGCGAGCAACAGAUUUGUUGGAAAUCAUACAUACUAAUGUAUGUGGUCCGAUGAAUAUUGAGGCUCGCGGCGAGUAUCGUUAUUUUCUGACCUUCACAGAUGAUUUGAGCAGAUAUGGGUAUAUCUACUUGAUGAAACAUAAGUCUGAAACAUUUAAAAAGUUAAUAUAAUUUCAGAGUGAAGUGGAAAAUCAUCAUAACAAGAAAAUAAAGUUUCUACGAUCUGAUCGUGGAGGAGAAUAUUUGAAUUACGAGUUUGGUCUUCAUUUGAAACAAUGCGGAAUAGUUUCGCAACUCACGCCACCUGGAACACCACAGCGUAAUGGUGUGCCUGAACAUCGUAACCGUACUUUAUUAGAUAUGGUGCAAUCUAUGAUGUCUCUUACCGAUUUACCACUAUCGUUUUGGGGUUAUGCAUUAGAGACAGCUGCAUUCACGUUAAAUAGGGCACCAUCUAAAUCUGUUGAGACGACACCAUAUGAACUGUGGUUUGGCAAGAAACCAAAGUUGUCGUUUCUUAAAGUUUGGGGUUGUGAUGCUUAUAUGAAAAAGUUUCAUCCUGAUAAGCUCAAACCCAAAUCAGAGAAUUGUGUCUUCAUAGGAUACCCAAAGGAGACUGUUGGGUACACCUUCUAUCACAGAUCCGAAGGCAAGAUCUUUGUUGCUAAGAAUGGAUCCUUUCUGGAGAAGGAGUUUCUCUCGAAAGAAGUGAGUGGGAGGAAAGUAGAACUUGAUGAGGUAACUGUACCUGCUCCCUUAUUGGAAAGUAGUUCAUCACAGAAAUCUGUUCCUGUGACUCCUACACCAAUUAGUGAGGAAGCUAAUGAUGAUGAUCAUGUAACUCCAGAUCUAGUUACUACCGAACCUCGUAGGUCAACCAGAGUAAGGUCUGCACCAGUGGUACAGAAUCCUGUUCUGGAGGUCAUGUUACUUGACCAUGACGAACCUACGAACUACGAGGAAGCGAUGAUGAGCCUAGAUUCCGCGAAAUGGCUUGAGGCCAUGAAAUCUGAGAUGAGAUCCAUGUAUGAGAACAAAGUAUGGACUUUGGUUGACUUGCCCGAUUAUCGGCAAGCCAUAGAGAAUAAAAUGGAUCUUCAAGAGGAAGACGGACACUGAUAGUAGUGUUACUGUCUACAAAGCUCGAAUUGUCGCAAAAGGUUUUCGACAAGUUCAAGGUGUUGACUACGAUGAGUUUUUCUCACUCGUAGCGAUGCUUAAGUCUGUCCAAAUCAUGUUAGCAAUUGCUGCAUUUUAUGAAAUCUGGCAAAUGGAUAAACAAAACUGCAUUCCUUAAUGGAUUUCUUAAUGAAGAGUUGUAUAUGAUGCAACUAGAAGGUUUUGUCGAUCCUAAAGAUGCUAACAAAGUGUGCAAAGCUCCAGCAAUCCAUCUUUGGACUGGUGCAAGCAUCUCGGUGUUGGAAUAUACGCUUUGAUGAGUUGAUCAAAGCAUAUAGUUUUAUAUGGACUUGUGGUGAAGCCUGUAUUUACAAGAAAGUGAGUGGGAGCACUACAUCCUUUCUGAUAAGUAUAUGUGAAUGAUAUAUCGACGAUCGGAAAUGAUGUAGAAUUUUCUGGAAAGCAUAAAGGAGUGUUUGAAAGGAGGUUUUCAAAGAAAGACCUUGGUGAAGCUGCUUACAUAUUGAGCAUCAAGAUCUAUAGAGAUAGAUCAAGACGCUUGAUAAGUUUUUUCAAUGAGUACAUACCUUGACAAGUUUUUGAAGUAGUUCAAAAUGGAACAGUUAAAGAAAGAGUUCUUGCCUGUGUUGCAAGGUGUGAAGUUGAGUAAGACUCAAAGCCCGAUCACGGCAGAAGAUAGAUAGAGAAUGAAAGUCAUUCCCUAUGCCUCAGGCAUAGGUUCUAUAAAGUAUGCCAUGCUGUGUACCAGACCUAUUGUAUACCCUGCCGUGAGUUUGGCAAGGGAGUACAAUUUUGAUCUAGGAGUAGAUCACCGGACAACGGUCAAAAUUAUCCUUAGAAGACUAAGGAAAUAUUUCUCGGUUAUGGAGGUGAUAAAGAGUUCAUCGUAAAGAGUUACGUCGAUGCAAGCUUUGACACCGAUCUGGAUGACUCUAAGUCACAAUCCGGACACAUAUUGAAAGUGGGAGCAAUUAGCUAGAGUAGCUCCGUGCAGAGUAUUGUAGACAUAGAAAUUUGCAAAAUACAUACAGAUCUGAAUGUGGCAGCCCCGUUGACUAAAUUUCUCUCACAAGCAAAACAUGAUCACACCUUAGUACUCUUUCGGUUUUAAUCACAUAGCGAUGUGAACUAGAUUAUUGACUUUGGGUGUUGGUUACAUGACGAUGUGAACUAUGGGUGUUAAUCACAUGGUGAUGUGAACUAUUAAUGUUAAAUCACAUGGUGAUGUGAUCUAGAUUAUUGACUCUAGUGCAAGUGGGAGACUGAAGGAAAUAUGCCCUAGAGGCAAUAAUAAAGUUAUUAUUUAUUUCCUUAUUUCAUGCUAAAUGUUUAUUAUUCAUGCUAGAAUUGUAUUAACCGGAAACUUGAUACUAAAGGAAAUAUGCCCUAGAGGCAAUAAUAAAGUUAUUAUUUAUUUCCUUAUAUCAUGAUAAAUGUUUAUUAUUCAUGCUAGAAUUGUAUUAACUGGAAACAUAAUACUUGUGUGAAUACAUAGACAAACAGAGUGUCACUAGUAUGCCUCUACUUGACUAGCUCGUUGAUCAAAGAUGGUUAUGUUUCCUAGCCAUAGACAUGAGUUGUCAUUUGAUUAACGGGAUCAUAUCAUUAGGAGAAUGAUGUGAUUGACUUGACCCAUUCCGUUAGCUUAGCACACGAUCGUAUAGUAUUCUGCUAUUGCUUUCUUCAUGACUUAUACAUGUUCCUAUGACUAUGAGAUUAUUCAACUCCCGUUUACCGGAGGAACACUUUGUGUGCUACCAAACGUCACAACGUAAAUGGGUGAUUAUAAAGGUGCUCUACAAGUGUCUCCAAAGGUACUUGUUGGGUUGGCGUAUUUCGAGUUUAGGAUUUGUCACUCCGAUUGUCGGAGAGGUAUCUCUGGGCCCUCUCAGUAAUGCACAUCACUAUAAGCCUUGCAAGCAUUGCAACUAAUGAGUUAGUUGCGGGAUGAUGUAUUACAGAACGAGUAAAGAGACUUGCCGGUAACGAGAUUGAACUAGGUAUUGAGAUACCGACGAUCGAAUCUCGGGCAAGUAGCAUACCGAUGACAAAGGGAACAACGUAUGUUGUUAUGCGGUUUGACCGAUAAAGAUUAUCGUAGAAUAUGUGGGAGCCAAUAUGAGCAUCCAGGUUCCGCUAUUGGUUAUCGACCGGAGAGGUGUCUCGGUCAUGUCUACAUAGUUCUCGAACCCGUAGGGUCCGCACGCUUAACGUUUCAAUGACGGUUAUAUUAUGAGUUUAUGAGUUUGAUGUACCGAAGGUUGUUCGGAGUCCCGGAUGUGAUCACGGACAUGACGAGGAGUCUCGAAAUGGUCGAGACAUGAAGAUUGAUAUAUUGGAAGCCUCUGUUUGGAUAUCGGAAGUGUUCCGGGUGAAAUCGGGAUUUUACCGGAGUACCGGGAGGUUACCGGAACCCCCCGGGAGGCUAUUGGGCCAUAGUGGGCCUUAGUGGGAAAAGAGGGCAGCAAAGGGGAAGUGGGGUGCGCCCCCCCAUGGCCCAAACUGAAUUGGUUUGGGGCAAGGGGGCCGGCCCCCUCUCCUCCACUCUCCCCCCCUCCGGAAUCCUAUUCCAACUAGGAAAGGGGGGGAGUCCUACUCCCGGUGGGAGUAGGACUCCUCCUGGCGCCUCCUCCUCCUGGCCGGCCACCCCCUCCCCUGGCUCCUUUUUAUACGGGGCAGGGGGGCACCUCUUGGCACACAAUUGAUUUGAUCUUUUAGCCGUGUGCGGUGCCCCCCCUCCACCAUAAUCCACCUCGAUAAUACUGUAGCGGUGCUUAGGCGAAGCCCUGCGUCGGUAGAACGUCAACAUCGUCACCACGCCGUUGUGCUGACGAAACUCUCCCUCAACACUCGGCUGGAUUGGAGUUCGAGGGACGUCAUCGAGCUGAACGUGUGCAGGACUCGGAGGUGCCGUACGUUCGGUACUUGAUCGGUCGGAUCGUGAAGACGUACGACUACAUCAACUGCGUUGUGCUAACGCUUCCGCUUACGGUCUACGAGGGUACGUGGACACACUCUCCCCUCUCGUUGCUAUGCAUCACCAUGAUCUUGCGUGUGCGUAGGAUUUUUUUUGAAAUUACUACGUUCCCCAACAGUGGCAUCCGAGCCUGGUUUUAUGCGUUGAUGUUAUGCACGAGUAGAACACAAGUGAGUUGUGGGCGAUAUAAGUCAUACUGCUUACCAGCAUGUCAUACUUUGGAUCAGCGGUAUUGUGAGAUGAAGCAGCCUGGACCAACAUUACGCGUACGCUUACGCGAGACCGGUUUCACCGCUGCGAGCACUCGUUGCUUAAAGGUGACUGGCGGGUGUCUGUCUCUCUCACUUUAGUUGAAUCGAGUGUGGCUACGCCCGGUCCUUGCGAAGGUUAAAACAGCACCAACUUGACAAACUAUCGUUAUGGUUUUGAUGCAUAGGUAAGAACGGUUCUUGCUAAGCCCGUAGCAGCCACGUAAAACUUGCAACAACAAAGUAGAGGACGUCUAACUUGUUUUUGCAGGGCAUGUUGUGAUGUGAUAUGGUCAAGACAUGAUGCUAUAUUUAUUGUAUGAGAUGAUCAUGUUUUGUAACCGAGUUAUCGGCAACUGGUAGGAGCCAUAUGGUUGUCGCUUUAUUGUAUGCAAUGAAAUCGCGAUGUAAUGCUUUACUUUAUCUCUAAGCGGUAGCGAUAGUCGUGAAAGCAUAAGAUUGGCGAGACGACAACGAUGCUACGAUGGAGAUCAAGGUGUCGCGCCGGUGACGAUGGUGAUCAUGACGGUGCAACGAUGCUACGAUGGAGAUCAAGGUGUUGCGCCGAUGAUGAUGGUGAUCAUGACGGUGGUUCGGAGAUGGAGAUCACAAGCACAAGAUGAUGAUGGCCAUAUCAUAUCACUUAUAUUGAUUGCAUGUGAUGUUUAUCUUUUAUGCAUCUUAUUCUGCUUAGAACGACGGUAGCAUUAUAAGAUGAUCUCUCACUAAAUUAUCAAGUAAAAAGUGUUCUCCCUGAGUAUGCACCGUUGCGAAAGUUCUUCGUGCUGAGACACCACGUGAUGAUCGGGUGUGAUAGGCUCUAUGUUCAAAUACAACGGGUGCAAAACAGUUGCGCACGCGGAGUACUCAGGUUAAACUUGACGAGCCAAUAUAUAACAGAUAUGGCCUCGGAACACUGAGACCGAGAGGUCGAGCGUGAAUCAUAUAGUAGAUAUGAUCAACAUAGUGAUGUUCACGAUUGAAACUACUCCGUCUCACGUGAUGAUCGGACACGGUUUAGUUGAUUUGGAUCACGUGAUCACUUAGAGGACUAGAGGGAUGUCUGUCUAAGUGGGAGUUCUUAAGUAAUAUGAUUAAAUUGAACUUAAAUUUAUCAUGAAGUUAGUACCUGAUAGUAUCUUGCUUAUCUAUGUUGUUGUAGAUAGAUGGCCCGUGCUGUUGUUCCGUUAAAUUUUAGUGCGUUCCUUGAGAAAGCAAAGUUGAAAGAUGAUGGUAGCAAUUACACGGACUGGGUUCGUAACUUGAGGAUUAUCCUCAUUGCUGCACAGAAGAAUUACGUCCUGGAAGCACCGCUGGGUUCCAGGCCUGCUGCAGGAGCAACACCAGAUGUUAUGAACGUCUGGCAGAGCAAAACUGAUGACUACUCGAUAGUUCAGUGUGCCAUGCUUUACGGCUGAGAACCGGGUCUUUAACGACGUUUUGAACGUCAUGGAGCAUAUGAGAUGUUCCAGGAGUUGAAGUUAAUAUUUCAAGCAAAUGCCUGGAUUGAGAGAUAUGAAGUCUCCAAUAAGUUCUAUAGCUGCAAGAUGGAGGAGAAUAGUUCUGUCAGUGAGCAUAUACUCAAAAUGUCUGGGUAUAACAAUCACUUGAUUUAGCUGGGAGUUAAUCUUCCGAAUGAUAGCGUCAUUGACAGAAUUCUCCAAUCAUUGCCACCAAGCUACAAGAGCUUCGUGAUGAACUAUAAUAUGCAAGGGAUGGAAAAGACUAUUCCCAAGCUCUUCGCGAUGCUAAAGGCUGCGGAGGUAGAAAUCAAAAAGGAGAAUCAAGUGUUGAUGGUUAACAAAACCACCAGUUUCAAGAAAAAGGGCAAAGGGAAGAAGAAGGGGAACUUCAAGAAGAACAGCAAACAAGUUGCUGCUCAGGAGAAGAAACCCAAGUCUGGACCUAAGCCUGAGACUGAGUGCUUCUACUGCAAGCAAACUGGUCACUGGAAGCGGAACUGCCCCAAGUAUUUGGCAGAUAAGAAGGAUGGCAAGGUGAACAAAGGUAUAUAUGAUAUACAUGUUAUUGAUGUGUACCUUACUAAUGCUCGCAGUAGCACCUGGGUAUUUGAUACUGGUUCUGUUGCUAAUAUUUGCAACUCGAAACAGGGGCUACAGAUUAACGAAGAUUGGCUAAGGACGAGGUGACGAUGCGCGUGGGAAAUGGUUCCAAAGUCGAUGUGAUCGUGGUCGGCACGCUACCUCUACAUCUACCUUCGGGAUUAGUUUUAGACCUAAAUAAUUGUUAUUUGGUGCCAGCGUUGAGCAUGAACAUUAUAUCUGGAUCUUGUUUAAUGCAAGACGGUUAUUCAUUUAAAUUAGAGAAUAAUGGUUGUUCUAUUUAUAUGAGUAAUAUCUUUUAUGGUCAUGCACCCUUGAAGAACGGUCUAUUUUUGUUGAAUCUCGAUAGUAGUGAUACACAUAUUCAUAAUAUUGAAACCAAAAGAUGCAGAGUUGAUAGUGAUAUUGCGACUUAUUUGUGGCACUGCCGUUUAGGUCAUAUCGGUGUAAAGCGCAUGAAGAAACUCCAUACUGAUGGACUUUUGGAACCUCUUGAUUAUGAAUCACUUGGUACUUGCGAACCGUGCCUCAUGGGCAAGAUGACUAAAACGCCGUUCUCCGGAACUAUGGAGCGAGCAACUGAUUUGUUGGAAAUCAUACAUACUCAUGUAUGUGGUCCAAUGAAUGUUGAGGCUCACGGCAGGUAUCGUUAUUUUCUCACCUUCACAGAUGAUUUGAGCAGAUAUGGGUAUACCUACUUGAUGAAGCAUAAGUCUGAAACAUUUGAAAAGUUCAAAGAAUUUCAGAGUGAAGUGGAAAAUCAUCGUAACAAGAAAAUAAAGUUUCUAUGAUCUGAUCGUGGAGGAGAAUAUUUGAGUUACGAGUUUGGUCUUCAUUUGAAACAAUGCGGAAUAGUUUCGCAACUCACGCCACCCGGAACACCACAACGUAAUGGUGUGUCCGAACGUCAUAAUCGUACUUUACUAGAUAUGGUGCAAUCUAUGAUGUCUCUGACUGAUUUACCGCUAUCGUUUUAGGGUUAUGCUCUAGAGACUGCUGCAUUCACGUUAAAUAGGGCACCAUCUAAAUCCGUUGAGACGACGCCUUAUGAACUGUGGUUUGGCAAGAAACCAAAGUUGUCGUUUCUUAAAGUUUGGGGCUGCGAUGCUUAUGUGAAAAAGCUUCAACCUGAUAAGCUCGAACCCAAAUCGGAGAAAUGUGUCUUCAUAGGAUACCCAAAAGAGACUGUUGGGUACACCUUCUAUCACAGAUCCGAAGGCAAGACUUUUGUUGCUAAGUUUGGAUCCUUUCUAGAGAAGGAGUUUCUCUCGAAAGAAGUGAGUGGGAGGGAAGUAGAACUUGAUGAGAUAACUGUAUCUACUCCCUUAUUGGAAAGUAGUUCAUCACAGAAAUCUGUUCCUAUGACUCCUAAACCAAUUAGUGCGGAAGUUAAUGAUGAUGAUCAUGAAACUUCAAAUCAAGUUGCUACUGAACCUCGUAGAUCAACCAGAGCAAGAUACGCACCAGAGUGGUAUGGUAAUCCUGUUCUGGAAGUUAUGUUACUGGACCAUGACAAACCUACAAACUAUGAAGAAGCAAUGGUGAGCCUAGAUUCCGCCAAAUGGCUUGAGGCCAUGAAAUCUGAGAUGGGAUCCAUGUAUGAGAACAAAGUGUGGACUUUGGUUGACUUGCCUGAUGAUCGGCAAGCAAUUGAGAAUAAAUGGAUCUUCAAGAAGAAGACUGACGCUGACGGUAAUGUUACUGACUACAAAGCUCGACUUGUUGCGAAAGGGUUUCGACAAGUUCAAGGGAUUGACUACGAUGAGAAUUUCUCACCCGUAGCGAUGCUUAAGUCUGUCCGAAUCAUGUUAGCAAUUGCCGCAUUUUAUGAUUAUGAAAUUUGGCAAAUGGAUGUAAAAACUACAUUCCUGAAUGGAUUUCUGGAAGAAGAGUUGUAUAUGAUGCAACCAGAAGGUUUUAUCAAUCCAAAGGGAGCUAACAAAGUGUGCAAGCUCCAGCGAUCCAUUUAUGGACUGGUGCAAGCCUCUCGGAGUUGGAAUAAACGUUUUGAUAGUGUGAUCAAAGCAUAUGGGUUUAUACAGACUUUUGGAGAAGCCCGUAUUUACAAGAAAGUGAGUUGGAGCUCGGUAGCAUUUUUGAUAUUAUAUGUGGAUGACAUAUUGUUGAUAGGAAAUGAUAUAGAAUUUCUGGAUAGCAUAAAGGGAUAUUUGAACAAGAGUUUUUCAAUGAAAGACCUCGGUGAAGCUGCUUAUAUAUUGGGCAUCAAGAUCUAUAGAGAUAGAUCAAGACGCUUAAUUGGACUUUCACAAAGCACAUACCUUGACAAAGUUUUGAAGAAGUUCAAAAUGGAUCAGGCGAAGAAAGGGUUCUUGCCUGUGUUGCAGGGUGUAAAGUUGAGUAAGACUCAAUGCCCGACCAAUGCAGAAGAUAGAGAGAAGAUGAAAGAUGUUCCCUAUGCUUCAGCCAUAGGCUCUAUCAUGUAUGCAAUGCUGUGUACCAGACCUGAUGUGUGCCUUGCUAUUAGUUUAGCAGGGAGGUACCAAAGUAAUCCAGGAGUGGAUCACUGGACAACGGUCAAGAACAUCCUAAAAUACCUGAAAAGGACUAAGGAUAUGUUUCUCGUUUAUGGAGGUGACAAAGAGCUCGUCGUAAAUGGUUACGUCGAUGCAAGCUUUGACACUGAUCCGGACGAUUCUAAAUCGCAAACCGGAUACGUGUUUAUAUUGAACGGUGGAGCUGUCAGUUGGACAAGUUCUAAACAAAGCGUCGUGGCGGGAUCUACGUGUGAAGCAGAGUACAUAGCUGCUUCGGAAGCAGCAAAUGAAGGAGUCUGGAUGAAGGAGUUCAUAUCCGAUCUAGGUGUCAUACCUAGUGCAUCGGGUCCAAUGAAAAUCUUUUGUGACAAUACUGGUGCAAUUGCCUUGGCAAAGGAAUCCAGAUUUCACAAGAGAACCAAACACACCAAGAGACGCUUCAACUCCAUCAGGGAUCAAGUCCAGGUGGGAGACAUAGAGAUUUGCAAGAUACAUACGGACCUGAAUAUUGCAGACCCGUUGACUAAGCCUCUUCCACGAGCAAAACAUGAUCAGCACCAAGGCUCCAUGGGUGUUAGAAUCAUUACUAUGUAAUCUAGAUUAUUGACUCUAGUGCAAGUGGGAGACUGAAGGAAAUAUGCCCUAGAGGCAAUAAUAAAGUUAUUAUUUAUUUCCUUAUAUCAUGAUAAAUGUUUAUUAUUCAUGCUAGAAUUGUAUUAACCGGAAACAUAAUACUUGUGUGAAUACAUAGACAAACAGAGUGUCACUAGUAUACCUCUACUUGACUAGCUCGUUGAUCAAAGAUGGUUAUGUUUUCUAGCCAUAGACAUGAGUUGUCAUUUGAUUAACGGGAUCAUAUCAUUAGGAGAAUGAUGUGAUUGAAUUGACCCAUUCCGUUAGCUUAGCAGACGAUCGUAUAUUAUUCUGCUAUUGCUUUCUUCAUGACUUAUACAUGUUCCUAUGACUAAGAGAUUAUGCAACUCCCAUUUACCGGAGGAACACUUUGUGUGCUACCAAACGUCACAACGUAAAUGGGUGAUUAUAAAGGUGCUCUACAGGUGUCUCCAAAGGUACUUGUUGGGUUGGCGUAUUUCGAGAUUAGGAUUUGUCACUCCGAUUGUCGGAGAGGUAUCUCUGGGCCCUCUCGGUAAUGCACAUCACUAUAAGCCUUGCAAGCAUUGCAAGUAAUGAGUUAGUUGUGGGAUGAUGUAUUACAGAACGAGUAAAGAGACUUGCCGGUAACGAGAUUGAACUAGGUAUUGAGAUACCGACGAUCGAAUCUCGGGCAAGUAACAUACCGAUGACAAAGGGAACAACGUAUGUUGUUAUGCGGUUUGACCGAUAAAGAUCUUCGUAGAAUAUGUGGGAGCCAAUAUGAGCAUCCAGGUUCCGCUAUUGGUUAUUGACCGGAGAGGUGUCUCGGUCAUGUCUACAUAGUUCUCGAACCCGUAGGGUCCGCACGCUUAACGUUUCGAUGACGGUUAUAUUAUGAGUUUAUGAGUUUGAUGUACCGAAGGUUGUUCGGAGUCCCGGAUGUGAUCACGGACAUGACGAGGAGUCUCGAAAUGGUCGAGACAUGAAGAUUGAUAUAUUGGAAGCCUAUGUUUGGAUAUCGGAAGUGUUCCGGGUGAAAUCGGGAUUUUACCGGAGUACCAGGAGGUUACCGGAACCCCGCGGGAGGCUAUUGGGCCAUAGUGGGCCUUAGUGGGAAAAGAGGGCAGCAAAGGGAAAGUGGGGCGCGCCCCCCCAUGGCCCAAACCGAAUUGGUUUGGGGCAAGGGGGCCGGCCCCCUCUCCUCCACUCUUCCCCCCCUCCCGAAUCCUAUUCCAACUAGGAAAGGGGGGGAGUCCUACUCCCGGUGGGAGUUGGACUCCUCCUGGCGCCUCCUCCUGGCCGGCCGCCCCCUCCCCUGGCUCCUUUAUAUACGGGGCAGGGGGGCACCUCUUGGCACACAAUUGAUUUGAUGUUUUAGCCGUGUGCGGUGCCCCCCUCCACCAUAAUCCACCUCGAUAAUACUGUAGCGGUGCUUAGGCGAAGCCCUGCGUCGGUAGAACGUCAACAUCAUCACCACGCCGUUGUGCUGACGAAACUCUCCCUCAACACUCGGCUGGAUCGGAGUUCGAGGGACGUCAUCGAGCUGAACGUAUGCAGAACUCGGAGGUGCCGUACGUUCGGUACUUGAUCGGUCGGAUCGUGAAGACGUACGACUACAUCAACCGCGUUGUGCUAACGCUUCCGCUUACGGUCUACGAGGGUACGUGGACACACUCUCCCCUCUCAUUGCUAUGCAUCACCAUGAUCUUGCGUGUGCGUAGGAAUUUUUUUGAAAUUACUACGUUCCCCAACAGAUACAUGUGUGAAUACAUAGACAAAACAGAGUGUCCCUAGUAUGCCUCUACUUGACUAGCUUGUUUAUCAAAGAUGGUUGCUACCUCUUGAGCACAGCGUUGGAUUUCCCCGAAUAGGAAAGGAUGAUGCAGCAGAGUAGCGUAAGUAUUUCCCUUAGUUUUUGAGAACCAAGGUAUCAAUCCAGUAGGAGGCUACGCGCGAGUCCCUCGUACCUACACAAAGCAAAUAGCUCCUCGCAACCAACGCGAAUAGGGGUUGUCAAUCCCUUCACGGUCACUUACGAGAGUGAGAUCUGAUAGAUAUGAUUGAUAAUAUUUUUGGUAUAAAGAUGCAAAGUAAAAAGCAAAGCAAUAAUAAAGUGAUGGAAGAUUGAUAUGAUGGAGAAUAGACCCGGGGGCCAUAGAUUUCACUAGUGGCUUCUCUCAAAAGCAUAAGUAUUUUACGGUGGGUGAACAAAUUACUGUUGAGCAAUUGACAGAAUUGAGCAUAGUUAUGAGAAUAUCUAGGUAUGAUCAUGUAUAUAGGCAUCUCGUCCGAGACAAGUAGACCGACUCCUGCCUGCAUCUACUACUAUUACUCCACUCAUCGACCGCUAUCCAGCAUGCAUCUAGAGUAUUAAGUUCAAGAAAACAGAGUAACGCCUUAAGCAAGAUGACAUGACGUAGAGGGAAAAAUUCAUGCAAUAUGAUAAAAAACCAUCUUGUUAUCCUCGAUGGCAACAAUAUAAUACGUGCCUUGCUGCCCCUUCUGUCACUGGGAAAGGACACACCGCAAGAUUGAACCCAAAGCUAAGCACUUCUCCCAUUGCAAGAAAAACCAAUCUAGUAGGCCAAACCAAACUGAUAAUUCGAAGAGACUUGCAAAGAUAACCAAUCAUACAUAAAAGAAUUCAGAGAAGAUUCAAAUAUUGUUCAUAGAUAAUCUUGAUCAUAAACCCACAAUUCAUCGGUCUCAACAAACACACCGCAAAAAGCAGAUUACAUCGAAUAGAGCUCCACGAGAGAGGGGGAGAACAUUGUAUUGAGAUCCAAAAAGAGAGAAGAAGCCAUCUAGAUACUAACUAUGGACCCGAAGGUCUGAGGUAAACUACUCACACUUCAUCGGAGAGGCUAUGGUGAUGAUGUAGAAGCCCUCCAUGGUGGAUUCCCCUUCCGGCGGAGCUCCGAAACAGGCCCCAAGAUGGGAUCUCGUGGAUACAGAAGGUUGCGGCGGUGGAAUUAGGUUUUUGGCUCCGUAUCUGAUCGUUUGGGGGUACGUAGGUAUAUAUAGGAGGAAGGAGUACGUCGGUGGAGCAACAUGGGGCCCACGAGGCAGGGGGGCGCGCCCUAGGGGGGGCGCCCUCCACCCUCGUGGCCGCCUCCCUUCUUUCUUGACAUGGGGUCCAAGUCUCCUGGAUCAUUUCUUCCUACAAAUCACGUUCCCGAAUGUUUCAUUCCGUUUGGACUCCGUUUGAUAUUCCGUUUCUUCGAAACACUGAAAUAGGCAAAAAACAGCAAUUCUGGGCUGGGCCUUCGGUUAAUAGGUUAGUCCCAAUAGUAAUAUAAAUGUGGAAAAUAAAGCCCAAUAUAGUCCAAAACAGUAGAUAAUAUAGCAUGGAGCAAUCAAAAAUUAUAGAUACGUUGGAGACGUAUCAGGCAUCCCCAAGCUUAAUUUCUGCUCGUCCUCGAGUAGGUAAAUGAUAAAAAAGAAUUUUUGAUGCGGAGUGCUACUUGGCAUAAUUUCAAUGUAAUUCUUCUUAAUUGUGGUAUGAAUAUUCAGAUCCGAAAGAUUUAAUAAUACUUCAAGCAUACUAACAAAGCAAUUAUGUCUUCUCAAAAUAACAUGGCCAAAGAAAGUUAUCCCUACAAGAUCAUAUAGUCUGGCUAUGCUCUAUCUUCAUCACACAAAGUAUUUAAAUCAUGCACAACCCCGAUGACAAGCCAAGCAAUUGUUUCAUACUUUUGACAUUUUCAAAACUUUUUUCAAUCUUCACGCAAUACAUGAGCGUGAGCCAUGGGUAUAGCACUAUAUGUGGAAUAGAAUGGUGGUUGUGGAGAAGACAAAAAGGGAGAAGAUAGUCUCACAUCAACUAGGCGUAUCAACGGGCUAUGGAGAUGCCCAUUAAUAGAUAUCAAUGUGAGUGAGUAGGGAUUGCCAUGCAACGGAUGCACUAGAGCUAUAAGUAUAUGAAAGCUCAACAAAAGAAACUAAGUGGGUGUGCAUCCAACUCGCUUGCUCACGAAGACCUAGGGCAUUUUGAGGAAGCCCAUCAUUGGAAUAUACAAGCCAAGUUCUAUAAUGAAAAAUUCCAACUAGUAUAUGAAAGUGACACAAUGAGAGACUCUCUAUCAUGAAGAUAAUGGUGCUACUUUGAAGCACAAGUGUGGUAAAAGGAUAGUAACAUUGUCCCUUCUCUCUUUUACUCUCAUUUUUUUAUAUUUUUUUUAUUUGGGCCUUUUCUCCUUUUUUUAUGGCCUCUUUUUUUUUCGUCCGGAGUCUCAUCCCGACUUAUGGGGGAAUCAUAGUCUCCAUCAUCCUUUUCCUCACUUGGGACAAUGCUCUAAAAAUGAUGAUCAUCACACUUUUAUUUUUCUUACAACUCAACAAUUACAACUCGAUACUUAGAACAAAAUAUGACUCUAUAUGAAUGCCUCCGGCGGUAUACCGGGAUAUGCAAUGAAUCAAGAGUGACAUGUAUGAAAGAAUUAUGAACGGUGGCCUUGCCACAAAUACAAUGUCAACUACAUGAUUAUGCAAAGCAAUAUGACAAUGAUGGAGCAUGUCAUAAUAAACGGAAUGGUGGAAAGUUGCAUGGCAAUAUAUCUCGGAAUGGCUAUGGAAAUGCCAUGAUAGGUAGAUAUGGUGGCUGUUUUGAGGAAGGUAUAUGGUGGGUGUAUGAUACCGGUGAAAAGUGCGCGACAUUAGAGAGGCUAGCAAUGGUGGAAAGAAGGAAAAGUGCGUAUAAUCCAUGGACUCAACAUUAGUCAUAAAGAACUCAUAUACUUUUUGCAAAAAUCUACAAAUUAUCAAAGCAAAGUAUUACGCGCAUGCUCCUAGGGGGAUAGAUUGGUAGGAAAAGACCAUCGCUCGUCCCCGACCGCCACUCAUAAGGAAGACAAUCAAUAAAUAAAUCAUGCUCCAACUUCAUCACAUAACGGUUCACCAUACGUGCAUGCUACGGGAAUCACAAACUUUAACACAAGUAUUUCUUAAAUUCACAACUACUCAACUAGCAUGACUCUAAUAUCACCAUCUUCAUAUCUCAAAACAAUUAUCAAGCAUCAAAUUUUUCUUAGUAUUCAACGCACUCAAAAGAAAGUUUUACAAAUCUUGAAUACCAAGCAUAUUAAAUUUUCUAAGCAAAUUACCAUGCUAUUUAAGGCUCUCAAAAUAAUCUAAGUGAAGCAUGAGAGAUCAAUAGUUUCUAUAAAACAAAUCCACCACCGUGCUCUAAAAGAUAUAAGUGAAGCACUAGAGCAAUACUAUAUAGCUCAAAAGAUAUAAGUGAAGCACAUAGAGUAUUCUAACAAAUUUCAAAUCAUGUAUGGCUCUCUCAAAAGGUGUGUACAGCAAGGAUGAUUGUGGUAAACUAAAAAUAAAAGACUGAAAUCAUACAAGACGCUCCAAGCAAAACACAUAUCAUGUGGUUAAUAAAAAUAUAGCUCCAAGUAAAGUUAACGAUGGAAGUAGACGAAAGAGGGGAUGCCUUCCGGGGCAUCCCCAAGCUUUGACUUUUUGGUGUCCUUAGAUUAUCUUGGGGGUGACAUGGGAAUCCCCAAGUUUAGACUCUUUCCACUCCUUGUUCCAUAAUCCAUCAAAAUAUUUCACCCAAAACUUGAAAACUUCACAACACAAAACUCAAGAGAAAUCUCGUGAGCUCCGUUAGCGAAAGAAAACAAAAGACCACUUCAAGGUACUGUAAUGAACUCAUUCUUUAUUUAUAUUGGUGUUAAACCUACUGUAUUCCAACUUAUCUAUGGUUUCUAAACUAUUUUACUAGCCAUAGAUUCAUCAAAAUAAGCAAACAAUACACGAAAAACAGAAUCUGUCAAAAACAGAACAGUCUGUAGUAAUCUGUAACAAACGCAAAUUUCUGGAACUCCAAAAAAUCAGACAAAAUAGGAAGACCUAGGCAAUUUUUUUUAUUGAUCAGCAACAAUUGGAAUCACUAUUUUAUCACGUUCUGGUGAUUUUUAACAAUUGUUUUCGUGAACAGAAAGUUUCUGAAAAUUACAGCAAGAUCAAAUAACUAUCAUCCAAGAAGAUCCUAUAGGUUUAACUUGGCACAAACACUAAUUAAAACAUAAAAACACAUCUAACCAGAGGCUAGAACAAAUAUUUAUUCCUAAACAUAAGAAAAAGCAAAAAAACUAAAAAUAAAAUUGGGUUGCCUCCCAACAAGCGCUAUCGUUUAACGCCCCUAGCUAGGCAUAAAAGCAAGGAUAGAUCUAGGUAUUGCCAUCUUUGGUAGGCAAUCCAUAAGUGGCUCUCAUGAUAGAUUCAUAUGGUAAUUUUAUUUUCUUCCUAGGGAAGUGUUCCAUGCCCUUCUUUAAUGGAAAUUGGAUUCUAAUAUUCCCUUCCUUCAUAUCAAUAAUUGCACCAACCGUUCUAAGGAAAGGUCUACCAAGAAUAAUAGGGCAAGAAAGAUUGCAAUCUAUAUCAAGAACGAUAAAAUCUACGGGCACAUAAUUCCUAUUUGCAACAAUAAGAACAUCAUUAAUUCUUCCGAUAGGUUUUUUAAUAGUGGAAUCCGCAAGAUGCAAAUUUAGAGAGCAAUCAUCAAAAUCGCGGAAAUCUAGAAAAUCACACAAGGUUUUGGGAAUAGUGGAAACACUAGCACCCAAAUCACAUAAAGCAUAAAAUUCAUGAUCCUUAAUCUUAAUUUUAAUAGUUGGUUCCCACUCAUCAUAAAGUUUUCUAGGGAUAGAAACUUCCAACUCAAGUUUUUCUUCAUAAGAUUGCAUCAAGGCAUCAACGAUAUGUUUAGUCAACGCUUUAUUUUGACUAUAAGCAUGAGGAGAAUUUAGCACAGAUUGCAACAAGGAAAUACCAUCAAUUAAAGAGCAACUUUCAUAAUUAAAUUCCUUGAAAUGCAAAAUAGUGGGUUUAGCAACAUCUAGGGUUUUGAUUUCUUCAAUCCUACUUUUAUCAAUUUUAUCAUCAAGAUCUAAAAACUCCGAAUUUUUGGAACGCCUUCUAGGUAGAGGUGGAUCAUAUUCAGUCUCAUCAAAAUUCAUAUUGCAAAACAAAGAUUUAAUAGGGGACACAUCAAUAACUUUUAGAUCUUCAUCUUGAUUUUCAUAGGAAUUGAAAGAACACGCUUUAAUAAAGGCAUCUUUCAUAGCACGCGUCCUAGCGGUUCUUUCCUUGCACUCAUCAAUGGAAAUUCUCAUGGCCUUGAGAGACUCAUUGAUAUCAUGCUUAGGAGGAAUAGAUCUAAGUUUUAAAGAAUCAACAUCAAGAGAAAUUCUAUCAAUGUUCCUAGCCAAUUCAUCAACUUUAAGUAAUUUCUCUUCAAGCAAGGCAUUGAAUUUUUUUUGUGAAUUCAUAAACUUUUUAACACUCAUUUCAAAUUCAGAGGGCAUCUUAUUAAAAUUUCCAUAAGAAUUGUUGUAGGAAUUUCCAUAAUUAUUAGAAGGAUUACUAGGAUAUGGCCUAGGAUUAAAGUUCCCUCUAUACGCGUUGUUACCAAAAUUAUUCCUACCAACAAAAUUCACAUCCAUAGAUUCAUUAUUAUUCUCAAUCAAAGUAGACAAAGGCAUAUCAUUAGGAUCAGAAGAAACACUCUUAGUAGCAAAUAAUUUCAUAAGUUCAUCCAUCUUUCCACUCAAAACAUUAAUUUCUUCUAUCGCAUGCACUUUUUUAUUAGUAGAUCUUUCAGUGUGCCAUUGAGAAUAAUUAACCAUAAUAUUAUCUAGGAGUUUAGUAGCAUCUCCUAACGUGAUUUCCAUAAAAGUGCCUCCCGCGGCCGAAUCUAAAAGAUUUCUAGAAGCAAAAUUCAAUCCGGCAUAAAUUUUUUGUAUAAUCAUCCACAAGUUCAAACCAUGAGUAGGGCAAUUAUGUAUCAUUAAUUUCAUUCUCUCCCAAGCUUGUGCAACAUGUUCAUGGUCAAGUUGCUUAAAAUUCAUAAUAUCGUUUCUAAGAGAGAUGAUCUUAGCGGGAGGAAAAUACUUAGAGAUAAAAGCAUCUUUGCACUUGUUCCAAGAAUCAAUACUAUUUUUAGGCAAAGACGAAAACCAAGCUUUAGCACGAUCUCUAAGCGAAAAAGGAAAUAGCUUCAAUUUAACAAUAUCAUUAUCAACAUCUUUCUUCUUUUGCAUAUCAGACAAAUCAACGAAGCUAUUUAAAUGAGUAGCGGCACCUUCACUAGGAAGGCCGGCGAAUUGAUCUUUCAUAACAAGAUUCAGCAAAGCAGUAUUUAUUUCACAAGAUUCAGUAUUGGUAAGAGGAGCUAUCGGAGUGCUAAGGAAAUCAUUAUUGUUGGUAUUGGUAAAGUCACAUAAUUUGGUAUUAUCUUGAGCCAUCGUGACAAGCAAUCCAACACACGAGCAAACGAAAAGCAAGCGAGAAAAAGGCAAACAAAAAAGAGAGGGCGAAUAAAAACGGCAAGGGUAAAGUGGGGGAGAGGAAAGCGAGAGGCAAAUGGCAAAUAAUGUAAUGCGAGAGAUAAGGGAUUGUGAUGGGUACUUGGUGUGUUGACUUUUGCGUAGACCGACAACGGCGCCAGAAAUUGCUCGUUGUCGGGAGUCCAAAUCUUGACUUGACCUUGCGUAAGCCUCCCCGGCAACGGCGCCAGAAAUUUUUCUUGCUACCUCUUGAGCACAGCGUUGGAUUUCCCCGAAGAGGAAAGGAUGAUGCAGCAGAGUAGCGUAAGUAUUUCCCUCAGUUUUUGAGAACCAAGGUAUCAAUCCAGUAGGAGGCUACGCGCGAGUCCCUCGUACCUACACAAAGCAAAUAGCUCCUCGCAACCAACGCGAAUAGGGGUUGUCAAUCCCUUCACGGUCACUUAGUAGAGUGAGAUCUGAUAGAUAUGAUAGAUAAUAUUUUUGGUAUAAAGAUGCAAAGUAAAAUAAAAAGCAAAGUAAAAAUCAAGGCAAUAAUAAAGUGAUGGAAGAUUGAUCUGAUGGAGAAUAGACCCGGGGGUCAUAGAUUUCACUAGUGGCUUCUCUCAAAAGCAUAAGUAUUUUACGGUGGGUGAACGAAUUACUGUUGAGCAAUUGACAUAAUUGAGCAUAGUUAUGAGAAUAUCUAGGUAUGAUCAUGUAUAUAGGCAUCACGUCCGAGACAAGUAGACCGACUCCUGCCUGCAUCUACUACUAUUACUCCACUCAUCGACCGCUAUCCAGCAUGCAUCUAGAGUAUUAAGUUCAAGAAAACAGAGUAACGCCUUAAGCAAGAUGACAUGACGUAGAGGGAUAAAUUCAUGCAAUAUGAUAAAAAAACCCAUCUUGUUAUCCUCGAUGGCAACAAUACAAUACAUGCCUUGCUGCCCCUUCUGUCACUGGGAAAGGACACCGCAAGAUUGAACCCAAAGCUAAGCACUUCUCCCAUUGCAAGAAAAACCAAUCUAGUAGGCCAAACCAAACUGAUAGUUCCAAGAGACUUGCAAAGAUAAACAAUCAUACAUAAAAGAAUUCAGAGAAGAUUCAAAUAUUGUUCAUAGAUAAUCUUGAUCAUAAACCCACAAUUCAUCGGUCUCAACAAACACACCGCAAAAAGAAGAUUACAUCGAAUAGAUCUCCACGAGAAAGGGGGAGAACAUUGUAUUGAGAUCCAAAAAGAGAGAAGAAGCCAUCUAGCUACUAACUAUGGACCCGAAGGUCUGAGGUAAACUACUCACACUUCAUCGGAGAGGCUAUGGUGAUGAUGUAGAAGCCCUCCGUGGUGGAUUCCCCUUCCGGCGGAGCUCCGAAACAGGCCCCAAGAUGGGAUCUCGUGGAUACAGAAGGUUGCGGCGGUGGAAUUAGGUUUUUGGCUCCGUAUCUGAUCGUUUGGUGGUACGUAGGUAUAUAUAGGAGGAAGGAGUACGUCUGUGGAGCAACAGGGGGCCCACGAGGCAGGGGGGCGCGCCCUGGGGGGGGGGGCGCCCUCCACCCUCGUGGCCGCCUCCCUUCUUUCUUGACGUGGGGUCCAAGUCUCCUGGAUCAUGUUCUUCCUAAAAAUCACGUUCCCGAAGGUUUCAUUCCGUUUGGACUCCGUUUGAUAUUCCGUUUCUUCGAAACACUGAAAUAGGCAAAAAACAGCAAUUCUGGGCUGGGCCUCCGGUUAAUAGGUUAGUCCCAAAAGUAAUAUAAAAGUGGAAAAUAAAGCCCAAUAUAGUCCAAAACAGUAGAUAAUAUAGCAUGGAGCAAUCAAAAAUUAUAGAUACGUUGGAGACGUAUCAAUGGUUAUGUUUCUUGACCAUAGACAUGUGUUGUCAUUUGAUGAAUGGGAUCACAUCAUUAGGAGAAUGAUGUGAUGGACAAGACCCAUUUGUUAGCUUAACACUAUGAUCGUUUAGUUUAUUGCUAUUGCUUUCUUCAUGACUUAUACAUGUUCCUAUGACUAUGAGAUUAUGCAACUUCCGAAUACCAGAGGAACACUUUGUGUGCUACCAAAGGUCAAAACGUAACUGGGUGAUUAUAAAAGGUGCUCUACAGGUGUCUCCAAUGGUGUUUGUUGAGUUGGCAUAGAUCGAGAUUAUGAUUUGUCACUCCGAUUGUCGGAGAGGUAUCUCUCGGCCCUCUCGGUAAUGCACAUCACUAUAAGCCUUGCAAGCAAUGUGACUAAUGAGUUAGUUGCUGGAUGAUGCAUUACGGAACGAGUAAAGAGACUUGCCGAUAACGAGAUUGAACUAGGUAUUGAGAUACCGACGAUUGAAUCUCGGGCAAGUAACAUACCGAUGACAAAGGGAACAACGUAUGUUGUUAUGCGGUUUGACCGAUAAAGAUCUUCGUAGAAUAUGUGGGAGCCAAUAUGAGCAUCCAGGUUCUGCUAUUGGUUAUUGACCUGAGAUGAGCCUCGGUCAUGUCUACAUAGUUCUCGAACCCGUAGGGUCCGCGCGCUUAACGUGCGAUGACAAUCGGUAUUAUGAGUUUAUGUGUUUUGAUGUACCGAAGGUAUUUCGGAGUCCCGGAUGAGAUCGGGGACAUGACGAGGAGUCUCGAAAUGGUCGAGAUGUAAAGAUCGAUAUAUUGGACGACUAUAUUCGGACAUCGGAAAGGUUCCGAGUGAUUCGGGUAUUUAUCGGAGUACCGGAGAGUUACGGGAAUUCGCCGGGAAGAAGUUAUGGGCCUUAUGGGCCAUAAGAAGGAAGCACACCAGCCCACAAGGGGCUGGUGCGCCCCCCUUUGGGUAGGAGGCCGAAUUGGAAUAGGUUUGGGGGGGGGCAGUCCCCCUUUCCUUCUCUCCUAUUCCUCCUUCCCUUCCUCUCCUACUCCAACUAGGGAAAGGGGGAAUCCUACUCCCGGUGGGAGUAGGACUCCCCUAGGGCGCGCCAUAGAGAGGGCCGGCCCCUCCCCUCCUGCACUCCUUUAUAUACGUGGCCAAGGGGCACCCCAUAGACACAACAAUUGAUCUGUUGAUCUCUUAGCCGUGUGCGGUGCCCCCCUCCACCAUAAUCCACCUCGAUAAUACCAUAGCGGUGCUUAGGCGAAGCCCUGCAUCGGUAGCAUCAUCAUCACCGUCAUCAUGACGUCGUGCUGACGAAACUCUCCAGCGAAGCUCUACUAGAUCGUGAGCUCGCGGGACGUCAUCGAGUUGAACGUGUGCUGAACUCGGAGGUGCCGUACGUUCGGUACUUGGAUCGGUCGGAUCGUGAAGACGUUCGACUACAUCAACCGCGUUGUUCUAGUGCUUCCGCUUUUGGUCUACGAGGGUACAUGGACACACUCUCCCCUCUCGUUGCUAUGCAUCACCAUGAUCUUGCGUGUGCGUAGGAUUUUUUUGAAAUUACUACGUUCCCCAAAAAUUACACUGUGGUGUUCCAGGUGGCGUGAGUUGUGAAACAAUUCCGCAUUGUUUUAAAUGAAGGCCCAACCCGUAACUCAACUAUUUGCCUCCGCGAUCAGAUUGUAGAAACUUUAUUUUCUUGUUACGAUGAUUCUCCACUUCAGUCUGAAAUUCUUUGAACUUUUCAAAUGUCUCAGACUUGUCUUUCAUCAAGUAGAUAUAUCCAUACCUACUUAAAUCAUCUGUGAAGGUUAAAAAAUAACGAUACCCGCUGUGUGCUUCAACAAUCAUCGGACCACAUACAUCAGUAUGUGAUAACCCACAAGUAUAAGGGAUCGCAACAGUUUUCGAGGGUAGAGUAUUCAACCCAAAUUUAUUCAUUCGACACAAGGGGAGCCAAAGAAUAUUUGCAAGUAUUAGUUGCUAAGUUGUCAAUUCAACCACACCCGAAGAUUAAUUAUCUGUAGCAAAGUGAUCAGUAGCGUAAUAUGAUAAUUUUGAUAGUAGUAGCAAUAGCAAUAGUAACAGUAACAGUGAUAGCAAUGAUUUUGUAGCAAGUGUAACGGUAACAGCAGCAGUAGCAACUUUGCAAGAACAAUAUAUGUAACACCCACGAUGCGGCUAUAUCUCCCAGGUGUCGAGGCACGACUUAGAGGCAUAACCGCAUUGUAGGUUUUGUCGCAAGAAGGGUCAUCUUCACACAAUCCCAUGUAAUGAACAAGAAUGGGAUAAAGAAUUGGCUUACAAUCGCCACUUCACACAAUACAUAAAUUAAACAUACAUCAACCAAAGUACAUACAUAGUCCGACUACGGACAAAUUCAAAUGAAAAAGAAGACAACCCCAAAUGCUAGAUCCCCGAUCGUCCCAACUGGGCACCACUACUGAUCAUCAGGAAACGAUACAUAGUAACGACCAAGUUCCUCAUCGAACUCCCACUUGAGCUCGGUUGCGUCACCUGCAAUGGCAUCGUCGACACCUGCAACUGUUUUGGCAGAAUCUGUGAGUCACGGAGACUCAGCAAUCUCACACCCGCGAGAUCAAGACUAUUUAAGCUUAUGGGUAGGAUAGGGUAAUGAGGUGGAGCUGCAGCAAGCACUAAGCAUUUAUGGUGGCUAACAUACGCAAAUGAGAGCGAGAAGAGAAGCAGCGCACGGUCGCGAAGCUAGAAGUGACCAACAAGUGAUCCUGAAGCUACUUACGUUCAAGCAUAACACAAGACCAUGUUCUCUUCCCGGACUCCGCCGAAAAGAGACCAUCACGGCUACACACUCGGUUGGUGCAUUUUAAUUAAGUCAUGUGUCAAGUUCUCUACAACCGGACAUUAACAAAUUCUCAUCUGCCACAUAACCGCGGGCACGGCUUUCGAAAGUUUAUACCCUGCAGGGGUGUCCCAACUUAGCCCAUCAUAAGCUCUCACGGUCAACGAAGGAUAUUCCUUCUCCCGUGAAGACCCGAUCAGUCUCGGAAUCUCGGUUACAAGACAUUUCGUCAAGUUAAAACAAGACCAGGAAAGCUGCCCGAACGUGCCGACAAAUCCCGAUAGGAGCUGCACAUAUCUCGUUCCCAGGGCACAUCCGGAUGAGACAUCCUACGAGUAAAACCAAUCCUCAAGUUUCCCCGAGGUGGCCCCGCAGUCUACUCGGUUCGGACCAGCACUCAGAGGAACACUGGCCCGGGGGGGGGGGGGUUAAAUAAAGAUGACCCCCGGGCUCGCGAAAACCCAAGGGAAAGGUAUAGGUGGUAGGCAAAUGUAAAACCAAGGUUGGGCCUUGCUGGAGGAGUUUUAUUCAAGACGAACUGUCGAGGGGGUCCCAUAAAUCACCCAACCGUGUAAGGGACGCAAUAUCAAGGAACAUAACACCGGUAUGACGGAAACUAGGGCGGCAAGAGUGGAACAAAACACCAGGCAUAAGGCCGAGCCUUCCACCCUUUACCAAGUAUAUAGAUGCAUUAAUUAAAUAAGAGGUAAUUGUGAUAUCCCAAAAUAAUAUCUAUGUUCCAACAUGGAACCAACUUCAACUUCACCUGCAACUAGCAACGCUAUAAGAGGGGCUGAGCAAAAGCGGUAACAUAGCCAAACAACGGUUUGCUAGGAAGGGUGACAAAGGUUAGAGGUUCAUGGCAAUUUGGGAGGCAUGAUAAGGCAAGUGGUAGGUAGCGCGGCAUAGCAAUAGAGCGAACAACUAGCAAGCAAAGAUAGAAGUGAUUUCGAGGGUAUGGUCAUCUUGCCUGCAAAGUUCUCAGCGUUGUCGAAAGCUUGAUCCUCGACAGCGUUCUCAACAGGUUCCUCAUUCACGAACUCGCCUCCCGGCUCUACCUAAAGCAAGAACACAAGCAAUGGAACAACAAUCAAAACGGUGCAAUGCUCAAGCAACAUGAUGCAAAACAUGGCAUGAUAUGCGAGAUGUGAUAUGCAAUGCAUAUGCGUGUCCCGGAAGGAAAAAUGAUGAACAAGGCAUCAACUUGGCAAACCAAGUAUGCCGCUGGAAAGAUGAGAUGAUUUCGGUUGAAAUCGAUAUAAAGAUCACCGAAUUCGGAUGCACGGUUUGCAAAUGACAAGCAAAACAAGAAUUGACACAAAUCUGCGAUUAACAGCAUGAUGCCAUCUAGAAUGCAACAUGAAACUAAGCUACUGCACUCCAACAUAACAACAAAGCAUAUGGUAGUGAUGUACGGAAGAUGCUUGACAAAACAUGAACAAUGAGCUACGGCUAAAUCACACCAGAACAUGUUCAAACAAGCAUGGCAAAAGUGCAAAAGAUAUCAGCUUCACAGAUUUAUUGAAAAUACUCACAUCAGGAAUUAACAUCAGGAAGCCAUAUUUAGAGCACGAAAACAACAUGCUACAGGAACAUAUAAUAGCAAAAAAAGGCAUGAAAUGAAUCUACUAAAUUCAUAGAACAAAAGUCCUUUAGGGAUCAUGAGCCAAAAAGGAAAAGAAGAUAUAAUGGCACCCAUGUAAACAUAGCAAGUUUCGUUACAGAUUCAGAAUUAGAGAGCAUGGCAUAAACAGCAUCAUGAAGGUAACUUUGUGAGCUCAAAACACUCAUCACAAAGCCUUGCAUGACAAUACAAGUAUACUACCAGCAAUAUGACAUGUUUAUGUAGAUAAUCAUAGCAAGAGAAAAUUCAUAACAUGCAUGUAUCACUAGCAACAACCAUGGCAAAAUUGAAUAACAUGUAAACAAUCUGCCAGGAACAUUUUAUAGCAAAAGUAGAGCAAGAUUAAGACAUGAUAGAGCACUCUAUAAUUGCAACCAGACGCAUAACUCGAUAGAGCAUAACCAUAUCUACAAAACACUCUUACUGAACUACCUCUAAAUAUGCAUGGAUCUCACUGUAGCAACAAGUUUACAUGGCAUAAAAAUAACAACAGAACAGUCCCUGAAAUCAGCAACAUCAUGUAGCCCACUUUGCAAGCUUGAUGCACUCACUACAGAGCAUAUAAAAAUAAAAGGCUUGCACCACUGUAGAGAUGACAUGGAGAUGAACAAAACACAUGUAGACAUCAUGCUCAUUGGAUGCACACACAAAAUGCAACAAAAAUGACAAAUCACCAAGUUAUGUAAACAGACAGCAGUUAACAUCAUAUAGCACUCUUGCAACGAUGAUUUGGGCAUCAAGAUAUACUCAAACGAGCAUCGCACAAUGGAACAAGAUAAAGAGCAUCUCAUGAUGAACAUUUUGAGAUAUCAUACGCACGAAACAGAGCUACGGAUGCAGAGUUAUGAUGCAAUGAACAGGGGCACAUAAUGCAAAAUUUUCAGGACUUGGGAAAAAAAUCGGGGAAGGGAGAAGUCAACCGCGGGAUCCGAUCGGAUCUGGAUCGGGGCCGGGCUGGUCGGGCUCGGGCUCGCCGGCGCUCAGGACGGCGGGGGCGCGGGAGGUGCGGCCAGCGGCGGGGCGCGGCNNNNNNNNNNNNNNNNNNNNNNNNNNNNNNNNNNNNNNNNNNNNNNNNNNNNNNNNNNNNNNNNNNNNNNNNNNNNNNNNNNNNNNNNNNNNNNNNNNNNNNNNNNNNNNNNNNNNNNNNNNNNNNNNNNNNNNNNNNNNNNNNNNNNNNNNNNNNNNNNNNNNNNNNNNNNNNNNNNNNNNNNNNNNNNNNNNNNNNNNNNNNNNNNNNNNNNNNNNNNNNNNNNNNNNNNNNNNNNNNNNNNNNNNNNNNNNNNNNNNNNNNNNNNNNNNNNNNNNNNNNNNNNNNNNNNNNNNNNNNNNNNNNNNNNNNNNNNNNNNNNNNNNNNNNNNNCCGCCUCGGGCUCUCCGGGCCGGCGACGGUGGGAGGCGGCGGCGGACGCGUCCGUCGCCGGGCGGACGUGUCCGGCGCGCGGAGAGGAACGGGGCUAGGGUUUGAUCUGCGCGAGAAAUUCGGAGGGUGUUGAGGAUAUAGACCUUAGAGUCACCCGCCAGGAGGGGCCGGGUUACUCGUAUGGUCGUUGCCAGAAGCCCGGAGCCAAGCUUGAAGACGAUGGGCCAGAGAUGGGCUAAGACCCGGAUACGGCUUAAGGCCCAUAGUUACAAUCAUUAUUAUGGUAGAACUUGUAGUGUAAGGCAAGUAUAGUUGAGAGUCCGAGCCGGACACUCUUAUGAGCUGGCCGGGACUCUGAGGGCUGCUGGGCGUCAGCCUCCCUAUAUAAAGGGACGACCCGGCAGCGGUUUGAGGGCGACAACAAUCUCAUCGAGAGCCGGGCAUAGCUGUUUAGCUCCCUGGUGAUCGUAACCCUAAUCAAUAUCACCUCAAACUGGACGUAGGCUUUUACCUUCAUCGUAAGGGGCCGAACCAGUACAAAUCCCCGUGUUCCUUGUCCCGCAUAACCCCUUCAAGCUUCCUAGCUGCGAUGGCUCCACGACUAAGUCCUAGCUCGAGGACAUCUGCCGUGACAAUUCCACGACAGUUGGCGCCCACCGUGGGGCCAGCGCACGGUGGAUUUGAGUUCUUGAAGGGCAGCUUCGAAGGGCUCAAGGGAUACGCUGUGGGCCGGAUGACCAAGAGUCGUCGCGGCAAGCUCUACAUCGAAGAUGCAAACUGGGGCCCCGACGCCGGCUCAAUUGAGUACGGGUACCGGGUCCCCUUCGGUGGAAUUCACGUUUUCAUCGGCAAGAUUGGUGAGCCGAGCCCUGAGCUGGGUCUCUGCGCUGAUCUCAUCGAGACGGCUCAGCUUGCGCGACCCGCCCGGGCCCGGCCUGCCUUAAGGCAUGCUUUUGUGGGGUGUAUCCAUGGAGGACUCUCCGAUCGAUCUAGAUCUGGUGAUGAGACGGCCGCCGGCUCUGACGGCGAGUCGGCCACCGAUGAGUCAAACUCGUUGUACCAACUUCAAGAUGGCAGGCUCAUGGGUUGUUCCGAUGGUGACAGUAUUCCGGACCUAUUUGAGCCGCCAAGUCAGGUUGGAGUUUUUAUGGCUGGUGCGCAGCCUGUUCAGAACCCCGCUGCUGGAGCGGGAAACCCGGUGCCUUCUCCGGCUCAGGUGCUAAUGGAUCUCAUGGACAAGAUGACGGCCCUGUUAACCACCAUGAUUGACCCGGCGGAUCAAGCUCGGCACGAUGCGGAGGUGGCACAGUUAAAAUUGGAUCUAGUGAAGGCUAAAGAGGAUCUUGCAGCGGAAGGGAUCAGGCUGGCUGCGGAGAGGGCGGCUCUCGAUGCCCAAACUCAGCUGAUCCAGGCACAAUCCUUCCAACUCAUGAUGGAUCAAAACGCGGCCAAUGAGGUCCUGAGAAGGAGGCAUCAAAAGGCCCAAUCUCGACUCCCUCCGGUUUACGAUCCACACAACCUCUUCAACACGCCAGGUGCAGGGUCUAGUAACCCGCCGGGGGUCAUAGCGCCCGGGUCUGGACCCCUUAUUCAGCCACGAGUGAUGGGGCCUCCCCAGGUGCCCCCUGCCCCGCCUCAGUAUGUGCCAAUACCCCCGGGUCAUUAUAAUAACCCGCUGGAGAACAUGGUCGCUGCGGCAGCACGGCUGGCGGCUCUACCAGUUGACGGCGACUCUCCGACGGCUAUUGAGACCCGCCGGGUCAGGGAACUCCUUCAGACAGCACUGGCGCAGCAAGAGGCAUACUCCUACAGCCGGGACAGGAUCCACUCGACCCCUCGUCCAGGCCAGAGCCCGAGUUACAGCCGGCACAUGGUCUCAGCAACCGGCUCAAGUAACGUCCGACGCCAUGACCCACCCCCUGGCCAUGGCCCGGCUCAUAAUGGAGCCUUUUACGCAGCAGACCAAGCGCGGCAAGAGGCGGAGCAAGUACCUCAGUUGACGGCUUACCAGACCCCCCCGGCUUAUCCGACGACUUCCGUUGAUGUGGGUAUCCCUACCAGGACCGGGGGUGUCCCUUGUUUGGUGCCAGCUAUCCGUAAUGAACGUCUGCCUAAGGACUUCAAGGGCCCUAGGAAGGUGCCUAACUACACAGCUGACUUACAACCCGCAGCCUGGAUCGAGAGUUAUGAGAUGGCUAUGGAACUGCUGGAGGUCAGUGAGGCGGCCAUGGCCAAGUAUUUCACCAUGAUGUUAGAUGGGACUGCCCGCACUUGGUUGAAAGGGCUACCACCGAAUUCCAUUAGGUCUUGGGCUGAGCUGAAAGCCCGGUUCAUCCAAAACUUCAAAGAUACCUGUAGGCAGUCUAUGUCAAUUGUGGAUUUGACUAACUGCAAGCAGCAGGAGGGUGAGUCCACGACACAUUGGGUUCGCCGGGUUAAGGAGAUCAUACACUCGUCAGACAAGAUGGAUGCCGGCUCAGCGGUUUUAAUGCUGGAGCAAAAUUGUCGUUUUGUGCCCCUGAAGAUGAAACUCGGGCGGCUUAAGCGCGACUGCAGUGAUAUGGGUACACUAAUGGCAGCUCUUGUCAAGUACGCCGAUUCUGAUGGUACCAAGGAUCCCCCUUCAGAUGAUGAAAGGACAGGGAAGGGAAAGAAGAACGGCAAUGGCAAGGGUCCUCAGUUUAACCCGGGGAGCCAAGGAGGAGGCAAGCGCAAGGCAGAUGGCAGCCUAGAAUUUGUGGCCAACACCAGCGCACAAGGCAACAACCAGCGACGCAAGGGGAGGCCCCCUCCCCGAGGCAGCGGGUCAGGACCUUCACUGGAGCAGCUGUUGAAUGAGCCUUGUCCGAGGCACGGCUCUAGAGAGAAGCCAGCGACUCAUCUGUGGAAGGAUUGUGCAAUCAUGAAGGCCUUUAAAAACUACAAUGGCCCGGGCGGCGGCUCAGGUGCCGGCGGCUCAGGCGCCGGCGGUUUUCAUGGCCCGGGGGGCGGCUCAAAUUCUGGUCCUCAGAACGGUCAAGGGGGCUUUAAUCAACAGUCUGGCCAGGGUUAUCAACAGCACCAGGGGGGUUAUCAGACCAAUCCAAAGCAGCUCAGCGGUGGACAGUAUCAUGUGUUUACCACUAGUUUGUGCAAGCGGGAUCAGAAGCUUCACAAGAGGGCUGUGAAUGCUGUUGAGCCGGCAGUCCCACGCUACUUACGGUGGUCUGAGCAGCCUAUAGUGUGGAGUAGGGAGGAUCACCCUCCCCGGGUGGAUAACCCAGGCCACUUGGCCUUAGUGGUGGCUCCUCAAGUGGGAGGAUAUAAGUUCACAAAGGUGCUCAUGGAUGGAGGCAGCAGCAUCAACAUCCUCUAUUAUGAGACUUUUCGCCGUAUGGGGUUGGUGGAUAAGAACCUCAGCCAGUCAAACACUAUCUUCCAUGGUGUGGUACCUGGUAAGUCGGCUUAUCCAGUCGGCAAGAUCGAAUUGGAAGUGGCUUUUGGUGAUGAGAACAACUACAGGAUGGAGAAAUUGACCUUUGAGGUGGUCAAGAUAAGAAGUCCAUACCAUGCUAUAUUUGGACGGCCGGCUUACGCCAAGUUCAUGGCACGGCCAUGUUAUGUGUACUUACAGCUCAAGAUGCCGGGUCACAAUGGGACCAUUACGGUUCACGGCAGCCGGAAGGUGGCUCUGGAGUUUGAGGAAGGCGAUGCGGCUUAUGCAGAGUCUGUUUGUGCUACAGAAGAGUUGAAGUUUUAUAAGGACAAUGUUGACCCAACAGAUAUGAACUCUCUGAAAAAGCCGACCACGGAGAAUGAGCCGGCGAUGAAAUUUAAGUCGGCUGAUGAAACUAAGCUUGUUGAUUUUGUUCCAGGAGAUUCAUCUCAGCAGUUUAGCAUCAGUGCCAAUCUGGAUCCAAAAUAGGAAAGCACGCUCAUCGAGUUCAUCCGUGAGAAUAGGGACAUCUUCGCAUGGAAACCUUCUGACAUGCCAGGUGUACCUAGAGAACUCGCUGAGCAUACUCUCAAUGUUGAUCCGAAAUUUAAGCCGGUCAGACAGUUCCUUCGGCGGUUUAAUGAAGAGAGGCGGAAAGCUAUUGGUGAAGAGGUGGCCCGGCUCUUGGCGGCCGGGUUUAUUGUUGAAGUCUUUCACCCAGAGUGGUUGGCUAACCCGGUGCUCGUACUCAAGAAGAACGGCACCUGGCGGAUGUGUGUGGACUACACGGACUUGAACAAGGCGUGUCCGGCUGAUCCUUUUGCCCUCCCCCGUAUUGAUCAAAUUAUUGAUGCUACGGCAGGUUGUGCACGUUUAAGUUUCUUGGAUGCUUAUUCCGGUUAUCAUCAGAUUAAGAUGGCAGUUAAGGACCAGGAGAAGACGGCGUUCAUCACUCCCUUUGGAGCCUUCUGCUAUGUGUCUAUGCCCUUCGGACUCAAGUGUGCACAGGCGACUUACCAGCAUUGUGUACAGAACUGUCUUCAUAAACAGAUUGGGCGUAAUGUUCACGCUUACGUGGACGAUAUUGUGGUUAAAUCCAUAAAAGAGGAGACCCUGAUAGAUGAUUUAAGAGAAACCUUUGAUAAUCUCCGGGUCUAUAAGAUGAUGCUUAACCCGACCAAGUGUGUUUUUGGUGUUCCUGCAGGCAAACUCUUGGGCUUCUUGGUUUCUGACAGAGGCAUUGAGGCUAACCCGGAGAAGAUCAAGGCCAUCACCUCCCUGGCUAAGCCGGCAUGUAUAAAUGACGUUCAGCGCCUGGCGGGUCGCAUCGCUGCUUUAAGCCGGUUUAUAAGCCGUUUGGGUGAGAAGGCCAUGCCCCUAUAUCAGUUGAUGAAGAAAACUGAUAACUUCGUCUGGAAUGAUGCAGCUAAUACUGCUUUUUAGGAUUUGAAGAAGCAGCUGGCAGAGCCCCCAGUCCUCGCUGCUCCGGUUGACAAGGAGCCCUUACUACUGUACGUGGCGGCAAACGCACGAGCCGUCAGUGUGGCUAUUGUGGUGGAGCGCAAGGAGGAGGGUAAGGAGCAUCCGGUUGAGCGGCCGGUUUAUUAUGUCAGCGAAGUACUCAUUGAGUCCAAGCAGCGGUACCCGCAUUGGCAGAAGCUGGUGUAUGGUGUGUUCAUGGCGAGCCGGAAACUUAAGCAUUAUUUCCAGGGUCAUCCCAUCACUGUGGUCAGUUCUGCCCCUCUUGGUGAUAUCAUUCAAAACAGAGAGGCCACAGGGAGAAUUGCUAAGUGGGCUAUAGAACUUGGACCUCAUGGUCUCAAAUAUGUGCCACGCACUACUGUUAAGUCUCAGACCUUGGUGGAUUUCAUCAAUGAUUGGACAGAGUCACAAGUGCCCGAGCAAAAGCCGGAUAACACAUAUUGGACUAUUCACUUCGAUGGGUCCAGGCAGUUGGAGGGCUCGGGGGCUGGCAUUGUAUUCGCUUCCCCUAAGGGUGACAAGUUCCAUUAUGUGCUACAGUUGAUGUUUCCUUGCACUAACAAUGCGGCUGAGUACGAGGCCUUGCUCCACGGUCUUCGGAUGGCUAAGGAUAUGAGCUUAAGCCGGGUAAGGUGCUUUGGUGACUCAGACUUGGUGGCUCAACAAGUAUCAGGCAAGUGGGAUUCUAAGGAUCCUCUCAUGGCGGCUUAUCGCCGCGAGGUUGAUGCCAUUGCUGGGCACUUUCAGGGCUACCAAGUGGAGCACAUUGAUCGCAGGAAGAACGAAGCGGCUGAUGCCCUAAGCCGGCUAGGCUCUCAGCGAAAGCCGGUGCCGCCUAACACUUUCCUGGACGUCCUGUAUAACCCUUCGGUUCAGUUGCCUACAGAGGAAGACUUGGCUGUCCCUGACCCGGAGGCACGAUUGGUAGCGGCUCUUCAUGUCAUACCAGACUGGACAAUGCCAUAUCUGGCUUAUAUAACCCGGGGAGAAUUGCCUGAGGAUGAAACUCUGGCCAGGCAAAUAACCCGGCGGGCUAAGUCAAUGAUCGUUAUCGAUGGCAAGUUGCAUCAUCGCAGUGUUACAGGAGCAUUUCAGCGUUGUGUCUCCCCUGAGGAGGUCAAGAGAUCUUGCGUGAGAUCCAUGAAGGGGAUUGUGGCCAUCAUGCCGGCUCAAAGUCCCUUGUGGCCAAGGCUUUCCGUCAUGGUUUUUAUUGGCUGACGGCUCAUGCUGAUGCAGAGGACUUGGUCAGCAAAUGUGAUGGUUGCCAGAGGUUUUCACGACGGGCUCAUGUGCCGGCUCAGGAGCUGAGGAUGAUCCCAAUCACUUGGCCCUUUGCGGUCUGGGGGCUUGAUAUGGUGGGGCCUUUUAAACGGUCCAAGGAUAAGAAGACCCACCUCUUGGUGGCAGUUGACAAAUUCACAAAGUGGGUAGAAGCUGAGCCAGUUAGCAAGUGCGAUGCAGCCACAGCGGUUCAAUUUAUGAAAAAGGUGAUUUUCCGCUUUGGUUUUCCGCACAACAUUAUAACUGACAAUGGCACCAAUCUUUCCAAGGGCGCCAUGGAAGAGUUUUGUCAACGAGAGCAUAUCCGACUUGAUGUUUCUUCAGUGGCUCAUCCUCAAUCCAAUGGUCAAGCUGAGAGAGCUAAUCAGGAGAUUCUGAAGGGCAUCAAGCCCCGGCUUUUGGUCCCUUUGCAACGGACGCCGGGUUGUUGGGUGGAGGAAUUGCCCUCCGUCUUAUGGAGUAUCAACACUACUCCUAACAGGUCUACAGGCUUCACGCCUUUCUUCAUGGUUUAUGGAGCAGAAGCAGUCCUCCCCAGCGACAUCCGUCACGACUCACCUCGCGUGGCGGCUUAUGUUGAGACGGAUAAUGAACAGGCGCGCCAAGAUGCUCUUGACUUGUUGGAUGAGCAGCGUGAUGUGGCAGCAACCCGGUCAGCGAUUUACCAACAAGACCUGCGCCGUUAUCAUAGCCGCCGGGUCAAAUCCCGGGUCUUCCAGGAAGGCGACCUUGUGCUCCGGCUCAUCCAGGAUCAAACAGAUGCACACAAGUUAUCCCCACCUUGGGAAGGGCCCUUUGUGGUCAGCAAGAACUUGCACACCGGGUCAUAUUACCUCAUUGACAUUCGGGAGCACAAAGAUUCACGCAAGUCUGAGGAAGAGACCCGUCGGCCGUGGAACAUAGCUCAGCUUCGGCCUUACUACACUUGAGCCACCGGCUCUCGUGGUGUACAUAUUUCUCUCAGCCAUGUAUAUAUUAUGAUAAGCAAUAAAGCAGGACCUCUGUCCUUUUUUCUCCUCCAAAUAUGCAUGUGUUGUUUACAUAAUGACUUAAAGGAGGAUCCGGCUUAUGAUCGUAUUCGAAUCUAGCCGUAAGCGGUAAAGUCACUUGGGGGCUUCCUGUUCAAACAUGGGUCGUAUUCGAACCAAAGAGAACAUAGCUGUCGAUACCCAUUUGAUUGGCAAAGUGCCGAGCUCAUUGGAAGGUUACCUUUGGUCAUAUUUGAAUCAUAGUUUAACCCCUCUGAGAACCGACGUGGAUCGUAUUCGAAUCAGCGUCGUUAAACAAUUUUGAAAAUCACUUGGGGGCUUCCUGUUCAAACAUGGGUCGUAUUCGAACCAAAGAGAACAUAGCUGUCGGUACCCUCUUGAUUGGCAUCGCCACACCCACUGGGGGCUAUAUGAUCGUGUCUGAAUCUUGGCUUAACCCCUUUGGGCCGGGUCUCUGGUCGUAUUCGAACCGGAAGCCCCUAAGUUCUUCUGCUUUAUCACAAGUUUACUCUGAUUAUGACAAGGUGUGCAUGGCCGGGUCUCACUUUGCCGGCUUAAUUUUGGUUUACAGUGUUAGUUGAACAUCAUGGGUGUCAUCAAGGCAGGUAAAUCGGAGUUAAGGUACCAACCGUGCUACCCGAGUUAUUUAAACCGGAAGUAUGCUUACAGGCCGUUAAGUGUGUUAUUACGGCUAUGUUAAGGGUAUAAUUAAGGACCAGUCUUUUUUGAUUCAUAUUCCGGGUUAUCUAUCUCAAACACCUGAUUCUCAGGGCGGUAAGCCGCCUCGAGACUUGUGAUUUGCCUUUCUAUGCAGGAUACUUAAAGGUACCUCUUUGAGGUUGAGAAAAACGAAGGGAUGAUUAUGACCCGGAGAAACAUCAAAGAGACAAUUUCAAAGGACUUUCGCAUUCAAUACGUGCACGAUGGCACGGCAGAGAUGAACUGUUGCACCUACUCUAUUACAAAAACUCUUCAAGUCUAAAAGGUGGAACAUUGUUUGAUAAACCGCCAGCCAAAUUAUGAUGCCCGCUGGGUUGAAGUCCCCGGCUCAUUCCUAUCUUCUCCUCCGGCUGAUCCCAAGACCUCGAAGGUUGAUGACUUCCAGUCAAUGCCGCUGAGAGCUUCGAAUUGGGCUUCUUCGUCAAUUAACCCGGCCGGGUCAAUCUCCGGGGCGAAGGUGUGCUGACGAGCCGGCGGGAUCAGGUUGAGGGCUUCAUAGCGAGGGGUUGGAAUCCUCUGAUUCUCCGCGUCAUAACCCGGCUGGUACUUGGUCAGGUCUGUGUCGUUCCCGAUGAGGGUGGCCACCGGGCGUACAGCCUUCACACACGCCGCGAAGUCCUUCUGAUCGAAAGCUGAGCCGUCUUCCUUCAGGCUUGGAUAGCCAAGGGCGAUGUCCGUCGGGUCUAACUCCGGCAGGAAUGCCUUGGCCCGGCUCAGCGCGGCGAUCGCUCCGGCUCUCGCGGAGGCCCGUCGCAGCUCUUGGAUCCGCUGAGGCAGAACGGCGAGCCGGCGCAGGACUUCGGCCAGAUGAGUUGGCACCUCGUUGGAUAGGGCCACCACAGCUAAGGCACGCUGUGACCCGGUGUAGAGCUGCUCCACCAGGGUAUACACGGCCUUUAGCUUGGUGACCACGCUCUGGUUAAGGUUGGUACUUCUGGGGCCUGUUUAACAGAAUCAGGUAAAUCGGCGGUAAGGAUGAGUCACGACAUUUAAACAUUCUAAACAUUGGUGAAAGCCGGUGAGGCGACUUACCGAAGAUGGCAGCCACCAUUUGGGAAACCUGGCGCUUUAGGCCGGAGAGCUCGGCGGUCUUCUCAGAGAGAGCCUUCUCCGCCUGUUCCGCCCGGGUCACCAGGGCGGCCUUUUCUUCGACCCAGGCUUUUCUCUCAGCAUCAAACUCGGUCUUCAAUUUUUCUUGAGUGGCGAUGCUGGAUACAAACUUGGCGUUUGCCUUCCGGGUCUCCAUCUCCUGCAUCUUCAGCCGGCUCUUGAGAUCCGCAAGGUCCGCCUCUAGCUUCUUGCCCACAGCCUGUAUAAAUUUCCGGGUUAUGACAUGAGCAGUUACUAUAUAAGUCCCAAGCGCUUUCCAAGCAAAGACACUUGGCACUUGGGGGCUAAUGCAUAUUGAACGUAUCUAUCUACAUACUGCCGGCUCAAUUGAGUAAGCCGGAACCUAAGUCUACAACAUAUUCAAUCAUAAGUCGUCGACUUGGGGGCUAGCAUGGCAAAGGUAACUAUGCAGUAAGUAAGAAGACAGCAGAAGGAUACCUCAGAUUUUUGUUGGAUCUGGUUUACCAUGGCGACCUCCGCGUCCCGGCUCUUGUGCACCUGGCUGAUGUAGCCAGAGACGAGCUCCCCAAUGCUCAAGUUGGUGUAGUCGGAGAGGUCCAGGUUCACCCGGUGGGGCUGCAGCAGCUCCCCCUUCGCGGAGCAUUUGGCCAGCACGGUCGGUCUCCCCGGCUCAACGAACUCCGUCCAGGUGAUUACCACGUCCGGGUCGUCUGCUGGUGGAGCUGAGCCGGAGGCCUCCGGGUUAACCGAAGUUUCGGUCGUUGCCUUGGUAGUUGGGGCAGUGGCUUCAGGUGCCGUGUCCAUCGGAGUGGUGGCUUCAGGGGCGGAGGCAGCUGGCGGCUCUUGAGCCGUCACCUCCGGUUCAGGUACGUCCGGCACUCCGGCUGACCUGGUCUUCUUCGCUCUUUUGGUGAGCUUUGCCUGGGCGCUGGAAGGACAGAAACAUUCAGCACAAAGAGGGUAAGUAUAGACAAGUAUAAUGUGAGAUGGUUGUCAUUACCCGGGCGCGGUCUUGAAAGUCGGAAGACUCGACUGCAUAGAGUCGCCCGAAGAAGGGGAGGUCUCCUGAUAAUUGGAGUCAGAAGAAUUGAGUGGCUGACGGAUAACACCCGCCAACGGAUGAAAAGGGUACAGGUGAGAAAAAACCUCAGUUCGACGCUUCCUUGUUGCGUCGGGUAACCCGACGGAAAGAUCGGUGUCCUUGUUGGUCCGGGUGUGACGCCGGCUUUCAUGAACCUGUCGCUUCAAAAUAAAUUGAGGGUCUUGGUGAGCUAAAGGAUGUGAAAAGCUUACUUUCCGGGUUACCCUUCGGACUUUCAGCUGUGGCAAGGGCUCCGAGUCGGAGGAAAGUGACAUUACCUCUUCAACCACCGGGUAACUGGCGCCGGUGUCAUCCUGUCAAUAAGCAAGUGGUGAUAAGGAAAACAGCAACAAAUAACAAGUACAACAAGAAUUUAAAGGCUUGGGGGUUACCUCUGACUCGGAGCUGUCGCUUAAUUGCAUCAGCUCCGAAGUAGUAGGCCUGCUUCCCUUUUUGCGAGGGGCGGCUUUCUUGGCGGCUUUCUUUGCCUUCCUGGCUUUCUUGGCCGCCUCAUGGUCAUAUUUGACCCGCCAGAACUUAUCAUCAGCCUGAAAAAAUACAAUGAGGCAAUCUCAAAAUGGUUCAGAUGCAGGUUAUAUGCAGAAGGAGAUAAAACAUUAAAGUCAGCGGCUUACCGCUGGGGCUGGAUUGGUCUUGCAGAAGGGGGCUAACCCGGUCCUUCCGCAGUCUGCCAGGCUCUCGUUUAAAAGAGCCUUGGUCUCCUCCUCUGCAACGUCUUCUGGAAGAUCAUUGCGACUGUGCCUCUGAGGGUCAUCCUUUCGCCCGGUGUACUCACACAUUAAGCCGGGGCGGCGGCUCAAUGGGAUCACAUGCCAUGAGAUCCAGACCCGGACCAGGUCGAUUCCGUUCAGACCGUUGCCCAGGAGGGCCUUGAUUUUAUUGAUAGUAGGCAGAAGAGGCUGGCGCUCCGCUGGAGUCAGCUUGUCCGACAGUGGGUGAGUCGGCUCUAGACGUGUUGGGCGAAAGCCGGGCAGUGGGUUUUCGUCAGCCGGGGACGUAUCUUGGCAGUAGAACCAAGUCAUGUUCCAGUCCUUGGGGUGGCUCGGCGGCUCUGCAUAAGGGAGCAGACAGUCCCUACGCCGCUGGAUGGAAAUGCCACCUAACUCCAGACUUGGCCCGUUGGCACACUCGUUCUGGCGGUUUAAGUAAAACAGCUCUCUGAAGAGCAGCAGACUAGGCUCUUCUCCAAGGUACACUUCGCAAAAGACUUGGAAAUUGCAGAUGUUGGAUACAGAGUUGGGUCCUAUAUCUUGAGGCCGCAAGUCGAAGAAGUUGAGCACGUCCCUAAAAAACUUUGAGCCGGGCGGUGCGAAGCCCCGGCUCAUAUGAUCUGCGAAGAUCACUACCUCCCCGUCCCUUGGCUGUGGUCUUUCUUCUGACGGGUCAGGGGCACGGUAGGACAUGACUUCUUUCUUAGGGAGAUAUCCGGACUUAACAAAAUUGGCUAGGGUCUCGUUGGUGAUGUUGGACCUCAUCCAGUUGCAAGUGAUGGGAGCCUUGGGAGGCAUGGUGAAAGUUGGCAGUCUAUGACAAAAAGGAAAAUGUCCGGGUUAAUUAUAAGCCGGAGAUCUACAGUUCAAACUAAGAUGGCGGCUUAUGAAGGGGACUAAUGAUAUAUACUCAGGUACAGUGGGUUAUUUAAGCCGCAGGGGCAUUUAGAAUAAGUUGGUUAUCUACGGCUUUACCACAGUUAAGCCGGAGGAUUCUACAAAGCAUGGUUCUCUUUAAACCGGAAAGUUUUACGGCGCGUGUUUUCUUUAAACCGGAAUUGUAAGCCGCCAAGACUCAAUGGUUGCAGUUUUUACUAAGUGUGGUAAAACAGGUUUCACAUAUGGCAGUAACUUUUUUGGAUCAAAAUGGUCGGGUGAAAUGAAAAUUUUCUAGACCUAGAAACAGCCGAGCGGAUGUUCUUGAGCUCGAAUGAAGUUUUUAUGCAGUAGAAAGAGAUCUACAGGCAUUUGAAAUGAGUCCUAAACAACUACCGCACUAGUUCUAUACAAGGCUAAAGAUCAAACAAGGGCAGCAACUACGAGAACUACUGAAGUUUGCGGACAAUGGCGAAGAACACGGACGAACUAUUUGAACCCUACCGCAGAUCUGUUCUAGCAGGGCAGAAGAGACUUACCGGAGCUGAAGAAGUGCGGGAGUCGCCGCCGUUUAUCUGGUCCGAGUCAGGGUGAUGCAGCGGCCAAGUUGACGAAGACCAGGGGCGCGACGGCGGCGGCAGUAGUAGAGCUCGGGCAGAGGAGCGAUGGCACGAGGAAGAAGAAGAGAGCGUGAGAAGAGCCCGUCGGGCCGGCCUAUUUAUAAGGCAAGGUCAUAAGUGGGCGCGAGAUUCAAGGAGACCACGGCGUGGUUAUCUCCCUCCCACGACGCCUCGAUUUUCGGAAUGACAGUAAAAGCAAAGAUCCGUUGCGGAUCUGGCGGAGUAAAAAACAGACUUAAUGGAGGAUGACGUCAUGGCGGAUUAUCCGGAGUCCGGAGGGUGACGUCACUCCGGGUUAUGGCCUUCACAUGAAUUGUAAGCCGGAGAUUUUUUCUGUCAGAAGAGUUGAAGAUUGACAUGAGCCGGCUCAAAUCAAUCUGGGGCCUAAUGUUGAGGAUAUAGACCUUAGAGUCACCCGCCAGGAGGGGCCGGGUUACUCGUAUGGUCAUUGCCAGAAGCCCGGAGCCAAGCUUGAAGACGAUGGGCCAGAGAUGGGCUAAGACCCGGAUACGGCUUAAGGCCCAUAGUUACAAUCAUUAUUAUGGUAGAACUUGUAGUGUAAGGAAAGUAUAGUUGAGAGUCCGAGCCGGACACUCUUAUGAGCCGGCCGGGACUCUGAGGGCUGCUGGGCGUCAGCCUCCCUAUAUAAAGGGACGACCCGGCAGCGGUUUGAGGGCGACAACAAUCUCAUCGAGAGCCGGGCAUAGCUGUUUAGCUCCCUGGUGAUCGUAACCCUAAUCAAUAUCACCUCAAACUGGACGUAGGCUUUUACCUUCACCGUAAGGGGCCGAACCAGUAUAAACCCCUGUGUUCCUUGUCCCGCAUAACCCCUUCAAGCUUCCUAGCUGCGAUGGCUCCACGACUAAGUCCUAGCUCGAGGACAUCUGCCGUGGCAAUUCCACGACAGAGGGAGACACAUAUUUAUAGCUAGGAGGAGCUAGGAGACUCCAAAUGAGGUGCGGUUUUCACCCACACGAUCGUGAUCGAACGAACAAGAGCAUGGAGCUGGUUUGGAUGGGUUAUUGGGCUGUUUUGGAGGGGGUUUGGGCUGCACACAAAAAAGGCCUUUGCGGUUACACGGUUAACCGUUGGAGUAUCAAACGACCUCCAAAUGGGACGAAACUUGACAGGCGGUCUACCGGUGCUGUACCAAGGCCGCAUGGCAAAUCUCGGUCCAUUCCGAGAACGUUUAACACACGCACAUGGAAAAGAGACAAAAGAGGACGCCGGAGGACAUGGGAGUGCCGGAUUGCAAUACGGACAAUGGGAAAAAUGCUCGGAUGCAUGAGACGAACACGUAUGCAAAUGCGAUGCACAUGAUGACAUGAUAUGAUAUGCAUGACAAGAACAAAAUGCAAAAAGAAGACAAAAACCCAACCACAAAGGGAAUAUCAUAACACAUAGCCGAAAAUGGCAAGAGUUGGAGUUACAAAUAGGGGAAGUUACAUCCGGGGUGUUACAAUAUAAGAGAAGUUCAUAGGCAUUGGAUCGGUGAAUUCGUUGGAUGAUACUCAUCAUAUAACAGUUAUAACCUAUGGCGAUGCGGCACUAGCUCCAGUUCAUAAAUAUAAUGUAGGCAUGUAUUCCGUCGAUUGUCAUACUAGAAAGAACUUGCAUGUCAUCUUUUGUCCUACCCUCCCAUGGCAGCGGGGUCCAGAUGGAAAGCAUUAGCACAUAGUGAAUACAUGAACUCCUCAAACUACGGUCAUCACCGGAAAGUAUGCCGACUACUGUCACUUUGGGGUUUACGGAUCAUAACAUGUAAUAGCUAACUAUAACUUGCAAGAUCGGAUUUAGAACAUAGAUAUAAUGAUGAUAACAUAACCGGUUCAAAUCUGCAAUCAUGGAACCCGGGCCCAAAGUGACAAGCAUUAAGCAUGGCAAAUUCAUAGCAACAUCAAAUUCAGAACAUAAUGGAUACUAGGGAUCAAGCCCUAACAAAACUAAAUCGGUUACAUGAUGAAUCUCAUCCAAAUCCUCACCGGCCAGCGAGCCUACGAAGGAAUUACUCACUCCCGGUGGGGAGCAUCAUGGAAUUGGCUAUGGAGAAGGGUUGGUGAUGACAAAGAUCGAAGAUCCCCCUCUCCGGAGCCCCAAACGGACUCUAGAUCUGGCCUCCCGAUGAAGAACAGGAGGUGGCGGCGGCACCGUCUCAUGAAACGCGAUAAUUCUUUCUUCCUAAUUUUUUCUCCGAAAAUAGGAUUUUAUAGAGUUGGAAUCAGGGUCUGCGGGGCCACCAAGUGAGCGCAACCCAUCUGGGCACGCCAGGAGGGGGGCGCCCUGGUGGGUUGUGCUCACCCAGGGCCCUCCCCCCUCCGGUGGUUCUUGGCUCCAAUAUUUUUCUUUUAUUCCAUAAAAAAUCUCCAAAAUUUUUUGUGCCAUUCCGAGAACUUUUAUUUCAGUGCAAAAACAACACCAUAUGGUAGUUCUGCUGAAAACAAUGUCAGUCCGGGCCAGUUUCAUUCAAAUCAUGCAAAUUAGAGUCCAAAACAAGGUGUUAGGAAAAGUAGAUACGACGGAGACGUAUCAACUCCCCCAAGCUUAAACCUUUGCUUGUCCUCAAGCAAUUCAGUUGAUAAACUGAAAGUGAAAAAGAAAAACUUUUACGAACUCUUUUGCUCUUGUUUACAUAAAUAAGCUUAAGUAGCACCCAGGUUUUCAGCAAAGAUCAUGACUAACCAUGUCAACAAUAACUCUUAAAAAUCAUAUUAACUCAUAUCAAUGACAUAAUCAACUAGCGAGCAAUAAUAAGAUACCUCAAAUGACAACACUUUGUCAAAACAACCAUGAUAUAAUAUGACAAUAGUGGUAUCUCGCUAGCCCUUUCUGAGACCACAAAACAUAAAUGGAGAGCACCUCCAAAGUUCAAGCAACGACUAAACAUUGUAAGUCAUGGUAGAAAAGAUCCAGUCAUGAUGCACCCAACAUUAUCUAUACACGAUGCAUGAGGAUGAAAAUAGUGCUCUCAGGUCUGGCGCUUAUUUGAGAAGGUGAUGACACAACAUAAAAGUAAAUAGAUAGUCCCUUCACAGAGGAAGUAGUGAUUUGCAGCGGUGCUAGAGCUCAAAAUUUUAAAACAGAGAUAAAUGAAAUUUUGAGAAAUGCACCCUUCUUGUUUACUUUGCGACCAUUAGUUAUCAGUAUCUUCCAUGCUAAACACAUUAGUGGCAGUUCCCAAGCGAUAAAAAGUAAAGGUUUACUCCCCCUCCACCAACAAGCACACUCCACGGCUGAUCUGAAUCCACUGGUACCUUCCAUACCAACAUCAGUCCUAGGGGAGUUUUGUUUAAUUAUUUGCAAUUUGAUUUCAGGACUGGGAAUCCCUAUUACCGCCCCUCUUAUGGAAGGACGAGUGAAUAAACACUCAUCAUGAGAAUAACCCGCUUAGCAUGGAAGAUAUUGACUACCUACUGUCACUCUAUGAACAAUCCAGGCAGACAAAAAGGAUGUUUAUUUGAAGUUUUUAGAGGUGGCACAUGCAAAUUUACUUGGAAUGAAAGGGUAAUACCGCAUAUAGGUAGAUAUAUGGUGGACUCGUCUGGAAUAAUUUGGGUUUCAGGAUUUUGAUGCACAAGCAGUAUUCCCGCUUAAUACAGGUGAAGGCUAGCAAAUAGAUUGAUAAGUGGCCAGCUAGAGAGCGAAAACGGUCAUGAACAUGCAUUAUGCAUAAGUAGCAUUGGAUACUAGCAUGAGUAGGAUAUGAACACCAUGAACAUAAAUAUCAUAGAGGCUAUGUUGGUUUUGAUUCAACUACAUGCAUAAACAUGUGCCAAGUCAAGCCACUCGAACAUUCGGAGGAGGAUACCGUAUCAUCAUACUACAUCAAAAUCAUUUUAAUGCAAUGUUGACAUCCAAGAUAAAUCAUUAUCCACUCCUAGCUACUUAAGCAUGGCAUGAGAAACUAUAAUAUCUAAUUGUCAUUGCAAACAUGUUUGAUCAUAAUUGGCUGAAUCAUGUAUGCUAGGUUAAACAUAUUUACAAAAAUAGAGCAAGUUGAGUUCAUACCCGUUUCUCUCUGCCACCGCCAGUUCAUCAAAUAUCGUCAUUAUUGCCUUUCACUUGCAUGACCGAAUGAUAUGAAAAUAAUAAUAGUGCAAGAAUGCCGUGGACUAAGUUGGAAUCUGCAAACAAUUUUAUUCAAAAGGAGAAAACAAGGUAAUAUGGGCUCUUCGUUAGAUCAACAAUAAUGUGUAUGAGAGCCACUCAACAUUUUCAUCGUGGUCUUCUCCUCGGUAUGACUCAAUAAAAAGAAAAAGAAAUUCAGAGAAACACACCGAAAUAUUUAUGGAGUUUCUUUAGUUUUCUUGAAGGAAGCAAAUUAACGAAAGAAAAACAAAAAAAUGAGAAAAACUAUUUGCACGGGGGAGCUCCCAACAAGCAAAAGAAGAAUCAAGAAAUCUUUUUGGGUUUUCUUUUACGACAAAGGUAAAAUCCCGCCGAUUGGCAGUUUGCAACAGAUCCGCACGAUCGCGUUGCCGUCCGAUUUGAAUCCAACGUCACAAGUUGACUGUUCUGCACGAAGCGCACGUGGCGAUAGCCGUUACAGUGUUUGGCUGUCGAUGACAAGCGGGCCCUGCCGAAACCGCCCCUCUGGCCCAAUGCCCAUGAUCUCCACUCCCCCCACUUCCCCUUCAUCCACAUUACUUCUUCCCCCCUCUCGCGCUAUGGUGUGCAUUCGAAUCUCCUCUCGCUCCUCUCUCCCUCGUCUGUGACGGUUGCUGGUGGUGGCGCGGUCCGGUUCGCGGCGGACGAUGUCUGAAUUUGCAGUGAGGGACGCAUUCCUGUUUUGCUCCUGUUUUGCUCCACCGGUAUGUUUCUGCCAUUCCGCCGUUGACUUUUGGUGCUCGGAGCCUUCGAAUCAGGCCGGUUGUUGUUCCCAUUAGGUUGGAUUAGGUUAGUUUAGGCCGGCUUCUAGUUUCUGAAUCGGUGGUGAGAAACGCAUUCCCCACCCCCUCUGUCUUCCUGUUGCUCCACCGGCAUGUUCCGACGUUGAUUUUUGGUGCUCGGACCCUUCGAAUCCGGCCGGUUGUUAUUCCCAUUAGGUUAGAUUAGGUCGCUUCUAGUUUCAGUUGAAGAUGGCUAGGAAAUUUGGUUCAAUUUGUGCGAAAUUGGUCGGCUGGUGGGUGUGGAUAGGUUUUAGUGGUGGAUAAGCAUGGUCGGUUCUGUUGGGGAACGCAGUAAUUUCAAAAAAUUACCUACGCACACGCAAGAUCCAUCUAGGUGAUGCAUGAUACGUCUCCAACGUAUCUAUAAUUUUUGAUUGCUCCAUGCUAUAUUAUGUACUGUUUUGGACUAUAUUGGGCUUUAUUUUCCACUUUUAUAUUACUUUUGGGACUAACCUAUUAACCGGAGGCCCAGCCCAGAAUUGCUGUUUUUUGCCUAUUUCAGUGUUUCGAAGAAACAAAAUAUCAAACGGAGUCCAAAUGGAAUGAAACCUUCGGGAACGCGAUUUUCUCACCGAAUAUGAUCCAGGAGACUUGGACCCCACGUCAAGAAACAAGGGAGGCGGCCACGAGGGUGGAGGGCGCCCCACCUAGGGCGCGCCCCCUGCCUCAUGGGCCCCCUGUUGCUCCACCGACAUACUCCUUCCUCCUAUAUAUAUCUACGUACCCCCAAACGAUCAGGGACGGAGCCAAAAACCUAAUUCCACCGCCGCAACCUUCUGUACCCACGAGAUCCCAUCUUGGGGCCUGUUCCGGAGCUCCGCCGGAAGGGGAAUCCACCAUGGAGGGCUUCUACAUCAUCACCAUAGCCUCUCCGAUGAAGUGUGAGUAGUUUACUUCAGACCUUCGGGUCCAUAGUUAGUAGCUAGAUGGCUUCUUCUCUCUUUUUGGAUCUCAAUACAAUGUUCUCCCCCUCUCUCGUGGAGAUCUAUUCGAUGUAAUCUUCUUUUUGCGGUGUGUUUGUUGAGACCGAUGAAUUGUGGGUUUAUGAUCAAGAUUAUCUAUGAACAAUAUUUGAAUCUUCUCUGAAUUCUUUUAUGUAUGAUUGGUUAUCUUUGCAAGUCUCUUGGAAUUAUCAGUUUGGUUUGGCCUACUAGAUUGGUUUUUCUUGCAAUGGGAGAAGUGCUUAGCUUUGGGUUCAAUCUUGCGGUGUCCUUUCCCAAUGACAGAAGGGGCAGCAAGGCACGUAUUGUAUUGUUGCCAUCGAGGAUAACAAGAUGUUUUUUUAUCAUAUUGCAUGAAUUUAUCCCUCUACAUCAUGUCAUCUUGCUUAAGGCGUUACUCUGUUUUCUUGAACUUAAUACUCUAGAUGCAUGCUGGAUAGCGGUCGAUGAGUGGAGUAAUAGUAGUAGAUGCAGGCAGGAGUCGGUCUACUUGUCUCGGACGUGAUGCCUAUAUACAUGAUCAUACCAAGAUAUUCUCAUAACUAUGCUCAGUUCUGUCAAUUGCUCAACAGUAAUUCGUUCACCCACCGUAAAAUACUUAUGCUUUUGAGAGAAGCCACUAGUGAAAUCUAUGGCCCCCGGGUCUAUUCUCCAUCAUAAUAAUCUUCCAUCACUUUAUUAUUGCUUUGCUUUUUUACUUUGCUUUUCAUUUUACUUUGCAUCUUUAUACCAAAAAUACCAAAAAUAUUAUCUAUCAUAUCUAUCAGAUCUCACUCUCGUAAGUGACCGUGAAGGGAUUGACAACCCCUAUUCGCGUUGGUUGCGAGGAGCUAUUUGUUUUGUGUAGGUACAAGGGACUCGCGCGUAGCCUCCUACUGGAUUGAUACCUUGGUUCUCAAAAACUGAGGGAAAUACUUACUCUACUCUGCUGCAUCAUCCUUUCCUCUUCGGGGAAAUCCAACACUGUGCUCAAGAGGUAGCAAGAAGAAUUUCUGGCACCGUUGCCGGGGAGUCUACGCAAAAGUCAACACACCAAGUACCCAUCACAAUCCCUUUUCUCUCGCAUUACAUUAUUUGCCAUUUGCCUCUCGUUUUCCUCUCCCCCACUUCACCCAUGCCGUUUUAUUCACCCCCUCUUUUCUAUUUGCCUUUUUCUCGCUUGCCUUUCUUUUGCUCGUGUGUUGGAUUGCUUGUUUGUCGCAAUGGCUCUACCGAGAUUUGGUGAUCUUCACCUUAAAAGGUUAGAAGAGAUAGAAAUCAACGUCAGGAGUUUUAUGGUUUUACAAUUUGAGCACAAUAAUUUCUUCAGAAACGAGCUUAAAGAACAAAAAGGUUUUAUGAGUUAUAUGAAUAAAGAGCUCGAUGAUAUGUUUAAAGAAUUUGAUGGUAUAAGAUCCCAAAUUGCUCGUCUUGAGAAGUUGCUGCUGAAAUUUCGGAUAAGCAGGCUACCUUAGUCAAUAAGAUGGCCGCUAAACCGAAUUCCUAUGAAAAUCAAGAUGAAGAUCUAAAAGUUAUUGAUGUGUCCCCUAUUAAAUCUUUGUUUUGCAAUAUGAAUUUUGAUGAGACUUAAUAUGAUCCACCUUUACCAAGAAGGCAUUCCAAAAAUUCGGAGUUUUCAGAUCUUGAUGAUGAAAUUGAUAAAAGUGGGAUUGAAGAAAUCAAAACCCUAGAUGUUGCUAAACCCACUAUUUUGGAUUUCAAGGAAUUUAAUUAUGAAAGUUGCUCUUUAAUUGAUUGUAUUUCCUUGUUGCAAUCCGUGCUAAAUUCUCCUCAUGCUUAUAGUCAAAAUAAAGCGUUUACUAAACACAUCGUUGAUGCAUUGAUGCAAUCUUAUGAAGAAAAACUUGAGUUGGAAGUUUCUAUCCCUAGAAAACUUUAUGAUGAGUGGGAACCAACUAUUAAAAUUAAGAUUAAGGAUCAUGAAUUUUAUGCUUUAUGUGAUUUGGCUGCUAGUGUCUCCACUAUUCCCAAAACCUUGUGUGAUUUGCUAGAUUUCCGCGAUUUUGAUGAUUGCUCUCUAAAUUUGCAUCUUGCGGAUUCCACUAUUAAGAAACCUAUGGGAAGAAUUAAUGAUGUUCUUAUUGUUGCAAAUAGGAAUUAUGUGCCCGUAGAUUUUAUCGUUCUUGAUAUAGAUUGCAAUCUUUCAUGUCCUAUUAUUCUUGGUAGACCUUUCCUUAGAACGGUUGGUGCAAUUAUUGAUAUGAAGGAAGGGAAUAUUAGAUUCCAAUUUCCAUUAAAGAAGGGCAUGGAACACUUCCCUAGGAAGAAAAUAAAAUUACCAUAUGAAUCUAUCAUGAGAGCCACUUAUGGAUUGCCUACCAAAGAUGGCAAUACCUACAUCUAUCCUUGCUUUUAUUCCUAGCUAGGGGCGUUAAACGAUAGCGCUUGUUGGGAGGCAACCCAAUUUUAUUUUUAGUUUUUUUGCUUUUGCUUAUGUUUAGGAAUAAAUAUUUGUUCUAGCCUCUGGAUAGAUGUGUUUUUAUGUUUUAAUUAGUGUUUGUGCCAAGUUAAACCUAUAGGAUCUUCUUGGAUGAUAGUUAUUUGAUCUCGCUGUAAUUUUCAGAAACUUUUUGUUCACGAAAACAAUUUUUAAAAAUCACCAGAACGUGAUAAAAUAGUGAUUCAUAUUUCUUCUGAUCAAUAAACAAAUUUCCUAGGUCGUCCUAUUUUGGCUGAUUUUUUGGAGUUCCAUAAAAUUGCGUUAGUUACAGAUUACUACAGACUGUUCUGUUUUUGACAGAUUAUGUUUUUCGUGUGUUGUUUGCUUAUUUUGAUGAAUCUAUGGCUAGUAAAAUAGUUUAUAAACCAUAGAGAAGUUGAAAUACAGUAGUUUUAACACCAAUAUAAAUAAAGAAUGAGUUCAUUACAGUACCUUGAAGUGGUCUUUUGUUUUCUUUCGCUAACGGAGCUCACGAGAUUUUUGUUGAGUUUUGUGUUGUGAAGUUUUCAAGUUUUGGGUGAAAUAUUUUGAUGGAUUAUGGAACAAGGAGUGGCAAGAGCCUAAGCUUGGGGAUGCCCAUGGCACUCCCAAGAUAAUCUAAGGACACCAAAAAGUCAAAGCUUGGGGAUGCCCCGGAAGGAUCCCCUCUUUCGUCUACUUCCAUCGGUAACUUUACUUGGAGCUAUAUUUUUAUUCACCACAUGAUAUGUGUUUUGCUUGGAGCGUCUUGUAUUAUUUAAGUCUUUUAUUUUUAGUUUACCACAAUCAUCAUUGCUGUACACACCUUUUGAGAGAGCCAUACAUGAUUUGAAAUUUGAUAGAAUACUCUAUGUGCUUUACAUAUAUCUUUUGAGCUAUAUAGUUUUUGCUCUAGUGCUUCAGGGUGGUGGAUUUGUUUUAUAGAAACUAUUGAUCUCUCAUGCUUCACUUAGAUUAUUUUGAGAGUCUUAAAUAGCAUGGUAAUUUGCUUAAUUUUUUUAAUAUGCUUGGUAUUCAAGAUUUGUAAAACUUUCUUUUGAGUGCGUUGAAUACUAAGAAACGUUUGAUGCUUGAUAAUUGUUUUGAGAUAUAAAGAUGGUGAUAUUAGAGUCAUGCUAGUUGAGUAGCUGUGAAUUUAAGAAAUACUUGUGUUAAAGUUUGUGAUUCCCGUAGCAUGCACGUAUGGUGAACCGUUAUGUGAUGAAGUCGGAGCAUGAUUUAUUUAUUGAUUGUCUUCCUUAUGAGUGGAGGUCGGGGACGAGCGAUGGUCUUUUCCUACCAAUCUAUCCCCCUAGGAGCAUGCGCGUAAUACUUCGCUUUGAUAACUUGUAGAUUUUUGCAAUAAGUAUAUGAGUUCUUUAUGACUAAUGUUGAGUCCAUGGAUUAUACACACUUUCUUCUUUCCACCAUUGCUAGCCUCUCUAAUACCGCGCACUUUUCGCCUGUAUCAUACACCCACCAUAUACCUUCCUCAAAACAGCCACCAUACCUACGUAUCAUGGCAUUUCCAUAGCCAUUCCGAGAUAUAUUGCCAUGCAACUUUCCACCGUUCCGAUUAUUAUGACACGCUCCAUCAUUGUCAUAUUGCUUUGCAUGAUCAUGUAGUUGACAUCGUAUUUGUGGCAAAGCCACCGUUCAUAAUUCUUUCAUACAUGUCACUAUUGAUUCAUUGCAUAUCCCGGUACACCGCCGGAGGCGUUCAUAUAGAGUCAUAUUUUGUUCUAAGUAUCGAGUUGUAAUUGUUGAGUUGUAAGAAAAUAAAGGUGUGAUGAUCAUUUUUUAGAGCAUUGUCCCAAGUGAGGAAAAGGAUGAUGGAGACUAUGAUUCCCCCAUAAGUCGGGAUGAGACUCCGGACGAAAUAUAUAUAUAUAAAAAAGAGGCCAAAAAAAAGAGAAAAGGCCCAAAUAAAAAAAAUAUUAAAAAAGAGAGAAAAGAGAGAAGGGACAACAUUACUAUCCUUUUACCACACUUGUGCUUCAAAGUAGCACCAUGAUCUUCAUGAUAGAGAGCCUCUCAUUGCGUCACUUUCAUAUACUAGUGGGAAUUUUCAUUGUAGAACUUGGCUUGUAUAUUCCAAUGAUGGGCUUCCUCAAAAUGCCCUAGGUCUUCGUGAGCAAGCGAGUUGGAUGCACACCCACUUAGUUUCUUUUGUUGAGCUUUCAUAUACUUAUAGCUCUAGUGCAUCCGUUGCAUGGCAAUCCCUACUCACUCGCAUUGAUAUCUAUUAAUGGGCAUCUCCAUAGCCCGUUGAUACGCCUAGUUGAUGUGAGACUAUCUUCCCCUCUUUUUGUCUUCUUCACAACCACCAUUCUAUUCCACAUAUAGUGUUAUAUCCAUGGCUCACGCUCAUGUAUUGCGUGAAGAUUGAAGAAGUUUUGAAAAUGUCAGAAGUAUGAAACAAUUGCUUGGCUUGUCAUCGGGGUUGUGCAUGAUUUAAAUACUUUGUGUGGUGAAGAUAGAGCAUAGCCAGAUUAUAUGAUUUUGUAGGGAUAACUUUCUUUGGCUAUGUUAUUUUGAGAAGACAUAAUUGCUUUGUUAGUAUGCUUGAAGUAUUAUUUUUUAUGUCAAUAUUAAACUUUUGUCUUAAAUCUUUCGGAUUUGAAUAUUCAUACCACGAUUAAGAAGAAUUACAUUGAAAUUAUGCCAAGUAGCACUCCGCAUCAAAAAUUCUUUUUUAUCAUUUACCUACUCGAGGACGAGCAGGAAUUAAGCUUGGGGAUGCCUGAUACGUCUCCAACGUAUCUAUAAUUUUUGAUGGCCAUGCUAUAUUAUCUACUGUUUUGGACUAUAUUGGGCUUUAUUUUUCACUUUUAUAUUACUUUUGGGACUAACCUAUUAACCGGAGGCCCAGCCCAGAAUUGCUGUUUUUUGCCUAUUUCAGUGUUUCGAAGAAACGGAAUAUCAAACGGAGUCCAAACGGAAUGAAACCUUCGGGAACGCGAUUUUCUCACCGAAUAUGAUCUAGGAGACUUGGACCCCACGUCAAGAAACAAGGGAGGCGGCCACGAGGGUGGAGGGGGCGCCCCCCUGCCUCGUGGGCCCCCUGUUGCUCCACCGACAUACUCCUUCCUCCUAUAUAUACCUACGUACCCCCAAACGAUCAGGGACGGAGCCAAAAACCUAAUUCCACCGCCGCAACCUUCUGUACCCACGAGAUCCCAUCUUGGGGCCUGUUCCGGAGCUCCGCCGGAAGGGGAAUCCACCAUGGAGGGCUUCUACAUCAUCACCAUAGCCUCUCCGAUGAAGUGUGAGUAGUUUACUUCAGACCUUCGGGUCCAUAGUUAGUAGCUAGAUGGCUUCUUCUCUCUUUUUGGAUCUCAAUACAAUGUUCUCCCCCUCUCUCGUGGAGAUCUAUUCGAUGUAAUCUUCUUUUUGUGGUGUGUUUGUUUAGACCGAUGAAUUGUGGGUUUAUGAUCAAGAUUAUCUAUGAACAAUACUUGAAUCUUCUCUGAAUUCUUUUAUGUAUGAUUGGUUAUCUUUGCAAGUCUCCUCGAAUUAUCAGUUUGGUUUGGCCUACUAGAUUGUUUUUUCUUGCAAUGUGAGAAGUGCUUAGCUUUGGGUUCAAUCUUGCGGUGUCCUUUCCCAUUGACAGAAGGGGCAACAAGGCACAUAUUGUACUGUUGCCAUCGAGGAUAACAAGAUGUUUUUUUAUCAUAUUGCAUGAAUUUAUCCCUCUACAUCAUGUCAUCUUGCUUAAGGCGUUACUCUGUUUUCUUGAACUUAAUACUCUAGAUGCAUGCUGGAUAGCGGUCGAUGCGUGGAGUAAUAGUAGUAGAUGCAGGCAGGAGUCGGUCUACUUGUCUCGGACAUGAUUCCUAUAUACAUGAUCAUACCUAGAUAUUCUCAUAACUAUGCUCAAUUCUGUCAAUUGCUCAACAGUAAUUUGUUCACCCACCGUAAAAUACUUAUGCUUUUGAGAGAAGCCACUAGUGAAAUCUAUGGCCCCCAGGUCUAUUCUCCAUCAUAAUAAUCUUCCAUCACUUUAUUAUUGCUUUGCUUUUUUUACUUUUCUUUUCAUUUUACUUUGCAUCUUUAUACCAAAAAUACCAAAAAUAUUAUCUAUCAUAUCUAUCAGAUCUCACUCUCGUAAGUGACCGUGAAGGGAUUUACAACCCCUAUUCGCGUUGGUUGCGAGGAGCUAUUUGUUUUGUGUAAGUACAAGGGACUCGCGCGUAGCCUCCUAUUGGAUUGAUACCCUUGUUCUCAAAAACUGAGGGAAAUACUUACGCUACUCUGCUGCAUCAUCCUUUCCUCUUCGGGGAAAUCCAACGCUGUGCUCAAGAGGUAGCAAUGCAUAGCAACGAGAGGGGAGUGUUGUCUACAUACCCUCCUAGACCGAAAGCAGAAGCGUUAUGACAACGCGGUUGACGUAGUCGUACGUCUUCAUGAUUCGACCGAUCCUAGUACCGAAAGUACGGCACCUCCACGAUUUGCACACGUUCAGCUCGGUGACGUCCCACGAACUCUCGAUCCAGUUGAGUGUCGAGGGAGAGCUUCGUCAGCACGAUGGUGUGAUGAUGGUGAAGAUGAAGUUAUCAGUGCAGGGCUUCACCUAAGCACUGCAACGAUUUGACCGAGAUGGAUUAUGGCCCAAUAAGGCCCAUAUACUUCUCGGGGGGUUCCGGUAACCUCCCGGUACUCCGGUAAAUGCCCGAACUCACCCGGAACCAUUCCGAUGUCCAAACAUAGUCAUCCAAUAUAUUGAUCUUUAUGUAUCGACUAUUUCGAGACUCCUCGUCAUGUCCGUGAUCAUAUCCGGGACUCUGAACUACCUUCGGUACAUCAAAACACAUAAACUCAUAAUACCGAUCGUCACCAAACGUUAAGCGUGCGGACCCUACGGGUUUGAGAACUAUGUAGACAUGACCGAGACACGUCUCCGGUCAAUAACCAAUAGCGGAACCUGGAUGUUCAUAUUGGCUCCCACAUAUUCUACGAAGAUCUUUAUUGGUCAAACCGCAUAACAACAUACGUUGUUCCCUUUGUCAUCGGUAUGUUACUUGCCCGAGAUUCGAUCGUCGGUAUCUCAAUACCUAGUUUAAUCUUGUUACUGGCAAGUCUCUUUACUCGUUCCGUAAUGCAUCAUCCCGCAACUAACUCAUUAGUCACAUUGCUUGCAAGGCUUAUAGUGAUGUGUAUUGCCGAGAGGGCCCAGAGAUACCUCUCCAACAACCGGAGUGACAAAUCCUAAUCUCGAUCUAUGCCAACUCAACAAACACCAUCAGAGACACCUGUAGAGCACCUUUAUAAUCACCUAGUUACGUUGUGACGUUUGAUAGCACACUAAGUGUUCCUCCGGUAUUCGGGAGUUGCAUAAUCUCAUAGUCAUAGGAACAUGUAUAAGUCAUGAAGAAAGCAAUAGCAACAUACUAAACGAUCAAGUGCUAAGCUAACGGAAUGGGUCAAGUCAAUCACAUCAUUCUCUAAUGAUGUGAUCCCGUUAAUCAAAUGACAACUCAUGUCUAUGGCUAGGAAACUUAACCAUCUUUGAUUCAACCAGCUAGUCAAGUAGAGGCAUACUAGUGACACUCUGUUUGUCUAUGUAUUCACACAGGUACUAAGUUUCCGGUUAAUACAAUUCUAGCAUGAAUAAUAAACAUUUAUCAUGAUAUAAGGAAAUACAAAGAACAACUUUAUUAUUGCCUCUAGGGCAUAUUUCCUUCAGUCUCCCACUUGCACUAGAGUCAGUAAUUUAGAUUACACAGUAAUGAUUUUAACACCCAUGGAGUCUUGGUGCUGAUCAUGUUUUUCUCGUGAGAGAGGCUUAGUCAACGGGUCUGCAACAUUCAGGUCCGUAUGUAUCUCGCAAAUCUCUAUGUCUCCCUCCUUGACUUGAUCGCGGAUGGAAUUGAAGCGUCUCUUGAUGUGCUUGGUUCUCUUGUGAAAUCUGGAUUCCUUUGCCAAGGCAAUUGCACCAGUAUUGUCACAACAGAUUUACAUUGGACCCUAUGCACUAGGUAUGACACCUAGAUCGGAUAUGAACUCCUUCAUUUGCUGCUUCUGAAGCAGCUAUGUACUCCGCUUCACGUGUAGAUCCCGCCACGACGCUUUUGUUAGAACUGCACCAACUAACAGCUCCACCGUUCAAUAUAAAUACGUAUCCGGUUUGUGACUUAGAGUCAUCCGAAUCAGUGUCAAAGCUUGCAUCGACGUAACCAUUUAGGACGAGCUCUUUGUCACCUCCAUAAAUGAGAAACAUAUCCUUAGUCCUUUUCAGUUAUUUCAGGAUGUUCUUGACCACUGUCCUGUGAUCCACUCCUGGAUUACUUUGGCACCUCCCUGCUAAACUAAAAGCAAGGCACACAUCAGGUCUGGUACACAACAUUGCAUACAUUAUAGAACCUUUGGAUGAAGCAUAGGGAAUGGCCUUCAUUUUCUCUCUAUCUUCUGCAGUGGUCGGGCAUUGAGUCUGACUCAACUUCAGACCUUGUAAUACAAGCAAGAACCCUUUCUUUGCUUGAUCCAUUUUGAACUUCUUCAAAACUUUAUCAAGGUAUGUGCUUUGGAAAGUCCAAUUAAGCGUCUUGAUCUAUCUCUAUAGAUCUUGAUGCCAAAUAUAUAAGCAACUUCACCGAGGUCUUUCAUUGAAAAACUCUUGUUCAAGUAUCCUUUUAUGCUAUCCAGAAAUUCUAUAUCAUUUCCAAUCAACAAUAUGUCAUCCACAUAUAAUAUUAGUAAUGCUACAAAGCUCCCACUCACUUUCUUGUAAAUACAGGCUUCUACAAAAGUCUGUAUAAAACCAUAUGCUUUGAUCACACUAUCAAAACGUUUAUUCCAACUCCGAGAUGCUUGCACCAGUCCAUAAAUGGAUCGCUGGAGCUUGCACACUUUUUUAGCAUCCUUUGGAUUGAUAAAACCUUCAGGUUGCAUCAUAUACAACUCUUCUUCCAGAAAUCCAUUCAGGAAUGUAGUUUUUACAUCCAUUUGCCAAAUUUCAUAAUCAUAAAAUGCGGCAAUUGCUAACAUGAUUCGGACAGACUUAAGCAUCGCUACGGGUGAGAAAGUCUCAUCGUAGUCAAUCCCUUGAACUUGUCGAAAACCUUUUGCAACAAGUCGAGCUUUGAAGACAGUAACAUUACCGUCAGCGUCAGUCUUCUUCUUGAAGAUCCAUUUAUUCUCAAUGCCUUGCCAAUCAUCGGGAAAGUCAAUGAAAGUCCACACAUUGUUCUCAUACAUGGAUCCCAUCUCAGAUUUCAUGGCCUCAAGCCAUUUCGCGGAAUCUGGGCUCAUCAUCGCUUCCUCAUAGUUGGUAGGUUCGUCAUGGUCAAGUAACAUGACCUGCAGAACCGGUUUACCAUACCACUCUGGUGCGGAUCUUACUCUGGUUGACCUGCGAGGUUCAGUAGUAACUUGAUCUGAAGUUAUAUGAUCAUCAUCAUUAGCUUCCUCACUAAUUGGUGUAGGAGUCACAGGAACUGAUUUCUAUGAUGAACUACUUUCCAAUAAGGGAGCAGGUACAGUUACCUCAUCAAGUUCUACUUUCCUCCCACUCACUUCUUUCGAGAAAAACUCCUCUAUAAAGGAUCCAUUCUUAGCAACGAAUGUCUUGCCUUCAGAUCUGUGAUAGAAGGUGUACCCAACAGUCUCCUUUGGGUAUCCUAUGAAGACACAUUUUUCCGAUUUGGGUUCGAGCUUAUCAGGUUGAAGCUUUUUCACAUAAGCAUCGCAACCCCAAACUUUAAGAAACGACAACUUGGGUUUCUUGCCAAACCAUAGUUCAAAAGGUGUCGUCUCAACGGAUUUAGAUGGUGCCCUAUUUAACGUGAAUGCAGCCGUCUCUAAAGCAUAAUCCCAAAACGAUAGCGGUAAAGUAGUAAGAGACAUCAUAGAUCGCACCAUAUCUAAUAAAGUGCGGCUACGACGUUCGGACACACCAUUACGUUGUGGUGUUCCGGGUGGCGUGAGUUGCGAAACUAUUCCGCAUUGUUUAAAAUGAAGACCAUUCUCGUAACUCAAAUAUUCUCCUCCACGAUCAUAUCAUAGAAACUUUAUUUUCUUGUUAUGAUGAUUUUCCACUUCACUCUGAAAUUCUUUGAACUUUUCAAAUGUUUCAGACUUAUGUUUCAUUAAGUAGAUAUACCCAUAUCUGCUCAAAUCAUCUGUGAAGGUGAGAAAAUAACGAUACCCGCCGCGAGCCUCAAUAUUCAUCGGACCACAUACAUCAGUAUGUAUGAUUUCCAACAAAUCUGUUGCUCGCUCCAUUGUUCCGGAGAAUGGCAUUUUAGUCAUCUUGCCCAUGAGGCAUGGUUCGCAAGUACCAAGUGAUUCAUAAUCAAGUGAUUCCAAAAGUCCAUCAGAAUGGAGUUUCUUCAUGCACUUUACACCAAUAUGAGCCAAACGUCAGUGCCACAAAUAAGUUGCACUAUCAUUAUCAACUUUGCAUCUUUUGGUUUCAAUAUUAUGAAUAUGUGUGUCACUACUAUCGAGAUUCAACAAAAAUAGACCACUCUUCAAGGGUGCAUGACCAUAAAAGAUAUUACUCAUAUAAAUAGAACAACCAUUAUUCUCAGAUUUAAAUGAAUAACCAUCUCGCAUCAAACAAGAUCCAAAUAUAAUGUUCAUGCUCAACGCUGGCACCAAAUAACAAUUAUUCAGGUCUAAAACUAACCCCGAAGUUAGAUGUAGAGGUAGCGUGCCGACGGCGAUCACAUCGACUUUGGAAGCAUUUCCCACGCGCAUCGUCACCUCGUCCUUAGCCAAUCUUCACUUAAUCCGUAGUCCCUGUUUCGAGUUGCAAAUAUUAGCAACAGAACCAAUAUCAAAUACCCAGGCACUACUGCAAGCAUUAGUAAGGUACACAUUAAUAACAUGUAUAUCACAUAUACAUUUGUUCACCUUGCCAUCCUUCUUAUCCGCCAAAUACUUGGGGCAGUUUUGCUUCCAGUGACCAGUCCCUUUGCAAUAGAAGCACUCAGUCUCAGGCUUAGGUACAGACUUGGGCCUCUUCACUUGAGCAGCAACUUGCUUGCCGUUCUUCUUGAAGUUCCCCUUCUUCCCUUAACCCUUUUUCUUCAAACUGGUGGUCUUGUUGACCAUCAACACUUGAUGCUCUUUCUUGAUUUCUACCUCCACAGCCUUUAGCAUUGCGAAGAGCUCGGGAAUUGUCUUAUCCAUCCCUUGCAUAUUAUAGUUCAUCAGGAAGCUCUUGUAGCUUGGUGGCAGUGAUUGAAGAAUUCUGUCAAUGACACUAUCAUCAGGAAGAUUAACUCCCAGUUGAACCAAGUGAUUGUUAUACCCAAACAUUUUGAGUAUAUGCUCACUGACAGAACUAUUCUCCUCCAUUUUGCAGCUGUAGAACUUAUUGGAGACUUCAUAUCUCUCAAUCCUGGCAUUUGCUUGAAAUAUUAACUUCAACUCCUAGAACAUCUCAUAUGCUCCAUGACGUUCAAAACGUCAUUGAAGUCCCGGUUCUAAGUCGUAAAGCAUGGCACACUGAACUAUCGAGUAGUCAUCAGCUUUGCUCUGCCAGACGUUCAUAACAUCUGGCGUUGCUCCUUUUGCGGGUUUGGCACCUAGCGGUGCUUCCAGGACGUAAUUCUUCUGUGCAGCAAUGAGGAUAAUCCUCAAGUUACGGACCUAGUCCGUGUAGUUGCUACCAUCAUCUUUCAACUUAGCUUUCUCUAGGAAUGCAUUAAAAUUCAACGGAACAACAGCACGAGCCAUCUAUCUACAAUAACAUAGACAUGCAAAAUACUAUCAGGUACUAAGUUCAUGAUAAAUUAAAGUUCAAUUAAUCAUAUUACUAAAGAACUCCCACUUAGAUAGACAUCCCUCUAAUCAUCUAAGUGAUCACGGGAUCCAUAUCAACUAAACCAUGUCCAAUCAUCACGUGAGAUGGAGUAGUUUUCAAUGGUGAACAUCACUAUGUUGAUCAUAUCUACUAUAUGAUUCACGCUCGACCUUUUGGUCUCAGUGUUCCGAUGCCAUAUCUGCAUAUGCUAGGCUCGUCAAGUUUAAUCCGACUAUUCUGCGUGUGCAAAACUGGCUUGCACCUGUUGUAUGUGAACGUAGAGCGUAUCACACCCGAUCAUCACGUGGUGUCUCGGCACGACGAACUUUCGCAACGGUGCAUACUCAGGGAGAACACUUGUACCUUGAAAUUUAGUGAGAGAUCAUCUUAUAAUGCUACCGCCGAACUAAGCAAAAUAAGAUGCAUAAAGGAUAAACACCACAUGCAAUCAAUAUAAGUGAUAUGAUAUGGCCAUCAUCAUCUUGUGCCUUUGAUCUCCGUCUCCAAAGCACCAUCAUGAUCACCAUCAUCACCAGCUUGACACCUUGAUCUCCAUCUGUGACGCCCCCGAUUCAAUCGUACACUAAUCAUACACGCAAACGUGUACCAUCAAGAUCAGGGACUCACGGGAAGAUAUCACAACACAACUCUAAAAAUAAAAUAAGUCAUACAAGCAUCAUAAUACAAGCCAGGGGCCUCGAGGGCUCGAAUACAAGUGCUCAAUCAUAGACGAGUCAGCGGAAGCAACAAUAUCUGAGUACAGACAUAAGUUAAACAAGUUGCCAUAAGAUGGCUAGCACAAACUGGGAUACAGAUCGAAAGAGGCGCAGGACUCCUGCCUGGGAUCCUCCUAAACUACUCCUGGUCAUCGUCAAUAGCCUGCACGUAGUAGUAGGCACCUCCAAAGCAGUAGGAGUCGUCGUCGACGGUGGCGUCUGGCUCCUGGACUCCAGCAUCUGGUUGCGACAACCAGAAAGAAAGGAAAGGGGGAAAAGAGGGAGAAAGCAACCGUGAGUACUCAUCCAAAGUACUCGCAAGCAAGGAUCUACACUACAUAUGCAUGGGAAUAAGUGUAAAGGGCCAUAUCAGUGGACUGAACUGCAGAAAGCCAGAAUAAGAGGGGGAUAGCUAAUCCUGUCGAAGACUACGCUUCUGGCCACCUCCAUCUUGCAGCAUGUAGAAGAGAGUAGAUGGUAAGUUCAUCAAGUAGCAUCGUAUAGCAUAAUCCUACCCCGUGAUCCCCUCCUCGUCGCCCUAUUAGAGAGCGAUCACCGGGUUGUAUCUGGCACUUGGAAGGGUGUGUUUUAUUAAGUAUCCGGUUCUAGUUGUCAUAAGGUCAAGGUACAACUCCAAGUCGUCCUGUUACCGAAGAUCACGGCUAUUCGAAUAGAUUAACUUCCCUGCAGGGGUGCACCACAUAACCCAACACGCUUGAUCCCAUUUGGCCGGACACACUUUCCUGGGUCAUGCCCGGCCUCGGAAGAUCAACACGUCGCAACCCCACCUAGGCAGAACAGAGAGGUCAGCACGCCGAUCUAAUCCUAAGCGCACAGGGGUCUGGGCCCAUCGCCCAUAGCACACCUGCACGUUGCGUACGCGGCCGGAAGCAGACCUAGCCCCCUUAAUACAAGCGCAGGCUUACGGUCCAAUCUGGAGCGCACCGCUCAGUCGCUGACGUCACGAAGGCUUCGCCUCAUACCACGACGUCGAGUGCCCAUAACUGUUCCCGCGUAGCUGGUUAGUGCGUAUAGACCAAAUGGCCAGACUCAGAUCAAAUACCCAGAACUCGUUAAGCGUGUUAUUUAGUAACCGCGGACGCCGACCAGGGCCAGGCCCACCUCUCUCCUAGGUGGUCUCAACCUGCCCUGUCGCUCCGCCACAAAGUAACAGUCGUGGGCCGUCGGGAACCCAGGCCCACCUCUACCGGGAUGGAGCCACCUGCCCCUUUAGCUCACUUAUCAGAAUCACUUGUAGGUACUCAACGAGCUGACCCGACUUUAGUCACCACAUGUGUCAUGUAUAUAAAGUAUAUAGUAUAUACCCGUGAUCACCUCCCGAAGUGAUCACGGCCUAGUAGUAUAGCAUGGUAGACGGACAAGAAUGUAGGGCCACUGAUGGAAUACUAGCAUCCUAUACUAAGCAUUUAGGAUUGCAGGUAAGGGUAACAACUGUAGCAACAAUGACAGGCUAUGCAGCAGAAUAGGAUUAACGAAAGCAGUAACAUGCUACACUACUCUAAUGCAAGCAGUAUAGAGAAGAAUAGGCGAUAUCUGGUGAUCAAGGGGGGGGGGCUUGCCUGGUUGCUCUGGCAAGAAGGACAAGUCGUCAACACCGUAGUCGAACUGGGGGUCGCCGGCAGCCUCGGGGUCUACCGGAAAGAAGUAACCGAGGGGGAGCACAAUAAAUAACAGAGCAAUCAAAGCAUCACAAAGCGUAACAUGGCAAUAUGCGGUGCUAGAGGUGACCUAACGCAGUAGGAGGUGAUACCGGUGAAGGGGGGAAACAUCCGGGAAAGUAUCCCCGGUGUUUCGCGUUUUUGGACAGAUGACCCGGAGGGGGAAAGUUGCGUGUUUGCUAUGCUAGGGAUGUGUGGCGGAUGAAUGGGCUGCGUAACCGGAUUUGUCUCGUCGUUCUGAGCAACUUUCAUGUACAAAGUUUUUCCAUCCGAGUUACGGUUUAUUUUAUAUUAAUUUUCAAACUUUUAGUUGAUUUACUAAUUUCUGGAUUUAAUUUAAUUCGAAAAUAAAUUAAUAUCUAAUUACUAUGGGUACACAGAAGUGUACCCAGCAAAUGCGACUGAGAGGCUGACUGGUGGGUCCAGUCAGCUGAGUCAGCCGCUGACAAGUCAGCCUUAUCCACUAGAACAGUGGAGUGGUCCCACCUGUCAUUGUCUCAACCAUUUAAUGAGUGGUUAAAUUUAACCCAGGGCUAAUUAGAGGGGAGGCCACACAUGUCAGGGAGUAUUUAGGUUAGUUAAUUAGCCAGUUUACUUAAGUUGUGAUUAAUUAGAAGGCGGGUCCCAGCAGUCAGUGGCACUGGCGUCAUAAGCGGCUGGGUUAAGCGGACACGUCAGCGGCGCCGACGUUUAGUCGCCGGCGACCAAAACACGGCGAUGACGCAUGGGAUGUCGCAGGAAAUCGGCUACAGGCCACCAAAACGGGCGUCGCUUGUCACAUUCGAACGUGCGUGAAGUCCCGCGUCCAAUGGUGCUAGGGGUGGGAGUGAGGGAGGUCCCAAGCGACGUCGACGACGGGCAAUGGCGAUGGCCGGAUCUCGGCGAGUUCGGUUUCAAGGUUGCAGCAUAUGGCGAGGCGACCAAAGGGCAUCAGAUGGUUCCUGGGGAGUCCACGAACACGAGGCAAAGCUCGGCCGCGAGUCCUGCGGGCUGUGGCCACGAUGGAGAGUCAAACGGCGGCGACGAGUUCUCGGACGCGGUAGCGGGGCUAGCUAGUGGGGGAGCCAGAGCUCAAGGGGAGAGGGGAGGAUGUGUGGGGGGGGGCUCAUAGAGGGCCGGUAGGGGGCUCAGGGGAGCCAGGGGUGCCGGAGUUGAGAGGAUCGACGGCGAGGUAGCGGCGGCGUCCGACGAAGGGGAUCGAGGCAGACGGCGUCGAGGCGGCUCCAGGGACAGCGAGCGGCGGCGGAGUUGGUGGAGAUCCGACGAAGGUGCGAUGGUGGCCGCAGGGGAGGGGGUCGACGCGGGCGUCGCGGCGGUGGGUCGCGGGGAGGACGGGCGGCGUGGUCGGCGCGUCGAGGUCCUUGGGCGGCGGCUCCAGAUCGAAGGAGAGGGAGCCCGGGGAAGGAGUGGGGAUCGGGGGAAGUGGGUGACUGGGGUGGUUAGGGUUACAGGGUGUGCGGGGUUAAGUGGUGGGGGCGGGCCGGCCUGGGGUUGGCUUGGUGGGCCAAGGCCCAGUGGCGCAGGGGGGAUUUCCUUUUCUUUAUUUUUCUUUUACUUUUCUUUUUUCUUUUUAUUUAUUUUGUUUCUUCACUUUUCAUUUAUCUUUCUUUUACUGUUUUAUAUUUUAUUUUAGUUUUGUAAAAUACAAAAAUGAUCCCUAAAUUUGUAUUACCACUAAACGCACUGCCACAAAAAGUUUAACCCCUAAUAAAAUAGUUUAAAAUUUUAUAAAUUAUAAAACACAUUUAUUUAAUUGUUUAUGCUGCUGUUUAAAUUAUUUUAGUGCAUUUAAAUACUUCAUAAAAGUGUGGUUUCUCCAUCAUUAUUACUUAUGCACUAUCUGGCACAACCCGAACAUUUUAGUUUUAAUAUUUGAAAACUUUUUCUAGUUUUGACUAUUUUAAGUUUGAGUUUGAAUCGGUUUCGAAUCAUGUGAGUUUAUCAACGGUAACCAAGGUGACUUGGCAUUAUUAGCAGAGGUUCACUGUAGCUUAAUUAUCCGGGCGUCACAAUUCUCCUCCACUACAAGAAAUGUCAUCCCGAGAUUUAAGAGGGGAGCAAGGGGGAAGGGAUUUGGUUACGAAGUUCUAACGGGUCUUCUCGAUGUUGGUUGUUCUUCUCGAAGAGGUCAAUCGAAUACGUUGAUGCAUUCAUUUCUCUGCUUCAGGUCAUCAUGGUGAAGUUGUCCUUUUCUUCGGGAACUCCAACGUACUUACAAAUAGGUAAGGGGCAGCUCGGCUACGACAGACUGCUUAUGAGGGAAACAAUUUGGGGUUAACCCAUGAAUGAGCAUAAGAUUAUCUCUCGAGUUGAACAUAUAAAAUACCUCGAGAGUAAGGUACGAAGGUACAAUAAGAGGUUCAAAGCGGAUAGAUAGUUGCUCGAAGUCUGAAUCAGAGUGAGAAAUGGGUUCAGAGCAGCGAGAGUAAAUAUUGCGUCUAACACCAGAAUAGAGCACUAGGAAGGUGGCUCGUGAAUUACCUACGAAACCAAGAGCAAGGGAUAACUUUGUCAACAAGGUGUACAGGAGAGUCAGGUUUCGAUCCUGUGUAACUUUGGGUUAUGGGCCCACUAUGUGGGUUAAAAGUAGGAAGGGCGGUGACGAUUUGCACGAUCAGGUAAGCAAGGCAUAACAGAGGAUAGCUUGUCAGUUACGUCGGCAACAACAUCGGUACCAAGGGCGAGGGACGAAGAGAACCAUUUUCCUGCUCGUUGAACGAGGCGGACCAUUAGGCAAAGUUCUCGUCCAUUGAUGGAUACCCGAAUGUCAUCAACAAUAGUAACAGGUUCUUACUGACAGAGUUGUACACCAAGGUGCUUACAAAAGCAGUGGCUUAUUACUGCUUAGAUCAUAUAAACCUCAAGAAGGUUAAACAAAACAAUGGAAAGGAAAAUGUGAUUAUCAGAUUAAACAGAACAAUGGAAAGGAAAAUGUGUUUAAACACAUAUUCGAGGGUAUAUCCUUUCCAAGGACAAGCAGAGCAUGAUAUCCAUGACAGGAUAGAAAGUAGAAAACCAUUAAGGUAAGGGGAGAGAAAUUUCAUGACAUUACCCAUACAGCGGUGUUUGGAUAAUUGAGCAGGAAACAUUUAGCAUUGGGCUUCAAAUGUUCUUGUUGAAAAUCGGAGUACCAUAUACAUGCUUCGAGAUAGCAUUGACAAGGUCAUCAGGUGAAGAUCAAACUUUGGAAACACAAAGGAUCCAUCACGAAUAACUUGUAGAAUAAGUCUUACAAUUUCCUCAUGGAAGGAUGGAUAACCUUGCUGAAAAGGAAUCUAUAACAAUAGGGCCUCUGGCAGGUGUGCUAGGCACGACAACAACUUACUGGGUCACAUAAAGACCAACGUUAUAACUCAUUGGAAAUAUGUUCCAACCAUCAUGUCUGACCGAGAUUCAGAUCUGAUUGGUGUCAGGAUAACUCAGACUCAGGAUGCCUAAGAAGAAAGGUGCAACACAAAUUGUCGAGAUGACAUUGUAAGAUUCUCGGGAAUUGAACUAUGGAAGCAAGUUUCGAAUCAUGAGUUCAUCAUUAAACGAAGGAGAGGAUGAGGAGGUGGUUGAUGAACUAAACGAUAAUUCAUUGAGAUUUCCAACAAGUUGGAUUUCCACAAUUAUGUGAACUAGGAGAUAACAUUGUCAGAUCAAAUGGUAUAAUGAUGUAUGCUCGAGGAAAACAUACACCAUUAACCAUUAGUUGAAAGGUGCACCCAUAAUAUGGGCUUAGGUAGCAUGAUCAAAGUUUAGAAUGGUGAUUCAAUAACUCAUAGUCUAAGAAUGAACGGCCGACCAUUAACUUCAAAACAAUAGGGUUGCUAGAAGUUUUGAAGUCGCACAUCAUAGUUCGAUUGUCGGUUUUCCGGUUAGAAAUAACACGGGGACCAAGGAAUAAAUGGAUAUGGCAGAAGGUAUCACCUGCAUGAAGAAUUCUUAAGAGGUGGUGAAAUCCUCAUGACAUUCUUGACAUAAAAGAUGGUAAUACUCCAAGGUAAAGAAGAACAAAUGCUGGAUAGCAAGGAUCCCAAGGUAUAACACAAAACACGAACAAGUUUGUGUUGAGCGGAAGGCAAUCGAGUGGUCGAUGAUAAUACAAAUCAUUGAGGGCAAGGAUGGUAUUUCUCAUCAUGAAUUCAAUUUAUAUCCUCGAGGAGCUCGGAAUGUGGAUGAUGAUCAUGACACAUUUGUCGAGAGGUUUCAUGAAGAUAUAAUCGCUCAUCGACGACAUCAAGCAAAAGGAAGGAUGGAGCGAAAAGUUAUUGAAACCACGAAUAUGACACAAACUUGGAAUCAAGCUUGUUGUUCAAGGCGAAAUGAUAUGACGAGGAAAGUCGACGUAAGCUUAGCUCAUCGUCAAAAAUUGUGCUUCGGAAAGAAGGACCAAAUAGCACAGUUAAAAAGUUGCAUGAUAAUGAUAUAGCCGAUAAGGCUAGGAAUGACUUGAAGGAUUAAACUCAUAAGCAACGAAAAUUACUUAAGAUUUAUCGUACCGGAAUGCGGAAUUGGUUCACAUAUCGGUGUUCUUGAGCGACUAACAACUCAGAACCCAUGAAAAAUUGGAAUCGGUGAGAAAUAAUAGCUGAUGAAGAACUCAUAAGAUGCAACACAAUUCUUAGAUAUUCUCGAGAUACCAGAGGGUAAUACUCGACAGUAGAUCAAAAUAGAGGUUGGACUAGGGUAUUGCUCUGUAGAAGACAAGUGCUCAAACUUGCACGAGAAAUGGAAUCAAGGAGAAACAUGGUCGGAACCACGUCCACAGAUACAAGAUGAACUUAUAACAAGGGGAUAAUUAUUUUAAGAGAAGCUUCCAUGAUAAGAUAUACGUCGUGUCCAUGGGCAUGAACACAGGGUUCAAGGUCGACUCCCACUUGUUCAACGCAUAACCUUUCAUUCACCUCUCGUAUUUCAAAAAUGACAUUAGUUGUUAAAAGUUUGUACCUGGUGCAAUACCAGAUAAGUAUGACCCGUGAAAUCUUCCGGGUUCACACGGAUUAGGGAAGGCAUAGGUUCAACCCAUCAGGGCAUCUUAGGAACAUAUACCACAAAUUUCGGAGUAAAUAAUACAAGCUCGAAAGUAGAGCAUGGUUGAGAAAGUAGAGGAUACAAUUUACCAAAGGCAUUAUGUAUCCGAGGGAAGGCUCAUAAGGUUAUUGAAUAUGAAGGACGUUGUCAGAUAAAAUCCAUUAAAGGAUCUGCCAGUCCAUAACGGAGCUGAUGUGAGCAUCGGCACACAACUAGUGGAAGUAACAAUGCAAAGGCAUUGGAUUAUAGAAACAACUGACUAAUCCAGAGCUCAAAUGCAAAAGAAUUAUGAUUUCCAAAUUAAGGGAUCAGAAGCAACGCUCUGAUCAAGGAUGGAUAAGUUGAGUAGGCUUAGGGGUACAAUCGAUGGCAAUUUGAUUGGUCGAUAACCAGCUCAUGUUCAAAAUGACAUCUGAGCCGGAAGGAUGAAUUCUAGGAUCUGACUGAGGGUGGCGAGCAUUCGCAACAUUUUGAAUCAAUGGAAUCAAAAUGAUAAUGACAAGGGAUGCCAAUAAAAUUAUAGACUUAUGGGAUUAACCAUAAUGCAAGCAAGUAAGAAUUUCAAGAGCAAUAGGCUACUCAGGUUUUUCGGAGGUUCAAAUAGUAUUUUGAAGACUUUUUUGAAAUACAUGAAUCAACUGGGGAUGAGUGGAUACUCGAUAAGUGCGAGAAAUUAUCCGUAGGGAAAUUCAUGUGGCAAGAACUGCAAGGCAGUAGGCACAAAGUAUUCUCGGAACAUUAGAGAGAAUUUUGGGGUAUCUUAUAAUAACAAGAUCAACGGGGAAUAAUUGUAUGAAUGGCAAGUGUACUUGGUUAUCCAUUGGGGUUUAUCGAUGGAAUGGAAUUGCAAGAGGGAUGGCACAAAGUAUAGAAGGAACAUCGGAGAGUAACUUCGGAAUCUUCUAGUGUAUCAAGCGAUCAUCUGCAUCGAGUGGCCCUCCGGGAGGAAGUAGUUACGAGAACCUAGAGUUAGAGUUAGUAAAACCAUUUAACCCGAGUAGAAGAGAGAUAAGAGUCCCAGAGUAUAGACGAGAAAUAAAAGAUCCUAAUACCACCCAAUGGCGACGUGGGCCCGUAAGCCACACAGCCAUGUUAGUAAAAAGUUUUGCAAUGACUAGACUCAACUUCGGCCAGGGAGUUGGAAAGGGGGAUUCCUACAGGCAGUCGGCUCUGAUACCAGCUUGUGACGCCCCCGAUUCAAUCGUACACUAAUCAUACACGCAAACGUGUACGAUCAAGAUCAGGGACUCACGGGAAGAUAUCACAACACAACUCUAAAAAUAAAAUAAGUCAUACAAGCAUCAUAAUACAAGCCAGGGGCCUCGAGGGCUCGAAUACAAGUGCUCAAUCAUAGACGAGUCAGCGGAAGCAACAAUAUCUGAGUACAGACAUAAGUUAAACAAGCUGCCAUAAGAUGGCUAACACAAACUGGGAUACAGAUCGAAAGAGGGGCAGGCCUCCUGCCUGUGAUCCUCCUAAACUACUCCUGGUCGUCGUCAACAGCCUGCACGUAGUAGUAGGCACCUCCAAAGCAGUAGGAGUCGUCGUCGACGGUGGCGUCUGGCUCCUGGACUCCAGCAUCCGGUUGCGACAACCAGAAAGAAAGGAAAGGGGAAAAGAGGGAGAAAGCAACCGUGAGUACUCAUCCAAAGUACUCGCAAGCAAGGAUCUACACUACAUAUGCAUGGGAAUAAGUGUAAAGGGCCAUAUUAGUGGACUGAACUGCAGAAAGCCAGAAUAAGAGGGGGAUAGCUAAUACUGUCGAAGACUACGCUUCUGGCCACCUCCAUCUUGCAGCAUGUAGAAGAGAGUAGAUGGUAAGUUCAUCAAGUAGCAUCGUAUAGCAUAAUCCUACCCGGCGAUCCCCUCCUCGUCGCCCUGUUAGAGAGCGAUCACCGGGUUGUAAUUGGCACUUGGAAGGGUGUGUUUUAUUAAGUAUCCGGUUCUAGUUGUCAUAAGGUCAAGGUACAACUCCAAGUCGUCCUGUUACCGAAGAUCACGGCUAUUCGAAUAGAUUAACUUCCCUGUAGGGGUGCACCACAUAACCCAACACGCUUGAUCCCAUUUGGCCGGACACACUUUCCUGGGUCAUGCCCGGCCUCGGAAGAUCAACACGUCGCAGCCCCACCUAGGCACAACAGAGAGGUCAGCACGCCGGUCUAAUCCUAAGCGCACAGGGGUCUGGGCCCAUCGCCCAUAGCACACCUGCACGUUGCGUACGCGGCCGGAAGCAGACCUAGCCCCCUUAAUACAAGCGCAGGCUUAUGGUCCAAUCUAGUGCGCGCCGCUCAGUCGCUGACGUCACGAAGGCUUCGGCUGAUACCACGACGUUGAGUGCCCAUAAUUGUUCCCGCAUAGCUGGUUAGUGCGUAUAGACCAAAUGGCCAGACUCAGAUCAAAUACCCAGAACUCGUUAAGCGUGUUAUUUAGUAACCGCGGACGCUGACCAGGGCUAGGCCCACCUCUCUCCUAGGUGGUCUCAACCUGCCCUGUCGCUCCGCCACAAAGUAACAGUCGGGGGCCGUUGGGAACCCAGGCCCACCUCUACCGGGAUGGAGUCACCUGCCCCUUCAACCCCCUUAUCAGAAUCACUUGCGGGUACUCAAUGAGCUGACCCGACUUUAGUCACCACAUGUGUCAUGUAUAUAAAGUAUAUAGUAUAUACCCGUGAUCACCUCCCGAAGUGAUCACCGCCCAGUAGUAUAGCAUGGCAGACGGACAAGAAUGUAGGGCCACUGAUGGAAUACUAGGAUCCUAUACUAAGCAUUUAGGAUUGGAGGUAAGGGUAACAACUGUAGCAACAAUGACAGGCUAUGCAGCAGAAUAGGAUUAACGAAAGCAGUAACAUGAUACACUACUCUAAUGCAAGCAGUAUAGAGAAGAAUAGGCGAUAUCUGGUGAUCAAGGGAGGGGGCUUGCCUGGUUGCUCUGGCAAGAAGGACAGGUCGUCAACAGCGUAGUCGAACUGGGGGUCGCCGGCAGCCUCGGGGUCUACCGGAAAGAUGUAACCUAGGGGGAACACAAUAAAUAACAGAGCAAUCAAAGCAUCACAAAGCGUAACAUGGCAAUACGCGGUGCUAGAGGUGACCUAACGCAGUAGGAGGUGAUACCGACGAAGGGGGGAAACAUCCGGGAAAGUAUCCCCGGUGUUUCGCGUUUUCGGACAGAUGAACCGGAGGGGGAAAGUUGCGUGUUUGCUAUGCUAGGGAUGUGUGGCGGACAAACAGGCUGCGUAACCGGAUUCGUCUCGUCGUUCUAAGCAACUUUCAUGUACAAAGUUUUUCCAUCCGAGUUACGGUUUAUUUUAUAUUAAUUUUCAAACUUUUAACUGAUUUACUAAUUUCUGGAUUUAAUUUAAUUCGAAAAUAAAUUAAUAUUUAAUUACUGUGGGUACACAGAAGUGUACCCAGCAAAUGCGACUGAGAGGCUGACUGGUGGGUCCAGUCAGCUGAGUCAGCCGCUGACAAGUCAGCCUUAUCCACUAGAACAUUGGAGUGGUCCCACCUGUCAUUGUCUCAACCAUUUAAUCAGUGGUUAAAUUUAACCCAGGGCUAAUUAGAGGGGAGGCCCCACAUGUAAGGGAGUAUUUAGGUUAGUUAAUUAGCCAGUUUACUUAAGUUGUGAUUAAUUAGAAGGCGGGUCCCAGCAGUCAGUGGCACUGGCGUCAUAAGCGGCUGGGUUAAGCGGACACGUCAGCGGCGUCGACGUUUAGUCGCCGGCGACCAAAACACGGCGACGACGCAUGGGAUGUCGCCGGAAAUCAGUUAUAAACGGGCGUCACUGGUCGCGUUCGAACGCGCGUGAAGUCCCGCGUCCAACGAUGCUAGGGGUGGGAGUGAGGGAGGUCCCAAGCGACGCCGACGACGGGCAAUGGCGAUGGCCGGAUCUCGGCGAGCUCGGUUUCAAGGUUGCAGCAUAUGGCGAGGCAACCAAAGGGCAUCAGAUGGUUCCUGGGGAGUCCAGGACCACGAGGCAAAGCUCGGUCGCGAGUCCUGCGGGCUGUGGCCACGGUGGAGAGUCAAACGGCGGCGACGAGUUCUCGGAUGCGGUAGCGGGGCUAGCUAGUGGGGGAGCCAGAGCUCAAGGGGAGAGGGGAGGAUGUGGAAGGGCUCACAGAGGGCCGGUAGGGGGCUCAGGGGAGCCAGGGGAUGCCAGAGUCGAGAGGAUCGACGGCGAGGUAGCGGCGACGUCCGACGAAGGGGAUCAAGGCAGAAUGCGUCGAGGCGGCUCCAGGGACGGCAAGCGGCGGCGGGGUUGGUGGAGAUCCGACGAAGGUGCGAUGGUGGCCGCAGGGGAGGGGGUCGACGCGGGCGUCGCGGCGGUGGGUCGCGGGGAGGACGGACGGCGUGGUCGGCGCGUCGAGGUCCUUGGGCGGCGGCUCCAGAUCGAAGGAGAGGGAGCCCGGGGAAGGAGUGGGGAUCGGGGGAAGUGGGUGACUGGGGUGGUUAGGGUUACGGGGUGUGGGGGGUUAAGUGGUGGGGGCGGGCCGACCUGGGGUUGGCUUGGUGGGCCCAGGCCCAGUGGCGCAGGUGGGAUUUCCUUUUCUUUAAUUUUGUUUUACUUUUCUUUUCUCUUUUUAUUUAUUUUGUUUCUUCACUUUUCAUUUAUCUUUCUUUUACUGCUUUAUAUUUUAUUUUAGUUUUGUAAAAUACAAAAAUGAUCCCUAAAUUUGUAUUACCACUAAACGCACUGCCACAAAAAGUUUAACCCCUAAUAAAAUAGUUUAACAUUUUAUAAAUUAUAAAAGACAUUUAUUUAAUUGUUUAUGCUGGUGUUUAAAUUAUUUUAGUGCAUUUAAAUACUUCAUAAAAGUGUGGUUUCUCCAUCAUUAUUACCUAUGCACUAUCUGGCACAACUCGAACAUUUUAGUUUUAAUAUUUGAAAAGUUUUUCUAGUUUUGACUAUUUUAAUUUGAGUUUGAAUCGGUUUCGAAUCAUGUGAGUUUAUUAACGGUAACCAAGGUGACUUGGCAUUAUUAGGAGAGGUUCACUGUAGCUUAAUUAUCCGGGCGUCACACCAUCGAAGCAUCGCUGUCGUCUCGCCAACUAUUGCCUCUACGACUAUCGCUACCGCUUAGUGAUAAAGUAAAGCAAUUACAUGGCGAUUGCAUUUCAUACAAUAAAGCGACAACCAUAUGGCUCCUGCCAGUUGCCGAUAACUUUGUUACAAAAAAACAUUAUCUCAUACAAUAAAAUUUAGCAUCAUGUCUUGGCCAUAUCACAUCACAACAUGCCCUGCAAAAACAAGUUAGACACCCUCUACUUUGUUGUUGCAAGUUUUUACGUGGCUGCUACGGGCUGAGCAAGAACCGUUCUUACGUACGCAUCAAAAACCACAACAAUUUUUCGUCAAGUGUGCUAUUUUAACAUUCAACAAGGACCGGGCGUAGGCACACUCGAUUCAACUAAAGUUGGAGAAACUGACACCCGCCAGCCACCUGUGUGCGAAGCACGUUGGUAGAACCAGUCUUGCAUAAGCAUACGCGUAAUUUCGGUCCUGGCCGCUUCAUCCAACAAUACCGCCGAAUCAAAGUAUGACAUGCUAGUAAGUAGUAUGACUAUUAUCGCCCACAACUCUUUGUGUUCUACUCGUGCAUAUAACAUCUACGCAUAGACCUGGCUCGGAUGCCACUGUUGGGGAACGCAGUAAUUUCAAAAAAAUCCUACGCACACGCAAGAUCCAUCUAGGUGAUGCAUAGCAACGAGAGGGGAGAGUGUUGUCUACGUACCCUCGUAGACCGAAAGCGGAAGCGUUAUGACAACGCGGUUGAUGUAGUCGUACGUCUUCACGAUCCGACCGAUCCUAGUACCAAAAGUACGACACCUCCGUGAUCUGCACACGUUCAGCUCGGUGACAUCCCACGAACUCUUGAUCCAGCUGAGUGUUGAGGGAGAGCUUCGUCAGCAUGACAGCGUGAUGAUGGUGAUGAUGAAGUUACCGGCGCAGGGCUUCGCCUAAGCACUGCAACGAUACUACCGAGGUGGAUUAUGGUGGAGGGGGGCACCGCACACGGCUAAGACAAUGUGAACUUGUGUGUCUAUGGGGUGCCCCCUCCCCCGUAUAUAAAGGAGUGGAGGAGGGGGGAGGGCCGACCCUCUAUGGCGCGCCCUGGAGGAGUCCUACUCCCACCGGGAGUAGGAUUCCCCCCUUCCCUAGUUGGACUAGGAGAGGAAGGAAGGGGGAGGAAGGAGGAAGGAAAGAGGGGGCGGCCCCCACCCAAUUCGGAUUGGGCUUGGGGGGGCGCGCCCCCUCCUAGUCUCCCUUCUCCUCUCUGCCACUAUGGCCCAAUAAGGCCCAUAUACUUCCCGGGGGGGUCCGGUAACCUCCCGGUACUCCGGUAAAUGCCCGAACUCAUCCGGAACCAUUCCGAUGUCCAAACGUAGUCAUCCAAUAUAUCGAUCUUUAUGUCUCGACCAUUUCGAGACUCGUCAUGUCCGUGAUCAUAUCCGGGACUCCGAACUACCUUCGGUACAUCAAAAUACAUAAACUCAUAAUACCGAUCGUCACCGAACGUUAAGCGUGCGGACCCUACGGGUUCGAUAACUAUGUAGACAUGACCGAGACACGUCUCCGGUAAAUAACCAAUAGCGGAACCUGGAUGUUCAUAUUGGCUCCCACAUAUUCUACGAAGAUCUUUAUCGGUCAAACCGCAUAACAACAUACGUUGUUCCCUUUGUCAUCGAUAUGUUACUUGCCCGAGAUUCGAUCGUCGGUAUCUCAAUACCUAGUUCAAUCUCGUUACCGACAAGUCUCUUUACUCGUUCCGUAAUGCAUCAUCCCGCAACUAACUCAUUAGUCACAUUGCUUGCAAGGCUUAUAGUGAUGUGCAUUACCGAGAGGGCCCAGAGAUACCUCUCCGACAAUCGGAGUGACAAAUCCUAAUCUCAAUCUAUGCCAACUCAACAAACACCAUCGGAGACACCUUUAGAGCACCUUUAUAAUCACCCAGUUACGUUGUGACGUUUGGCAGCACACAAAGUGUUCCUCCGGUAUUCGGGAGUUGUAUAAUCUCAUAGUCACAGGAACAUGUAUAAGGCAUGACGAAAGCAAUAGCAACAUACUAAAUGAUCAAGUGCUAAGCUAACGAAUGUGUCUUGUCCAUCACAUAAUUAUCCUAAUGAUGUGAUCCCGUUAAUCAAAUGACAACACAUGUCUAUGGCUGAAACUUAACCAUCUUUGAUUAAACGCGCUAGUCAAGUAGAGGCAUACUAGGGACACUCUGUUUGUCUAUGUAUUCACACAUGUGCUAAGUUUCCGGUUAAUACAAUUCUAGCAUGAAUAAUAAGCAUUUAUCAUGAUAUAAGGAAAUAUAAAUAACAACUUUAUUAUUGCCUCUAGGGCAUAUUUCCUUCAGGUUCUACUAUGGAUUUUCCCACCCGUUUUUUCUUCUGUUAGUGUUGUGGAUGUGGAUUUUUAGGACAUGGCAAUAGUUUUUGGUGUUUAUGGAUUUUAGGAUGUGCAUUAGUGGCUGUGGAUUUGAACAGUGACCCUAAGUUCACUCCCAAAAUGUUGUUAUGUGGGAUUUGUUUUACGCGUUCUGUCUAUCAAUUAGGCUUGUGAUGCUCUAAUUACCAUGUUUACAAUGCUUGAAUUAUGGGUGUUGUUUGUUCUAUUUAAUUAUCAUGAUGAUGGUAUUGAACUUGCCAAUGACAUUGCACUCAAAUUACCAGAUGCUGAAACACUGCUAUUAUUGGUGUUGUUUGUUCUGCUUUAAUUAUCAUGAUGAUGGUAUUACACUUACCAAGGACAUUGCACUCAAAUCACCAGAUGCUGAAACACUGCUAUUUUUAUGAUUGGUGUUGUUUCUGUGCCUAAAUUUCAAGUUGGUUGGUAAUUUGAGCGGUGCAAUCACGCUCUGAUUACCAAUUGUUUUUCAAAUAGCUACAUUCACAUUAGGUUGUGUUUUAGGACUGCAGCCCCAUGAUUUUUAUGCUUUGUGCUUUUCUUUUUGGAUAUCCCCAAUGAUGAUGUGCAAGCAGUUACCAUUAUCAUGUUAUCGUACUUACCAGUAUUUUUCUAGUCUAACUACAUGUAGCACAAUGCUCAUUUUUAUUCAAUGGUCUGGUUGUUUUUGUGUGCUUACCGGCAUCAUUUUUGUGAUUAUUAAUGACCAUGUGUCAAUGCUAAAUUUAUCAGGGGUAAAUUGGUUGUACAUCAUCAAAUUGAUGCUGCUUUUCUCACUUACCAAUGUAAUUGUGCCUUAGUUAUCAGUUGCACAUGCUUUAAUAUACCUGUGUCAUUUGUUUUGCUAUAGUUUAGAAGGUGUGGCAUUGUCUUUGUUUUUUAACCAGUUUAUUUUUCUGUAAACCAAGUGCAUUUUGCUUGAUUUAUUUACCAUGGUCAUGAUAAUCUUUUUUGUGUCACCAUGAACCACAAUGAUAUGUUUAUCAGAUGUAUUAUUGCUUUGUCAAACACCAGUUUAUAAAUGUUGCUAUUAAUUGUGAUAUCAGUUUUUCAUAAGUAAUCUAAUUGGUUUCAUUUGCUUUCUUUUCAUUCCUACGUGACAGGGACACAAUGCCGAGGAAGUGCAAAGGAGAUGGUGAUGGAAUUGAUGAGGUUCCUUCGAAAAAGGUGAAACGCCCUCCUCCGCGGAACAGAGCCUCACCUAGUUCACUUCUUUUAGCAUGGAAAGACAUGAAUGGUGACAGGAAGGUUGCCAUUGAUGAGAUGGACUUCACAAGCCUUCAGAAUAUCCAGUGUGACCAUCUCUUCAACAAUCUCAUUGUGUGGCUUGCUGACCUGUACAAUCCCGAUUCCCGUGAGGUGGUCGUACCAGGGCAGGGUAGGCUUCCGGUUAACGAGGAAUAUGUGCAUCGGGUUAUGGGCAUGUUGCAUGGAGGGGAGGAUGUCCCUUACAACCUCCCUAUUGAAGCUGAUAUUGAGUUAGGGCUUGAGUUGUUUGGCAAACUUGGAUAUGCCCCUAAAAUGACUGAUCUUGCUGUUCUCAUAAAGGGUUCUGUAAAUGCUGAUGAUACUUUCAAGCGUAUGUGGCUUUUGCUUGAGGGGAGUACAGUCAUUGCCCCGACCACCUCCAACAAAGUCAGUCCUAGAUGGUAUGCUGUGCCAGUAAGUGAUUAUGUAAUUCUGCCAUUUUCUUUCUUGUGUGCCUGAUAACUUUACUGUAUGUCAGUGUGGUAACUUUCAUAGUUUUUGUGUUCCAUUCGGUGAACUUCAGUUUCUUUGUUUUCAACUUGUAGCGUGACAUCAAUGGUAUUAAAAUUCUCAAUUGGUCCAAAUUCAUUGCUGACGAAUUACACAAGGCACUGCUGAAACGCAAGCCUACCAGGGGUUCCCUUCUCUUCUACAAUGUAAGUGAUGGUUCUUUCCUCUUACCUUCUUUUUUGUCAUUUGUCUCUGAUUUUGUUCGUGUUUACCAUGACGCUUGUAUUUUUGUUAUCAGCUAUUGUACAUUCAUGCGAUUGAUCUUUCUGGACUCGGCAUCGUAUUGCCUGAUGGUCCUUUUCCUACCAAUGUGUGGAUGAAGAAGCUGAUAACUCUUGUCCUCAACAAGGAUGUUCAGGCUGACAAAGCUUCUUUCAGGAAACUACCAUUAAUCUAUAUAUAUGUUUUUAGUUCACACACUACUUGCAACUGCAUUUUCUUUUCAUUGUUUUCUAUUGUUACUUUAUCUGACUUAUCACUACAUUUUUUUCCAGUUAAAGCCCGAGUUUGGCAUGAAUUUCUGUCUAUUUGGUGGUCUGGAAGGUCUUGAUAAGUUUAUGUGUGUUCAUGCUACCCCAAGCUGCAGUCAGGAGGUGUGCAUGUAACCUCGUUUUUUUUCAUGCUAUUCUAUGUUUUUUCAUAAGCUGAUAACUUUUUUUGUUGCACUCAAUGUGGUAACUCUCGUUUGAUGUCAACUUUACACCCUUUACUAAUGCCAUAAGAUAUUGUUCUUUGUUUCCAAUGUGGCAUAUGCUCUAUAAAGGAUAAUAAUUUUGUUGCAACCUUGUGAUAAUUCUUAUUAUAAUGCCUUGAUAACUUUGUGAUGUGAAACUCAUGCCAUCAUGUUUUUUUUCCAUGACAGCAUACGUUCUCACAUAUCUUGAUAACUUGGUUGCAUUCCUGUGAUGAUUUUUUUGUAAAGCCUUUGAUAACUUAAGUUUUUGCUGAUAUCUAUUUGUGUUAUUUUAGCUUUCUCGUAUAUUGUUCUUCAUUUUCACGAUGACUGAAUGUUUGUUAAAUCAUGAAUACAUUCAUGUGUUUAUUGCAACAACACCAUACAUUUGUUUGGUAUUGUUCAUGUGUGUACUUUUUGUGAACUCCUGAUAAAUUUUGUUGCAUUUUGGUGAUAACUUACGACACUCUACGUACUGUGUGGUUUUACAUGUGUGUGUUUUACUGUAAUUCUUUUGUCUCACCAUCUGAAUUUUUUCAUCCACUUAGCAUUUGAAUAAUCUUAUUUUUUGCAUUUUUUCUAUUGAGCAGAAAUUUACCAAACCUACUCAGUUGGUUGCUCGAUUCACGUCCGUCAUGGCUGGCAUACUAGGCGAUCUUGUGCAAUCAUUCACCGCUUUGGAUGAUGAGGGCCAUUCAGAUGCCUCCCGUCAGCUAGACGCUGGAUUGAAUGUUCUUUCUUAUGCUGCUCGUACGACGGCAAGGACCACACGCUCAUCACAAGGCAGGAGGCCAGAAAGCCCUAGAAAGAACAUUGCUGAUGAUUCUGAUAUUGAUGACGAGUACCACGGAGGCAAUGACGCCGAUUUUGAUGCUAACUCCGAUGAUGAUGAUGAUGGUGAUGAUAUGGAUUAUCGAGUUGUUCAUCGUCGCAGUAAGCACUGGUACGCGUCGGUGCUGUACAAACGUUUUUUAACCCCUUUCUGCGACGGCAUUUGGAACCGUCGCCUAGUGAGUGACGACGAUAGGGGGGGUCCUUCCCACACGACCCAGAAACCGUCAGGGAUAGGGAGCCAAGAUGUAUAUACAGUACUCCUACUCAUUUGUGUUCUCAUUGCCAUCGCAGUCGGUAUUCUGUGGUGCUACGUUUACGAUGCGCGGCCCAUCACAAAUGAUUCACUAUUGUAGAACGUGUAUGAUAAGCAUACAAUCACACACAUUUGCUUUUCCCAAACCGUAUGCGAUAACUAAUUAAGAAGAUUAGCUAAUCAUCGUAGGAGUGUCGGAUAGGAUUACAAAACGUCGGACCGUCGUAACAUCGUCGUACACGACAACUAUCGCACACACUAUUGUGUGGUGCAACAUUUACGAUGCGUACUUCAUCAAAAACAGUUCAUGGUUGCGAAUCGUGUACGAUAAGGCAACUAACACAAACAUUUAGUUUGCCCGCACUGUUUGUGAUAUUGUCUGACAUUGCACACACUUUGCAAACGGCAAUUGUGUGCAUGCUUGCACACGUUUCCUCUCUGUGAACCGUCUCGGAUUAUGGUGUAUAUCACAAACAUUUGUGUUUUACCAACCGUGUGUGCCGUAACGACCUGGAGAGCGCAAUUUCACCGUAAUUUAAUUGCUGCUAUUUCAAAUUGUACCGGAUUUGAAUUUGAAAGUAUGCUAUAGCUUUAUUCAUAUCCAUCAGGUUCAAACAAUCAAUGCAUUAUUCGAUUCAUAGGUACAUAUGUUCAAGAAUUACAUAAGAACCAAAUAAAGAAUGAUGAACCACAAUUCUAUACUUGUACUAUUAAAGACGGUAAAUAAAGAGGCGGAAUACAUUAUGGUUGCUGAACAAGGUGAAGCGGAAUGCCCAUAUUGUGCACUCCUCCAUGCAGAAGGCACGCACGACUCUAGUCCAACCCCCUGUGAUGGCCGACCGCCCAUCCUUCACGGUCUUCAUGGAAACAUCUAGAUAAUCAUCGUGUUCUGGUAGAAAUACUUUAACAUUUGCAUGCCCAGCAAUCAUGUAGUUUGAGGGGUAAUCUUGAGUAAACUGCUUUGGCAACCACUGCAAAGGAAACAGAUUCAGACAUUGUCAUCUAACACAACUCAUUAUGGGCAGUAAAAAGAAGGCUGCAGAGUUCUUACUUACCAUCCUGCAGUUUGGUGUUGUCUUGGAUAAAGUGUGAACAAAUAUUUUAAUUGCCAUCUUUGGACCCAUUUUACUAACAAUCUUUAUCAGCUUCCUCACUUGAUGCUGGUUCAUCGAUAUCUCAUUGCCCCAUACGCAGAAAGGGUCGAAGCGCGGAUCUUUACCAAUGACGUAAAACCUAAAAGCACCAAGUUAAUAUUAGAAGCUAAAUAGCAAUUGCACAAUGAUGUAGUACAACACUCUUUUAUAAAUAUCUUAUAACAUCUAAUAUACUCGCAUAUUAGAUGAAUUAACAUCUUAUAUUAUGGGCUGAAAGGAGUUUAUUACAUUCUUACAAAUUAUCGGCUGAUUAACUGAUGCUGUAUCCAUGGGUUACAGUUAGUUUGAGCUAGUUCAGGCUCAAAUAGCCCUAAAGUAUAUCUAAACAUGAGGGCUAGUUUGAGCUAGUUGCAUCAUAACCCACCCAAAAAAACUAUCCAACCUAAGAGGUGCUAAUUGGAGCUAGUUCUCCUAGUGCAUGUAUUGUCGAUCUAACCCUGCCAUCCAAACAACUCUUUGGAUGGAGUUAGUUCAGGGUUAGUCAUGAGCUAGAAACUAACUCUAACCUCUAGCUAAGUUGAGUAUCCAAACAGGGAUGUGUUGUUGUUGUUGUUGCUGCUGCUCUUCUAUGUAUAUCUAGACAUCAUCAGGACAUUAAUGUAACACUCUUGCUUGUUGCUAUGUAGCCUAGGAUUGCAUAUUAGACAUUAAGUACAGUGCAUGUUGCUAUGUAGCCUCAGAUAUAUUACAUAUGGACCUAGUUAACCUAACGAUAAAUGGGUUGCAGAUAUAUCUAUACCAAUAUAAAAAGACCCAAAGGGGCAGAUCCAAAUCAUCUUGGCCAUCAAAUCAUGUUAUCUAGCGGUUCAAAUCGCUCCAAUGUUGAGCACCAAACACGUUUAACGCUCUAAUUACCCACCACUGCCAUUGGUUAUAAACACGUUUUGACUCAACGCUAUCCCAUGAAAUGUGCCAUGUAAUUAAUAUCCUACCGUUCCCGUGAAAAAUUAAUUGAUAUCUUACCAAAUACCAACAUGCAAUAGAUAUAUCUUACCUAAUAUAACGUGCAACUAAUAUCCUACCUAAUAUAAACGUGCAUUGCACGUACAUUAUUACUAGUUCGGUUAAAAGUCCGAUUCACCGAUUAGUCCCUUAUCAGCCCCCGACCUAUAUGGUACCAGCUACUGAUAUCCUGAACAAUGAGCAUAUAUAAGCCAUGGGAUGAAACUAACCUCGAUGGAAAACAACAGUCAUUCCCAAAAUUGUCCUAUGUAGGUACAUCGAGAAGCAUUUUAAGCACAGCAGGCUAAACAUCAACCAAAAUUAUCCAUGACAGACAAAAUAAUUUCCAAAAGAUAGCUUCAGUGUGCAGGUUUAAGCACGGUAGUAUAGCAAAAAAAGUGGAAAGGUGUGUUAACUGCAACAGGCCUAACAUUUAACAACAAGCAAACAUAGUCAUAAAAACUGGUAUUGUGCCGGUCUAAGUACACUAAUUAUUGUUAAAUAAAAAUGGAAAGGCGUGUUAACUACAAGAUGCAACAACCAAUUGUAGUCAUUCAUAGUGGUUUUCUUGAAACUGGUACUGAUGAAAUUGAACUGCACAGUUCAUACUUGCACAUAUAGAACAUCACGUUGUGAAUAACUGGAAUAAACAAGGCAUACUACGAACAACCAAAGAUAGCAUUUCAAACUGGACAUAUGCUAACUACAGACAACCGAACAAUCAAAAAACUUUAAAAGAGGCAUAUGCUAGCUAUAACAGGCUUAACAACAAGCAAAUAUGCGCAUUCCUAUCGGUAUGUUUAAAACUGGAUUGAUGAAAUGUAUUGCACAGUAAAUAAUUUCACAUAUAGAGCAUCACAUUGUGAACAACUAAAAUAAACAAGGCAUACUGCAAACAACCAGAUAUAGCAAUUAAAACUGGACAUAUUCUCACUACACUACAAAAGGGACUCGACAAAACUAAUCAUGGGUUUCCCCCCUGUGAAGAGGCAUGACAAAACAAAUCAUGGGUUUCCUCACUUGUCACAGAUGGGCUCGUUCCCGUGGGAAGAGCACGAACCCUGGAUGCGCUCCAUAUUGUCGUAGAUGGUCUCGUUCCCCUUGGAAGAGCAUGACUGUAGGGUGCCCUCCCUGAUGUUGCAGACGGACACUUUCCCCUUGGAAGAGCAGAUGGGCUCUUUCCCCUUGGAAGAGCCGGAGAGGGUGGCCUCCCCGUGGUCACCGUCGAUGAGGUCUGACUUGGAAGCCGUGGAUCCCAAGCCAGCGUCGUAGAACGUGUCCUUCAGGAAUGACAGAAGGGGCUCGAUGGCGAUGUAGGAUGGCAAAUUGUUGACAGCGAGCUAGAGGAGAUCAACGGCGGGGCCAUGGAUGAGAUUAACGAUGGUUGAACCCGAGGGGUUGGGCGUGAGCCACUUAACCUGUGACAUAGUCUGCCUCAGGCCGUCGCUGUCGAUGACCUCGAUGUCGUAGCCGGCAGCCGAGACAUGCCCGCAUACUCUAGCCCGCUGCUUGAGUGCCUGUCGCUAGUAAUGGUCGUCAGCUUCCUCGGCGACGUCGGGCGAAGAGACCAUGAUACACCUCUUUUGGGCCAGUCGCUCCUCGAGCUCCAUGGGAAGCGUAGCCGGGCUGAGGCUGCGACACUCUGGAGUGGGGGAUGGGGAUGGGGAUGGGGAUCUGUGGGAAGGGGGCGUUUGGCAGGCAUCAUCUAAGAAACUCAGGGCGGACUGGGUAUGGAGAUCGGUGGGUAAGCUGCACGGGAAAACUGGCAGAUGUUGACAAUGGAGGCCUUGCGGCGGCGGCGGCGGGGACCUUGCUAGGGUUUCGAGCGAGGCAGUGUGUGUGUGUGCGCGCGCACGCCCGAGGAGGUUUUGGUGUGUGUGUGUGUGUGUAUGUGUGUGUGGAGGGGAGGGCGGCAGGGGUUGUGUUUGAGGAAAUGAUGCGGGUACUAAAAAAUUUACUACGCGGGAGUCAAACGCAGGAGUGAAAUGCCGGGGCUAUUGAAAUUUUUGAUGAUGGUGCAUCGCACACGGUCCAGAGAUAACAACCAUGUGUUAUGAAACAGAAAAACCCUCGAGGCGGGCAGAUAUUUUCGGGGGAUGCAGGCGGGAUUGGGAACAAGAAACAUCACACAUGGUCUAAACACAAUAACCGUGUGUUAUCAAACAGAAAAAGCUGCAGACGGGUAGAUAUUUUUGAGAGGGGAAGCCUCACGGAGCCCAAUGCACACGGUUAGUUUGAGUGAACCGUGUCUGUUGUGUCAUCCAACUUAUCUAAUGUUCAUAAAUUUGGCGAAAAAUGACGCGGUAGAUGGUCAGAACACGAACACACUUGCAUGUGGACCAAAUUUAUGUAUGAAAAGGGUGGUUUGAUUUUCAAAUACCAAAUGCAACUUCGAUGUGGCACCUAUCUCGCAAAGCACACGGUAUUGCUUGCCCCACCCCCCCUCGUGUUGGCAUGAAGGGAAUCCUAAGCUAUGAAUGCAUGCCCCCUCCCCCCAACCAAGGUUCACCUAGCAAAGUGCAAAGUAGCUAGCAGCCCCCCUCGUGUCGGCACGAAGGGAAUCCUAAGCUAUGAAUGCAUGCCCCCUCCCCCCAACCGAGGUUCACCUAGCAAAGUGCGAAGUAGCUAGCNNNNNNNNNNNNNNNNNNNNNNNNNNNNNNNNNNNNNNNNNNNNNNNNNNNNNNNNNNNNNNNNNNNNNNNNNNNNNNNNNNNNNNNNNNNNNNNNNNNNNNNNNNNNNNNNNNNNNNNNNNNNNNNNNNNNNNNNNNNNNNNNNNNNNNNNNNNNNNNNNNNNNNNNNNNNNNNNNNNNNNNNNNNNNNNNNNNNNNNNNNNNNNNNNNNNNNNNNNNNNNNNNNNNNNNNNNNNNNNNNNNNNNNNNNNNNNNNNNNNNNNNNNNNNNNNNNNNNNNNNNNNNNNNNNNNNNNNNNNNNNNNNNNNNNNNNNNNNNNNNNNNNNNNNNNNNNNNNNNNNNNNNNNNNNNNNNNNNNNNNNNNNNNNNNNNNNNNNNNNNNNNNNNNNNNNNNNNNNNNNNNNNNNNNNNNNNNNNNNNNNNNNNNNNNNNNNNNNNNNNCUAGCAGCCCCCCUCGUCUCGGCACGAAGGGAAUUCUAAGCUAUGAAUGCAUGCCCCCCCAACCGAGGCUCACCUAGCAAAGUGCGAAGUAGCAGCCCCCCCCACACACGCACUUUCAGUCGGUGGGCCAGAGAGGCAUAUCUCACCAAGAUGGAUCGUAAAAUGGACCAAGAAUAAUCCACCUUGGUCGUACAACCUCUCUCUUGUUGUUGGUCAAAGUGAUGGCCAUCCAUGCGACCCCGGAGAUGGGCUAGCUCGCCAACAAUCACACAAGUAGCUAGUCCUCGAAGACAACCACUGCAUGCAUGUGGCCCAAACAUAUGUAUGGAGAGGUGUGUUUUGAGUACACAAUGGAACAACUUUGAUGUGGCACCAUGAUUUCGAACUAGAAAUCCCCACAUUGAGUGAGGGUUAGGUUGACGAUGCAUAUGUAUGUUACACCACACUUCAAGCCAACAACGGGGAUUCAUGCAUGCAUGCGUGCAUAGUAUAUGCGCUCAAACUUAAUUAGGUCUGAAUCUCACCAUGACCUAUACUACGAUAACACGAACCAAAUGAAGAAUCUGCCAUGGUAACCUAUCUUGUUGUCGGUCAAGGUGAUCAUGGAUGUCCACGCCUUCCCACGAAUAUAUAGGCUUGUCGCCGAUAACCACGCGAGGGAGUGUACCAUUCGAAGGCAACCACUACAUGCAUAUGUAUGGAGGUGAUGCGUGCAUGCAUGUUUGAAUACCAUUUCACAACAUUGAUGUGGCGCGUGCGUCAAAAAUCGUACACUCCCCACACAGAGCAAGAUCGGUUCAUGACGUGUCAUUGUACUAGUCACUUCGACUCGAUGGGAGGGAUUCAUGUGUACACAUGCAUGUGUGUGUGCUCAAACUGUAUCAUGCAUGUCAUCCCAGAGCAUGACCUAUAUAUAUACCGUAUUACAAGCAAAAAAAUUAAUCCCCUCGUAAGUCAAAUUAACCUCCCUCGUUGUCAGGCAAAAAGUAGUGAUGGACCAAGCGGGCCCACAGAUGGAAAGCAUCGAUAUCGCUGAUAACCGUGUCGGGUGGUUGGUGCGACAUAUGCCAAGGGAAGGCUUAUCAUUGUGGGAGCCAAUAAAAUGUCGUCGGUGCCUGGAAACGGGAUGAGGCGAAGACAUGCACGCCGGCGAAUCUUACCCAGGUUCGGGGCUCUCCGAGGAGAUAACACCCCUAGUCCUGCUCUACGGGGUCUCCGCAUGAUCACUAGAUCGAUAAAGGGUAGCUACAAUCACUCCUAGAGCUGUUGGGGUCAAGGGAGAAGAAGAACAAGGCUAGCUCUUGCUUCUCUCUAUCUAUGUGUGUGUGCGUGUGCUAUGCUUGGAAGCCAAACAUGCAGAGGUGCGAACUAUGCUUCCGAGAGAACCAGUAGCCAACGGGGGGUUUAUAUAGGCUUACCCCCCGGGGGUACAAUGGUAAUCCGACUGGGAACGGGUCCCAGCCGUCAGUGUCUAUGCUCACCGGCUUCUCCGCCGGCUGGUGAGUCCCGCCGGCUGCCGGCUACUUGGUCGACAGGCCGGCCCCACCGCCUAGGGCUUUGUCGGCGGCUGCUUACUGUAGCCGCGCCUCUGAUGAUGAGGGCUUGGUCGAGGUGAGCGUGGCUACAGUGGGCCGCCUUGGGGGCUAUCACUGUAGCCUCACCUCGUCUUGUCUCCUUAAUGGGGCUCCUGCUUCGAGGAAGGGAGUAGCCGGCUUCUGGAGGCCGGCUAUGCUCCCGGCCGACUAGGAAAAGCCGGGCCGCCUUCACGCCUCUCUCUGGCUGAAGGGGCCCGCGGUCCUUGGGCCGUACGGGAGCAGGUCGUGGAUGACGUCGAGGCUAGCGUGGCUACAGUGCCGGGCCGCACGGGAGACAUCCCUCCCGUACGGCCUCCUGUAGCCGUGCCCGCCUCGGGCUUCGGGGGUCGUGGGCCGCACUGUGGCCACACCCCGUCACGUCGUCGUUAUGUAGGAGUGGUUGUGGUCUUAGCCGGCUUCUAGGAGUCGCGUCCUUCUUGGCCGGCUUCUUGGAGUCGGUGAGGCUGGGUUGCCUUCCGGGAGUCGGCUUCAGUGGUAGCCGGCCGGGGAAGGCGGCCCAAAUGCUUGGAGUGCUUGAAGGCCCAAAGGCCUGAUAAAUUUUCUGAAGAGCCAGGGGUAGUCGGUUAGGCUACCCGUGGCCACUUACUCCGACAGUAGUCCCCGAAGCUGAUUGGGCUUCGAGGUGGAGUGGGGUUCGAGAAGCUCGAACAGCUUCCUAUUGUGACAAGCCGGCAGCUGGGAGCCGGCCUUGGUCAAGCACGCCGCCUGAGCCAAAAUCUUCUGGAGUCGGAGGGCGGGAACCCGCUGGCACGUGCGCCGGGCCACGGGCCGGAAAGCCUGCCAGCCCACGCGCGUGACGGGACGUCGCCGCAGAGAGGGGGCCCGCCACGACCGCGCCGCGGCCCAAGCGCGGAUCCUUUGUAUCCCGAAACCGCCCGCACGUUCCGUGCGGCAGUUUCGGUUCGUACUUAUGCGUAAUAAACGCGAGACGUGGGGGGAGUGGGCGCAGUUAAUCCCCACGUCUCCCCCCACGUCCGGCCUCUUCGGCCGCGUGAGGCUAUAAGUAGGGGGAGGUGGAGGGCGGCAGACCCUCGCGCGCUCCUCCUACUCCCUUUGUCUUCUCGCCUUGCUUGUUCUUGCGACAGCGCCUCGCCGCCGCGCUCUUCCUUCGCACGCUCCUCCGCCACCGUGCCAGCUUCCGCUAUGCCUCCCCACGUUGAGCAGCUUGGCGGGGAUUGGGAUGGCUCCAUCAUCCACAACGACCACAUCGACUUCCUCCGCGACACCCGGCGUCUGCCCAGCGCGGACAAAGUGGAGGUCCGCCUCGCGCCGGAGAAGGAAGUCAGGCCGGCGCCGCGGGAUGGCGAGCGGGUGGUCUUCCGCUCGCACUUCCUGCGCGGCUUCGGACUGCCAGUGAGCGCCUUCUUCCGCUCCUGGUUGGACUUCUAUCAGCUCCAGCCGCACCACCUCACCCCCAACGCGGUGGUGCUGCUGUCGGCCUUUGUCACCCUGUGCGAGGGCUAUCUCGGCGUCCUCCCCACCCUCGAGGUCUGGGGGAAUUCUUCCAGUCGAAGCUGGGCACGCGCGUGCGGGGCGUGCCGGCUCAGACCGGCGCCUUCAUCGCGUCACGGAGAUCAGGCGCCGACAACCCCUUCCCCAUCAUCACGCUGAUCCAAUCGGUGAAGAAGUGGCAGAAGUCAUACUUCUACGUGCGGAACAUCGCUCCACGGGGCAACUACAUCAACCUGCCGGCUUACGUAGCCGGCCCACUGGUGGGGAGGCUGCCCCAGUGGUCCUUCUGGGCGGUGACGCUGUCGCAGGGAGGAAACGCCGACAUCGCCCGCCUGCGGGUGAUGGUCCAGUCGGAGGGCCUGACGGGGCCCGACCUCCUGGCCGCGUUCGUCUGGAGCCGGGUCCUCCCGCUCCAGAGCCGACCUCAUCUGAUCUGUCGGAUGAGCGGCCAGCUCGAUCCGAGCCGGUUGUGCACCAGCGAGAUGCCGCAGCCCGACGCCGCCGACAUGGUGAACUACCUCGCCAAUUGCCAGCUUCCCGACGACUGGCAAUUCGGCAAGGAGCCAUACAGCCGCGCCAAUCCUCCGCCUAUGGUACGCUCCCCUUCUCUUUUUCUCUUUUUCUCUUUUUCUCUCUCAGCUUUGCCGCCGAGUUCCUCUGGGCCGACUCUAACUCAGUCGGCUCGCUCUUUUGACAGAAUCCUCUGCUUCGGCCGGCCGGCGGAGCGAACGUGGAGCGCCGCUUCGUCCCCGACCGGACCGAGCACGACCAGGAGGACCCCGAUCUGGGGGCGGUCCAUAUGGAGGAUGCCGCCAAGCCGGCCGGCGGCCAAGCCGGCGGCGAAGCAGGCGGCUCCGGGUUCUCCGCGACCUUCGACGACUGGCCGGACGAGGACGAAGCCGAAGCCGUCCCGCCCCGUCAGCCGGCCUCCGGACGCGGCGCGGGCUCCUCCGGCGCGCAGCCUGCUCGGGGUAGAGGCCAGAAACGUCGCGCCACCCAGGGCAUGUUCGGCAGCCGGACGAAGAAGCCGAGGGGUGGGGCGGCAGCCACUAGGCGGGAAGAAGCGGCCGCGAAGGCGGCUCGCUUCCGCAAAGUGGUGAAGCAGCCGCAGACUGUGUCGGCGUGAGUUCUCUCUUUCUUCGUACUGUCCUUCUUUCUUUCCUUUGAUGGUUCUUGAGUCUUCGUCUUCUUUUUCAACGGUCAGAGCUCCGCUGUCACUUGAGCGGGCGGCUGCCGGCUCCGUCAUCGGGUCGCCAGGGGGCUCUGGGAGCACCACCCGCCGCGUAGAUCCCCGCGCCGCCCUCCUGGAGGUGACGGAAAGGAACGCGCGGGAGGUGCGGGAGGAGCAGGAAGCGCGGGAGGCGGAGGCACGGAGGGCAGCCGCCGCCCAGGCCGCUCGGGAGGAGGAGGCGGCGAAGGCGCUCGCCGAGGCCGCAGCCAACGCCCAGGCAGAGGCUGAAGCCGAAGCGGUGGCAGGGGAGGCCUUGAUGGUCACUCCCCUGCGCACCAUGGCGCCCGGGGACGUGGAUCCCUCGCCAGGGGGAGCCAGCGGGUCCCAGCCGGGGCUGGGAGGAAGCGGCGACGAUGUCGUCAUCUUGGGGGAGGCGCCGGGGCUGACUCCUCCGACUAGGAUGACCCAAGGCCGCCAGCCUGAGCCUGCGCCCGCACAGUCGGCGGGGGCGAGCCGGCCGCGGGGGCUGAGGUGGCGGUCCGGGUUCCGCCAAGCCGGCGUGCGGGGAAGGCCGCGGCUGAACCGCAGAAGGCUGCGUCGGAGCCACAGCCAGCCGUGGGCUCCAGCUCAUCGGCCCGAGACGUGGAGGCGGCUAGCGCUACCUCGGGGUGGACGCCGGGCGGAGGGACAUCGGUGGUGAACGUCGCUGCACAAGACGUCCGGACCCGGCUGCAAAGCCAAGCCACGGCGCUGAGGCAGUUCACCGAUGAAUUCCUCGCCACGCGGGCAGCCAUCCGGGUUAGUACUCUCAUCUUGUUCUUGAUUUCUCUUGUGGGGGCGCGUCAGCGCACCCACUGGGUGUAGUCCCCGAGUUCCGAGUCGGGUGCUGAGCAGGCGGCUUGGAACUUCUUGGAGAUUUUGUUUUUGCUGCUUUUGUUCUCACGUCGGUCUUCUGUCCAUCUUGCAGGACUACCACAACCUCCGAGCGGCCGCCUUCAACUCCCAGGCUCGGGAGCUGACGUAGAAGACCGCCGAUCUCACUGAAAGCCGAGGUAUGUGACUUGAUCUUUAUCUCAUGUGGGGGCGCGUCAGCGCACCCACUGGGUGUAGUCCCCGAGAUUCGGGCCGACUGCUGAGCAGUCGGCUCGGAUCUUCCAUGAUAAUUUCUCAUUGUGCUUCUUCUUCUAUCUCUGCAGCGGCCAAUGCCGGUCUGAGGGCGCAGCUGGGGGAGUCCCAGACUGCUCUUCGUGCCAAGGACGCGGAGCUCGCCGCCUUGGUGCAGGAGCGCGACCGCCUGGUCAAGAAGCUGGCCGACCAGGAGGAAAGCCACAAGGCGGCGCUGAAGGCUGCGCAGGACCGCGAAGCCGCCCUCCAGGCCGAGUUCGAGACGGAGGCGGCCGGCUGGGCAAAGGACCGACAGACUCUGGUCUCCGGCUAUGGCCAGAUCGAGCAUCUGGUUGACGGUAAGUCGUCUACCCCUUCGUCCUUUCUUGCCAUCUGUUACUUCGACUUGUUUUUCUGAUUUGGGGUUCUUCUUUUCUUUUCUUCUUUGCGCAGAGUACUUCCCUGGUUAUUCAACUGCCGCCAACCAGGCCGUCGAGGCCCGUUGCCAGGCGAAGAGGCAAGCCGGCUUUGAGAUCUCGCCAACCGCCGGCCGCUCGCUAGAGGAACAGCUCCUGGCGAUCCAGGCUCGCAUCCAGCCGGCUCACAGGCUGCUCCGCCGGCUUCAGCGUGCCGGGUCGCAGGUCCUGGCCGCCCUCUGGCCCGGCCAAGUGAUCCCGCGCACUCCCAGUCGGACCGCCGACUGGCUGGAGGUGGCCGUCGGCCGCUUCGAGGCUUGGAAGGCGUCAGCGGCUCGCUCCGGAGCCGGGCGGGCGCUGGAGUUCGUCAAGGCCUGGUACCCUGGCCUGAACCUAGAUCAGCUGGCUACCUGGCGGCAGCAAGCCAACACAGAGCUGGAGCCGGCGCGGCCGGCCAUCAUUCGGCGGGCUUCGGCGAUCGCCGACUACACCGACACCAACGUCUUCGCCCCCGAGGUGGACGACAAUGGAGUCGCCCAGCCGGAAGAUUGGUUCGGGCUGGACCCGGCGUGCGGCGAGGACUCGGCGGAGGAGAUCGACUCCAGUGACGAGGGCGAAGAGGAGGAGGAGGAGGGUGAAGACGUCGAGCCGGCUGGCAGAGUAGCCGGCCAGCCUGACCGCGCCUCCAGCACUACGUCGCGUGCGAGUGUGUCUCCUGCCGUAGGAGGUGGUCAAGCCGGGACCAGCUAGGCGGCCACUCCUUCAGCCGGCGAGCUGCCUUCACCGACCAACUCGGCCUCCAAGUCGCGCCUUAGUCUUCUUUCUUUGUUUUCCUGUCUUGUUACUUUUGAACAAUGUUUGGUUAAGUCUGCACAAUUCCACCCACUGGGUGUAUUCAAACUUAAGUCUGUUGCCAGCCUGUGGGCGGCUUUAUGUAUAUAAGUUAUGCAAUCGGUCUUUCCUUGUACUUUCGCUUUUUGUCCUUUUGCUUUUUUCCUUUGCCGCCCUCCCUUGGUUGCCGCCUCCCUAGUCAAACAGUUGCUCUGCAAUCUGUAGCCGGGGAGUGCCUGGCUGAUUGGGGAGGGGGAAGUACUUUUAGCUCUGCCGGACUUAAGCUAUGUUUUUAGGAAGCCGGCCAGCCGGCUGCUGUGACAGCCGGUAGGCAUAUAUGGAGGCCGUCUCUUUGCUAUAUAGGUUAGUUGUUCCUUAGCCGUUUUUCGUGUGGGCGUCCUUUCUGUCUUCUCUCUUGCUAGUCGGACAGUCAGUUCUUUGAGCUGCGACUUUCAACAAGAGAGGACUUGGGAGCCGGCGCACUACUUUGCUGACUUCGGGAAGAACUUAGAAUAUAGCUCAAGGCGGCCAGUCCCCGGGCCGACUAGUCGGACCCGGUGCCGGACAAGAAUUCAAAAUAUAAUAAUACAUUCAUGGAUAUGACACUCGUCAUUCAUAGAUAAAUAAAAGGCAGUCCCCGAGUACUGUUCGGGGGCCCUGUUGGUUUGUACUUAAUACAAAAGGGGUAGCGUGAUACAUACUGCUUUUCAGCUGUAAAAUCGUCUUAGGAGGUUUGCGGUCCAUGGUCGCUCCGACUCCUUGCCGGAGUCGUCUCUCUUGCGUGCUCUUGGUUUUUGCGCGUCGAUCAAGUAGUAGGAGUCGUUGCCGAGUGCUUUGCUGACGACGAAGGGGCCUUCCCAAGGGGCCGAGAGCUUGUGCUGGCCGGCUGUUCGCUGGAUCAGCCGGAGCACAAGGUCGCCCUCUUGGAAGGAUCUUGGCUUGACCUUGCGGUUGUAGUAGCGGCGCAGGCCUUGCUGGUAGAUGGCGGACCGGUUGAGGGCUAACAGCCGGCCUUCUUCCAGUAGGUCGACGCCGUCUUCUCUUGCUUCUUUGGCUUCCUCCUCCGUGUACAUGGUGAUCCGAGGCGAGUCGAACUCGAUGUCUGUUGGGAUGACAGCCUCGGCACCGUACACAAGGAAGAAUGGAGUGAAGCCGGUUGACUUGUUGGGUGUAGUGCGCAGACUCCAGAGGACAGCCGGUAGCUCUUUGAGCCAGCAGCCGGCCGAUCGCUCCAGUGGUACAACCAGUCGGGGCUUGAUGCCGGAGAGGAUAAGUCCAUUUGCUCGCUCGACCUGGCCGUUUGACUGCGGGUGGGCAACGGACGCUAAGUCCAGUCGGAUGCCCUGUGUCGCGCAGAAACGUGCCAGUGCGCCUUUGGCGAAGUUCGUGCCAUUGUCGGUGAUGAUGCUGUGCGACACGCCGUACCGAGUAGUGAUGUCGGUGAUGAAUGUCACGGCAGUCGGCCCGUUCAGCUUCUUGAUCGGUUUGGCUUCGAUCCACUUUGUGAACUUGUCCACAGCAACGAGUAGGUGCGUCAUGCCACCGCGGGCUGUCUUGAAAGGGCCCACCAUGUCCAGUCCCCAGACGGCAAAAGGCCAGCUGAGGGGAAUGGUCUUGAGGGCAGAAGCCGGCAGGUGUUGUUUGGAACUGAAGACUUGACAUCCUCUGCAGCUCUUAACUAUUUCUUUAGCAUCCUCCAAGGCAGUCGGCCAGAAGAAACCAUGGCGGAAGGCCUUGGCCACGAGGGAUCUUGAGGCGGCAUGAUGGCCGCAUUCGCCUUGGUGGAUGUCUUUGAGGAUCGCCACUCCUUUUUCUGGCUCGACGCAACGCUGGAAGACUCCAGUGACGCUGCGCUUCACAAGCUCCCUGUUGAUUAUUGUGUAUGCUGCGGCUCGUCGUUGCACUAGUCUUGCUGAGAUCUCAUCAGCCGGCAGCUCUCUGCUGACUAGGAACUUGAGGAUGGGCUGGGCCCAUGAGGGAGCUGUGACUUCUUCUGCUGUUAAUGUGGCCACCAUGACUCGGGUGGGUGGGUUGGGUGUUGUAUUGGAGUCGACCGCCGCUUCUUGUGUCGUUGCAGUCCCCGGGCCGACUGCUGCAGUCCCCGGGCCGGGUUCUGAAGUCCCUGGGCCGGGUGCGACUACGUCAGUCGCCGGGGUAGUCGUCGAAGUCCCCGUGCCGCCUGCGGGAUUUCUUGAGCCGGAUCCGGCUGUUUCUAGCGCAGGCGGUACGAAGAUGGAAUCCGACUCUGGAGAUGGCUUGAUGGACGGCUUGAGGAGGCGCUGGAGGGAGACGCCAGUCGGUAUGGCUUGUCGGGUGGAGCCGAUCCGUGCUAGGGCAUCUGCUUGGUCGUUGUCGGCCCUUGGCACAUGAAGGAACUCGCACCCUUCGAAGUAUCCGCUCAUUUGCUGGACGAGGAAGCGGUAGCUCGCCAUGUUUGCGUCCUUGGCGUCCCAGUCGCCAGAUGAUUGCUGGAUCACUAAGUCGGAGUCGCCGUAGCACAGGAUCCGGCGUAUGCCGAGUUCUUUGGCUAGCCGGAGCCCAUGUACGAGCGCCUCGUACUCGGCCACGUUGUUGGAGGCGGCGAAGUGGAUCUGCAGCGUGUACUUGAGCUUGUCGCCUUUGGGAGAGGUGAGGACGAUGCCGGCUCCCAAGCCGGUGCGCAUCUUGGACCCGUCGAAGUUCAUCCGCCAAUGGGUAGAGUCGGGAGCCGGCGGUAAGUACUGGGUCUCGGCCCAGUCGACGAGGAAGUCAGCCAAUGCUUGCGACUUGAUGGCGGUGCGGGGUUGAUAGAAGAUCGUGUAGGGCGCCAAGGCAAUGGCCCAUUUGGCCACCCGGCCGGAUGCAUCCCGGCUGCCUAUGAUCUCGGCGAGCGGGGCAGUGCACACGACCGUGAUGGGGUGCUCUUGGAAGUAGGGCUUCAAUUUCUUGGCAGCGAAGUACACCCCAUAGCACAUCUUCUGGUAGUGCGGGUAGUUUUGCUUUGAGCUGGACAGUACUUCGCUGAGAUAGUAGACCGGCCUCUGGACCAGCUGGGCUCGGCCUUCCUCCGGGCGCUGGACCACAAAAACAGUGCUGACGACUCGGCUUGUCGCGGCGAUGUAGAGGAGCAUGGGCUCCUUCUCAGUCGGCGCGGCCAGGACAGGCGGAGUGGUCAACAUUUUCUUCAACUCAUGGAAGGCUUGGUCGGCUUGAUCAUUCCACUCAAAGUGAGUGGACUUCUUCAUGAGUCGGUACAGGGGGAGAGCCUUCUCUCCUAGUCGGCUGAUAAAGCGGUUCAGGGAGGCUAAGCAGCCAGUGAACUUCUGCACAUCUCGCAGCUUGGUGGGAAUUUCCAUCCUCUCGAUGGCCUUGAUCUUGACAGGGUUGCACUCAAUGCCGCGUUCGGAGACCAGGAAGCCUAGCAGCUGGCCGGCUGGCACGCCGAACACGCACUUCUCGGGGUUGAGCUUGAUCUGGAAUCGACGCAAGUUGGCAAAUGUUUCCUUCAGGUCUUCCAGCAAGGUACCGCGCUUCUCUGUCUUCACCACAAUGUCGUCUACGUAGACGUGGGCAUUUCUGCCGAGUUGUUUCAAGAGACAUUUCUGCAUGCAACGCUGAAAAGUGGCACCGGCGUUUCUCAAGCCGAAUGUCAUUGUCAGGUAGCAGAAAGCUCCAAAGGGUGUGAUGAAGGUAGUCUUCAGGCGGUCAGCCGGGUCCAACUUGAUCUGAUGAUACCCUGAGUAUGCAUCCAAAAAACUUAACAGCUCGCAUCUGGCUGUGGAGUCCAUCACUUGGUCAAUCCGUGGCAAAGCAAACAGAUCCUUUGGGCAGGCCUUGUUCAAACUCGUGUAGUCUAUACACAUGCGCCACUUGUUAUUCUUCUUCAAAACCAGAACUGGAUUGGCAAGCCAUUCUGGAAAGAACACUUCCAUGAUGAAGCCGGCUGCAAGGAGCCGGGCUAUCUCUUCUCCCACUAUUCUUCGCUUCUCUUCUGAUAGUCGGCGGAGGGGUUGCUUGACCGGCUUCGCAUCAGCUCGGACAUGUAAUUUGUGCUCGGCGAAAUCCUUCGGGACACCCGGCAUGUCCUUUGGGGACCAUGCAAAGAUGUCUCGAUUCUCACGGAGGAAGUCGACGAGCUCGCCUUCCUAUUUACUGUCCAAGUUCGCCCCAAUCACGGCGAACCUCUCCGGGUGCUCCGGGUCUAGAGGUAUCUUCUUCGUCUCUUUUGCAGGCUGGAAGGAGCCCUGCGCAUCACAGUCCUUGGGGUUGGGGGACAAGGCCGGCUGCUUGCCGGCCAUGGCCACAACCCGUUCCAACAUCUUCUUCUCUUCUGCCACCACGAGGGACUCGGCCAGCCGGCUGCUGGCCAUGGCACACUCGAUGGACUUCUUGUAGUCGCCGGCUACCGUGAUGAUCCCUUUCGAGCUCGGCAUCUUCAUCUUCAGGUAGGCAUAGUGGGGCACGGCCAUGAACUUGGCCAAAGCAGGUCGGCCAAGCAGUGCAUGAUAGGGGCUCUCCAAAUCCACCACCUCGAACCAUAUUGCUUCCCGGCGAAAAUGAUCUUUGUCUCCGAAGAGAACAUCCAUCUUGAUCUUGCCGAUUGGAGAGCAAGAUAGGCCGGGUACGAUACCAUGGAAGACGGUGCGGCUCGGCAUGAGCUGCUUCGCUUUGAUGUUCAGCUUGUCCAUGGUAUCGCGGUACAGUAUGUUGAUACUGCUUCCGCCGUCUAUCAGGACGCGGGAAAAUCUGGCAGCUCGCCUCUCCGUCGCAAGGGUGACGUCCAAGACCAUAGCAUAGGAGCCAGGCGAAGGCAUCACCUCUGGGUAGUCGGCCUGGCUCCAGCUGAUGGGCUUUUCCGACCAGUGCAUGAACUCGGCGGUGCUAGAGGCGACUGCGUUUACUUCUUGGUGCUGCCGGCAUCGGCUGUGCUUGUCGUCGACUUGACUUGUGAAGACGACAUAGGUGUCGUGUGCUUCGGGGAACUCGUCUUGGAUGGCGCCGACUGCCAGCCGGGCCGCCGGCUGCUGGGGAGCCGGAGGCGGCGGGCCGGGAGGUGGAGGCGGCACCAUCCCUUCGCCCUUGGUGAUGCGGGUGAGCCAGUGGCAUUUCCGUGUUGUAUGGUUGGAUGGCUUCGCGCCGCUGUGGAACUUGCAGGGAGCAUCGAGUGCUUGUUCAUAGGAGAAAGACGGCUGCCAGGGCGGCCGGCCACCCUUCUUCUUGGGAGCGGGCCGCUCUUCAGGCUGCUUGUCUUCAACUGUGGCCACCUGCCGACUGGAGGAAGUCGGCAUGGGGCCCUUGCGCUUGUGGUCGUUCUGGUAGGGGUGCCGGUUGGGGUCGCCAGCCGGCUGCUUGGGAGCCGGAGCAACUACUUUUCCCGAGGCGUCCACUCGGAGCUCGGUCUUCAUGGAAGAGUCAGCCGUGGCAUAUUUGUCGGCGGUGAUCAGCAACUCAUCGAGGGUAGCCGGCUCGUUGCAGAGGAGUCGGUGCUUGAGGAGGGUGCCCUCUCGGCACCCUGCAGUGAAGUACUCGAUGGCCUGGACCUCGUGCACUCCCUCGCAGGAGUUGCGGAGCUCGGCCCAUCGCGUGAGGUAGUCGCGGGUCGACUCGUUGGGCCCUUGGACGCAGAGGAGAGCUGACGAGGCUUGGGGGGCCGCUUGUAGGUGCUGGUGAAGUUACGGACGAAAACUUCGGUGAAGUCCAGCCAACUAUUGAUGCUGUAGGGCUUGAGGCUAUUUAGCCAUGUGCGCACCGUGCCCUGCAGCGUCAGGGGGACGUACUUCACGGCAACGCGCCGGUUGUCGUUGGCGAUGCUGACGGCUGUGGAGUAGUCGAUGAGCCAAUCUUCCGGCUUCACCGAGCCGUUGUACUUGGGCGUGUCUCUGGGGAGCGAGAACCCUUUGGGAAAGGGCUCGUCGCGGAUGCGGGGGGCAAAGCAUGGCGGGCCGACAUCGUCUUCUUCUUCUAACGCCAAGGAUCGAGCCAGGCGGUCGAUCCUGUGGCGGGCGUCGUUCUCGCCGACUCCUUCUCGGCGGCCGAGUCGGUCGCCAAGAGUCGGAUGGGCGACAGGCGGUGGAGUGAGGCGUCUUUCUCUUCGAGGCGGGGGAGGAGGCAGGUUUCCUUGGUGUUCAACCGCCCGAGGGCGGCCAUCCGCGUCGCGCUCGAUAGUGAUGCGAGUCCGGCUGCGGCUGGCAGCCGGCUCCUUGUCUUUCUUCUGGCGCGCGCCGCUCGCAGUCGGCGAGCGGGACGUCGCGGCGUGCUCCCGGCGCGGGGGAUGGCUAUCAGCUCGGGCGCCGGCUUCGUGCCGUUCUGCAGCCGUGUCGAUCAGCUGCUGGAUCCGUCUUGUCAUGUAAGGGAGCUCAUCGGCUCCCAGCCCAUUAAGCUCCUCUGCAGCCGCCUGAGCGGCUCGCAGAUUCUCGAGCGGGGUGGCGUAGACGGGGCGAUCUGCGCCCAGCAUGCUGGCAACGGCUGCGCCGCGCUUCUGGACGAAACCGGCUCGGCUCGGGCCGCUAGGCGGCGGCGUCCCGAAGGCGGCGCGGUCAGCCUCGCGCUGGUGGGCCUCGGUGAGGCGUCUCAUCGAGGCUAUCUUCUUGCCCUCCGCGAUGAGGGCAAGGCGGCGUGCCUCCAAGGUCUCGGCGUCGGCGUCGGCUGGGAUGGGGACGGAGAGGUCGUGCAUCGCCGCUUGCUGAGCGUCGCGGGCGUUCUCGCCCGAAUUGGAGACGUGGCUGAUGACCAGCACUUCGGUGACAGCGCUGCUGCCGCUGUCAGCUCGAGGGAGUGGGUCGUCAAAGACCACCACGUCGGAGGGGUAAGCGUCGAGCGACGCGGUGUCGGAGUCGAUGAGCAUCGGGUCGGUGGAGCUGACAGACUCCAUGUCCGCAGCAGGCUCGCUGGAGACGUGAAGUUGGUCGAGGAGGCUGACGAGGCGGCUCUCGGGGUAGUCGGUGCCUGCGUCGGACGCAGGCUUGUCGGAGAUGCAAGUCUCGCCGAGCAGAUCGGCGAGGCGGCUUGCUGCGCAGGCAUCGUCGACGCCUUGCAGCGCAUCGGGGCAAGCGCCAUCGAGCGCAGCAGGCUGGCUGCGCUCGCGGGGAAGGAAGAGGGUUCCAGUCCAGAACAGGUCUCCGGACGACGGUGCACCUCGCCCCACGGUGGGCGCCAAAUGUCGGGUGGUUGGUGCGACAUAUGCCAAGGGAUGGCUUAUCAUUGUGGGAGCCAAUAAAACGUCGCCGGUGCCUGGAAACGGGAUGAGGCGAAGACAUGCACGCCGGCGAAUCUUACCCAGGUUCGGGGCUCUCCGAGGAGAUAACACCCCUAGUCCUGCUCUACGGGGUCUCCGCAUGAUCACUAGAUCGAUAAAGGGUAGCUACAAUCGCUCCUAGAGCUGUUGGGGUCAAGGGAGAAGAAGAACAAGGCUAGCUCUUGCUUCUCUCUAUCUAUGUGUGUGUGCGUGUGCUAUGCUUGGAAGCCAAACAUGCAGAGGUGCGAACUAUGCUUCCGAGAGAACUAGAAGCCAACCCUUUGCAUGGGUGCUCCGGGGGGUUUAUAUAGGCCUACCCCCGGGGGUACAAUGGUAAUCCGACUGGGAACGGGUCCCAGCCGUCAGUGUCUAUGCUCACCGGCUUCUCCGCCGGCUGCUGGGUCCCGCCGGCUGGUGGGUCCGGCCGGCUGCCGGCUACUUGGUCGACAGGCCGGCCCCACCGCCUAGGGCUUUGUCGGCGGCUGCUUACUGUAGCCGCGCCUCUGAUGAUGAGGGCUUGGUCGAGGUGAGCGUGGCUACAGUGGGCCGCCUUGGGGGCUAUCACUGUAGCCUCACCUCGUCUUGUCUCCUUAAUGGGGCUCCUGCUUCGAGGAAGGGAGUAGCCGGCUUCUGGAGGCCGGCUAUGCUCCCGGCCGACUAGGAAAAGCCGGGCCGCCUUCACGCCUCUCUCUGGCUGAAGGGGCCCGCGGUCCUUGGGCCGUACGGGAGCAGGUCGUGGAUGACGUCGAGGCUAGCGUGGCUAUAGUGCCGGGCCGCACGGGAGACAUCCCUCCCGUACGGCCUCCUGUAGCCGUGCCCGCCUCGGGCUUCGGGGGUCGUGGGCCACACUGUGGCCACACCCCGUCACGUCGUCGUUAUGUAGGAGUGGUUGUGGUCUUAGCCGGCUUCUAGGAGUCGGCGUCCUUCUUGGCCGGCUUCUUGGAGUCGGUGAGGCUGGGUUGCCUUCCGGGAGUCGGCUUCAGUGGUAGCCGGCCGGGGAAGGCGGCCCAAAUGCUUGGAGUGCUUGAAGGCCUAAAGGCCUGAUAAAUUUUCUGAAGAGCCAGGGGUAGUUGGUUAGGCUACCCGUGGCCACUUACUCCGACAAACCGCUUAAGUGGGUGCGAGAGGACUGUUGGGGAACGCAGUAAUUUCAAAAAAUCUCCUACGCACACGCAAGAUCCAUCUAGGUGAUGCAUAGGAACGAGUGGGAGAGUGUGUCCACAUACGCUCGUAGACUGAAAGCGGAAGCGUUAAGCAACGCGAUUGAUGUAGUCGAACGUCUUCGCGAUCCAACUGAUCAAGUACCAAACGCACGGCACCUCCGCGAUCUACACACGUUCAUCUCGGUGACGUCCCUCGUACUCUUGAUCCAGCUGAGGCCGAGGGAGAGUUUCGUCAGCACGACGACGUGAUGACGGUGAUGAUGAAGUUACCGACGCAGGGCUUUGCCUAAGCACUACAACGAUAUGACCGAGGUGGAAAUCUAUGGAGGGGGCACCGCACACGGCUAAGACAACUGUCAACUUGUGUUCUAGGGUGCCCCCCUCCCCACGUAUAUAAAGGAGUGAGGGGGAGGCCGGCUGGCCCUCAUAGGCGCGCCAAGGGGGGAGGAAUCCUCCUCCUAGUAGGAGUAGGACUCCCCACUUUCCUAGUCCUACUAGGAGAAGAAGGAAGGAGGGGGAAAGAGAAGGAAGGAGGGGGCGCCGCCCUCCCCCUAGUCCAAUUCGGACUAGGACCAUGGGGGGGGGGGGGCGGCUAGCCCUUGGCAGCCCCUCUCUCUCUCCCCUAGGCCCAAUAAGGCCCAUUACUUCUCUGGUGGUUCCGAUAACCCUUCCGGCACUUCGACAUUUAUCCGGUGACCCCCGGGACUCAUCCGGUGUCCGAAUAACAUCGUCCAAUAUAUCAUUCUUUAUGUCUCGACCAUUUUGAGACUCCUCGUCAUGUCUGUGAUCACAUCCGGGACUCCGAACUACCUUCAGUACAUCAAAACACAUAAACUCAUAAUACCGAUCGUCAUCGAACGUUAAGCGUGCGGACCCUACGGGUUCAAGAACUAUGUAGACAUGACCGAGACUCAUCUCCGGUCAAUAACCAAUAGCGGAACCUGGAUGCUCAUAUUGGCUCCCACUUUUUCUACGAAGAUCUUUAUUGGUCAAACCGCAUAACAACAUACGUUGUUCCCUUUGUCAUCAGUAUGUUACUUGCCCGAGAUGCGAUCGUCGGUAUCUCUAUACCUAGUUCAAUCUUGUUACCGGCAAGUCUCUUUACUUGCUCCGUAAUUCAUCAUCCUGUAACUAACUCAUUAGUCACAUUGCUCGCAAGGCUUAUAGUGAUGUGCAUUACCGAGAGGGUCCAGAGAUACCUCUCCGACAACCGGAGUGACAAAUCCUAAUCUCGAUCUAUGCCAACUCAACAAACACCAUCAGAGACACCUGUAGAGCAUCUUUAUAAUCACCCAGUUACGUUGUGACGUUUGAUAGCACACUAAGUGUUCCUCCGGUAUUCGGGAGUUGCAUAAUCUCAUAGUCAUAGGAACAUGUAUAAGUCAUGAAGAACGUCAUAGCAACAAACUAAACGAUCAUCGUGCUAAGCUAACGGAUGGGUCAAGUCAAUCACAUCAUUCUCUAAUGAUGUGACCCCGUUAAUCAAAUGAGAAAUCAUGUCUAUGGCUAGGAAACUUAACCAUCUUUGAUUAACGAGCUAGUCAAGUAGAGGCAUACUAGUGACACUCUGUUUGUCUAUGUAUUCACACAUGUACUAAGUUUCCGGUUAAUACAAUUCUAGCAUGAAUAAUAAACAUUUAUCAUGGUAUAAGGAAAUAUAACUAACAACUUUAUUAUUGCCUCUAGGGCAUAUUUCCUUCAGCCUCCCACUUGCACUAGAGUCAAUAAUUUAGAUUACACAAAAAUGAUUCUAACACCCAUGGAGUCUUGGUGCUGAUCAUGUUUUGCUCGUGAGAGAGGAUUAGUCAACGGGUCUGCAACAUUCAGAUCCGUAUGUAUCUUGCAAAUCUGUAUAUCUCCCUCCUUGACUUGAUCGCGGAUGGAAUUGAAGCGUCUCCUAAUGUGCUUGGUUUUCUUGUGAAAUCUGGAUUCCUUUGCCAAGGCAAUUGCACCAGUAUUGUCACAAAAGAUUUUCAUUGGACCUGAUGCACUAGGUAUGACACCUAGAUCAGAUAUGAACUCCUUCAUCCAGACUUCUUCAUUUGCUUCUUCUGAAGCAGCUAUGUACUCCGCUUCACACGUAGAUCCCGUCACGACGCUUUGCUUGGAACUGCACCAACUGACAGCUCCACCGUUCAAUAUAAAUACGUAUCCGGUUUCUGACUUAGAUUCAUCCGGAUCAGUGUCAAAGCUUGCAUCGACGUAACCAUUUAUGACGAGCUCUUUGUCACCUCCAUAAACGGGAAACAUAUCCUUAGUCCUUUUCAGGUAUUUCAGGAUGUUCUUGACCGCUGUCCAUUGAUCCACUCCUAGAUUACUUUGGUACCUCCCUGCUAAACUAAUAGCAAGGCACACAUCAGGUCUGGUACACAACAUUGCAUACAUGAUAAAACCUAUGGCUGAAGCAAAGGGAAUGACUUUCAUUUUCUCUUUAUCUUCUGCUGUGGUCGGGCAUUGAGUCUGACUCAACUUCACACCUUGUAACACAGGCAAGAACCCUUUCUUUGCUUGAUCCAUUUUGAACUUCUUCAAAACUUUUUCAAGGUAUGUGCUUUGUGAAAGUCCAAUUAAGCGUCUUGAUCUAUCUCUAUAGAUCUUGAUGCCCAAUAUAUAAGCAGCUUCACCGAGUUCUUUCAUUGAAAAACUCUUAUUCAAGUAUCCUUUUAUGCUAUCCAGAAAUUCUAUAUCAUUUCCAAUCAACAAUAUGUCAUCCACAUAUAAUAUUAGAAAUGCUACAGAGCUCCCACUCACUUUCUUGUAAAUACAGACUUCUCCAAAAGUCUGUAUAAAACCAUAUGCUUUGAUCACACUAUCAAAACAUUUAUUCCAACUCCGAGAUGCUUGCACCAGUCCAUAAAUGGAUCGCUGGAGCUUGCACACUUUGUUAGCAUCCUUUGGAUCGAUAAAACCUUCUGGUUGCAUCAUAUACAACUCUUCUUCCAGAAAUCCAUUCAGGAAUGCAGUUUUUACAGCCAUUUGCCAAAUUUCAUAAUCAUAAAAUGCGGCAAUUGCUAAUAUGAUUCGAACGGACUUAAGCAUCGCUACGGGUGAGAAGGUCUCAUCGUAGUCAACUCCUUGAACUUGUCGAAAACCUUUCGCAACAAGUCGAGCUUUGUAGAUAGUAACAUUACUGUCAGCGUUAGUCUUCUUCUUGAAGAUCCAUUUAUUCUCUAUUGGUUGCCGGUCAUCGGGCAAGUCAACCAAAGUCCACACUUUGUUCUUAUACAUGGAUCCCAUCUCAGAUUUCAUUGCCUCAAGCCAUUUCGUGGAAUCUGGGCUCACCAUCAAUUCCUCAUAGUUUGUAGGUUCAUCAUGGUCAAGUAACAUGACUUCUAGAACAGGAUUACCGUACCACUCUGGUGCGGAUCUGCAGCGACCCGACCUCAGAUGGUCAAGUCUCUGUGCUUCAGUGUCAUCCCUGGAUCGGUAAUGCUGACACACACAGUACUCGAAGGAUUUAUAACAGAGUGGCAAUCACACACUUAGUUCAUCGAAUGUCUCAAAUUAAAGAGAACGUAUUACAAUAAAUAAGGCUUAAGGCCAUCUAAUACGAUAACAGCGGAAGACUUGGAAGAUAAAGUGAGUCCAUCAACUCCAAUGGCAUAGCUGAGCUGCAUAACAACGACCUAUCGCACCUUUACUCGUCGUCUGAAAAGUCUGCAACAUCAUAUGUUGCAGGCCGAAAACGGGUCAGCACAUGGAAUAUGCUGGCAAUGUAACACAGUAGAGCAAUGAACAGAUAAAUGCUUUCACUACAUGCAUAUAUGUCUGGUGGAGGCUCUAUGGUUAUAUGGUUUUUGCGAAAAGCCAAUUUUUCUCUACAACAAAGGAAUAAAUUUUAUUUAACUAUCAUGGUAGUUGAAACAUCACUGAGAAGGUACCCCCAUCUCAAUCCCAAUUAAAGUAAUCUUUAACCCAACAAAUUAUAUUUAGAGUGAUGAGAUACAAUAGGAUAAUCCAAGCACUAGAUACUCAAGAUGUCCAUAACCGGGGACACGGCUAACCAUGAUUAGAUUGUACACUCUGCAGAGGUUUGCUCACUUUUCCCCAUAAGAUUCGAUCUCCUCCGUUGGAUUUCUCGCACUACAUGGUGUUUGAGAAACGGAUGACCGAGACAUAGUCUUUCAGAAGCAUUAACUCUUUACUCCGGGUGGACAGUUACACCUACUUUCCCUCUACAUCUGCUAGCCCACCACUGAAAGAGGUCACACAACAUACUCUGCCAGAGCCCAUAAUGGCUUGUGGCUGCACACGGAAGUUUCUAGCAUGAAUAAUCUCACGAUCCCUUUGAGCCUGGGUGGCGGACCUUAGGAGGAUCACACGGUAUAUCCCCGGUAUCUCCUAGGACAACACUGGUAUAUCCCCAGGUGCCCAAACAAGCAAUCCACCCAGAUGUGUAUUAGAGUUGCCACCUUAAGUUGAACCAUUAAUUAAUAAUCUCACAUCUGUCAUGGAUUCACUCACCCAAAUCACGUCUACGAGCAUAACAUGGCAAUAUAAGCAUAACGUAGAAGUAACUCCCAAAGGUUUGAUAAUAAAACAGGUAAUAGGUUCUACCUCAUCAUCUACUUCCCAAUACCCACAAGUUAAACACAUCCUAGUCAUGCAAUGUUUGAGGAUUGGAUCUAAUGCAUAAAAACUGGGUAUGAAAAGAGUAUGAUCAAUGUGUUACUUGCCUUGCUGACGAUCCGCAAAACCUAGUGACUCGUAGUAGCACGCUUCGCACUCCGGGAAUUCUAUCGCAAACAAACAAUAGCAUACAUAAGCAAUCAAACAAAGAUGCACGGGUAAAUCUCAAAUAAGAAGAUCUAACCAGAAAGUUCAACUUAAGAACUCCGGUUUGUGUAACAUCCCAAAUUUUCAAUUUGGAAUGUUAUACAUAGAUCAUUCAUGCAUAUCAUAUUUUAUUGCAUUUCGUUUUUUUCUUUGCAAUCCUCGAAAUUCUAAGCAACUCAACGACCCUUGGAGAGAGUUGGGGAUUUCACCGUUUUCGUAUUUGAAUCUUAUCAAAUAUCGAAACGAGGAUUAUUUGUUUUAAAUAUUUUUCUCCCCGAAAAUAUUUCAUAUUAAAAUUUAUGAGAGGGAAUAAAAUGACUUUCCCAAAAAUAAUGAAAUAUUGGAGGAAAAAUAUUAAAAGCAAAUUGAUAUUUUAUUUGGGAUUUUAUUGCUAUUUUAUUUGCAUAGGAAAAAUAUGCGUUUUUCAAAAUUGCAUUUUAGGCCCAAAUAAAUGUUCACCUGGUCAGGCAUAUUUUUAGAAGACGGGGAAAAUUCAUUUCGGGAUUUUUGGAGUCCGUUUAGUAUUUCUUUUAUUUCUUUUUCUGCAUGUAUGAAUUACUAAAAAAAAUGAACCGACUCCGGGCCGUACCCGAGCGGGACNNNNNNNNNNNNNNNNNNNNNNNNNNNNNNNNNNNNNNNNNNNNNNNNNNNNNNNNNNNNNNNNNNNNNNNNNNNNNNNNNNNNNNNNNNNNNNNNNNNNNNNNNNNNNNNNNNNNNNNNNNNNNNNNNNNNNNNNNNNNNNNNNNNNNNNNNNNNNNNNNNNNNNNNNNNNNNNNNNNNNNNNNNNNNNNNNNNNNNNNNNNNNNNNNNNNNNNNNNNNNNNNNNNNNNNNNNNNNNNNNNNNNNNNNNNNNNNNNNNNNNNNNNNNNNNNNNNNNNNNNNNNNNNNNNNNNNNNNNNNNNNNNNNNNNNNNNNNNNNNNNNNNNNNNNNNNNNNNNNNNNNNNNNNNNNNNNNNNNNNNNNNNNNNNNNNNNNNNNNNNNNNNNNNNNNNNNNNNNNNNNNNNNNNNNNNNNNNNNNNNNNNNNNNNNNNNNNNNNNNNNNNNNNNNNNNNNNNNNNNNNNNNNNNNNNNNNNNNNNNNNNNNNNNNNNNNNNNNNNNNNNNNCCGCCGCCGUCACCGAAGCCGCCGCCCGCCGUCGCCGGAGCCGCGCCGUUGACCGUGUUGACCGGUCGGUUUUUUUCGGUUAACCUCGGUUUAUUUAUUUAUUUAUUUUCGUAGAUCGUUUUUUUCGGUUUAGUAUUUAGCGGACGUUCGUCCGUACGUUCGUUUUAACGAACGGUUUUUGUUAGUUAACCGCAGACAGCGAACGUUCGUUCGUUAGCCAGUUCGUCAGUUUUUCUUUUUAUCGGAUUUUCCGCGAUUAUUUUCGAUCGCGAUUUCUGAUCCGAUUUUCGUUUCUGUUUAUCUUUUCGCUCGUAAGUUGGAAUCAGGCGAUUCAAGUGCCUACAUCUUCGUCUCGAGACCCUCUUUCUGUUUAACCAACUUGAACAAGAUUUUGGUACUGUAAAAUUUGACCUUCGUCCAGAUUAGUAAAUGAAUCUUGUUUUGCUCGCAGUUUGAAUUUCGUUGCUCCGUUUGAUUUGAUUCUUUUUGCAAACCGGAGUUCUUAAGUUGAACUUUCUGGUUAGCUAUUCUUAUUUGAGAUUUACCUGUGCAUCAUUGCUUGUUUGCUCAUGUAUGCUAUUGUUUGUUUGCGAUAGAAUUCCCGGAGUGCGAAGCGUGCUACUACGAGUCUCUAGGUUUUGCGGAUCGUCAGCAAGGCAAGUAACACAUUGAUCAUACUCUUUUCAUACCCAGUUUUUAUGCAUUAGUAUCAAUCCUCAAACAUUGCAUGAUUAGGAUGACUUAACUUGUGGGUUUGGGAAGUAGUUGAUGAGGUAGAACCUAUUACCUGUUUAUUAUCAAACCCUUAGGAGUUACUUCUACGUUAUGCUUAUACCGCUAUGCUAUGCUCGUAGACGUGGGAUUGGGUGAGUGAUAUCCAUGACAGAUGUGAGAUUGUUAAUUAAUGGUUCAACUUAAGGUGGCUACUUAAACACACAUCUGGGUGGAUUGGUUGCGGAUAACUGGGGUUCCAGCUCUGUCCAUUUGGUUCGCCACCCAGGCUCAAAGGGAUCUAAGAUUUUUCAUACUGGAAACUUCCGUGUGCAGCCACAAGCCAUUAUGGGCUCUGGCAUAGUUGAGUAUGCUACAUGACCUCUCGAAGAUGUGGGCUAGCAGAUGUAGAGGGAAAGUAGGUGUACGUGUCCACGCAGAGUAGAGAGUAAUGUUUCUGAAAGACUGUGUCUCGGUCAUCCGUUUCUCAAACACCAUGAAGUGCGAGAAAUCAAACGGAGGAGAUCGAGUCUUGUGGGGAAAAGUGCGCAAACCUCUGCAGAGUGUACAAUCUAAUCAUGGUUAGCCGUGUCCCCGGUUAUGGACAUCUUGAGUAUCUAGUACUUGAAUUAUCCUAUGUAUCUCAUCACUCUAAAAUAAUAUGUUGGGUUGUUAAUCACUUUUAAUUGGGGUUGAGUUGGAGGAACCUUCGCAACAAUGUUUCAACCACCAUGAUAGCUAAAAUAAAAUAUAUUCCUUUGUUGUAGGGAAAAAUUGGCUUUUCGCAAAAACUAUAACCAUAGAGCUUUCCACCAGCCAUAUAUGCAUAUAGUGAGAGCAUUAUUCAGUUCAUUGCUCUACUGUGUUAUAUUGCCAGCAUAUUCCAUGUGCUGACCCGUUCUCGGGCUGCAACGUAUUAUGUUGCAGACUUUUCAGACGAUGAGUAAGGAUGCGAUUAGGUCGUUGCCGUGCACUCAGCUAUGCCGUUGGAGUUGAUGGACUCACUUAUCUUCCAAGUCUUCCGCUGUUAUCUUUUUAGAUGGCCUUAAGCCAUAUUUAUUGUAAUAAGUUCUCUUUUGAGAAAUUUGAUGUAAUAAGUGUGUGAUUGCACUCUGUUUUAAAUCCUUCAAGUAUUGUGUGUGUCAGCAUUACCGAUCCAGGGAUGACACUUAUGCACAGAGGUUUGAUCCAUUCGGGUCAGGUCGCUACAAAGAUGGUAUCAGAGCACACGCUGACUGUAGGACACGACCACUAAGAUCAGCCAUAGAUCACUCUUCUCUACUCAUUUCUGACUCCUCUCCAUUUUCCACUCUCUAGGAUGGUGGACCAGAGGAACAAGUUUAUGCAACCGGAUGAAGACACCCCUUUUGGACGACACCUGAAGGAAGUCACUAGGUACCUAAACAUUGGAAUACCAAGUUUCACCGGGACCUACAAUGCCACUUUACCAGAAGAGGAGCGUUGGAUGAUUCAAGUUCAUAUUCCAGGAAGGACGUUCAUGCCAGUAAUUGAACGUAUAGAGUUUUCCUUUGAUGCACCAACCUGGAGUCUAGGCAAGAGCAUGGCAGCCCACAUUGCUAUGGGACAUAUUGGAGAAGUCUACAAGCAGGAGUUGAAGGACACUACCUACCAGAUAUGUGGGCGAAGAGAUGAGCAAUGGGAGAUGAUCAGCACCAGGAAGGAUAGGUCCAUUGCAGCAUUCAUCCAGGAGUUAAACCAGCACAUCCGACGCCAGGAGAAUCUAAUGUGUGCAGACAUGAUAGAGUUGAAGAAGGUGAAGACUAGGAUCACCGAACUUGAAGAGGAACUCAAGGCCACACGCGAUGGAUAUGAGGAGGAAAUCGCAACGCUAGUGGAGAAGAAUGAUGACCUGAAGCAGAAGAUCGAAGUUUUCAUGGGAGACCCUGUGCCAGAAGGAGAAGAAGACGAACCCAAGGAGAUUCAUUCCGAAGACAACAUCAUCAUCGACGACACCGACUCUGACCCCGACGAUAGUAAUGAUGAUUUUGUAGACGAAGCUGGAGCAGACAUCAUGGAGUCUUCCACCGAUCAAAAUUUCUAGAUGACCACCAUAUGAUUAGUAGUAAUUUUCCCCAUGUAUAUAGUAGUAGAUUGAGCACUUUAACGAUAGUUCUAGACCGCUUGUAUGCCCUUGCUUGGUUGAUUGAGUGAUAUGAUUUGAUAUGUUUGUCUCAUGUGCAUAUGGGUAGUGUUUUCCCCUUAGACCUCAUUCUAUUCUAAUCUCUUCCCUCUAAACCCAUCAGAUGCCUCCGAGACAUGACCCCGGAUUUGUCUUCCCACCGGAGCUCACUCAGUUGACCCAGCAGCAGAAUGCCUUAAUGCAGAUGUUAGUUCAUAACCAGGCCAACAACAACAACAACAACCCACCGCCACCACCUCCAAUUAACAACUUAGCCCAGUUUAUGAGGUUAAAUCCGCCGGUGUUUUCCAGUAGCACCGAGCCAAUAGUUGCUGAUGAUUGGCUACGCCAUAUUGGAAAGGAGUUAACCACCGCAGGUUGCACAGAUGCUGAGAAGGUGCGCUUUGCCGCACAUCAAUUGGAUGGACUAGCAGCCGCAUGGUGGGAGAAUUACACGGCCACUUUUCCCAUAGCCAAUGUCACUUGGGAUCAGUUUCAGCAAGCUUUCCGCACAGCCCAUGUCUCAACUGGAGCUAUGAGUAUGAAGAAGCGUUAGUUUCGCAACUUACGCCAGGGGAACCGUACUGUGGCCCAGUACGUGGAUGAGUUUAGCAAGUUGUCUCGCUAUGCCCCUGAUGAUGUGGCCACGGACACCGCGAAGCAGGAGAAGUUUAUGGAAGGGCUAAAUGAUGAGAUGAGUAUGCAGUUGAUGGUGGCAACAUUCAACAACUACCAGGAGUUGGUAGAUAAGGCUCUUAUGAUUGAAGGGAAGCAGCAGCAGAUUGAUAGCCGCAAGAGGAAGUAUGGACAAGGGAAGUUCAACCCAGGAGCCCAGCAGAAGCCCCGGUUCACCCCGAACUCGGGAGGACUUGUUCAUAACCAUGGAGGUCAUAACCAUAAUGGAGUAAGUUCGCACAACCAUAAUGGCCACAAGAAUGGAAAUGGAAAUGGAGCAAGCAACAAUCAGAACCGCUCUAACCCAGCCACACCCACCAAGAGGGACCUAAGUCACGUUACUUGUUUCAAGUGCGGGAAGACGGGACACUAUGCCACAGAGUGCCCAGAAGCAAAGAAUGGCAAUGGUAAUGGAAGCGCUGGGAAGAAGCCUAACCCAUUCAACCGAGGACAAGUGAACCACGUGAACAUGGAGGAGGUUGAGGAGCAGCCUGAUGCAAUUAUUGGUAAGUUUUUGGUUAAGUCUUUUACUGCAAUUGUUCUUUUUGAUACUGGUGCAUCGCAUUCAUACAUAUCAAGGGGAUUCGUGGAUAAGUAUAAGUUGCCCACAAAAACACUUGUCACACCCAUGUUAGUAAGAUCACCCGGAGCGGAAUAUAUGGCAAGACAAGGAUGUUUUUAGAUGCCAUUGACCAUUGGAAGUCAGGUUUUCCCCUCAGACCUGAUAGUUUUGGAGUCACAAGGAUUGGAUGUGAUAUUAGGCAUGGAUUGGCUAUCGCUGUAUGGAGGAAGCAUCGAUUGCGCUAGUAAGACGAUUUUGCUCACUACCCCGGAGGGAAAAAGGAUCAAGUAUGUAUCUAGGCAUGUGCCUAAAAGGAUCCAAGUAAAUUCUCUCACGGGAGUAGUUCAGGAGGAAGUACCUGUAGUAAAGGAGUAUCCGGAUGUUUUUCCUAAGGAGUUACUAGGCAUGCCGCCAGACCGGGACAUCGAGAUUUUGAUAGAAUUAUUGCCAGGCACCGGACCGAUAUCAAAGAGGCCAUAUCGGAUGCCCGCAAAUGAUCUGGAGGAGAUUAAGAAGCAGAUCAAGGAGUUAUUGGAGAAAGGUUACAUCCGACGAAAUUCAUCACCAUGGGGAGCCCUAGUACUCUUGGUUGAGAAGAAGGAUGGAUCGUUAAGGAUGGUGGUUGAUUAUCGAGCAUUGAAUGAGGUGACGAUUAAGAACAAAGACCCACUGCCGAUGAUCAAUGAUUAGUUUGACCAGUUGCAAGGAGCUAAAGUAUUUUCAAAAAUCAAUUUGCGAUCAGGAUAUCACCAGCUGAAGAUUCGGGAGAAGGAUAUACCGAAGACAGCAUUCACCACCAGGUACGGGUUAUAUGAGUAUACGGUCAUGUCAUUUGGACUGACUAAUGCCCCUGCCUAUUUCAUGAGCAUGAUGAACAAGGUGUUUAUGGAAUAUUUGGACAAAUUCGUUGUGGUGUUCAUUGAUGAUAUUAUGGUAUACUCGAAGAAUGAAGAGGAACACAAGGAGCAUUUGCGUCUAGUUCUCGAGAAGCUCAGGGAACAUCAGUUGUAUGCCAAGUUUAGCAAAUGUGAGUUUUGGUUGAAGGAAGUUGGAUUCCUUGGACAUGUUAUAUCAGGAGAAGGUAUAGCAGUAGACCCCACCAAGGUUCAAUCAGUCACUGAGUGGUUGGCACCCACUUCAGUUAGCGAGAUCCGCAGUUUUCUUGGACUCGCAGGAUACUAUCGGAGAUUUAUUGGGAAUUUUUCCAAGACUGCGAAGCCCAUGACAGAGCUAUUGAAGAAGGAUACUAAAUUCAGAUGGACUGAAGAAUGCGAGGCAAGUUUCCAGGAGUUGAAGAAACGUUUGACUACAGCCCCAGUGCUGAUUCUGCCAGAUAUUCGCAAGGAUUUCCAAGUGUAUUGCGACACCUCUCGCUUAGGAUUUGGAUGUGUGCUUAUGCAGGACGGAAGAGUUGUUUCGUAUGCCUCACGGCAACUGAAACCGCAUGAGUUGAAUUAUGCCACGCAUGAUUUGGAGUUAGCAGCAGUAGUACAUGCGCUCAAGACUUAGAGACAUUAUCUUAUUGGAAACCGCUGUGAUGUGUACACAGAUCACAAGAGUUUGAAGUACAUGGUUAGCCGUGUCCCCGGUUAUGGACAUCUUGAGUACCUAGUACUUGAAUUAUCCUAUGUAUCUCAUCACUCUAAAAUAAUAUGUUGGUUUGUUAAUCACUUUUAAUUGGGGUUGAGUUGGAGGAACCUUCUCAACAAUGUUUCAACCACCAUGAUAGCUAAAAUAAAAUAUAUUCCUUUGUUGUAGGAAAAAAUUGGCUUUUCGCAAAAACUAUAACCAUAGAGCUUUCCACCAGCCAUAUAUGCAUAUAGUGAUAGCAUUAUUCAGUUCAUUACUCUACUGUGUUAUAUUGCCAGCAUAUUCCAUGUGCUGACCCGUUCUCGCGCUGCAACGUAUUAUGUUGCAGACUUUUCAGACGAUGAGUAAGGAUGCGAUUAGGUCGUUGUCGUGCACUUAGCUAUGCCGUUGGAGUUGAUGGACUCACUUAUCUUCCAAGUCUUCCGCUGUUAUCGUUUUUAGAUGGCCUUAAGCCAUAUUUAUUGUAAUAAGUUCUCUUUUGAGACAUUCGAUGUAAUAAGUGUGUGAUUGCACUCUGUUUUAAAUCCUUCAAGUACUGUGUGUGUCAGCAUUACCGAUCCAGGGAUGACACUUAUGCAUAGAGAUUUGAUCCAUUCGGGUCAGGUCGCUACAGUUUGCAAAAAGAAUUAAAUCAAACGGAGCAACGAAACUCGAACUGCGAAAGAAAGAAGAUCCGUUUACUAUUCUGGACUAAAGUCAAAUUUUACAAUACCAAAAUCUUGUUCAAGUUGAUUAAACAUAAAGUGGGUUUUGAAACGAAGAUCUAGGCGCUUGAAUCGCCUGAUUCCGAUAAACGAGCGGAAAGUUAUACUAUAAAGAAAAUCGGAUCAGAAAUCACGGUCGAAAAUAAUCGCGAAAAACCCCCUGAGAAAAAGAGAAACUGACGAACAGGCUAACGAGCGAACGUUCGUUGUCUGUAACUAACGGGCGAAAACCAUUCGUUAAAACGAACGUACGGACGAACGUCCGCUAUAUAAACUAAACCGAGAAAACCGGCGAACCGAUCUAAAAAAACGAACUAGGGUUUUUAUAAAAAAACGAACGGUUUUUAACGAAAAACCGGCGGCGGCGGCUACCUCGACGGCGAGGUCGGCAACGGGCGGCGGGCUCCGGUGGCGGUGGCAGCGGCACGACAGCGAGGCGGCGGCGCGACGUCAGGCGGCGGUGGCAGGCAGCGGGGGCGGUGAGGCGCGCAGCGGCGGCGGCUCGGGCGGCGGGCGGCGCUAGGGUUAGGCGCGGGUGGUGAGGCGGCUCAGGUGGGCUGGCAGGUCGCGGGGCAGCGGCUUAUAAGGGCCGGCCCGAGGUGUCCUGGCCGGAUACGGCCCGGAGUCGGUCGCGUGUUUUUUUAAAUAAUUCCGACGUGCAGAAAAAGAAAGAAAAGAAAUACUAAACGGACUCCACAAAUCCCGAAAUAAAAUUUCCCCGUCCUCUAAAAAUAUGCCGGACAAGAUGAACAUUUACUAAGGACUCUAAUGCAAUUUUGAAAAACGCAUAUUUUUCCUAUGCAAAUAAAAUAGCAAUAAAAUCCCCAAAAAAUGUUUAUUUGAUUUUAAUAUGUUUCCUCCAAUAUUUCAGAUAUUUUGGGGAAGUCCUAUUAUCCCCUCUCAUAUAUUUUUAUAUGAAAUAUUUUCGAAGAGAAAAAUAUUUAAAACAAAUUAUCCUCGCUUUGAUAUUUGAUAGAAUUCAAAUAUGAAAACGGUGAAAUCCCAAACUCUCUCCGUGGGUCCUUGAGUUGCUUAGAAUUUCGAGGAUCGCAAAGCAAAUAUGCAAUAAAAUAUGAUAUGCAUGAAUGAUCUAUGUAUAACAUUCCAAAUUGAAAAUUUGGGAUGUUACAAGAUCUUACUCUGGUAGACCUACGAGGUUCGGUAGUAACUUGAUCUGAAGUUACAUGAUCAUCAUCAUUAGCUUCCUCACUAAUUGGUGUAGGAGUCACAGGAACUGAUUUCUGUGAUGAUCUACUUUCCAAUAAGGGAGCUGGUACAGUUACCUCAUCAAGUUCUACUUUCCUCCCACUCACUUCUUUCGAGAGAAACUCCUUCUCUAGAAAGGAUCCAUUCUUAGCAUCGAAUAUCUUGCCUUCGGAUCUAUGAUAUAAGGUGUACCCAACAGUCUAUUUUGGGUAUCCUAUGAAGACACAUUUCUCCGAUUUGGGUUCGAGCUUAUCAGGUUGAAGCUUUUUCACAUAAGCAUCGCAACCCCAAACUUUAAGAAACGGCAACUUGGGUUUCUUGCCAAACCACAGUUCAUAAGGUGUCGUCUCAACGGAUUUAGAUGGUGCCCUACUUAACGUGAAUGCAGCCGUCUCUAAAGCAUAACCCCAAAACGAUAGCGGUAAAUCAGUAAGAGACAUCAUAGAUCGCACCAUAUCUAAUAAAGUGCGGUUACGAUGUUCGGACACACCAUUACUCUGUGGUGUUCCGGGUGGCGUGAGUUGCGAAACUAUUCCGCAUUGUUUCAAAUGAAGACCAAACUCGUAACUCAAAUAUUCUCCUCCAUGAUCAGAUCGCAGAAAUUUUAUUUUCUUUUUAUGAUGAUUUUCCACUUCACUCUGAAAUUCUUUGAACUUUUCAAAUUCUUUAGACUUAUGUUUCAUCAAGUAGAUAUACCCAUAUCCGCUCAAAUCAUCUGUGAAGGUCAGAAAAUAACGAUACCCGCUGCGAGCCUCAAUAUUCAUCAGACCGCAUACAUCAGUAUGUAUUAUUUCCAACAAAUCUGUUGCUCGCUCCAUUGUUCCGGAGAACGGAAUUUUAGUCAUCUUGCCCAUGAGGCAUGGUUCGCAAGUACCGGGUGAUUCAUAAUCAAGUGAUUCCAAAAGUCCAUCAGUAUGGAGUUUCUUCAUGUGCUUUACAGUAAUAUGACCCAAACGGAAGUGCCACAAAUAAGUUGCACUAUCAUUAUCAACUCUGCAUCUUUUGGCUUCAAUAUUAUGAAUAUGUGUAUAUCUACUAUCGAGAUUCAACAAAAAUAGACCACUCUUGAAGGGUACAUGACCAUAAAAUAUAUUACUCAUAUAAAUAGAACAACCAUUAUUCUCAGAUUUAAAUGAAUAACCGUCUCGCAUCAAACAAGAUCCAGAUAUAAUGUUCAUGCUUAAUGCUGGCACCAAAUAACAAUUAUUCAGGUCUAAAACUAAUCCCGAAGGUAGAUGUAGAGGUAGCGUGCCGACGGCGAUCACAUCGACUUUGGAACCAUUUCCCACGCGCAUCGUCACCUCGUCCUGAGCCAAAUCUUUGCUUAAUCCGUAGUCCCUGUUUCGAGUUGCAAAUAUUAGCAACAGAACCAAUAUCAAAUACCCAGGCACUACUGCGAGCAUUAGUAAGGUACACAUCAAUAACAUGUAUAUCACAUAUACCUUUGUUCACCUUACCAUCCUUCUUAUCCGCCAAAUACUUGGGGCAGUUCCGCUUCCAGUGACUAGUUCCUUUGUAGUAGAAGCACUCAGUCUCAGGCUUAGAUCCAGACCUAGGCUUCUUCACUUGAGCAGCAACUUGCUUGUCGUUCUUCUUGAAGUUCCCCUUCUUCCCUUUACCCCUUUUUCUUGAAACUGGUGGUCUUGUUGACCAUCAACACUUGAUGCUCCUUAUUGAUUUCUACCUCCGCAGCCUUUAGCAUUGCGAAGAGCUCGGGAAUUCUCUUAUCCAUCCCUUGCAUAUUAUAGUUCAUCACGAAGCUCUUGUAGCUUGGUGGCAGUGAUUGAAGAACUCUGUCAAUGACACUAUCAUCAGGAAGAUUAACUCCCAGUUGAGUCAAGUGGUUGUGGUACCCAGACAUUCUGAGUAUAUGUUCACUGACAGAACUAUUCUCCUCCAUUUUGCAGCUGUAGAACUGAUUGGAGACUUCAUAUGUCUCAGUCGGGGCAUUUGCUUGAAAUAUUAACUUCAACUCCUGGAACAUCUCAUAUGCUCCAUGACGUUCAAAACGUCGUUGAAGUCCUGGUUCUAAGCCGUAAAGCAUGGCACACUGAACUAUCGAGUAGUCAUCAGCUUUACUCUACCAGACGUUCUCAACGUCAUCAGCAGCAUCUGCAGCAGGCCUGGCACCUAGCGGUGCUUCCAGGACGUAAUUUUUCUGUGCAGCAAUGAGGAUAAUCCUCAAGUUACGGACUCAGUCCGUGUAGUUGCUACCAUCAUCUUUCAACUUAGCUUUCUCUAGGAACGCAUUAAAAUUCAAAGGAACAGUAGCACGGGCCAUUGAUCAACAACAUAGACAUGCAAAAUACUAUCAGGUACCAAGUUCAUGAUAAAUUAAAGUUCAAUCAAUCAUAUUACUUAAGAACUCCCACUUAGAUAGACAUCCCUCUAAUCAUCUAAGUUAUCACGUGAUCCAAAUCAACUAAACCAUGUCCUAUCAUCACGUGAGAUGGAGUAGUUUUCAAUGGUGAACAUCACUAUGUUGAUCAUAUCUACUAUAUGAUUCACGCUCGACCUUUCGGUCUCAGUGUUCCGAGGCCAUAUCUGCAUAUGCUAGGCUUGUCAAGUUUAACCCGAGUAUUCUGCGUGUGCAAAACUGGCUUGCACCCUUUGUAUGUGAACGUAGAGCUUAUCACACCCGAUCAUCACGUGGUGUCUCGGCACGACGAACUUUCGCAAUGGUGCAUACUCAGGGAGAACACUUGUACCUUGAAAUUUAGUGAGAGAUCAUCUUAUAAUGCUACCGCCGAACUAAGCAAAGUAAGAUGCAUAAAGGAUAAACAUCACAUGCAAUCAAUAUAAGUGAUACUAUAUGGCCAUCAUCAUCUUGUGCCUUUGAUACCAUCUUCAAAGCACCGUCAUGAUCACCAUCAUCACCGGCUUGACACCUUGAUCUCCAUCGAAGCAUCGUUGUCGUCUCGCCAACUAUUGCUAUCAUGACUAUCACUACCGCUUAGUGAUAAAGUAAAGCAAUUACAUGGCGAUUGCAUUUCAUACAAUAAAGCGACAACCAUAAGGCUCCUGCCAGUUACCGAUAACUGUUACAAAACAUGAUUAUCUCAUACAACAAUUUAUAUAUCAUCACGUCUUGACCAUAUCACAUCACAACAUACCCUGCUAAAACAAGUUAGACGCCCUAUACUUGUUGUUGCAAAUUUUACAUGCCUGCUACGGGUUUAGCAAGAACCAUUCUUACCUACGCAUCAAAAACCACAACGAUUUUUUGUCAAGUGUACUGUUUUGACCUUCAACAAGGACCGGGCGUAGUCACACUCGAUUCAACUAAAGUUGGAGAAACAGACACCCACUAGCCACCUAUGUGCGAAGCACGUUGGUAGAACCAGUCUCGCGUAAGCGUACGCGUAAUGUCGGUCUGAGCCACUUCAUCCAACAAUACCGCCGAAUCAAAGUAUGACAUGCUGGUAAGCAGUAUGACUAUUAUCACCCACAACUCUUUGUGUUCUACUCGUGCAUAUAACAUCUACGCAUAGACCAUGCUUGGAUGCCACUGUUGGGGAAUGCAAUAAUUUCAAAAAAAAUCCUACGCACAUGCAAGAUCCAUCUAGGUGAUGCAUAGAAACGAGUGGGAGAGUGUGUCCACAUACCCUCGUAGAUCAAAAGCGGAAGCGUUAAGCAAUGCGGUUGAUGUAGUCGAACAUCUUUGCGAUCCAACCGAUCAAGUACCGAACGCACGACACCUCCGUGAUCUGCACACGUUCAGCUUGUUGACGUCCCUCAUACUCUUGAUCCAGCUGAUGGCGAGGGAGAGUUUCGUUAGCACGAAGGCGUGAUGAUGAAGGCGUGAUGAUGAAGUUACCGACGCAGGGCUUCGCCUAAGCACUACAACGAUAUGACCGAGGUGGAAAUCUGUGGACGGUGGCACCGCACACGGCUAAGACAACUGUCAACUUGUGUUCAAGGGUGCCCCCUCCCCAUGUAUAUAAAGGAGGGAGGGGGAGGCCGGCCGGCCCUCAUAGGCGCGCCAAGGGGGGAGGAAUCCUCCUCGUAGUAGGAGUAGGACUCCCUCCUUUCCUAGUCCUACUAGGAGAAGAAGGAAGGAGGGGGCGCCGCCCCUCCCCCUAGUCCAAUUCGGACUAGGCCCAUGGGGGGCGCGCGACACUCCGACAUUUAUCAGGUGACCCAAUAAGGCCCUCUCUCUCUACCCUAGGCCCAAUAAGGCCCAUUACUUCUCCGGUGGUUCCGAUAACCCUUCCGGCACUCCGACAUUUAUCCGGUGACCCCCGGAACUCAUCCAGUGUCCGAAUAACAUCGUCCAAUAUAUCAUUUAUGUCUCGACCAUUUCGAGACUCCUCGUCAUGUCCGUGAUCACAUCCGGGACUCCGAACUACAUUCGGUACAUCAAAACACAUAAACUCAUAAUACCGAUCGUCAUCGAACGUUAAGCGUGCGGACCCUAUGGGUUCGAGAACUAUGUAGACAUGACCAAGAGUCAUCUCCGGUCAAUAACCAAUAGCGGAACCUGGAAGCUCAUAUUGGCUCCCACAUAUUCUACGAAAUCUUUAUCGGUCAAACCGCAUAACAACAUACGUUGUUCCCUUUGUCAUCGGUAUGUUACUUGCCCGACAUUCGAUCGUCGGUAUCUCUAUACCUAGUUCAAUCUCGUUAUCGGCAAGUCUCUUUACUUGUUUCGUAAUGCAUCAUCCCGUAACUAACUCAUUAGUCACAUUUCUUGCAAGGCUUAUAGUGAUGUGCAUUACCGAGAGGGCCCAGAGAUACCUCUCCAACAAUCGGAGUGACAAAUCCUAAUCUCGAUCUAUGCCAACUCAACACACACCAUAGGAGACACCUGUAGAGCAUCUUUAUAAUCACCCAGUUAUGUUGUGACAUUUGAUAGCACACCAAGUGUUCCUUCGGUAUUUGGGAGUUGCAUAAUCUCAUAGUCAUAGGAACAUGUAUAAGUCAUGAAGAAAGCAAUAGCAACAAACUAAACGAUCAUCGUGCUAAGCCAACGCAUGGGUCAAGUCAAUCACAUCAUUCUCUAAUGAUGUGACCCCGUUAAUCAAAUGACAACUCAUGUCUAUCGCUAGGAAACUUAACCAUCUUUGAUUAACGAGCUAGUCAAGUAGAGGCAUACUAGUGACACUCUGUUGGUCUAUGUAUUCACACAUGUACUAAGUUUCCGGUUAAUACAAUUCUAGCAUGAAUAAUAAACAUUUAUCAUGAUAUAAGGAAAUAUAAAUAGCAACUUUAUUAUUGCCUCUAAGGCAUAUUUCCUUCAAGGAGAACCACCAUCGCUUUGCAUGUGCCAAACAUAUAUAUGUUGAAUACAAAAAAUGCACAACUUUUGAUGUGCCACAUGCCUCAAAAACCGUAAAACAUGCACCCACACAGAUCGAGGUUCAUGAAGCGUACUACAUAUGAUGGUCCCCUUCCCCCCUCUUUGACGCAUACUAUAUGCUCCUACCAUAAUAUGUACAACCCAAAAGAAUCCUCAUCGAUGGUGAAAUUAAUUAACCUCUCCCGAUGUAGGUCAAAGUGAUGCAUGCAUGCAUCGACGAUGGUGAUAACCCACAAGUAUAGGGGAUCAUUUGUAGACUUUUCUGAUAAAUAAGAGUGUCGAACCCAAGGAGGAGCUAAAGGUAGAACAAAUAUUCCCUCAAGUUCUAUCGUCCACCGAUACAACUCUACGCACGCUUGACGUUCGCUUUACCUAGAACAAGUAUUUAACUAGAAGUACUUUGUAGGUGUGAUAGGAUAGGUUUGCAAGAUAAUAAUGAGCACGUAAAUAAAAUCUAGGGGCUGUUUAGAUAAAGACACAACUAAGAGAGCUUUUGUCAACAAGAAAGUUAUUUGUCCCUAGGCAAUCGAUAACAAGUACCAGUAAUCAUUCUUGUAAUUUUAAAUGAGGGAGAGGCAUGAGCUAACAUACUUUCUCUACCUGGAUCAUAUGCACUUAUGAUUGGAACUCUAGCAAGCAUUCGCAACUACUAAAGACCAUUAAGGUCAUGAAACCCAACCAUAGCAUUAAGUAUCAAGUCCUCUUUACUCCCAUACUCCAUAACCCACCUACUCGGGUUUAAGUUUCUGUCACUCUCGCAACCCACCUUAAGAAAACCAUGAACAUACUACAACACCCUACAGCGGGGCCCCCCCAUGUUUGCGCAAGACGGAGGGAACCGUAGGACAACACCAUGAAUAAAAUAUACAAUCAUACCAACCAAGAUCACGAUUAACACACAGGACAAAACAGAUCUACUCAAACAUCAUAGGAUAACCAUAGAUCAUUGGGAAAUAAUAUAUGGAGUUGAGCACCAUGUUUAAGUAGAUAUUACAGCGGGGGGAAGAGGUGUUACACCGCUGCAUAGAGGGGGAGAAAGUUGGUGUUGAUGGUAGCAAGAUUGUUGAUGUAGAUCGCCGUCCCGAUCGUUGCCCCGGCGACACUCUGGCGCCACCGGGAGACAGGGGGAGAGAGCCGCAAUGCUUCUUCUUCUUCCUUGGCCUCCUCAUUAGAUGGGAGGAGAGUUCCCCCUCUGGUCCUUGGUCUCCAUGGCGCCGGAGGGGCGGGAUCCCCUCCGAGAUUGGCUCUCCCUCUCUGUUCUCUUCUGUUUUGCGCUCCCCCAGAUCUGGCCGAAAAUCGUUUCUUAUAUUCCCAGAGAUCCGUAACUCCGAUUGUGCUGAGAUUUGAACAUGAUUUUUUUGUGGAUAUAAGCUUCCUUGCACCUGAAGUAGAGGUCCAACCGACGUACGAGGUGAGCACAACCCACCAUAGCACACCUGGCUCCUCUUGCGCGCCCUGGUGGGUUGUGCUCACCAGGGCCUCCGUUUGUGGUGAUUCCAACUCCCAAAAAUCACAUAUAUUCCCAAAUAAUUCUCUGUGAAAUUUUAUUGCAUUUGGACUUCGUUUGAUAUGGAUACUCUGUGAUACGAAAAACAUGCAGAAAACAGGAACUGGCACAUGGCACUGGAUCAAUAGGUUAGUCCAAUAAAUCAUAUAAAAAGCCAAAAGUAUGUAAAAGUUGUAUAAUAUUGGGAUGAAACAAUCAAAAAUUAUAGAUACGACGGAGACGUAUCAGCAUCCCCAAGCUUAAUUCUUGCUCGUCCUCGAGCAGGUAAAUGAUAAAAAAGAUAAUUUUUGAUGUGGAAUGCUACCUAGCAUAAACUUGAUCAUAUAUCUUAUCAUGGAAUGAAUAUUAAGACAUAAGUGAUUCAAAGAAAAUAGUCUAUAAUUUGACAUAAAGACAUCAAUACUCAGGCAUCCCAAUAAACAAUCAUGUCUUUCAAAAUAUGAACGCUAAAGAAAGCUAUCCCAACAAAAUCAUAUAGUCUUGUCAUGCUCUGUCUUCUUAACACAAAGUAUUUAUCAUGCACAACCCCGAUGACAAGCCGAGCAAUUGGUUCAUACUUUUUAACGCGCUUCAGCUUUUUCAACCCUCACGCAAUACAUGAGCGCAAGCCAUGGAUAUAACACUAUAGGUGGAAUAGAGUAUGAUGAUAGGGGUAAAUAUAGAGAAGACAAAAAAGUAAGAAAGUCUCACAUCGACGCGGCUAACCAAUGGGCUAUGGAUAUGCCCAUCAAUUGAUAUCAAUGCGAGGAGUAGGGAUUGCCAUGCAACGAAUGCACUAAGAGCUAUAAGUGUAUGAAAGCUCAAUAUGAAACUAAGUGGGUGUGCAUCUAAUCCUAUAAUGAAAUAUUCCCACUAGUAUAUGGAAGUGACAACAUAGGAGACUCUCCAUAUGAAAAACAUGGUGCUACUUUGAAGCACAAGUGCGGUAAAGGAUACUAACAAUGCCCCUUCUCUCUUUGUUUAUUUAUUUUUAUUUUUUCUUUUCUUUUUUUCUUUUUUUCUUUUUUCUCUCUCAUUGUUCUGAGUCUCAUCCCGACUUGUGGGGGAAUCAUAGUCUCCAUCAUCCUUUCCUCACUGGGGCACUGCUCUGAAAAUGAAUAAUGAUGAUCAUCACACUUCUAUUUACUUAUAACUCAAAAGAAAUAAAAAUUACAACUCGAUACCUAUGACAAAAUAUGACUCUAUAUGAAUGCCUCUGGCAAUGUGCCAGGAUGUGCAAUGAUCUAGCAUAACAUGUAUGAAAAAUGAUGAACGAUGGCUGAGCCACAACUACUAUGUCAGCUAUAUGAUCAUGCAAAGCAAUAUGACAAUGAAUGCUCAAGUCAUCAAACGGAAGCGGUGGAAGUGGCAUGGCAAUAUAUCUCGGAAUGGCCAUGGAAAAGCCAAUUAUAGGUAGGUAUGGUAGCUGUUUUGAGGAAGAUAUAAUAAGCUUAUGUGUGAUAGAGAGUAUCAUAUCACGGGGUUUGGAUGCACCUGCCAAGUUUGCACCACGUCUCGAUGUGAGAAAGGGCAAUGCACGGUAUCGUACAGGCUAUCAAAUUGCGGAAAGGUAAGAGUGCGUACAAUCCAUGGACUCACAUUAGUCAUAAAGAACUCAUAUACUUAUUGCAAAAGUUUAUUAUCCCUCGAAGCAAAGUACUACUAUGCAUGCCCCUAGGGGGAUAGAUUGGUAGGAAAAGACAAUCGCUCGUCCCCGACCGCACUCAUAAGGAAGACAAUCAAUAAUAAAUCAUGCUCCAACUUCAUAGCAUAACGAGAGACUAUACGUGCAUGCUUCGGGAAUCACAAACCUUAACACCAAUAUUCCUACUAAACACAACCAUUUACUAGUACCUCCCACAUAUUAUCAUGUCUAUAUCGCAAAACUAUUGCAAGGAAUCAAACAUAUCAUAUUCAGUGAUCCACAAGUUUUAUGUAGGAUUUUAUGACUAACCAUGCAAAUGACCAAUUCCCGUUGACUCUCUAAAUAGAUCUAAGUGAAGCAUGAGAGUUUAAUUCUUUCUACAAAAGGCCAUGCUCUAAUAAAUAUAAGUGAAGCAAAAGAGAAUUCUUCAAAUAACGGUUUUCUAUGUGAAGAGAAACAAGCAAUCCAAACUUCAAAUGAUAUAAGUGAAGCACAUGAAGCAUCCUAUAAAGCCAUACUCAAAAUAUAUAAGUGAAGCGCAAUGAGCAUUCUAUAAAUCAACCAUGGACUAUCUCAUAGUAGCAUGGUGCAUAAAAUAAAAAUGAAAACUGAAAGCAAAAGACGCUCCAAGAUUUCCAAAUAUCACAUGAACCAAACGAAACCGAAAACAUACCGAUACUUGUUGAAGAAAGAUGAGAUGCCUUCCAGGGCAUCCCCAAGCUUAGACGCUUGAGUCUCCUUGAAUAUUUACAUGGGGUGCCGUGGGCAUCCCCAAGAUUGAGCUCUUGCCUCUCCUCCUUCUCCUCAUAUCGAGACCUCCUCGAUCUUUGAUCACUUCAUCAACACAAAACUCAAUAGAAAGUUCGGUAAGAUCCGUUAGCAUAAUAAAGCAAAUCACUACUCUAAGUACUAUUGCAAACCAAUUCAUAUUUUGUUUUUGCAUUGCAGCUAAUGUAAAAUAACUUUUCCAUGGCUUAAUCCACUGAUAGAAAUUGAUAGUUUCAUCAAAACAAGCAAACAAUGCAUCAAAAAUAGAAUCUGUCUUAAACAGGACAGUCUGCAGUAAUCUGAACAUUAACGAUACUUCUAGUACUCCAAAAAUUCUGAAAAUUUAUGACAAAAUAAACAAUUUGUAUAUAAAGACAGUGCAAAAAGUUUCAGAACCGUUUGACGUUCCAGUAAAAAAUGUAAAAUCGCGCACUACAGCCAAAGUUUCUGUUUUGCACCGCACAAACCAAGAAACAAUCUACUCAUCAUAAAGGAAAAUCUUGGCACAUUAUUUUUAUAAUACAAUGGAAUUGUACAAGGGGAUAAUUAUUUUUGUUGAAAAGUUUAUGUAAUUAAGAUUCACAAAGUUUCUGUGAGCAUGAACAAAGUUCAAGGAGCCCCCCACUUCAACAAUGCUUGUCUCUUUCACUUUCACUUUCCUUUUUGAAAAGUUUUGUGUUACCCUCUAUGUUUUUUUAAACUUUAGAAAAGCACUCAACAGAAAUAAAUGACUCUCUAAAACUUCCGGGUUGUGUCCCUGGCAGCGCUUUCUUUGAAGCCAUUAAGCUAGGCACAAAGUGCUCAAGUAAUGGAUCCACCCGGAUCCCAAGGUAUAUCAAAGCCAAUUUGAAUCAACAAUGUUUUUGCAUUUAGUAGUGAGCACAAAGCAGCAUAUAUCAUGCAAUGACGAAGUCUAACUCUCUUCCUAUGCAUCGGCAUGUCAUACAAGAACAAUUCAUGCACAUCAAGUAAAGGCCAAUACAUAACAUAAGCAAUUUCUUGCAAUUUUUUCGUGUUGGAAACAUAAAGAGGCGGAGAUGUAGUUCCUCUCUCAUAAGAAUUGCAAGUAGGAGCAGCAAGCACAUGCAUAUUAUAUUCAUCAAAAUCAUCAUGUGUAGUAGCAAAAUGCAGCCCAUCAACAUAAUCCUUAACAAGAGCAAACUUCUUCGAUAUAGUGUAGUUGGGAGAAUUCAAAAAGAUAAUAAGACUAUCAUGUGUGGGUGCAAUAGCAACAAUAUCAUUCUUAACAUAAGGAACUAUAACAAGUUCAUCUUCAUAAGCAUAAUUCAUGUUGGCAUCUUGGCCACAAGCAUAGCAAGAAUCAUCAAAAAGGGAUAUUUCAAACGAAUCAAUGGGAUCAAUGCAAUUAUCAUGGCAAUCAUCCUUCGGUAAGAAUGAAGGGAAAUUAAAUAAUGUAUGAGUUGAAGAGUUACUCUCAUUAGAAGGUGGGCACGGGUAGCUAAUCCGAUCUUCCUCCCUUUGUUCAUCGCUCUCCUCAUCAUCUUUUUCAUCUAAUGAGCUCACAACUUCAUCAAUUUCUUCUUCCAUAGACUCCUGCAAAAUAUUAGUCUCUUCUUGGACAACAGAGACUUUCUCAAUCAAUUCAUCAAUAUCAGAGUUAUAUUUAUAAUUAUCAUAGCAAUAUUUAAGGAUGGCAAAAUUUUCGGGUCUAUAAACAUCAUCAUCAAAAGCUUCAUGUUUUUCAAACAAAGAUUCAAUUUCAUAAGCACCCUUAAAAGCAACAAAUUCUUCUAUUCGUUCCACAUUAUAGUAAUCAUAUAUACCAUUAGCAUAAGAAGCCAAGGUUUCAUUAUCAUUAAAUUCACAUGAAAAGGGAAGAUGUGGAGCAUUCAUCCUAGAGCAACAAGUAUAAUCAUAUCUCAAGCAUAGCUCCCGAGCAUACCAAUGCAACAUAUGAAUUUGAUCCCAUAAAAAUUUCCCUUUAUGAGUCAAGCGAUAAUCCCUAAAGUAUUCACGUUGAUACAACAUUACUCCCAUUAUAUAGUGGAAUGGGGUUUUCUCAGGAUUAUCAAAGUAGUGCAUAAUAUCUUUUACAUAACGGGCAUAGAGGGUUUUAGGAGGUUCCCCAUCUCCAUGAGUAGCAAGUACCACUAUUUCUUUUGGUGUUUCGUGUUCCAUAUCCAUAACUAAAGAUAGAGACCAACUUAGUACAGGAAAUAAAAACUACUUAGUGAUAAAGCAAACAAGCACACACGAGAAUAUUCACCCCACGCUAUUGCUCCCCGGCAACGGUGCCAGAAAAAGGUCUUCUUAACCCACAAGUAUAGGGGAUCGUUUGUAGCCUUUUUCGAUAAAUAAGAGUGUCGAACCCAACGAGGAGCUAAAGGUAGAACAAAUAUUCCCUCAAGUUCUAUCGACCACCGAUACAACUCCACGCAGGCUUGACGUUCGCUUUACCUAGAACAAGUAUGAAACUAGAAGUACUUUGUAGGUGUGAUAGGAUAGGUUUGCAAGAUAAUAAAGAGCACGUAAAUAAAAUCUAGGGGCUAUUUAGAUAAAGACACAACUAAGAGAGCUUUUGUCAACAAGAAAGUUAUUUGUCCCUAGGCAAUCGAUAACAACUACCGGUAAUCAUUCUUGUAAUUAUAUAUGAGGGAGAGGCAUGAGCUAACAUACUUUCUCUACUUGGAUCAUAUGCACUUAUGAUUGGAACUCUAGCAAGCAUCCGCAACUAUAAAGAUCCUUAAGGUCGUGAAACCCAACCAUAGCAUUAAGUACCAAGUCCUCUUUACUCCCAUACUCCAUAACCCACCUACUCGGGUUUAAGUUUCUGUCACUCUCGCAACCCACCGUAAGCAAACCAUGAACAUAUUGCAACACCCUACAGCGGGGGGCCCCCAUGUUUGCGCGAGACGGAGGGAACCGUAGGACAACACCAUGAAUAAAAUAUACAAUCAUACCACUAAGAUCACGAUUAACCCACAUAACAAAACAGAUCCACUCAAACAUCAUAGGAUAACCAUAGAUCAUUGGGAAAUAAUAUAUGGAGUUGAGCACCAUGUUUAAGUAGAUAUUACAGAGGGGGGAAGAGGUGUUACACCGCUGCAUAGAGGGGGAGAAAGUUGGUGUUGACGGUAGCAAGAUUGUUGAUGUAGAUCGUCGUCCCGAUCGUUGCCCCGGCGGCACUCCGGCGCCACCAGGAGAGAGGGGGGAAGAGCCCCCCUCCUUCUUCUUCUUCCUUGGCCUCCCCCUAGAUGGGAGGAGAGUUCCCCAUCUAGUCAUUGGUAUCCAUGGCACCGGAGGGGCGGGAGCCCCUCCGAGAUUGGAUCUCCCUCUCUGUUCUCUUCUGUUUCACGCUCCCCCAGAUCUGGCCGAAAAUCGUUUCUUAUAUUCCCGGAGAUCCGUAACUCCAAUUGCGCUGAGAUUUGAACACGAUUUUUUUCCGGAUAUAAGGUUCCUUGUUCCUGAAGUAGAGGUCCAACUGACGUACGAGGUGAGCACAACCCACCACAGCACGCCUGGCUCCUCUAGCGCGCCCUGGUGGGUUGUGCCCACCACGGGCCUCCGUUUGCGGUGAUUCCAAUUCCCAAAAAUCACAUAUAUUCCAAAAUAAUACUCCAUGAAAUUUUAUUGCAUUUGGACUUCGUUUGAUAUGGAUACUCUGUGAUACGAAAAACAUGCAGAAAACAGGAACUCGCACUGGGCACUGGAUCAAUAGGUUAGUCCAAUAAACCAUAUAAAAAGUUGCCAAAAGUAUGUAAAACUUGUAUAAUAUUGGCAUGAAACAAUCAAAAAUUGUAGAUACGACGGAGACGUAUCAGCAUCCCCAAGCUUAAUUCCCGCUCGUCCUCGAGCAGGUAAAUGAUAAAAAAGAUAACUUUUGAUGUGGAAUGCUACCUAGCAUAAACUUGAUCAUAUAUCUAAUCAUGGCAUGAAUAUUAAGACAUAAGUGAUUCAAAGCAAUAGUCUAUAAAGACUUAUAUUUGCAAUGAGGGAAUCUACACUCUAAAAUGUAUUUGUAUACAUCUAUAUGUGAUCCAUAGUGGAAAUCUCUACAAAGACUUAUAUUUUGGAACGGAGGGAGUAUGAUAGUGUAGUACAGUAUGUUCCUUGUAGUGAAGAUGAGCAGGGACAUUUGCAAUGUAGAGGUCUAUUCGGUCGGUUAUGAUGGACACUUUGAAAUCUUCGGGCCUCUUUGAUUCGUAGGAUUUUAUAAACAUAGGAAUAGGAAUUGAAGUGGCCUGCCCACUUGAAUCCUAUAAGAUUAGCAAGGAAAUGCGGGGAGUUGUGUCGCCUUUGAGAGUUACACUAAUAUUAACAGUACCGCACCUUCAGUUGAAGAGAGCUGGUAUCCGAAGCCUUUCUAGCCAUACCGGCAAUACUAGCACAUAUAUUCCAGCAAGUUCCACUUUCCUGAUUUUACUCCUGAUGCUUAGGGUUUUCCCAUUAUAUCUACACUACGAUCUGCGUAGGUGCUUUGUGUCCUACUAGCAGCUGUCCACCCUUUAAAGCUAAAUAACACACCAAUCAUACGUCCUAAGGUUCUUCAAAUACGAAUGUGAUAUGAUACUGCCAUUAGCUAACAAACACACAUUUAAUUGGUUAGCUUAUGCUCCCAAUUGAGUUUCCAAAUACAUGUGGCCACAUAUAGAGAGACAUCAUGGAAUUGCAUUUCUUUGGGCGCUCUGAUUCAUCAUGGGUGGGCAACCAACAUUGUAUAGAAAUAAGGGGAAUCUUAAUAAUAUGCUUCCCCUUAUAUUCUUUAACAUGUUCCUCUUUUGUUAUUCUUUAGUAAGCACAGUAUGUUCCUUGUCAGGAAGGGGAUCAGGGACAUCUGCAGUCGACAGCUCUAUUGGGGCGGUUCUGCUAAAUGAUUUUGCAUUUCGAGUUGGUCUGCCAUAAUACCCUGGAAAUGGUGGGAGCCGCGCGGUAUUUGAUAGACUAAACUGAUAGUAACAGUUGUGCGCCUUCAGAUGAAUAGAGCUGGCCUGUCGGUGAUCGAUAGGUUGCAUAUUAGUAGCGGCAAAACCCUGUGUUUUCCAGCCAGUUCUGCUUUCCCGAUUUAUUUAUGGUGGUUAUGGUGUACCCCUAUUAUCUACACUAUGAUCUGCCUACUGGCUCUGCGCUCUCGUUAUCAUGGUUUGGCAAUAAACUUUCUAUACGGUAUAUUAUGAACCUAUCGUCUGCCAACUAUCCUUACAUCUGGGGCUCCCAACAGGGAGCCUAUUUUUUGUGUAGUUGUGCCAGAUUAUAUUAAUCUACUCACCAUAUUACAACACACAUGGGCUCUCUCAUCAGAAUCCAGUGAUAGCACACAAGGGUUUACAGGGAGCCUCUAUUAUAUUACAAUAUCCUCUGCAUUAAAAAGAUAAUCUCACUACUAUUUGUGUUUUCAUGCUUUAUAGAUAUUGUAUGUAAUCACAAUGAAUAUAAGAAUGUGCACAUCAGAAGAAUAUUACGGAACAGUUCAAUGGGUAACAAACUUGGCAUCAAGGGAUUGAGGUCCAUUGUGGAUGCAAUGAAACCCACAUGCUCCCGACCUAUAGAUUCAUAUUCAGAAUAUGAUCCUAAUGACUAUUCUGAGCUGAAGGAGUCAAAGGCAGAUGGCCUAUCCUGUUCACCCAAUAAGGUGCCUGUUCUAAUUUGGCAAGGUUUUAUUGGUUGCACAUAUCUUGCAUAAGGUGUCUUGCAUUUCUUUUGCUUCGUUGCACCGCCAUCUGCUUAGUUUACUCAUGAUAUAUGUGAAGAUGCCAUGCCCAUCCAUUAUCAACAUCUAUUCCAUUUGUCGUCAUACCAUGUUUUUCCAUUCAAAUGUUGUUCUUGUGUUUCAGACAUCCAAAAGGAAGAGGGUGAUUGCAGAACCUGAAGGAGUACAAGCAAAGUCCUUGAAAAAGGUGGUGCUACCGGAGAAAUCACAUAGCACUCGACGUAUAUUGGCGAUAGAACUAGCGCCGCAAAACCUAGGAUAUCGCAACUAUGCUGGUCGCUGCUUUGCUCUUGUGAGUACCUAUUGUCCUAUCGCUGUCCUUACAUUCAUACCUUGUGGAUUAUGUGACAUCAUUGUGCAUUAUAGCUUGCUUAUACACUGUUCGCUCCAAAUUAUCAGAUCUAUAUUAAUGCUUAAAUUAAUGUAGAAUAAACCCAAUUCUUAUGAAGAAAUUUAGUUCUGCAUUGUUCUUGUAAGUAUCUGCUGCCCUUCAUCACCGUACUUAUAUUUGUCAGUUAGUUUUUCAUGUACACUUUGCAGCUUAUUUUCCCUUGUCCUCCAUUUUUCUACACAUCGGAUCUUCAUUUACUCUUGCCAAAAUAUUGAAUAAAACCAAUGUUACUGAAGAAGUUUAGCUCUGCAUUGCUCUUGUCAGUGCCUUCUGCCUGUAUGCUAUAUUUACAUUUGUACUCUGCAUCUUAAGUUAAAUAAUCGCCAUUUGUUCCUAUAUUUUCACAUCUAUAUUUACUCUCAACAAAAUGUAGAAUAAAGGCAAUACUCUUGAAGAAGAGUGUGCGGUAAACUUCUUGAAUUGCCCCCCCCAUCAAUAUGGACAAGGCCUUCAAACUAAUGUAAGUUUGUCCUCCUCGAGCCUUCAAACUUUGUUGUGUAUAUUUGGAUAGCUAUGAGUGCAAAUGCUGUUUAUUUUUGUCGUCUGCAUCAAAUUGCUGGUUCAAAGAUUAUAAAGUAGAAGUACAUAAACAUAAGUUUGUCCUUCUCAAUUUCAGUCUUUAGUUGUACAACCUAGUUCCUUUUUCGUACCAUGUAAAUUAAACUAAACAUAGUAAGUUAUCUUCUUUAGCACUAUGUAUGCUUAUGUUCUUGAUCUGUAAUCCAGUGGUGUGGUGAAACUACCAACAACAGCACAAUGUCAUAUCCUACUAUGUCUCAACUAUGAACAAUGCCAUAUUAUAUUAAUGUUAUUUAAAUCGUGUCUCUUUAUUUACCAAUCUAAAAUGGUAUAAAUUGACAGUACACUCACCAUUCAUGCUUAUACGUUGUUUAGAACUACAUCCAUGCUUGUGUUCUUGAUCUAUAAUCCAGUGGUCUGGUGAAGCUGGCCGCUCCUACACAAUGCCAUUUCCUGCUGUCUUAACUAUGAACAAUGCCUAUUAUGUUAAUGCUAUUUUAAACUGUGUCUCUUUAUUUCUAACAAAAAAUGAGGUGAAUUGACAGUGCUGAUGCUUAUACGUGCAAAACUUGUUAUCUACCUACUUAUUUCUCUUUCAGGGUGACAACACUGCUGCUAGGAAGAACUGCCACAAUGAUAGUGAGACGAACCCAUUGUUUGUCCCUCUAACACAUAUUCCAAAGGAGAAGGUAAUACAUCUUGAGGGUAGGGAUACAACCACGAAGUCACAUCUUGAUGUAGUGUCAAACUUAACGACACAAGCUUGAUGAAGUCGCCGCCUGAAUCUGUUCGACUUCUUUAGUCUGAAAUUCAAGCAGAAAUACAUGCUUCCGCUCAAAUGCGAUUGGAACUCCAAUCUCUAUGCAAGAUUAACCGUAAGUACAUGAUGUUUAUUGAUGCUAUGCAGCUUAAGUUGGUGGAUAUGAGCGCCAAAGAAGUGCAGUCUCAUCAGGUUGCUAAGUUGUUUGCGCUGCAGCUCCUUGGCUGGGCUAACCUUUCUUGAACUGUGUUGAAGUGCUGUCGGUUCUGUCUAUUAUUUUGUCCGCCUGUUAACUUCCACUGGUGGCGACCUGCCCAAUUUAUGUAAUCUGCUAUCUGGUUGCCCUUUAUUAUCACUAGCGGCAAACUUUGAUGCCCAGAGGAUGUAAUAUGCUGUAAUUUCUUUGUUGUAUAGUCUAGGUUUAUUCUUCGUCACGAUGUUGUAAUUUAUUUUCUGUUUAUGCUGUCGUCGCUCUGAGAAAAGGUCGUAAUCUUUGAUCAGUGCAUAAUGAGCCAAUAGGUUAGGUUCAUAAAAUAAUAAUUUCUGUACUAAAACUGGUCGGUGGCUUAUCGCUAGUACGGGCCGAACCGUGGGCCUACAAUCAUCUUGGGCCAUUAGUUUGGUCUAGUCUUAAUCUGGCCCACUAUUAGUUUUGGGACUUUAAAAGGUCGAGUAAACCGCUUUUCUUAAUUGGGCCCGAAAAUUAAAUAGGCUUUUAAAAUAUUGAAAUGUUUUUGGGCCUUGGCUGACCCAAUUACAUGACGGGUGGGAAGCAGGCCGGAUGUAUAACGGGCCUAAAUUAGGCCCAACACUCUCAAGGACCUUUAAUGGGCCGAUAGGCAGUUUGGGCUAGAAUGUAUCCAUGAAGAGUACGGGUCGUUAAGAGGCCGAAAGUAACUACGGACCACAAUUGGGCCCAGGUGCAACUCGGGCCUUUAAAUGGCUGAAAGUGAAACCGGGCCGAAAGAGGCCCAUAUAUAGACAGGGCCGUUGACAGGCCAAAACUAGUAUCAGGCCGAACUGUUAAACGGGCCAUUAAGAGGCCGAAGAGUAAAUCAGGUCGCCAAUGGGCCCAAUGGCACAGUAGCUAUUAAAUGGGUCGUAUCUGUUAUGGGCCAUAAUUUGGCCCAAGAAAUAAAAGUUAGUUAACAGGCCAGAUCAGGUUUGGUCCGUAAUUUGGCCCCAACUAUUGCAGGCUGUUAACUGGUCGGAUCUGACAUGGGCCGUAAACUGGCCCACAAUAUUGCAGUCAUUUAACGGCCCGUAUCUGAUGUGGGCUAUAAUUUGGUCCAGAAAAUGUUAGGCUGUUAACGGGCCGACCCAUUAGAUCUGACGAAAUCUUGUGGGCCUGUUCCUGGGCUGGCUUUUAGACCUAUAUGGGUCUCUAUUGGGCCGUCCCACGUGUCAACGUUUCAUUGGCGAUUCUUGUCAAAUGGUCGGUUGACAUCUGUCCCAACGCUGAGCCGACACGUGGUUCGUCGCUGAAUGAGAAUUUUACACAUGGAAAAUCGCCAUUGGUCCGGGCUGUUAAUGGGUUAUCGGAACCAAACCGGAACCCGAUAGCUUAACGGCGACCUGUUAUGGUGGAUGCCACGUGUCGAUCACCCUUGACGAAAGUACUUCUUUGACGCGCGAUUUAUCGUCAUGGAAGUGGACACUUCCGUGAUGAUAAUUUUGGUAAUGUCAUGGAACACUUCUACCACAACACAGGUAUGACUAUCUUGAUUCUGUAAUAAAAUCGUCAUGGAUGUACAUGCAUGAUAGAAAACGUGACCUACUGUGACAAACAUGUAUCAUCACGGAAGUGUAUUUUUUUGUAGUGAUAGCGACAACACAAGCAUUCCCAUAACCCCAAGAGCGGUUGGGAACUCGAAAAAUUGCUAUCUUCUGUAGAUGACAGUCACCAUGAUCAUAUUUGAACGUACAUAGAAUAUCGGUGUGAUCAACUUCAGGGCAGUCUGAGAUUUUUGGAAGUGGAACAUUCACAAGUUCCCACUCGCAGUUGUUCCCAAUAUAAACAACCCAAUCUCCAUUUGCGCCCGCCCAAGCCUUACCCUCAAGCGAUGGCAUCUUAACAUCACACGUAUCAUUAUCAAGCUGCAUCAACUUGCAAAAGGCGAGGCUUUCGUCGUCUGCACGCCAGCGAGCAGGGUCAUGGCGAAGAAGAUAGGGGAGAUCAAACCGCUCCUGGACCCUUGGUUUCUUUGUAAUGAUGAUAUUAGUUGAGUCAAGAAUGGUCUUGAACGAACCUGCCAUGCUAACCGAGGUGAUGACUUCGCACCGAUCAAUCAGUUCUUCCACCACGUCAUCUUUCAGAUCGGGGCAAGAAUAAUAGGGUCAUUUCCGGCCUGUUCCCUUCAUGGAGAAGAUGAUCGAACAAUGGCAGAAGGCAAGGUGAAGGAAAAUGGAGGAGGGAGGAAGAGCGUGCGACAACAGUUCCAAAUCAAGAGGGAAAGGCGAAGAGGCGAUGGACGGUUGCCACGAUACACGAAGAGGCACCCCGGCCUACAUAGACGUCCGUUCGGAAAUUGUACAAAAGGACUCGCCGUCGUCUCACUGACAUGUUGGAACGGGACCACAUGUCAAUGAAACAUGGUGUGUCAUUUCUCGUGCAAAAUGUGAUCUGGCCGUGUUGGCCCGAGGUGCCGCAUUAUUUACUGACUUUAUUUUUUUUAAUGGCGUGUCGUUCAGUUUUGAAGCACGACUAACUGGUACUAUAUGCAGAGAAAAUGUAAACUACUCUACCGCUACUCCACCUCUAGUACUAGUAUCAAAAAAGAUAUAUAGGGUGGAGCUUCAGCGCUUUCUUGCUAAGGGCUGCCCACGUGCUUCUCACACUAUCACCCUCUCUCCAGAUCUUAAAAAGACAACCUCUCUCCCUCCUCACCGGUGGUCACAGAUCCACCGGGGAAGAAAAGGACAUGCAGCAUUGACGCACUCGUCGUCUGCUAGCGAGGUGAUACGUCUCCAACGUAUCUAUAAUUUUUUAUUGUUCCAUGUUGUUAUAUUAUCAUUCUUGGAUGUUUUACAAUCAUUUUAUAUCAUUUUUUGUACUAACCUAUUGACAUAGUGCCAAGUGCCAGUUGCUGUUUUUUGUAUGUUUUUUACAUCGCAGGAAAUCAAUACCAAACGGAGCCCAAACGCAGUGAAACUUUUUGUGGAUUUUUUGGACUAGAAGACAUCUAGUGGGCUGGAGAAGCACCUGGAGGGUGCUCCGAGGGGAGCACAACCCACCAGGGCGCACCUGGAGGCCCACGCGCGCCCUGGUGGGUUGUGCCCACCUCGGGUGCCCCCGGACCACCUCUUUACUCUAUAAGUACCCCAAUAUUCCGGAAACCCUAGGGAAGUCGACGAAAAUCAAUUCCAGCCGCCGCAAGUGCGAGAAACCACAGAUCCAAUCUGGACACCAUCACAGAGGGGUGCAUCAUGUCCAUUGGUGCCUCUCCGAUGAUGCGUGAGUAGUUCUUUGUGGACUUACGGGUCCUUAGUUAGUAGCUAGAUGGCUUCCUCUCUCUCGUUUGAUUCUCAAUACAAUGGUCUCUUGGAGAUCCAUAUGAUGUAACUCUUUUUGCGGUGUGUUUGUUGGGAUCGGAUGAACUUUGAGUUUAUGAUCAGAUCUAUCUUUUUAUCCAUGAAAACUAUUUGAGUCUUCUUUGAUCUCUUAUAUGCAUGAUUGCUUAUAGCCUCGUAUUUUUCUCUGAUAUUUGGGUUUUCUUUGGCCAACUUGAUCUAUUUAUCUUGCAAUGGGAAGAGGUGCUUUGUGAUGGGUUCGAUCUUACGGUGCUUGAUCCCAGUGACAGAAGGGGAACUGACAUGUAUGUAUCAUUGCUAUUAAGGAUAACAAGAUGGGGUCUAUUUCUACAUAAAUAGAUCUUGUCUACAUCAUGUCAUCGUUCUUAUUGCAUUAUUCCGUUUCUCCAUGAACUUAAUACACUAGAUGCAUGCUGGAUAGCGGUCGAUGUGUGGAGUAAUAGAAGUAGAUGCAGACAUGAGUCGGUCUACUAAUCUUGGACAUGAUGCCUAUAUAAUGAUCACUGCCUAGAUAUCGUCAUGAUUAUUUGAAGUUCUAUCAAUUUCCCAACAGUAAUUUGUUCACCAACCGUUUGCUAUUUUUAUCCAGAGAAGCCACUAGUGAAACCUACGGCCCCCGGGUCUCUUCUUUAUUAUAUUUGCCUUAGCGAUCUAUUUUCCUUUGCUUUUAUUUCCAGAUCUAUAAAACCAAAAAUACAAAAAUACCUUGCUGCACUUUAUUUUAUUUGGCGUUCGAUCUAUCAAUAUUUACAACUCUCUCACGCCCGUUUGCCAAUUUCUGGUGCCGUUACCUGAAAGGGAUUGACAAACCCUUUAAUACAUCGGGUUGCGAGUAUUUGUUAUUUGUGCGGAGGUGUUGUUUACGUAGUGUUGUUUGGUUCUCCUACUGAUUCGAUAACCUUGGUCUCAUCACUGAGGGAAAUACCUACCGUCGCUGUGCUGCAUCAACCCUUCCUCUUCGGGGAAAUACCAACGUAGUUCUAGCAGACAUCACGAGGUCACAUACUGACGACAAGGCCGCCCUCUCAGACCUAGCACCCGCGCGGGAUGGCCUCCGUCAACCAAGCUCGCUGCCUUAGUGUGUGCGGAGGAUGACGACCACAAGCGAAGCCACUUCCCGCCAACCCUUAGGUAUGCUACCUCUUUUCGAACCAUACCCUUUUUCUAUUGCCCCAUCUGCCACGUCGCUACAUGUGGAUCUUUUUCCACUCCACCAUCUCCCCAAUUUGCUAUCCUCUGCUCUGCUGGUCACGCAGACGGAAACCUUAAUUUUCACUAUUAAAGGAAACCCUACUUCAUGCAGACUAAUCCAUGUACGGGUUGAAUAAGGAAAGGAAGGGAGAAAGUACUGUCCAAGAGAUUAGGCAUCGAACCCGCACCUAGGUUGAAAAGGGGAAAAUUAGUAGCUUUGUCUCAUGUCUCUUGGUUGAAAAAGGGUGAAAAAGGGUAGAAAGGCAUGGCAACGCAAUAGAGAAUGGACAGGUCGAUCGGUUUGUUGUCCUCACAUAGGAAAAGGUGGCUAAAGAGAACAAAACUGGGACGUAAUCCACAUAUGCUGCCUCGAUAUUUGUUGCUCUGGGCAACCAUACCUCCCUCACCACUCUAUGCAUCCGUGGAGGUACAUCGUACUGGUGCUCCCAUUAUCUAAAUGAGCCUCCCAUGCUCUUAUUGCCACUUUUUUUAUGUUAGUACAACGCCAGCGGUAAAGUCAAGCAAUGCUACUACUAAAGUGAUGCCACAUUUAACUAAUGUCGCACUCAGUCUAAUGCCACCGAUAAACUUAAGCAAUACCAUUUAAUGUCACUGGAUUAUUCCAGGGUUAGCUGUUGAUUGUGGAUGUAUUAAAGAUUUUUCAGCUAAGGCAUUCUAAUGCUGUUGCACAUGCAAUAUACCAAUGAUGAAACUUGUUACUACCUUCAGAUUUUUGCAUUGUUAAUGCUUAUAGAUUACGUACGUCAUUUUCAUGAGAUAAGUAUUUUUUUUGUACAGUGUCACCAAAAUGCCAAGGCGCUGAUGACAUUUUAUUUUGGUUAAACUGCACAAAAAAUUAUGAAGACGGGAGGAAAGGUCAAGAGUGGGCACCUCCUCCUCCGGCUGUUCUCUUGAUUCGUUCGAUCAAGUUUUUAUGUUUGAUAGAUUAUCAAGAUUGGGAUAGCAAUUUUGAGGUCCCCUCGAGUUCGAAAUGAUAUUUACCUUGAAGGUACAUGGUUUGCAAUUUUUUAUACUGCCAUUAGUUAAUAAUGCUAGUUACCUUCAGACUUUUGUAUUUUGUUUAAUGUUGUUGCACAACUAGUAUACCAAUGCUGAAACUUGUUACCUUUACAUUUUUUAUUGUUAAUGCUUAUAGAAAUCUUCCAGUGCUAGCGUAUGGAAAUUUGUUCAGUAAAACCAUUGUACUGUACCCCGUAAUAAAAAACUACUCUACUGCUGCACUAGCCACUGGAUUAGUGUAUAUUUGUACUAUUCGAAUGGUGUUGCAUUAGCGUAUGGACAUAUAUAAAGUGUGGGAAGCUUUUCCAGAUAUGUGCUCAAGAAAACUACGACCUGCUUUUCUAAAUUCUAGACGUUUGGGUACUUUAAAUUGAACUGCGAAAAUGUCUUAUAUUAAGGAACAUAGGGUGUAGAGUUCACUCAAAUUAUCCCGGUAAAGCUAGUCACACCUUUGUUAAAAUUAAGGUUCAUUAUGUUAUCGGAGGAGGUCUGUAUGUUUGUCUCUAAUGCCUGUCGAUUAAAUACCUGAUAUCAUGAUGUAAUGUUAAGUCAUUUCUUUUUGUAUAGUGCAUUGAAUUUUCAAGGCGAUGAUGGCAUUUUAUUUUAGUUGAACUGCACAAAAUAUGCUUAAAAGAAGAGGAAAGGUCAGGAAUGGUUCAGUUUUUCAGAAAAUACUAUGUAUGCCUUCCUGACAUCAGCCGCCGGUGCCUUAUUUAUUCCGUCAAAUAUGUGGUUAGAAAAAGUCUUGCUACCUUUGCCCAUUAAGAAAUUGGAAUGCUUACAUUUGUGAGUCUAUGCUUCAACUAGUGCCACUUUUGUAGUAAUCACACUUCCAAUAUCUAUGCAAACAGGGAUGCUCGAGUUUAGUGGAACUGCAAAAAAAAGUCUAAAUGAUUCAACAUUAGGAGCAUGUUUUCUUCCAAACCGUUAUAUCCAAUUGGUGGCACUAUGAGCUGUUCAUUACGAAGGUACAUGGUUUGCUACUAUCUCGCUACUGUUUUUGUACUGUCAUUAGAUAGUAAUAUUAGUGGCUUGCAUGUGAAUUUAUUGGCAGGGUGGACCUACAUUGGAGGUGCAGGACAUGAUUCAAUGAUUGGAUGCUCAAUUUCAGUUGGAUUGAUUUCACCUCUUCCAUCACUUGGAACAUGGAUAUCCUUGGUCUGAUGAAGAGUAUGCGCUAUAUUUAUGCUUUGUACCAGAUUCAGUACGAAAUUGUCCAGGGCAAAACAUGACAGUAUCAAAUUAUCCAGUGCAAAACAUGACAGAUGCUAAGCGGAAGAGACGUGUUUAAACCAAAAAUACAAGGUGGGGUAUAUGUUUACUAGCUACUUGAUAUUUGCGCAGACAGAUGUCUGCCCAUUGCUAUUUGGCAAACAAACAAAGUGACCACAAUUUUGGUGGAACUGCACAAGAGAUAGUAUAGUCACUGCAUGCAGUGCCAUUUGAAAAUAGACACAGAAAGAUUGGAUAGUCACUUCAUGUACUGCACAAAAGUAGUAUUGUACGAUUUAUUGGCCAACACUUGGUGCUUCAUUGCUUUGGUCUGAUUAUACAAUGGGCAUCAUUUUGCCUAAGUUAAAGUUUGUAUUCCGGAAAUAGUAUCUUCGUGUGAUCGAGAGAAGACCAAAUCAUAUUGCAGUGGAUGUUCCUCCAUCAUGUGUGGUUCAUUCUCAUGGUUCCAGCUAUUGGUGAAACCACUUACAUUUGCAACAGGAGUUGUAGACUUCACAAAAAAAUUUGUCUUUCACUUUGUACUGAAUGUUGGCCCAGAGAAACAUCCAUGUUAGUAGGAAGAACAGAUGUUUUUUUCUAGAUCUUUGCUUUUGGAGCUACAUAUUUGUAUAUGAUCUGUGAAUCAUUGAGAUGCAUUAACAUGUUGGUCUUAUGUAUGGGAAUCGUACUAGUUGGUUGUGAAUUUGGGCUAUUAAUGUGAACAUAUUACAAUGCCAGGCCUGUAAGUCUCGUGUGAACAUUUUGAACGGAUCGACUCUUACUACUGUGCACAGCAUGAUCCUUCUUUUUGUGUUCUCAGUGUUGGCAAGUUACUAGCAGUUCCUUAUUUCUGUUUGCUCACUGUUUACAAGUUACUGAUCAAUCACUAGCUAGCCUACUAAUACGCUCCUGACAGUUUUAGUUGCGACGCAAGAUCCAAAGUGGCAGCUUUUUGAAUAAAAAUGCCUUCCUCUGAAGAACUGGCAUGCUGUUCUGAAGAAAAUGCCAUGCGAAUCUGAAGAAAAUGCCAGCAAAAACGUUCGCAAAUGCCUUAUCUCCCAGCGAACGUUCAUCCUCUAUUGCGAUCCUACACAUACACUAUCCGACCGACUCGAUCCUAUGCGAAUAACCAGUGGAUCACGCACGUACCUCAUCUGGAUGAAUCGAGCGCACUCGUUAGACCGUCAUGCCGACGUGCGACCCAGCACGGACGGGACGCACCACUGACGGGAUGGGACGGGACGACACAGUCAUAAUUUCAGUUUUUCUAGUUUUCCACGGCAAGCUGGCGCGCUAAGCCAUGCCUACUUAUGCAUUGAAUUCCGAUAACCGCGAUGACCGUUGCGUUUCCCGUGACACGCUGUUUCACCUACCUUCCGCCUAUAAUUACUGGUUCCCAGCGUUCUCCGAUGGCACCAUCACCCAACUCGCCCUAUCCUCAUAAGACCCCACCGGCCUGACGUCGCUCGCCACUUGUCCUCGCUCUCGCCACGUCCAUCAUGCCCCCGCCCAUCCAUAAUAGGCGACGUCCGGCGGUCACUGCCGGAACUAGUGUUCGGGUUUUCACCGGAAGGCGGACGAAGGGAGGAGGCAUUCUAUUGGUCUUUCGAUGGCAAUGAGGAGUAUGAGGACUUGUUGGAGCGCGAUCACUGAUGUCGCUUGAAGCUACGUCGGUAUUUCCCCAAAGAGGAAGGGAUCAUGCAGCACAACGGCGGUAGGUAUUUCCCUCAGAUAUGAAACCAAGGUUAUUGAACCAGUAGGAGAACCAAGCAACACAACGUAAACAGCCCCUGCACACAGAUAACAAAUCCUCGCAACCCGACGUGUUAAAGGGGUUGUCAAUCCCUUUCGGGUAACGGUGCCAGAAAUUGGUGCGUGACGGGAGAAAGUUGUAAUAGAUUUAAUAAAUAGAUCACAAAUAAAAUAAAGUGCAGCAAAGUAUUUUGGGGUUUUUGGAAUAAUAGAUCUGCAAAUAAAAGCAAAUAAAAGUAGAUCGCAAAGGCAAAUAAUAUGAGAAAGAGACCCGGGGGCCGUAGGUUUCACUAGUGGCUUCUCUCGAGAAAAAUAGCAAAUGGUGGGUGAACAAAUUACUGUUGGGCAAUUUAUAAAACUUCAAAUACUCAUGACGAUAUCCAGGCAAUGAUCAUUAUAUAGGCAUCACGUCCAAGAUUAGUAGACCGACUCCUGCCUGCAUCUACUACUAUUACUCCACACAUCGACCGCUAUCCAGCAUGCAUCUAGUGUAUUAAGUUCAUGGAGAAACGGAGUAAUGCAAUAAGAACGAUGACAUGAUGUAGACAAGAUCUAUCUAUGUAGAGAUAGACCCCAUCGUUUUGUCCUUAGUAGCAACGAUACAUACGUGUCAGUUCCCCUUCUGUCACUGGGAUCAAGCGUCGUAAGAUCGGACCCACUACAAAGCACCUCUUCCCAUUGCAAGAUAAACAGAUCAAGUUGGCCAAACAAAACCCAAAUAUCGGAGAAGAAAUACGAGGCUAUAAGAAAUCAUGCAUAAAAGACAUCAAAGAAACUCAAAUACUUUCAUGGAUAUAAAAAGAUAGAUCUGAUCAUAAACUCAAAGUUCAUCGAUCCCAACAAACACACCGCAAAAGAGUUACAUCAUAUGGAUCUCCAAGAGACCAUUGUAUUGAGAAUCAAGAGAGAGAGAUGAAGCCAUCUAGCUACUAACUAUGGACCCGAAGGUCUACAAAGAACUACUGAUGCAUCAUCGGAGAGGCACCAAUGGAGGUGGUGAACCCCAUCCGAGAUGGUGUCUAGAUUGGAUCUGGUGGUUCUGGACUCUGCGGCAGCUGGAUGAAUAUUUCGUCGACUCCCCUAGGGUUUUGGGAAUAUUGGGGUAUUUAUAGAGCAAAGAGGCGGUCCGGGGGUCACCCGAGGUGGGCACAACCCACCAGGGCGCGCCUGGGCCUCCUGCACGCCCUGGUGGGUUGUGCCCCCCUCGGGGCACCCCCCAGGCGCAGCCAGGGCCCGUUGUGUUACUUUUGGCCCAUAAAAAUUCUCCGUAAAAUAAUCGUGCCAUUUGGACUCCGUUUGAUUGAUUUUCUGCGAUGUAAAAAACAUGGAAAAACAACAACUGGCACUUGGCACUAUGUCAAUAGGUUAGUACCAAAAAAUGAUAUAAAAUGACUAUAAAAUGAUUAUAAAACAUCCAAGAUUGAUAAUAUGACAACAUGGAACAAUAAAAAUCUAUAGAUACGUUGGAUACGUAUCAGCAUCCCCAAGCUUAACUCCUACUUGUCCUUGAGUAGGGAAGUGAUAAAAACAGAUUUUUUGAUGUGGAAUGCUGCCUAACAUGUCAUAUCAUAUUCUUUUUUUAUAGCAUGGACAUUUGGACUUUUAUAUUGUUUAAAGCAAUAGUCUAGUUUUGACAUGAUAAUUUAAAUACUCAAGCAUAUCAACAAGCAACCAUGUCUUUCAAAAUAUCAAUGCUAAAAUAAGCUAUCCCUAGCCCAUCAUGCUCAACCAUUGAUCCAUUCAUGAAACACACUCGCAUAUUAGCUACAUCCAAUAUUCUAGUACGAUCAUAUUGCCUCGAAGUUGGUGCUUUUAUAAGGGAAGAUGGAGAAUCAAAUUCAAAAUAAAAAUUGCAUAAAGUAAAAGAAUGGCCCUUCGCAGAGGGAAGUAGGGAUUUGUAGAGGUGCCAGAGCUCAAAGCAAAAAACUUAGAGAUAAAAACAUUUCGGGAGGUGUAUGCAUCCCGCCAACGAAAACGACUUAGAGUCCCCAAUACUUUCCAUGCUAAGAUAUAUCAUAGGCGGUUCCCAAACAGAAAAUAAAGUUUAUUCCUUUUUCCACCAUACAUUCACUUUCCAUGUCUAGCCGUAUCCACGGUUGCCCUCCAUAACAACACUUUCCAAGGAAUUUAUUAUUUGACAAUGAUGGUAGCUGGAACUACGUCGGUAUUUCCCUGGAGAGGGAGGGAUGAUGUAGCACAGCGAUGGUAGGUAUUUCCCUCAGUUAUGAAACCAAGGUAUCGAACCAGUAGGAGAACCAAACAACACAACGUAAACAACACCUACACACAAACAACAACACCUCGCAACCCGACGAGUUAAAGGGGUUGUCAAUCCCUUCCGGGGUACGGCGCCUCAAGAUAGGCAAGCGGACGUGAGGUAAAUUGUAGUAGAUUGAUAGAUCAAACGCCAUAUAAAAUAAAUAAAGAUAAAACGCAGCAAGGUAUUUAUGUAUUUUUUGGUUUAAUAGAUCUGAAUAAAAUGAAAAGGAAAAGCAGAUCGCAAGGCAAAUAUAUGAGAAAGAAGACCCUGGGGCCAUAGGUUUCACUAGUGGCUUCUCUCGAGAAAAAUAGCAAACGGUGGGUAAACAAAUUACUGUUGGGCAAUUGAUAGAACUUCAAAAAUUAUGACGAUAUCUAGGCAAUGAUCAUUACAUAGGCAUCACGUCCAAGAUUAGUAGAGCGACUCCUGCCUGCAUCAACUACAAUUACUCCACACAUCGACCGCUAUCCAGCAUGCAUCUAGUGUAUUAAUUUCAUGGGAAAAUGGAGUAAUGCAAUAAGAACGAUGAUAUGAUGUAGACAAGAUCCGUUUAUCUAUAUGGCGGUAGACAUAGAUCUUGUCUUUUUAUCCUUAGUAGCAAUGAUACAUACAUGUUGGUUCCCUGUAACAUCCCAAAUUUUCAAUUUGGUAUGUUAUACAUAGAUCAUCAUUGCAUAUCAUGUUUUAUUGCAUUUUGACAAAUCCUCGAUAAAUCCUAAGCAACUCAAGGACCAUCGGAGAGAGUUGGGGAUUUUCUCGAAUUUACAUAUUUGAUUUUCAUCAAAUAAUAAGACGAGGAUUUUGGUUUUAAUUAUUUUCUCUCCGGAAAAAUAUUUCAUUAAACAAAAUAAACGAGAGGAGAAAAUAUGACUUCUCCAAAACAAUUGAAACACUGGAGGAAAAUGUUAAAAUCAUUAUUUGGAAUUUAUUUGGAUUUUAUUUGCAAUUUUAUUGCAUUAAAAAUAUUGCAUGUUUUCAAAAUAUUUAUUUUGAUUUAAAAAAUGUUCACCCUGUUCUAGAUUUUCUAACUAGACGGGAAAAAUUUAUUUCAUAUUUUUCUGAUUUUUAUUUAUUUUUUACGAAUUAUUUUCCGCGGAACUUAUUAAAAAAAACGCGCGACGCCCGCUGGGCCGAAGCCCAGCCGAGCGCCGGCCCACCCCGCGCCUCUCCUCUCCGUGCACGGGAAGCCGCCGCCGCCAUGGCCGAGUCCGGCACCCGCACGGCACCCGCCGGCCGCCCCCUCCCCCAAGCCACCUCGCCCCCCUCCCUUUAAAUACCCCCUCUCUCUUUCCUCUCACCGCCGCCGNNNNNNNNNNNNNNNNNNNNNNNNNNNNNNNNNNNNNNNNNNNNNNNNNNNNNNNNNNNNNNNNNNNNNNNNNNNNNNNNNNNNNNNNNNNNNNNNNNNNNNNNNNNNNNNNNNNNNNNNNNNNNNNNNNNNNNNNNNNNNNNNNNNNNNNNNNNNNNNNNNNNNNNNNNNNNNNNNNNNNNNNNNNNNNNNNNNNNNNNNNNNNNNNNNNNNNNNNNNNNNNNNNNNNNNNNNNNNNNNNNNNNNNNNNNNNNNNNNNNNNNNNNNNNNNNNNNNNNNNNNNNNNNNNNNNNNNNNNNNNNNNNNNNNNNNNNNNNNNNNNNNNNNNNNNNNNNNNNNNNNNNNNNNNNNNNNNNNNNNNNNNNUACUGCCGCUGCCCCGUUCCGUCGUUGCCGGUUUUCGUUCUAAAAAAAAACCUUCGUUAAAAAAAAACCCUAGAUCGGUUUUUUUUCCGGUUUUAUUAUUUUGCGAGCGUUUUCCGAACCGUUCGUUUUAGCGAACGCGUUCGUCGGUUUUUCUCUGUUAACGAACGUCCGUUCUUUAACCGUUCGUCCGUUUUUCUUUUUCGUCGGAUUUUUCUGCGAUUAUCUCAGAUUCGAUUUCUGAUCGAAUCUUCGAUUCUGUUUAACUUCUCGCUCGUUUAUCGGAAUUAGGCGAUUCAAGCGCCUAGAGUUUCGUCUCGAAAUUCUCUUUCCGUUUAACCUACUCAAACAAGUUUUUGCUACAGUAAAAUUUGACCUAGAUCCAGAUUAGCAAACAAAGUUUCUUUCUUCCGCCGUUUGACUUUCGUUGCUUCUUUCGAGUUGAUUCUUUUUGCAAACCGGAGUUCUUAAGUUGAACUUUCUGGUUGGAUCUUUCAUUCGAGUUUUACCUAUGCAUUAGAUGAGUACUGAUUGUAUGCUUGUUUGUUUGCGAUAGAGUACCCGGAGUGUGCCGCUUGUUACUUCGACUCGUUAGGUUUUGCGGAUCAUCAGCAAGGCAAGUAACACUUUGAUCAUACCUUCCAUUACCCAGUUUUUAUUGCAUUAGAUCUAUUCCUCAAACACAUUGCAUGACUAGGAUCUAAAUAAAUUGUGGGUAUUGGGAAGUAGUUGAGGUAGUACCUAUUACCUGUUUUCUAUUCAAACCCUUGGGAGUUACUUCUACGUUGCUUUUAUUAUUGCCAUGCUAUGCUCGUAGACGUGGAUUGGGUUUGAGAGAUAUUCAUGACAGAUGUGAGAUGUUAAUUAAUGGUUCAACCUAAGGUGGCAACUAAAACUCACAUCUGGGUGGAUUGAGGCACCUGGAGAACCCAGUGUUGUCUGUUUGUAUAAGGACCGCUACCCAGGCUCAAAGGGAUCAUAAGAUUAUUCAUGCUAGAAACUUCCGUGUGCAGCCACAAGCUAUUAUGGGCUCUAGCAUAGUGGAGUAGGUUACAGGAUCUAUUGAAGAGGUGGACUAGCAGAUGUAGGGGAAAGUAGGUGUACCGGUCCAUCCAGAGUAAAGAGUGAUUGUUUCUGAAAGACUGUGUCUCGGUCAUCCGUUUCUCAAACAUCAUGUAGUGCGAGAAUCAAGCGGAGGCGAUCGAGUCUUGUGGGGAAAAGUGCGCAAACCUCUGCAGAGUGUAUAAACUAAUCAUGGUUAGCCGUGUCCCCGGUUAUGGACCACUUGAGUAUCUAGUACCUGGAUUAUCAUAUGAAUCUCAUCACCAUGUUACUUUUAAUUAAUUUUGUUGGGUUAAUGAUGACACUUAAUUGGGAUUGAGUUGGAGGUACCUUCUCAAUGUUUCAACCACCAUGAUAGUUAAAUAAAAUUUAUUCCUUUGCAGUAGGAUAAAAAUGGCUUUUCGCAAAACUGUAACCAUAGAGCUUUCCACCAGCCAUAUAUGCAUGUAGUAUAGCAUUAUUAUUGUUCAUUGCUCUCUAUGUGUUACUUUGCCAGCAUAUUCUAUGUGCUGACCCGUUUUCGGGCUGCAACGUUUCAUGUUGCAGACUUUUCAGACGACGAGUAAGGUGCCUUAGGUCGUGGUCUUAUACUCAGUGAUGCCGCUGGAGUUGAUGGACUCACUUAUCUUCCAAGUCUUCCGCUGUUAUCAUUAUUAGAUGGCCUUAAGCCAUGUUUAUCAUACUUAUUCUCUUUGGAGAUAUUCGAUGUAAUAAGUGUGUGAUUGCUACUCUGUUAUAAAUCCUCCAUUUGUACUGUGCGUGUCAGCAUUACUGAUCCAGGGAUGACACUGGUGCACAGCAGCACAGACCAUUUGAGGUAUGGUCGCUACAUUCCCUUUCUGUCACUGGGAUCAAGCACCGUAAGAUUGAACCCACUACCGGGCACCUCUUCCCAUUGCAAGAUAAAUAGAUCAAGUUGGCCAAACAAAACCCAAAUAUCGGAGAAGAAAUAUGAGGCUAUAAGAGAUCAAAGAAACUCAAAUAACUUUCAUGGAUAUAAAAAGAUGUGACUGAUCAUAAAAUCGAAGUUCAUCAGAUCCCAACAAACACACGGCAAAAGAGUUACAUCAUAUGGAUCUCCAAGAGACCAUUGUAUUGAGAAUUCAGCAAGAGAGAGAAAGUCAUCUAGCUACUAACUACGGACCCGAAGGUCUACAAAGAACUACUCACGCAUCAUCAGAGAGGCACCAAUGGAGGUGGUGAACCCCAUCCGAGAUGGUGUCUAGAUUGGAUCUGGUGGUUCUGGACUUUGCGGUGGCUGGAUGAAUAUUUCGUCGAUGCUUUUAUGGUUUCUGGAAUAUUGUGGUAUUUAUAGAGCAAAGAGGCGGUCCGGGGUACCCGAGGUGGGCACAACCCACCAGGGCGCACCAGGGCCUCCUGGCGCACCCUGGUGGGUUGUCCCCUCCUCGGGACUCCCCCCAGGUGCAACUAGGGCCCAUUGCCUUUCUUCUGGCCCAUUAAAAAUCAUCAUGGAGUUUUGUGGCAUUUGGACUCCGUUUGAUAUUGAUUUCCUGCGAUGUAAAAAACUUGGAAAAAACAGCAACUGGCACUUGGCACUAUGUCAAUAGGUUAGUACCAAAAAUGAUAUAAAAUGACUAUAAAAUGAUUAUAAAACAUCCAAGAUUGAUAAUAAAACAACAUGGAACAAUCACAAAUUAUAGAUACGUUGGAGACGUAUCAGACAACAUACAAUAAAUUCUUUUUUUUUCAUUUCGGGACUGGGCAUCCCUAAUACCUUUGCCUUACUCUCGUGCAAUGAUAAGUGAAUAAACACUCAUCUUGAGAAUAACACAUCUAGCAUGGAAAAUAUUAGCCACCCAUCACCGCUCUGCGAGUGAAACAAACACACAAAAGAGAAGUUUAUUUUUGAAAAUUAGAGAUGGCACAUGCAAAUUUGCUUAGAGCAGCAAAACAAUACCGCAUAUAGGUAGAUAUAGUGGACUCAUGUGGCAAAACUGGGUUAAAGGUUUUUAGAUGCACAAGUAGUGAUCAUACUUAGUGCAAAAUGAAGGCUAGCAAAAGAUUGAGAAGCGACCAACCAAGAAACGAAUAAUAUCAUAAACGAGCAUUAAGCAUAACUAACACCGAAUAAUACACCAUAAGUAGGAUAUAAUUUAUUUGCAUAACUAUUGACUUUCGUGCUUGCAUAGGAAAUCACAAACCUUAACACCAAUAUUCUUACUAAAGCAUAAUUACUCAUCAACAUGACUCACAUAUCACAUGAUCAUAUCUCAAAACUACUACUAAGAAUCAAGUUUAUUUUGUCCAAUGAUCUUCAUGAAAGUUUUUAUUAUAUCCUUCUUGGUAUCUUUCACUUUGGGAAUAAUUUUCAUAUGUUGCUUUUGACAAGCUCAAACAAAUACAAGUGAAGAUCAUGAGCAUAAUAUUUCUUUCUCUCAAAUUAAUUUAAGUGAAGCAAGAGAGAAUUUCUUGAAAAUUUUACUAACUCUCAAAUAAAUCUAAGUGAAGCAAGAGAGCAUUUCUUAAAAAAUACUAAGCACACCAUGCUCAAAAAGAUAUAAGUUAAGCACUAGAGCAAGUCCAUAGGUCAUAAAAAUUUAAGUGAAGCAUAGAGAGCAAUUCUAACAAGUCAUGACAUAAUUUUGGCUCUCUCAAAUAGGUGUGUCCAGCAAGGGAUCAAGACUUUAAACACAAAAUAAAACAAGCAAAGACUCAUAUCAUACAAGACGCUCCAAGAAAAAUACAUAGUAUGUGACGAAUAAAAAUAUAGCUUCGAGUAAAUUACCGAUGGUUGUUAGAAGAAAGAGGGGAUGCCACUCGGGGGCGUCCCCAAGCUUAGUUGGUUGAUCAUUUUUGGAUAAUAGCUUGGGAUGCCGGGGCAUGCCCAAGAUUAGGCUCUUCUACUCCUUAUUCCUUCAUCCAUCAUAAGAUAACCCAAAACUUGAAAACUUCAAUCACACAAAACUUAACAAAACCUUCGUGAGAUACAUUAGUAUAAGAAUAAUAAAUCACUACUAUAAGUGUUGUAUCAAACCAAUUCAUAUUUUGUUCUUGCAUGAUAUCUACUGUAUUCCAACUUUUCUAUGGCAAAAACUCUUCAAAGAAAACCAUAGAGCCAUCAAAAUAAGCACACAACACAAAGAAAACAGAAUCUGUUAAAACAGAACAGUCUGUAGCAAUCUGACUAUUUUGAAUACUUCUGUAACUCCAAACAUUCUGAAAAAUUAGGACGACCUGAGAAAUUUGUAUAUUCUACUACAAGUGGAAUGGGUAUUUUAUCGCUCUCUGGUAAAAAAAUGAAAAUUAUUUUCGUGAGCGCCAAAGUUUCUUUAUUUUCAGCAAGAUCAAACAACUAUUACCCAGGAAGAUCCUAAAGGCUUUACUUGGCACAAACACUAAUUAAAACAUAAAACUGCAAUCAUAACAGUAGCAUAAUUGUGCUAACACUCAAAAAUAGGAAGAAAAAAGCAAAAAUAAAUUUUAUUCAUUUGGUUGCCUCCCAACAAGCGCUAUAGUUUUACGCCCUUAGCUAGGCAUAAAGCAAGGAUCCAAGUUUUGUCAUCUUUGGUUCGAGAUCCAUAAGAUGCCCUCAUGAUUGAUUCAUAUGGUGGCUUAAUUCUUGUAGGAAAGUGUUCCAUACCCUUCCUCAAAGGAAAUUGGAACUUAAUAUUGCCUUCUUUCAUAUAAAUCACGGCACCAAUAGUGCGUAAAAACGGUCUACCAAGAAUAAUUGGACAAGACGGAUUGCAGUCAAUAUCAAGAACAAUAAAAUCUAUGGGCACAUAAUUCCUAUUUGCAAGAAUAAGAACAUCAUUAAUUCUUCCCAUAGGCUUUUUAAUACUGGAAUCCGCCAAGUGCAAAUUCAAAGAACAUGAUUCAAGAUCGGUAAGACCAAGCACAUCACAUAAAGAUUUCGGAAUAGUAGAAACACUAGCACCCAAGUCACACAAAGCAAAGCACUUAUAAUUUUUAAUCUUGACUUUGAUAGUAGGUUCCCAUUCAUCAUGCAAUUUUCUAGGAAUUGAAACUUCUAAUUCCAACUUUUCAUCAAAAGCUUUCAUCAUAGCAUCAAUAAUAUGUUUAGUAACAGCUUUAUUUUGUUCAUAAGCAUGGGGUGAAUUUAUCAUGGAUUGCAACAAAGAAAUACAAUCAAUCAAAGAGCAACUAUCAUAAUUAAAGUCUUUGUAAUCCAAAAGAGUGUGCACAUCACUAGCUAAAGUUUUGACCUCUUCAAACCCACUUUUAUCAAUUUUCUCAACAAGAUUUUUACCCUACGAAAUAUUGGAACGCCUUCUACCCAAAGUUGACUCUUCUCCAGUCCCUUUUUCAUCAAUAUUAACUUUACUAAACAAGGAAUCAAUAGAAGAAACACCAAUCAUUUUAAGAUCUUCAUCACUCUUACCCUCUAGUGAGAUUGGUUUAGCAGCCAUUUGAUUAACUAGAUUACACUGGUGCGCGUCGGUCCUAAACAAACAGUUUUUUACCCCUUUCCGCGGUGACAUUUGGAACCGUCGCCAAGUGAGUGUGUGCGAUAGGGUGUCCUUCCCACACGACCCAGAAAUCGUCGGGGAUAGGCCCUCCUGGGACCCAGGCUGGGGUCGUGUGCGAUCGGGCGAGGUAUCGAAAUCCAAUCAUUUCCGUAGGUAUGUACAUCCCACACGGUAAUCCGAGAAAAUCAUUUCCGUAGCUAUGUACAUCCCACACGGUAAUACGAGAAAAUCAUUUCCGUAGGUAUGUACAUCCCACAUGGUGAAUCCCAGAAAAACAUUUCCAUUCGUAUGUAUAUCACACACAGUCAAUCCAAGGAAUACAUUUCCAUUCUUAUGUACAUCCCACACAGUCAAUCUAGGGAAAACUUUUCCGUUCGGACGUAAAUCCCACACAGUUUUAUGUGUAGGCUCGUGUGUGAAAGGUGUAACUAUCACACACGGUCUUCCUUGGUUAACGGUUUGCUUUUAUCAACUAUAUCACACACGAUUUGAUGAAGAAGACUGUGUGGCAUUGGGCUAUCCAUCGCAAGCGCUUUUACUGCUAGAACCGUUUGCAAAGGUCCAUGACACAUUUAGCAUGUUUAUUAGUUUACGAUUAAUAAUUCCAGUAUUAUGCAAAUUCACAUUUCAUAUCAAACAGUUGUUUGCCAAUUUCAUAUCAGGCACAUAAAUAUAUUGUAACAUCACAAUACGGUAGCUACAUGAAAACAGCACAGUACAACAUAUAGCUAGUUCAACUUUAUAAGAACAAUAUAUUCAUUUCCCUAAUCGAGAUCAUCAAGGCUCGUCUUAUCCACCUCUGCUUUCGGUUCAGUAAGAACCCGUUUUGCACGGGCCAACUGGGAUAGUGCCUCCUCCUUCGCCAACACCAUCUUAGCAAAGUCUGAUUUAAAAAAUCUGAGCUCAUUCUCCACAUUCAACUUUUUAUCCCACAUCUUGAAAUAUGCUUCAGUGUUGACAAGACUUUCUCUAAGCCUAUGUGUGUUCACUUCCUCAUACAUGCUCCAGAGCUUCGUUAGGCACAUCUUCAAAGACUGUGGCCACUCUUGAUCAACCCACUCCAAGUAAGAACACUUCCGUUCAUCCUAUAAUAUUUAAAACUAGAUCAGUAACAAUUUUAGGGGAAAUGGGUUUAUAGCAACAUAGAAAAUCACCAAUGCUUAUUUUGAAAAAUUUAAGAAACAUGUUAAUUAUGACAUAUCUUCUCAAAAAGAUCAAUGUGCAAAUGAAAUAAUUGGUACUGAGACAACAACCAAAUUCUGGAACAUCAGAAGCUAUAAUUAAUUACAAUGGCGCUACAAGUUCUUACUCAUGUACAAUAAAUAACAAAUCAAACAUUUUAUGAGGAAGGUAAAUAUAACUGCAACAGCAUAGCAAAACUAACAGGUGUGUACAUGCACAAAUUUAGUAACAUAGAACUAAUAGCACUAAGGCCGUCCACUAUGUAUGCCAAAACUGGUGUAAAGACAACUGUUGCUACAUCUCGCACCAGUGCCCUGAAUUGGCGAGCUGAUGCAGCAGAAAACAAAUCAGGGACCCGGACUUCGGAGCACGUAGUUGCUCUGAUGCCCAGUUCCUUUGUGCCAUAAAGAUUUAGUAUUUUACUGCUUGGCUGCUCGGAUGUGUGGACCAAAGUUGGCUGCACAAACUGCUGAAGCGGUGCCAAAGAAUUUUUUAAUGGCACCACUGAUGAGAUGGCAGCAAUUUAAGAUACUAGGUACAAACUGUGACACUGUCUUAGGAUGCGUUUGGUUGAAGGUGUGGUAUGAAUGGGUUGGGACCGUGGCAGUGUCUGAAUCACAUCUAACAAAUGAUUUGUAACAAUGGAAGAGGGUCUAACCUUCUCUGCACAUGAGAGAAACUUCCUCCCAAUGUCCAUAGAAUCAAACGCAAGUAGCUUCACGCAUGGAGAUUGAUGGUGACAACGAGCAGAUAAAUCUUCAGCCACCCCGCUCCAUUCGUUGCCACUGAUGGUCUUAGGGAGCUACAGGAGGAAGAAACGACUCAAAUCGACCUCCAGGUAAAAAUCCUUCAUUCCAAGUCAUAGCCCGAGAGAGAGAAGAGAGGCAUACCUGGGUGGUGAAGGAGUAGUCGCCGGAGGAGGAACCGCUGGAGAUGUCCUUGAAGAAGACCAUGGCGACCCCGGUGGUAGGAUCCAAGACGGCGAGAGCGAGGAAGCGGCUAUAGCUUAGCAAGGAAGGAAGGAAGGAAGGAGGAAACAGAGGAAAUGUGACUUGUGGUCGGGGAGAAAAGGGGGUGGGGUAGAUAUUUUGGCGGUAGGCCAAAAUUUUGGAAAUGUGGAGGGAAACUUUGUGCGCGGUGCCGCUGGACCAUUCACUUUCAACGAUUGUGUGCAUCACAAACGAUUCUUCUGUUUACGCGCAUGGGAUGAGUUUGAUAAUUCAAAUUUUGGUCUCAAGGCAUGGGCACAUUCACUUUGAACGCGCGCGGUGCCGCCGGACCAUUCACUUUGAAAGAUUGUGUGCAUCGCAAAUGAUUCUUCUGCUUUACAUGCAUGGGAUGAGUUUGAUAAUUCAAAUUUUGGUGGAAAUUUCCCUGGGUACGUCAUUGCAUAAUUUAACAUCGCUUGCUAAUUUGGGCACACAAAAGAGCGUACAACAGACAUAACACACUUACUGAAUCGAGCAAUUUUAGUAAUUACACAGAGCCAGUUGACCUAAACAUUGCUCUAACAAAAGACCAGCAUUAAAAACAAAUCCUAAGUACGCAAAAUUAAAAAUCCACCGCCGCGCCGGCCUAUGCAUCGCAGACGCCCUCUCGGCGGAAGCGGCCGCGCUCAAUGCGGAUGCGGCGGCACUCUCGGCGUAGCCGGCCGUGCUCUCGGCGCAGGCGGCGGCGCUCGGGUGGGACGCGGCCAUCGUACGGGCCUUCACGAAGCGCCACGACGUCAUCUUUGCAAGAAGGGGGUGCAGGAAUGGGGAUCGGGAUUCGUGGAUUCGGGGGUUGCCGGCACUAGAGCAGACAAGCCGGCGAAGCUUAAGGAGGGAGACUUAAAUAGACCCAGGUAUUUUCAUCGCAAACGGUUCCUAGAAACAACUGUGUGUGAUGUUGUAGAUAUUUUUUAUUAGCUGUGAAAGACGAAUUUGGAAUAAAGUGCCAACGGAUGGUGUAUUAAAUGAACGAGAAUUUUUUAGUACCAAUACAACUGUCAUGUCAAAUUUUGGAAAAUUUCAGGGGUCAUUUGACCUUCUAAGACAUUUAAGUGAUUUUCUAGCCAUUUAAUGACCGUAAUUGAAAUUUGAACUACAUGUACAUGCAACAACUAACCAUAACGGUUUGAAAACUCAUAUUUUGUGUACUUGUGUGCAAUUUAAUUCCAUGUGCAGUAACUUGGAAGGAAUUUUCAAACAUAUUGGUCUAACGGCUAUGACACAAUUAAGCAUGGAUUGACAUGGCAUUUUAAUUCAAAAAAUAGAAAAAUGAUCAGAAACACAUGAAACCUUGGUUGAUGUAAUGUCAUGCCACCAAGAUGAUUUGGUAAAAAAAUUGGCAUGUUUGACCAAUGUUUGGACACACACCCCUCACAAACCGGAGCAACUCACUAGAAGGCUCGUGGUUCCGAAAGGAAAAAUGCAUGUUUGAUGACGAACAGGAGAUAGCUUCCUCUUACGGCCUUAAACUUUUUUCUACGUCUAAUGUGCACUACUACAACUGUAAUGUGAAAUUUUUGAAAAUUCUAGGGGUCAUUUGACCUUUUAAAGACAUUUAAGUGAUUUUCUAGCCAUUUAAUGACCGUAAUUCAAAUUUGAACUACAUCUACAUGCAAGGCAUAACCAAAACGGUUUGAAAAAUCAUAUUUGUGUACUUGUGUGCGAGCUAAUUCCAUGUGCAGUAAACUAGAAGGAAUUUUCAAACAUAUUUGUAUCACGACAUGGACACAUAUGCAUGAAUACGUAUGCAUGGAGUGGCAUGGCAUUUUAAUUCCAAAUAAAAUCAGAAACACAUGAAACCUUGGUUGAUGUAAUGUCAUGCCAUCAAGAUGAUGUGGUAAAGAAAUUGGCUUGUUUGAUGAAAGUUUGUACACACACCCCUCACAAACCGGAGCAACUCGCUAGAAGGUUCAUGGUUCCGAGAGGGAACAAUGCAUGUUUGAUGAGGAACGGGAGAUAGCUUCCUCUUACGGCCUUCAAAUAUUUUCUACGUCUAAUGUGCACUACUACAACUGUAAUGUGAAAUUUUGGAAAAUUCUAGGGGUUAUUUGACCUUUUAAAGACAUUUAAGUGAUUUUCUAACCAUUUAAUGACCGUAAUUCAAAUUUGAAUUACAUCUACAUGCAACGCCUAACCAAAACGGUUUAAAAAAUCAUAUCUGUGUACUUGUGUGUGAGUUAAUUCCAUGUGCAGUAAAUUAGAAGGAAUUUUCAAACAUAUUGGUCUCAUGAGAUGGACACAUGCAUACGUAUGCAUGGAGUGACAUGGCAUUUUAAUUUAAAAAAUUAGAAGAUCAGAAACACAAGAAACCUUGGUUGAUGUAAUGUCAAGCCACCAAGAUGAUGUGGUAAAGAAAUUGGCAUGUUUGACGAACGUUUGGACACACACACCCCUCACAAACUGGAGCAACUCGCUAGAAGGUUCGUGGUUCUGAGAGGGAACAAUGCAUGUUUGGUGACGAACGGGAGAUAGCUUCCGCUUACGGCCUUCAAAUUUUUUCCUACGUUUAACGUGCACUAAUACAACUGUCAUGUGAAAAAUUGGUAAAUUUCAGGGGUCAUUUAACCUUUUAAAGACAUUUAAGUGAUUUUCUAACCAUUUAAUGACCGCAAUUCAAAUUUGAACUACAUCUACAUGCAACGCCUAACCAUAACGGUUUGAAUAAUAAUAUUUUUGUGUACUUGUGUGCGAGUUAAUUCCGUGUGCAGUAAAUUAGAAGGAAUUUUCAAACAUAUUGGUGUCAUGGCAUGGGCAGAUGCAUGGAGUGCAUGCCAUGGCAUUUUAAUUCCAAAAAAUUAAAAAAUGAUCAGAAAAACAUGAAACCUUGCUUGAUUUAAUGUCAUGCCACCAAGAUGAUGUGGUAAAGAAAUUGGCAUGUUUGAAGAAAGUUUGGACACACACCCCUCACAAACCUAAGCAACUCGCUAGAAGGUUCGUGGUUCCGAGAGGGAACAAUGCUUGUUUGAUGACGAACGGGAGAUAGCUUCCUCUUACGGCCUUGAAAUUUUUUCUACGUCUAACGUGCACUACUACAACUGUAAUGUGAAAUUUUGGAAAAUUCUAGGGGUCAUUUGACCUUUCAAAGACAUUUAAGUGAUUUUCUAACCAUUUAAUGACCAUAAUUCAAAUUUGAACUGCAUCUACAUGCAACGCCUAACCAAAACGGUUUGAAAAAUCUUAUUUGUGUACUUGUGUGCGAGUUAAUUCCAUGUGCGGUAAAUUAGAAGGAACUUUCAAACAUAUUGGCCUCACGACAUGGACACAUGCAUACGUAUGCAUGGAGUGACACGGCAUUUUAAUUCAAAGAAAAUAGAAAAAUGAUCAUAAACACAUGAAACCUUGGUUGAUGUAAUGUCAUGCCACCAAGAUGAUGUGGUAAAUAAAUUGUCAUGUUUGACGAACGUUUGGACACACGCCCCUCACAAACCGGAGCAAGUCGCUAGAAGGUUCGUGGUUCCGAGAGGGAACAAUGCAUGUUUGAUGACGAACGGAAGAUAUCUUCCUCUUACAGCCUUCAAAAAAAUUUCCUACGUUUAACGUGCAACUGUCAUGUGAAAAUUUGGUAAAUUUCAGGGGUCAUUUGACCUUCUAAAGAUAUUUAGGUGAUUUUCUAAGCAUUUAAUGAUCGUAAUUCAAAUUUGAACUACAUCUACAUGCAAUGCCUAACCAAAACGGUUUGAAAAAUCAUAUUUUGUUGUACUUAUGUGCGAGUUAAUUCCAUGUGCAGUAAAUUCGAAGGAAUUUUCAAACAUAUUGGUGUCAAGGCAUGGGCACAUGUGUGGAGUGCAUGCCAUGGCAUUUUAAUUCAAAAAAAAAUUUAAAAAAUGGUCAGAAAAACAUGAAACCUUGCUUCAUUUAAUGUCAUGCCACCAAGAUGAUGUGGUAAAAAACUUGUCCUGUUUGACGAAAGUUUGGACACACACCCCUCACAAACCGGAGCAACUCACUAGAAGGUUCGUGGUUCUGAGAGGGAACAAUGCAUGUUUGCUGACGGACGGGAGAUAGCUUCCUCUUACGGCCUUCAAACUUUUUCCUACAUUUAACAUGCACUAAUACAACUGUCAUGUGAAAAAUUGGAAAUUUUCAGGGGUCAUUUGACCUUCUAAAGACAUUUAAGUGAUUUUCUAACCAUUUAAUGACCGUAAUUCAAAUUUGAGCUACAUCUACAUGCAACGCCUAACCAAAACGGUUUGAAAAAUCAUAUUUUUGUGUAGUUGUGUGCGAGUUAAAAAAUCAUCAGACGAUGUAAAUAUCUGGUGUUCAAAAAAAUAUAAAGACCUGGCAAGACAACCGGCCCCCACACGAUUGGAACUCUAUCUCGCGGCUCGAGGUUUGGUAGGUGAUUGGCGGGGAUCAUUAAUCAAACACGGUUCUGUAUUGGAAACCGUCAGCUAUUAUGUUCACACACGGAUUUGCUGCAGGAAUUGUGUGUAAUUCAAACUAUAGUGCUCGUAAAUUCCGGCGACCGGCGUGUGUACUGUCCCCGUCGAUCUAGAUUCUGGCCGCCAAUAAAUACUACCUUGCUCACGUCGUCCCGCCUGCAUUCUCAUCUACAUCCUCCCCUCGCUCGCCCUCUCUCUCUCUCUCAAAUCUCUGCCAUGGCGCCGCCGGUCUGCCCACGCGCCGACGAGGAGUCGCCGCCCCCCGAGGACGCUCACUCGAUUAGCAGUGAAGAGGACCCCUAUGCGCCUCGUGACGAAGUUGCGCCGGACCCCCCAACUUUGAUUGGUUUUGGGGCCAAUACAAUCUUUGUCUAUGGAAGUCGCUUCCGCCGGCUGAGAAAGCUAGGCAAGUGGCGUUCAAGAAGGAGAUGGCGGAGGAGGAAGCCAGGUAACAGGCGACCUGUGAAGCCCGUGAUGCCGCCUCGAAAAAGGAGGCGGCAGAGCUUUGGGGGCGGGCGCGUCGUCGUGCCAAGGAGGUGUACGAAGACGGGUACUUCGCGAGGAAGGUCAUAGCGUUGGGCAUCUUGUCGCUGCGUGGAGGUGGGCCGGUAAGAUCUAGCGUGCCACCGACGAGGAGCUCCGGUGGGCGCCCAACAAAAUGGCAAGAUCGGCCACGCACGUCCACCAGCAAGAGGCAGAUCGAUACGUCAAGCAUUGCGAGGCGGAGGAGUCGAAGUACUGCCUCCGCACUGGGAAGACGCCGCGCACCAGGGAGCUACUGGCGAGGGGCUGCCGGAAUACUGGUCCCAGGAGGGAUUAUUAGUUUUAGUAUUGUUCGUUUUCAAUUUUAUGCAUUGUACCUAGUGGUUAAGUAUCAUCACGUAUAUAUGAUGAUAUUAUAUAUAUAUAUAUAUUCUGUGAUGAUCUAAUGAACAAUUAAUAUAUAUUAUGAAUUCCAUUUUCUAUCUGUUUUUGUAUACUAAUUUGAAUCUAGCUGUUAUCAUCCACAUAUAUGGAAUGGAAAGUGUAUACACAAACACAUUGAAACAGAACAUAUAAGAAUGGAAAACAGAGUACACACAUUGAAACAGAGCAAUACUAUGAUUGCUGUGAAUACAAAGCUAUCCACGUCGAAACGACUUUUCAAAAUAAAACGCGUCCAUGAGACCAUGACCAGCAGCCCUUGCCUAGGGUAGCUCUUGGCUCUGCCUGAACUCGUGCAGGCGUUCGUCCAAGCGGUCGACACGCUCGCGGUACAUCUGGAGCGUGAUCUCGAGCUCCAAGUUGGCUAUUUCAUCGGAGAUCACCAGCUCGAGGAGCGACGGCCAUGUUCCUCUACUGCGCCAGGUGGACACCUAGGCCAAGGAGGUGGUCGAGCCUACGGACCAGCGCGUCGGCCUCCAGCGGGCCGCGGACAAGGCGAACGGCGGCACCCAUGCGAACGGCGCGGUGGGCAUCCGGUGCAAGUACGGCGCGGCCGGCCUCUGGUGCAAGUACGGCGCUGAGGGCCUCUGCCCACUCCUGGCGAGGAAUGGGGGUACUGACGGGACGUGUACCCAGCUGCGACGCCGUGUUGACAGCAGGCAAGCGCCGAUGGAUCCGCUCUUGCUGUGCGGAGCACCGCGCCUCUCGCUCUGCGGCGCUCGAACGGUCUCACCAUGCGGCGAGCCACAGCCUAUUGGCGCAGACGCACCUAGAUGAAGGAAAUAUGCCCUAGAGGCAAUAAUAAAGUUAUUAUUUAUUUCCUUAUAACAUGAUAAAUGUUUAUUAUUCAUGCUAGAAUUGUAUUAACCGGAAACAUAAUACUUGUGUGAAUACAUAGAAAAACAGUAUGCCACUAGUAUGCCUCUACUUGACUAGCUCGUUGAUCAAAGAUGGUUAUGUUUCCUAGCCAUAGACAUGAGUUGUCAUUUGAUUAACGGGAUCACCUCAUUAGGAGAAUGACGUGAUUGACCUGACCCAUUCCGUUAGCUUAGCACACGAUCGUUUAGUAUUCUGCUAUUCCUUUCUUCAUGACUUAUACAUGUUCCUAUGACUAUGAGAUUAUGCAACUCCCGUUUACCGGAGGAACACUUUGUGUGCUACCAAACGUCACAACGUAAAUGGGUGAUUAUAAAGGUGCUCUACAGGUGUCUCCAAAGGUACUUGUUGGGUUGGCGUAUUUCGAGAUUAGGAUUUGUCACUCCGAUUGUCGGAGAGGUAUCUCUGGGCCCUCUCGGUAAUGCACAUCACUAUAAGCCUUGCAAGCAUUGCAACUAAUGAGUUGGUUGUGGGAUGAUGUAUUACGGAAUGAGUAAAGAGACUUGCCGGUAACGAGAUUGAACUAGGUAUUGAGAUACCGACGAUCGAAUCUCGGGCAAGUAACAUACCGAUGACAAAGGGAACAACGUAUGUUGUUAUGCGGUUUGACCGAUAAAGAUCUUCGUAGAAUAUGUGGGAGCCAAUAUGAACAUCCAGGUUCCACUAUUGGUUAUUGACUGGAGAAGUGUCUCGGUCAUGUCUACAUAGUUCUCGAACCCGUAGGGUCCGCACGCUUAAGGUUUCGAUGACGGUUAUAUUAUGAGUUUAUGAGUUUGAUGUACCGAAGGUAGUUCGGAGACCCGGAUGUGAUCACGGACAUGACAAGGAGUCUCGAAAUGGUCAAGACAUGAAGAUUGAUAUAUUGGAAGCCUAUGUUUGGAUAUCGGAAGUGUUCCAGGUGAAAUCGGGAUUUUACCGGAGUACCGGGAGGUUACCGGAACCCCCCGGGAGGCUGUUGGGCCUUAGUGGGCCUUAGUGGGGAAGAGAGGGCAGCAAGGGGCGUGCCCCCCUGGCCCAAACCGAAUUGGUGGGGGCAAGGGGGCCGGCCCCCGUUCCUUCUCUCUUUCCACCUCCUCCAAUCCUAUUCAACCUAGGAGAGGGGGGAGUCCUACUCCUAGUGGGAGUAGGACUCCUCCUGGCGCCUCCAAACCCUGGCCGGCCACCUCCCCCUUGGCUCCUUUAUAUACAGAGGCAGGGGGCGCCACACACACGAUUGAUUUGAUCUCUUAGCCGUGUGCGACGCCCCCUACACCAAAUUACACCUCGAUAAUACUGUAGCGGUGCUUAGGCGAAGCCCUGCGUCGGUAGAACGUCAACAUCUUCACCACGCCGUUGUGCUGACGAAACUCUCCCUCAACACUCGGCUGGAUCGGAGUUCGAGGGACGUCAUCAAGCUGAACGUGUGCUGAACUCGGAGGUGCCGUACGUUCGGUACUUGAUCGGUCGGAUCGUGAAGACGUACAACUACAUCAACUGUUGAUCGGUCGGAUCGUCAAGUACGACUACAUCGACCGCGUUGUCAUAACGCUUUCGCUUUCGGUCUACGAGGGUACGUGGACACACUCUCCCUCUCGUUGCUAUACAUCACCAUGAUCUUGUGUGAGCGUAGGAAAUUUUUUGAAAUUACUACGAAACCCAACAGUGGCAUCCGAGCUUGGUUUUAUGCGUUGAUGUUAUGCACAAGUAGAACACAAGUGAGUUGUGGGCGAUAUAAGUCAUACUGCUUACCAGCAUGUCAUACUUUGGUUCAGCGGUAUUGUGAGAUGAAGCGCCCAGACCAACAUUACCCGUACGCUUAUGCGAGACCGGUUUCACCGCUGCGAGCACUCGUUGCUUAAAGGUGACUGGCGGGUGUCUGUCUCUCUCACUUUAGAUGAAUCGAGUGUGGCUACGCCCGGUCCUUGCGAAGGUUAAAACAGCACCAACUUGACAAACUAUCGUUGUGGUUUUGAUGCGUAGAUAAGAACGGUUCUUGCUAAGCUCGUAGCAGCCACGUAAAACUUGCAACAACAAAGUAGAGGACGUCUAACUUGUUUUUGCAGGGCAUGUUGUGAUGUGAUAUGGUCAAGGCAUGAUGUGAUAUAAUUUGUUGUAUGAGAUGAUCAUGUUUUGUAACCGAGUUAUCGGCAACUGGCAGGAGCCAUAUGGUUGUCGCUUUAUUGUAUGCAAUGAAAUCGCGAUGUAAUGCUUUACUUUAUCACUAAGCGGUAGCGAUAGUCGUGCAAGCAUAAGAUUGGCGAGACGACAACGAUGCUACGAUGGAGAUCAAGGUGUCGCGUCGAUGACGAUGGUGAUCAUGACGGUGCAAUGAUGCUACGAUGGAGAUCAAGGUGUCGUGCCGGUGACGAUGGUGAUCGUGAAGGUGCUUCGGAGAUGGAGAUCACAAGCACAAGAUGAUGAUGGCCAUAUCAUAUCACUUAUAUUGAUUGAAUGUGAUGUUUAUCUUUUAUGCAUCUUAUUCUUCUUAGAACGACGGUAGCAUUAUAAGAUGAUCUCUCACUAAAUUAUCAAGUAAAAGGUGUUCUCCCUGAGUAUGCACCGUUGCAAAAGUUCUUCGUGCUGAGACACCACGUGAUGAUCGGGUGUGAUAGGCUCUACGUUCAAAUACAACGGGUGCAAAACAGUUGCACACGUGGAAUACUCAGGUUAAAUUUGACGAGCCUAGCAUAUAAUAGAUAUGGCCUCGGAACAUGGAGACCGAAAGGUCGAGCGUGAAUCAUAUAGUAGAUAUGAUCAACAUAGUGAUGUUCACCAUUGAAACUACUCCGUCUCACGUGAUGAUCGGACACGGUUUAGUUGAUUUGGAUCACGUGAUCACUUAGAGGACUAGAGGGAUGUCUAUCUAAGUGGGAGUUCUUAAGUAAUAUGAUUAAAUUGAACUUAAAUUUAUCAUGAACUUAGUCCUGGUAGUAUUAGCAUAUCUAUGUUGUAGAUCAAUAGCUCGCGUAGUUGCUCGCCGUUUAUGUUUUGAUAUGUUCCUAGAGAAAACUAAGUUGAAAGAUGUUAGUAGCAAUGAUGCGGAUUGGAUCCAUGAUCUGAGGUUUAUCCUCAUUGCUGCGCAGAAAAAAUUAUGUCCUUGAUGCACCGCUAGGUGACAGACCUAUUGCAGGAGCAGAUGCAGAUGUUAUGAACGUUUUGACAUAAGCUCGGUAUGAUGACUACUUGAUAGUUAAGUGCACCAUGCUUAAUGGCUUAGAAUCGGGACUUCAAAGAUGUUUUGAACAUCAUGGACCAUAUGAGAUGUUCCAAGAGUUGAAGUUAAUAUUUCAAGCAAAUACCCGAGUUGAGAGAUAUGAAAUCUCCAACAAGUUCUAUAGCUAAAAGAUGGAGGAGAAUAGCUCAAGCAGUGAGCAUGUGCUCAGAUUGUCUGGGUACUACAAUCGCUUGAAUCAAGUGGGAGUUAAUCUUCCAGAUAAAAUAGUGAUUGACAGAAUUCUCUAGUCACCAUCACCAAGUUAGUAGAACUUUGUGAUGAACUAUAAUAUGCAAGGGAUGACGAAAGUUAUUCCCGAGCUCUUCGCGAUGCUGAAAUCGGCGAAGGUAGAAAUCAAGAAAAACAUCAAGUGUUGAUGGUUGACAAAGACCACUAGUUUCAAGAAGAGGGCAAAGGGAAGAAAGGGGAACUUCAAGAAGAACGGCAAGCAAGUUGCUGCUCAAGUGAAGAAGCCCAAGUCUGGACCUAAACCUGAGACUAAGUGCUUCUACUGCAAAGGUACUGGUCACUGGAAACGGAACUACCCCAAGUAUUUGGCGGAUAAGAAAGGAUGGCAAAGUAAACAAAGGUAUAUUUGAUAUACAUGAUAUUGAUGUGUACUUUACUAGUGUUUAUAGCAACCCCUCGGUAUUUGAUACUAGUUCAGUUGCUAAGAGUAGUAACUCGAAUCGGGAGUUGCAUAAUGAACUGAGACUGGUUAAGGGUGAAGUGACGAUGUGUGUUGGAAGUGGUUCCAAGAUUGAUAUGAUCAUCAUCGCACACUCCCUAUACUUUCGGGAUUAGUGUUGAAACUAAAUAAGUGUUAUUUGGUGUUUGCGUUGAGCAUGAAUAUGAUUUGAUCAUGUUUGCAAUACGGUUAUUCAUUUAAGUUAGAGAAUAAUUGUUAUUCUGUUUACAUGAAUAAAACCUUAUAUGGUUACACACCCAAUCAAAAUGGUUCGUUGGAUCUCGAUCAUAGUGAUACACAUAUUCAUAAUAUUAAAGCCAAAAGAUGCAAAGUUAAUAAUGAUAGUGCAACUUAUUUGUGGCACUGCCGUUUAGGUCAUAUUGGUGUAAAGCGCAUGAAGAAACUCCAUGCUGAUGGACUUUUGGAAUCACUUGAUUAUGAAUCACUUGAUGCUUGCGAACCAUGCCACUUGGGCAAGAUGACUAAAACGCCGUUCUCCGAAACAAUGGAGCGAGUAACAGAUUUGUUGGAAAUCAUACAUACUGAUGUAUGAGGUCCGAUGAAUAUUAAGGCUCGCGGCGGGUAUCGUUAUUUUCUCACCUUCACAGAUGAUUUAAGCAGAUAUGGGUAUAUCUACUUAAUGAAGCAUAAGUCUGAAACAUUUGAAAAGUUCAAGGAAUUUCAGAGUGAAGUGGAAAAUCAUCGUAACAAGAAAAUAAAGUUUCUACGAUCUGAUCGUGGAGGAGAAUAUUUGAGUUACGAGUUUGGUAUUCAUUUGAAACAAUGCAGAAUAGUUUCACAACUCACGCCACCCGGAACACCACAGCGUAAUGGUGUGUCCGAACGUCGUAAUCGUACUUUACUAGAUAUGGUGCGAUCUAUGAUGUCUCUUACUGAUUUACCGCUAUCGUUUUGGGGCUAUGCUCUAGAGACUGGUGCAUUCACGUUAAAUAGGGCACCAUCUAAAUCCGUUGAGACGACGCCUUAUGAACUAUGGUUUGGCAAGAAACCAAAGUUGUCGUUCCUUAAAAUUUGGGGCUGCGAUGCUUAUGUGAAAAAGCUUCAACCUGAUAAGCUCGAACCCAAAUCGGAGAAAUGUGUCUUCAUAGGAUACCCAAAAGAGACUGUUGGGUACACCUUCUAUCACAGAUCCGAAGGCAAGACUUUUGUUGCUAAAUUUGGAUCCUUUCUAGAGAAGGAGUUUCUCUCGAAAGAAGUGAGUGGGAGGAAAGUAGAACUUGAUGAGAUAACUGUAUCUACUCCAUUGUUGGAAGGUAGUUCAUCACAGAAAUCUGUUCCUGUGACUCCUACACCAAUUAGUGAGGAAGUUAAUGAUGAUGAUCAUGAAACUUCAGAUCAAGUAACUACUGAACCUCGUAGAUCAACCAGAGCGAGAUCCGCACCAGAGUGGUACGGUAAUCCUGUUCUGGAAGUUAUGUUACUAGACCAUGACGAAACUACGAACUAUGAAGAAGCGAUGGUGAGCCCAGAUUCCGCAAAAUGGCUAGAGGCCAUGAAAUCUAAGAUGGGAUCCAUGUAUGAGAACAAAGUGUGGACUUUGGUUGACUUGCCCGGUGAUCGGCAAGCAAUUGAGAAUAAAUGGAUCUUCAAGAGGAAGACGGACGCUGAUAGUAGUGUUACUAUCUACAAAGCUCGACUUGUUGCGAAAGGGUUUCAACAAGUUCAAGGUGUUGACUACGAUGAGAGUUUCUCACUCGUAUCUAUGCUUAAGUCUGUCUGAAUCAUGUUAGCAAUUGCCGCAUUUUAUGAAAUCUGGCAAAAUGGAUAAACAAAACUGCAUUCCUAAAUGGAUUCAUUAAAUAAGAGUUGUAUAUGAUGCAACCAGAAGGUUUUGUCGACCCUAAAGGUGCUAAAGAAGUGUGCAAAGCUCCAGCGAUCCAUCUAUGGACUGGUGCAAGCAUCUCGGAGUUGGAAUAUGCGCUUUGAUAAGAUGAUCAAAGCAUAUAGUUUUAUACAGACUUGGUGAAGCCAGUAUUUACAAGAAAGUGAGUGGGAGCACUACAACGUUUCUGAUAAGUAUAUGUGGAUGACAUAUUGUUGAUCGGAAAUAAUGUAGAAUUAUUCUGCAAAGCAUAAAGGAGUGUUUGAAAGGAGUUUUUCAAAGAAAGACACGGUAAAGCUGCUUACAUAUUGAGCAUCAAGAUCUAUAGAGAUAGAUCAAGAGGCUUGAUAAGGUUUUUCAAUGAGUACAUACCUUGACAAGAUUUUGAAGUAGUUCAAAAUGGAACAGUCAAAGAAAGAGUUCUUGCCUGUGUUACAAGGUGUGAAAUUGAGUAAGACUCAAAGCCCGACCACGGCAGAAGAUAGAAUGAGAAUGAAAGUCAUUCCCUAUGCCUCAGCCAUAGGUUCUAUAAAGUAUGCCAUGCUGUGAACCAGAUCUAUUGUAUACCCUGCACUGUGUUUAGCAAGGGAGAACAAUAGUGAUCUAGGAGUAGAUCACUAGACAGCGGUCAUAAUUAUCCUUGGUGGAAUAAGGAUAUGUUUCUCGAUUAUGGAGGUGAAAAAAAGGUUCGUCGUAAAGGGUUACGUCGAUGCAAGUUUUGACACUGAUCUGGAUGACUCUAUGUCUCGAUCUAGAUACAUAUUGAAAGUGGGAGCUAUUAGCUAGAGUAGCUCAGUGCAGAGCAUUGUAGACAUAGAAAUUUGCUAGAUACUAACGGUUCUGAAUUUGGCAGACCCAUUGACUAAAUUUCUCUCACAAGCAAAACAUGAUCACACCUUAGUACUCUUUGGGUGUUAAAUCACCUAAAAUGAUGUGAACUAGAUUACUGACUCUAGUAAACCCUUUGAAUGUUGGUCACAUGGCGAUAUGAACUAUGGGUGUUAAUCACAUGGUGAUGUGAACUAUUGUUCUUAAAACACAUGGCGAUGUGAGCUAGAUUGUUGACUCUAGUGCAAGUGGGAGACUGAAGGAAAUAUGCCCUAGAGGCAAUAAUAAAGUUAUUAUUUAUUUCCUUAUAUCAUGAUAAAUGUUUAUUAUUGAUGCUAGAAUUGUAUUAACCGGAAACAUAAUACUUGUGUGAAUACAUAGACAAACAGUAUGUCACUAGUAUGCCUCUACUUGACUAGCUCGUUGAUCAAAGAUGGUUAUGUUUCCUAGCCAUAGACAUGAGUUGUCAUUUGAUUAACGGGAUCACCUCAUUAGGAGAAUGACGUGAUUGACCUGGCCCAUUCUGUUAGCUUAGCACACGAUCGUUUAGUAUUCUGCUAUUGCUUUCUUCAUGACUUAUACAUGUUCCUAUGACUAUGAGAUUAUGCAACUCCCGUUUACCAGAGGAACACCUUGUGUGCUACCAAACAUCACAACGUAAAUGGGUGAUUAUAAAGGUGCUCUACAGGUGUCUCCAAAGGUACUUGUUGGGUUGGCGUAUUUCGAGAUUAGGAUUUGUCACUCCGAUUGUCGGAGAGGUAUCUCUGGGCCCUCUCGGUAAUGCACAUCACUAUAAGCCUUAUAAGCAUUGCAACUAAUGAGUUGGUUGCGGGAUGAUGUAUUACGGAACAAGUAAAGAGACUUGCCGGUAACGAGAUUGAACUAGGUAUUGAGAUACCGACGAUCGAAUCUCGGGCAAGUAACAUACCGAUGACAAAGGGAACAACGUAUGUUGUUAUGCGGUUUGACCGAUAAAGAUCUUCGUAGAAUAUGUGGGAGCCAAUAUGAACAUCCAGGUUCCACUAUUGGUUAUUGACUGGAGAAGUGUCUCGGUCAUGUCUACAUAGUUCUCGAACCCGUAGGGUCCGCACGCUUAAGGUUUCGAUGACGGUUAUAUUAUGAGUUUAUGAGUUUGAUGUACCAAAGGUUGUUCGGAGUCCCGGAUGUGAUCACGGACAUGACGAGGAGUCUUGAAAUGGUCGAGACUUAAAGAUUGAUAUAUUGGAAGCCUAUGUUUGGAUAUCGGAAGUGUUCCGGGUGAAAUCGGGAUUUUACCGGAGUACCGGGAGGUUACCGGAACCCCCCGGGAGGCUGUUGGGCCUUAGUGGGCCUUAGUGGGGAAGAGAGGGCAGCAAGGAGCGUGCCCCCCUGGCCCAAACCGAAUUGGUGGGGGCAAGGGGGCCGGGCCCCCUUCCUUCUCUCUUUCCACCUCCUCCAAUCCUAUUCCAACUAGGAGAGGGGGGGGGAGUCCUACUCCCAGUGGGAGUAGGACUCCUCCUGGCGCCUCCAAACCCUGGCCGGCCACCUCCCCCUUGGCUCCUUUAUAUACAGAGGCAGGGGGGCGCCACACACACGAUUGAUUUGAUCUCUUAGCCGUGUGCGGCGCCCCCCUACACCAAAUUACACCUCGAUAAUACUGUAGCGGUGCUUAGGCGAAGCCCUGCGUCGGUAGAACGUCAACAUCGUCACCACGCCGUUGUGCUGACGAAACUCUCCCUCAACACUCGGCUGGAUCGGAGUUCGAGGGACGUCAUCAAGCUGAACGUGUGCUGAACUCGGAGGUGCCGUACGUUCGGUACUUGAUCGGUCGGAUCGUGAAGACGUACAACUACAUCAACUGUUGAUCGAUCGGAUCGUCAAGUACGACUACAUCGACCGCGUUGUCAUAACGCUUUCGCUUUCGGUCUACGAGGGUACGUGGACACACUCUCCCUCUCGUUGCUAUACAUCACCAUGAUCUUGUGUGAGCGUCGGAAAAUUUUUCAAAUUACUACGAAACCCAACACUAGCUUGCUCUACGGCGCGCCAUCGAUCAUGUUGUGCGGCAAGCUGCACCCUGUCGGCGCUGACAUGCCUAUCUUGAUCCGCAGUGCUCAAGCGCCAUGCACCAAAGGUCUGCUCAACCCUGGCGAUGACAUGCAUCACGACGUCGUCCAUCGCGUUGCCGGGGAGCGCCUCGGCCUCGACGGGCCGUAGCGCCUGCUCGUUUUCCUCGUCGGCGAGGUUGAUGGCGGAGGCGGCGCUUUGGUGGGUUGGCAUGCUUGGAAAAUGUAGAUGUGCUACAGGCUGCGCUUGUCGCCUCCGUGCGUCGCGCGCCCCCUAUGCGCAAUAUAGCAGGGUGGCGGGAAACAGGUGAGGAAAUGGCGAGAAACGGUGGCGUGUUCAUAAAACACCAUCAAUUAAUGGAAACUUAGCAUCGAGCUAGCACAAGUCGUAGAAGAUGAUCAGAUGAACACGGACCACACUAGGGAACUCGUCAGUGAUGAAUUCAUCAAUCCCAAACGGUUGAAUACUAGCAAGCGUUUGCCCACAACAUACACGGCCUAUUCCAUCACAAAUAGGUCGGAUGGAUCAACUGUAUGCCACGUAUCGCACAUUGUCAAAAAGUAAUGCGGUAGACCUUCUUUAAUUAACAUGUGUUAAAAAAUAAAAAACAAGGACCUCGAGGUUAAAUUAGCUGAGGUAAUGGUGCAUUUCGGUCAUUUGACCGAAAUGACCCAUCCCAUCAGCUAAUUUAACAUCUACACAACUUCCCAUCCAGUCACCCAUUCGAUGGCUGCUCCAGCCUAAGCACACUUAACUUGAUAGUUUUCUUACAUGAGCUACUGGUGGAACAGCUAGUCCUUGCUGAUAGGAAUGCCUCUUCACAUCCUUAUGGCAUAUCCGGAUGACCGCCCGUCCCACAAUGGCCAAUAGAUGUUGUGUAGACAGAGGAUAUCACAUACAUCUUAUUAGAAGCAAUCGUCUGCGUUAUUAUCGGUCUACGCACACAUUUCUGAUUACAGACCUGUUUGCCACAUAUCACACACAUCUUGUUAUAUUGAACCGUUUCGGUUCUCUUGCCUAAUCACAAACAGUUCAUCCGAGUGAACCAUAUGUUGUAUAUCGCACACACCUUCAUCUGGCUGCUCGUUUCUUUUGUGCUGCCUAAUCACAAACAGUUCAUCCGAGUGAACCGUAUGCUGUGUAUCGCACACGCCUUCAUCUGGCUGCCCGUUUCUUUUGUUCCUCCUCAUCGCAAAAAGUUAAUUGAACUGAAUCGUAUGCCCUUCAUCGCACACGCAACUAAAACCUGAACCAUGUUUGAUGCAUACAUCAUCACAAACGUUUUAUACAUUUCUGACAGUUUUCAUACACCACCGUCUGCGGUUAUGGCAUCGCACACAGUUUCUCGAAGGGUGUCUGAUUGUAGUGUCGCGUUAGCAGCAUCCUGCAGUAGUGGUAGCUUGUGCAUCGGAUAUUUUCCAAGGAAACUUUCAGCAAAAUUAAGCAUACUUCGAUUGGAGAUUGCAAACUUCUUGACUAAGAUCAUCAAGUUGUUUUGUGAUAGCAUCCAGCACAACGGAGUGCUCCAUAAGUUCUUAAGUAAAAUACUUAUUAUGCUCAAAUUGUGUAGUCAUAUACUCCUUAGUACUUUUCUCAAUUUCAAGCAAAAUGUUUGGGUAAGGAACAUCAUAAUAUUUUCUUUUUGGCAUCAUGACUACGCAAACAAGAACGCACACAAAAAUAGAUCUGGCAAGAAAAUAGCGAACGGAAAAAGAUGGGCGGAUAAAACGGCAAAUUUUUGUGACGUGGGGGAGAGGAAAACGGGAGGCAAAUGGCUAAUAAUGUAAAUUGCGAGGAGUUGAGAUUUGUGAUUAGGAACUUGGUAUAUGUUGAAGAUCCUCCCCGACGACGGUGCCAGAAAUUCCUUUUGAUGUCGCUUGAAGCUACGUCGGUAUUUCCCCAAAGAGGAAGGGAUGAUGCAGCACAGCGGCGGUAGGUAUUUCCCUCAGAUAUGAAACCAAGGUUAUUGAACUAGUAGGAGAACCAAGCAACACAAAGUAAACAGCCCCUACACACAGAUAACAAAUCCUCGCAACCCGACGUGUUAAAGGGGUUGUCAAUCCCUUUCGGGUAACAUUGCCAGAAAUUGGUGCAUGACGGGAGAAAGUUGAAAUAGAUUGAAUAAAUAGAUCACAAAUAAAAUAAAGUGCAGCAAAUAUUUUUGGGUUUUUUGGAUUAAUAGAUCUGAAAAUAAAAGAAAAUAAAAGUAGAUCGCAAAGGCAAAUAAUAUGAGAAAGAGACCCACGGGCCGUAGGUUUCACUAGUGGCUUCUCUCGAGAAAAAUAGCAAACGGUGGGUGAACAAAUUACUGUUGGGCAAUUGAUAGAACUUCAAAUACUCAUGACGAUAUCCAGGCAAUGAUAAUUAUAUAGGCAUCACGUCCAAGAUUAGUAGACCGACUCCUGCCUGCAUCUACUACUAUUACUCCACACAUCGACCGCUAUCCAGCAUGCAUCUAGUGUAUUAAGUUCGUGGAGAAACGGUGUAAUGCAAUAAGAACGAUGACAUGAUGUAGACAAGAUCUAUCUAUGUAGAUAUAUACCCCAUAGUUUUAUCCUUAGUAGCAACGAUACAUACGUGUCGGUUCCCCUUCUGUCAGUGGGAUCAAGCACCGUCAGAUCGAACCCACUACAAAGCACCUCUUCCCAUUGCAAGAUAAAUAGAUCAAGUUGGCCAAACAAAACCCAAAUAUCGGAUAAGAAAUAUGAGGCUAUAAGAAAUCAUGCAUAAAAGUGAUCAAAGAAACUCAAAUACUUUCAUGGAUAUAAAAAGAUAGAUCUGAUCAUAAACUCAAAGUUCAUCGAUCCCAACAAACACACCACAAAAGAGUUACAUCAUAUGGAUCUCCAAGAGACCAUUGUAUUGAGAAUCAAGAGAGAGAGAGAGAUGAAGCCAUCUAGCUACUAACUACGGACCCGAAGGUCUACAAAGAACUACUCACAUAUCAUCGGAGAGGCACCAAUGGAGGUGGUGAACUCCAUCCGAGAUGGUGUCUAGAUUGGAUCUGGUAGUUCUGGACUCUGCGAUGGCUAGAUGAAUAUUUCAUCCACUCCCCUAGGGUUUUGGGAAUAUUGGGGUAUUUAUAGAGCAAAGAGGCGGUACGGGGGGCAUCCGAGGUGGGCACAACCCACCAGGGCGCGCCUGGGCCUCCUGGCGUGCCCUGGUGGGUUGUGCCCCCCUCGGGGCACCCCCCAGGCGCAGCCAGGUCCCGUUGUGGUCCUUUUGGCCCAUAAAAAUUCUCCGUAAAGUUUCGUGGCAUUUGGACUCCGUUAGUAAAAAACAUGGAAAAAAAACAGCAACUAGCACUUGGCACUAUGUCAGUAGUUUAGUACCAAAAAAUGAUAUAAAAUAACUAUAAAAUGAUUAUAAAACAUCCAAGAUUGAUAAUAUAACAGCAUGGAACAAUAAAAAAAUUAUAGAUACGUUGGGACGUAUCAACCGCCUGGCGGGGCAUGGAGCAGCAGUGCACCGACGCUCUGAGUCACGGGCAGAGCGCCCGCAACUGGGCCGACUACGUGGAGGCCGGUGCCCGGCAAAUAGCCCUAGAGGCUGUCGGGCACGCACGCGUUCGCGACGCCGAAUUUUAAUACCAUCUCGUCAAGUGGGUUUCCUGCGUAGAAGCCGAAGCUUCAAUGGACCACGCCGGCAUGGAAAGGGCCAACGCGUGCGAGCAACGCGCCAUAUCGCACCUCUGGCAAGUCCGAGGCGAGGAGGAGGACGUCGGUGCCGGUGUUUACCGUGUACCGCAGAUGGUGCUACCUCUUGACCAUGUGUUGGUUUUCCCUUGAAGAGGAAAGGGUGAUGCAGCAAAGUAGCAUAAGUAUUUCCCUUGGUUUUUGAGAACCAAGGUAUCAAUCUAGUAGGAGAUUACACGCAAGUCACCUAGUACCUGCACAAACAAUCAAGAACCUUGCAACCAACGCGAUAAAGGGGUUGUCAAUCCCUUCACGGUCACUCGCAAAAGUGAGAUCUAAUAAAGAUAAUAAGAUAAAUAUUUUUUGUAUUUUUGUUGUAUAGAUUGGAAAGUAAAGAUUGCAAAAUAGUAAAACGAGAUGUGAUGUAAAUAAAAGAGUUGCAAUAUAAUAAGAGACCCGGGGGCCAUAGGUUUCACUAGUGGCUUCUCUCAAGAUAGCAUAUAUUACGGUGGGUGAACAAAUUACUGCCGAGCAAUUGAUAGAAAAGCGCAUAGUUAUGAGAAUAUGUAGGCAAUGAUCAUGAAUAUAGGCAUCACGUCCGUGUCAAGUAGACCGAAACGAUUCUGCAUCUACUACUAUUACUCCACACAUCAACCGCUAUCCAGCAUGCAUCUAGAGUAUAAAGUUCAUAAGAACAGAGUAACGCAUUAAGCAAGAUGACAUGAUGUAGAGGGAUAAACUCAAGCAAUAUGAUAUAAACCCCAUCUUUUUAUCCUCAAUGGCAACAAUACAAUACGUGCCUUGCUGCCCCUACUGUCACUGGGAAAGGACACCGCAAGAUCAAACCCAAAGCUAAGCACUUCUCCCAUUGCAAGAAAGAUCAAUCUAGUUAUUCCUUUUCUGGAUUGCGUUUGUUCCAAGAAAGAUCAUCGCGAAGGUUUCAUUCCUUUUGGAUUCCGUUUGGUAUUCCUUUUCUGCAAAACACUGAAAUAGGCAAAAAAACAGAAACUGGCACUGGGCCUUCGGUUAAUAGGUUAGUCCCAAAAAUAAUGUAAAAGAGCAUAUUAAAGCCCAUUAAACAUCCAAAACAGAUAAUAUAAUAGCAUGGAACAACAAAAAAUUAUAGAUACGUUGCAGACGUAUCAAGCAUCCCCAAGCUUAAUUCCUGCUCGUCCUCGAGUAGGUAAAUGAUAAAAACAGAAUUUUUGAUGUGGAAUGCUACCUAACAUAAUUUUCAAUGUAAUUCUCUUUAUUGUGGCAUGAAUGUUCAGAUCCAUAAGAUUCAAAAUAAAAGUUUAAUAUUGACAUAAAAACAAUAAUACUUCAAGCAUACUAAUAAAGCAAUCAUGUCUUCUCAAAAUAACAUGGCCAAAGAAAGUUAUCCCUACAAAAUCAUAUAGUCUGGCUAUGCUCUAUCUUCAUCACACAAAAUAUUUAAAUCAUGCACAACCCCGAUGACAAGCCAGGCAAUUGUUUCAUACUUUUGAUGUUCUCAAACUUUUUCAAUCUUCACGCAAUACAUGAGCGUGAGCCAUAGACAUAGCACUAUAGGUGGAAUAGAAUGGUGGUUGUGGAGAAGACAAAAAGGGGAAGAUAGUCUCACAUCAACUAGGUGUACCAAUGGGCUAUGGAGAUGCCCAUCAAUAUAUAUCAAUGUGAGUGAGUAGGGAUUUCCAUGCAACGGAUGCACUAGAGCUAUAAGUGUAUGAAAGGUCAACAAAAGAAACUAAGUGGGUGUGUAUCCAACUUGGUUGCUCAUGAAUACCUAGGGCAAUUUGAGGAAGCCCAUCAUUGGAAUAUACAAGCCAAGUUCUAUAAUGUAAAAUUCCCACUAGUAUAAAAGUGACAACAUAGGAGACUCUCUAUCAUAAAGAUCAUGGUGCUACUUUGAAGCACAAGUGUGGUAAAAGGAUAGUAGCAUUGUCCCUUCUCUCUUUUUCUCUCAUAUUUUUAUUUGGGCCUUUCUCUUUUUUUAUGGCCUUUUUUUUCGUCCGGAGUCUCAUCCCGACUUGUGGGGGAAUCAUAGUCUCCAUCAUCCUUUCCUCACUGGGACAAUGCUCUAAUAACGAUGAUCAUCACACUUUUAUUUACUUACAACUCAAUACUUAGAACAAAAUAUGACUCUAUGUGAAUGCCUCCGGCGGUGUACCGGGAUGUGCAAUGAAUCAAGAGUGACAUGUAUGAAAAUCAUGAAUGGUGGCUUUGCCACAAAUACGAUGUCUACUACAUGAUCAUGCAAAGCAAUAUGACAAUGAUAGAGCGUGUCAUAAUAAAUGGAACGGUGGAAAGUUGCAUGGCAAUAUAUCUCGUAAUGGCUAUGGAAAUGCCAUAAUAGGUAGGUAUGGUGGCUGUUUUGAGGAAGGUAUAUGGUGGGUGUAUGAUACAGGCGAAAGGUGCGCGGUAUUAGAGAGGCUAGCAAUGGUGGAAGGGUGAGAGUGCGUAUAAUCCAUGGACUCAACAUUAGUCAUAAAGAACUCACAUACUUAUUGCAAAAAUCUAUUAGUUAUCGAAACAAAGUACUACGCGCAUGCUCCUAGGGGAAUAGAUUGGUAGGAAAAGACCAUCGCUCGUCCCCGACCGCCACUCGUAAGGAAGACAAUCAAUAAAUAAAUCAUGCUCCGACUUCAUCAUAUAACGGUUCACCAUAUGUGCAUGCUACGGGAAUCACAAACGUUAACACAAGUAUCUCUCAAAUUCACAACUACUCAACUAGCAUGACUCUAAUAUCACCAUCUUCAUAUCUCAAAACAAUCAUAAGGAGUCAAACUUCUCAUAGUAUUCAAUGCACUUUAUAUGAUAGUUUUUAUUAUACCCAUCUUGGAUCCUCAUCAUAUUAGGACUAAUUUUAUAGCCAAAGCAAAUUACCAUGCUGUUCUAAAAGACUCUCAAAAUAAUAUAAGUGUAGCAUUAGAGAUCAAUAAUUUUUAUAAAAUAAAACCACCACCGUGCUCUAAAAACAUAUAAGUGAAGCACUAGAGCAAAAUUAUCUAGCUCAAAAGAUAUAAGUGAAGCACAUAGAGUAUCUAAUAAAUGCCGAUUCAUGCGUGUCUCUCCAAAAGGUGUGUAAAGCAAGGAUGAUUGUGGUAAACUAAAAAGCAAAGACUCAAAUCAUAAAAGAUGCUCCAAGAAAAACACAUAUCAUGUGGUGAAUAAAAAUAUAGCCUCAAGUAAAGUUACCAAUAGACGAAGACGAAAGAGGGGAUGCCUUCCGGGGCAUCCCCAAGCUUAGGAUUUUGGUUGUACUUGAAUUUUACCUUGGGGUGCCUUGGGCAUCCCCAAGCUUAGGCUCUUUCCACUCCUUAUUCCAAAAUCCAUCAAAUCUUUACUCAAAACUUGAAAACUUCACAACACAAAACUUAAACAGAAAAUCUCAUGAGCUCCGUUAGUAUAAGAAAAUAAACCACCACUUUAAGGUACUGUAGUGAACUCAUUCUUUAUUUAUAUUGGUGUUAAACCUACUGUAUUACAACUUCUCUAUGGUUCAUACCCCCCGAUACUACUCAUAGAUUCAUCAAAAUAAGCAAACAACACACGAGAAACAGAAUCUGUCAAAACAGAACAGUCUGUAGCAAUCUGUAUCAAACGAAUACUUAUGAAGCUCCAAAAAUUCUGAAAUAAAUUGGUGGACGUGAGGAAUUUUUCUAUUAAUAAUCUGCAAAAAUAAUCAACCUAAAAUCACGCUCCAGGAAAAAAUGGCAUCUAAUCUCGUGAGCGCAAAAGUUUCUGUUUUUUUACAGCAAGAUUGCAAAGACUUCACCCAUGUCUUCCCAAAGGUUCUACUUGGCACAAACACUAAUUAAAACAUAAAACCACAUAUAAACAGAGGCUAGAUGAAUUAUUUAUUAAUAAACAGGAACAAAAAGCAAAGAACAAAAAUAAAAUUGGGUUCCCUCCCAACAAGCGCUAUCGUUUAACGCCCCUAGCUAGGCAUAAAGCAAGAAUAAAUCUAGGUAUUGCCAUCUUCUCCCUUUUGGUGAUAAAGAGAAAACUUCUUAUCUAAAGCACUUAUCUUUUUAUUUUGUAAAAGCAUGUGGCCAUUAAUGGUAGAAGAAAGAUUAAGCACACUAUGAAAAUUUGCAUCUAAACUAGCCUUCAUCUCUUUGAUAAUUUCAUUCUGAUAAAAACACAAAAGAGAAGUAGAUUCAACUUUUUCACUCAUUGGGUGCCCAAAUAUAGCUUUCACCUUUUCAUAGGUAUCGAUGGCAUCCCCUCAAGAAAACCUUCUUCAAAAAUAGAAUCCAAAACUUGCUUAAAAGAAGAUGGUAAGCCAACAUAAAAACUUUUUAAGUAUAUCUCAAUUUGAUAUUGGGGCACAUAGCUGGCUCGGAUCCUUACACUACAAAAAAAUACACUUCCGUGAUGAUACGUGUUUGUCACAGUAGGUCACGUUUUCCGUCAUGCAUGUACAUCCAUGAAGAUUUUAUGACAGAAUCAAGAUAGUCAUACCUGUGUUGUCGUAGAAGUGUUCCAUGACAUUACCAAAAUUAUCAUCACGGAAGUGUCCACUUCCAUGACGAUAAAUCGCGCGUAACAGAACUGCUUUCGUCAAGGGUGACCGACACGUGGCAUCCGCCAUAACGGAACGCCGUUAAGCUAUCGGGUCCGGUUUUGGAUCCGAUAACCUGUUAACAGCCCAGACCAAUGGGGAUUUUCCACGUGUAAAAUCAUCAUUGGCCGGAGGAAACACGUGUUGCCUCACCGUUGGGACAGAUGUCGUCCACUCAUUGGACAGGAGGCACCUAUGAUAGGUCGACACGUGGCACGGCCCAACAGUGGCCCAUUUCGGUGAAAAAGGUCGGGCCAGUAAAAAUUAGCAGGCCGGCCCAUAUAAGGCCUACUUGUGCCAGGUCCAUUUAAGCCCAUGGCCCGUAUGAGAUGUGCCAAUUCGGCCCGUCAACGGCCCAUUAAAUAUUUGACACCAUUGCAGCCCAUCGUCAGUUCAAGCCUGUUAACAGCCCGCUAUAUAUUUGGGCUCAGUAUCGGCCUGAUGAGAUUUUGGCCUAUUAGCGGCCCAUUCAAUGGAUGGGCCAAUUUUCACGAUGUACAUCUUUCGGCCUUUUAGCGACCCAUUUAAAUGUUGGGCUAAUUUCCGACCCGGUGUGUCUUUCAGCCUGUUGACGGCCCAUAAAUCAGUUGGGCCAUUUGUAGUCAGACCUGAGUUUCUGCCUUUUAGCGACCCAUUUAAGUGUUGGGCCAAUUUCCGGCCUGGUGUGUCUUUCAGCCUGUUGACGACCCAUAUAUCAGUUGGGCCAUUUGUAGUCGGACCUGAGUUUUGGCCUUUUAGCGACCCAUUUAAGUGUUGGGCCAAUUCCCGACCAUGUGUGCCUUUCAGCCUGUUAACGGACCAUAAAUGAGUUGGGCCAUUUGUAGUCGGACCUGAGUUUUGGUCUUUUAACGGCCCAUGCCCUUCAUGGUCCAAUACCAGCCCGGUUUCUCUUUCGGCCUGCUAAAGGCCCACAACACAGUUGGCCAUUUACAAUACGACCUGACUUUCGGCCUCUUAGCGGCCCAUGCUCUUCAUGGUCCAGUACAAGCCCGUUGUCUCUUUCGGCCUGCUAAAGGCCCACAGUAUAGUUGGGCCAUAUGUAGCCCGAACUUAGUAACGGCCUGUUAAUGGCCCGUGAAAUCAAUUGGGCCCACCUGUUGCCCGCUUCGAUGUCGGCCUGUUAACGACCCGGGAGUUAAGAGGGCCGACCAUUAACUUUCGGCCUGGUAACGGCCCAUUAACUUAAUGGGCCCACUAAAGUUCAUACAUGUCUUUAGGCCAAAUUAGAUAAUUUGAGCCCAUUAUGACGAGCAAUUAUGCACAGGACCAAAACCAAUCAAGCAAAGGUACGACAUACAGGGAAAAAUGUUGCACAUCCAGCAUGUAUUACAGGAAAUUACAUCCACUGGGAAAUCAAAGAUUGAUGCCAGUGCAAAUAAAUGAAUAGAACCUAACGAUCUACAACGUCACAAUCUGCAACCUCAGCACGGAUGACGCCCAUAAGCAUGUGGGCAAGUUCUUGCUGCUUUGCUACACUGUCUCUGAAAACAUUGAUCAGUUGUUGUGUCGCACGACUCUGCACCUCUGAUUCCUCCACCAUUUCCAUUAUUGCUUUAGCCAUUAAUUUACAUUUUUUCCAUUGCAUUCGAGACAGAGGAUACUGAACAGAUUCAGAUGGCGAUUUUGGCAGGCUUGUAUUAUUGAUAGUGGAGAGUGUCUCGACCACUGCAUCAUAACAUAAAUUAGGAGGGGAACCAAACAGAUUAAUCAUGAGUUAUUGCCAUAUUACCUGGCCUAGAUUUAUUGGAAAGAAACAAUGGGGUUGCCUUGCUGUUUUCAGAGUUUGUCUUCUUAUCUUCAGCAGCCUGCACCAAAUUAACACACUAGCAUUGCUAUCCUUGGCCAAGUCAGAUAAUAGGAAAGCAAGAUUGGCACAACGAACGUUUGGGCAACUAGCCAACACCAAAUUAACACAAUAUGGCAUAGCUAUCAUCAGCCAGGUAAGGUAAUACGAAAGCAACAUUGACACAAUGAAUGAAUGGGCAACCAGAGCAGCACUACAAUUCAAUAAUGUGCAUGAUAUGAGAUAGUACACUCAUGCAGCUCAGUAUGCAAAACUACCAGGCAGUUUUCUUUACAAAAAUCAACAUUGGCGCCUUUAACAUUUUGCUACAACUAAUUUUAGAUCAGAUAAAGCUUGGAUUCACGCCGAUUAACAAAAUACAUGUUGAUGUAAAAAUAUAGUGAUAUACAAUAGGUACUUACAUCAGCAUUGGAGCACACAGAAUUCCCGCAAGAUAUUUUCCUCGAAUACAAUCCCAAUGAAGGAAGUCUUCUAUCAUUUAAACUUAUUUUAUAAAAGAGAGAUGGGUAAGAAACAUGUAGAAAAUAUGAUCAAAAUGCUAUAAAAUUUCAUGAUGCAAGGAUACGCACACGCUUCUUAGAAUGGAGUUGACAUUCUUUUGCUGGACUGGAGCGGACUAGUUCUUUGGACACUGGAAUCUACUUAUUAUCAAUGGGAGUUGGGUUUCUCUGUGCCGGAGCAGUAUCUAUGAAAAAUGGAGUUGGUUUAUUAUCUCCUGGUGUUUGGAUCUUUUGCAAAGACCUGGUUUGUAACCCUUCAGAUUCUAACAUAGUCGUCUUCCCCUUGCAUGCCUUAUAUAGAAGAAUGGUGCUUCAAUAAUAAAACAUGCUACAGCAGAGAUGGAAUAGGUACUGAAGAAUAGAAAGGCAUGACAUAUUGACAUGUAUUCCCUCCAUCUAGAAAUAAAUGGAUGGGUCUAGGCGUAUUUCAGUUCUAAAUACAUCCAGUUUUAUCCAUUUCUGCGGCAUGUAAUCCGGACGGAGGGAGUAUGAUGUAAGAGCUAGGGAUACGACAGGACAACACGGUAAAAAAACACUGAAAACCCACUGCAGAACCAAAGUAUUCAAACCCACUGAUAUGAGAUAGUACACUCAUGCAGCUGAGGAUGCAAAACUACCAGGCAGUUUUCCUUACAAAAAUCAACAUUGUGGCAUUUAAUCAUACAUUUUGCUACAACUAAAUUUAGAUCAGAUAAAGCUUGGAUUCACGCCGAUUAACAAAAUACAUGCUGAUGUAAAAAUAUAGUGAUAUACAACAGGUACUGACAUCUACAUUGGAGCACAGAGAAUUCCUGCAAGAAUCUUUCCUCACAGACGAUACCAGUGCAGAAAUUCUUCUAUUUGUUAAGCUUAUUUUCUAAAAGAGAGAUGGGUAAGAAACAUGUAGAAAUAUGAUCAACAUGCUAUAAAAUUUCAUGAUGCAAGGAUACGCACACGCUUCUUAGAAUGGAGUUGACAUAUUUUUGCUGGACUGGAGCGGACUAGUUCUUUGGCCACUGGAAUCUGCUUAUUAUCAGUAGGAGUUGGGUUUCUCUGUGUUGGAGCAGUACCUAUAAAAACUGAAGUUGGUUUACUAUCUCCUGGCAUUUGGAUCUUUUGCAAAGACCUAGUUUGUAACCCUUCAGAUUCUAACAUAGUCGUCUUCCCCUUGCAUGCCUUGUAUAGAAGAAUGGUGCUUCAAUAUAAAACAUGCUACAGCAGAGAGAUGGAAUAGGUACUGAAGAAUAGAAAGGCAUGACAUAUUGAUAGGUAUUCCCUCCAUCCGGAAAAAAUGGAUGGGUCUAGGUGUAUUUCAGUUCUAGAUACAUCCUUUUUUAUCCAUUUCGGCAACAUGUAAUCCGGACGAAGGGAGUAUGGUGUAAGAGCUAGGGAUACGACAGGACAACACAGUAAAAAAACACUAGUUGAAUGUAAAAUUGUAUGCUAGCGGAAUACAUACAGAAAAAACUAAGGCAACAUACACGUGUAUGAUUGGAAAACUAAGAUGGCAUUGCAACAGAGCACUAGAACAACACUCAAUGUAAAAAAACAUGGUAUGGUAGACAGAUGAAGUACAUACUGAUGAAUAACAAUGCAUAAGAUAUUCAGAAGCAUGAUGUCCAAAUUAAGCAGAUGGCAUUGCAAUAGAGUAGAAUGACAGUACUUGAAUUUGAAAACAUGUUAUCAUGAAUGGAAUAGGUACUGAAAAACAGGAAGGCAUGACAUAUUUACAUGCAUGAUCAGCAUGCUAAGCACAUGGCAUUGCAACAGAGUAGAUACACUCCAGAACAUUAUAUGCAUGUUGUACCCAUAUCACGGGCCAAGUUAGAGCAAGGACCUUGUGGGGUGAAGAGGAUUCAACAUCUUUCUGCAAGUCUUCUGAAGAACUGCCUUUACAUGUUCCAUCAUAUUGGGUAUCAUUGGCAUCAAGUUUAUUGGCCUUUACAUUGCUCCGUGAGGUUCUUGUGGAUAUAUCAGUGUGUGUAAUUAUAUCUGACAUGCAUGGAAGACAACUAGUAGUUAGAUUUAUGUAAUGAGUGCCUGUAGAGACGACAUAAAUAGUAGGACUGGGGUUAACUAGCAGCAACAGGUCUCAAAAACUAAAGGGAGAACACAGAUGAAAGCUACAGAAUAUGUAUCGUUUGUACUCGAGAUUAACUAGAUGGCACACAAAAGUAUUAAAGAACAACAUAGGUAAUACUAGAAGUGGUAUAAUACUAUAAUCACCAGCCUGUGGGAUAGCAUUGGCUGAUGGAUGAUAACUAUGGAACAUCGUUACCUAAAGAACUAGUAUCUUAGCUGAACUAUGGAACAGCGUUAACUCCUGAACAAGACUCGUAAGAGAUUAGCAUGAAUAUACAGUGAAAUGUGAUAAUCUAUUUUCCAUGCUUAGAUGAAUAACAAAGCCAUAAAUGUUGCACACAAGUAAAAUGAGGGUACAACCUAUCUGGCCGCCAUCCAUAGGAGUGAGCAUCAUGUGCUGACUUGUCGAUGGCCCUGCAGUUGUUGUGGUUGUCCAUGUCGGGCACGCACAUUCGAUGCAGGGAACUGUUGAGUGGGGACUAUAGCCCCCUUCUGGUGUAUGCUUCCUUUGUUGGAGCAGCUGCGGUGAGUCGGAAGACGGUGUGGCUGAAGAUGCAGAUAACGCAUAAUGUUAAGAACGACACAUCUCUUUGAUCUGAAGAAAUACACUAAGAGAUCAACAGCAAGGUACGAGAGUGGUCACACGUCUGUUGACUGAAGACUAAAUUGGGGUCACACGAUUUUAUUUUAUUUUGGUACUGUCCGAUCUACGCCGCAUGGCUUGAUGGCCGUCUUGUGCCUCCCGGCUGACACUGUUAGGAAUCUUCCCCGAAGAGCCAACGACCAACGGCAGAGCAGCCUGCCUCCGCCUUCUGUGGCCCGGGCCAAAACCCCACUCCCAGCCCCACCGCACUACCGUGGUUGCGCCGCCCCCGGGCCAAUCCACAAAGACUCCCCGUUAUCUAGAUCCGGCGGCGGCAGUACCUUCAACCCACGCAACUCUAAGAUAGCCAUCUAAGCGCUGCUUCCGCGGUGAACUUGCGGCCCCACACCCUUACAUUAGACACCAGCCAACCGGUAGCCUAGGAGCUCCGUCGCCUCGAGGGGUGCUGCUUCCCCAUUGGGAAUCGAUUGGCCUAGAAUAAAAAUUCAGACAACUGAUGCCUAAAUAAAGUGAUUUGAGAUGAGGGUGCGACCUAUCUGGCGGCAUGGUGAAGUAGGCAGGUCCAGCUGCCGAGUUGGUGAGGCCAGCGCGGCUGCAGUGGCGACCGGCGGCAGGGAAACAGCGAUGUCGCGACGGUCGACGGCUAUGGGGAAGCAGCGCCGGGACUUUGGAUGGAUCCGAAGUUGGAGCCGCUCUGGCGCCGUGAACAACGGCGGGGGUGAAUCGGCUCUGGUACGGUUCACGCGGCCGUCGUCGAGGCAGCUCCAGCAGCAUGGAGUAAGAGGCACACGGCCCAGUGCACGAUGGCAAAUGGACAGCGUCUCUGGCAUUAGGGAGGAGGGCGGCUGUGAAAUUGGUGCGGUGGGGGCGCCAUGGAGGAGGGGAUGAGGUUUUGCGGCUCGGGAGAAGGGAGCUUCCGGGGAGAAGGUGAUUUGGCGCCCAUGAGGUAUGAAUGGGGGGAAUUGGAGGGGAGUGGAACCAUGUUUUACGGACGCAUUUGUCUGAAAUGUGAGGGGGAGUUACAGUUCUACCCCUGCCUUUAGGCUUCUCGGCUUGGGUCUGUGUACUGAGGGUCGGGGAUAGUAGAGUAACUUUGCUUCUCCCCAAAUAGUGGGCGGGAGAGAUUUCGGGCGAGGAGGGCGUGUUUUGAAAUAUAGUGGGCGCGAGCGAUUUCAGGCGAGGAGAGCGUGUUUUGAAAUAGUGGGUGCGAGCUAUUUCGGGCGAGGAGAGCGUGUUUUGCCGACCAUGGUUUAUGAAUUAUUCGGCACAUGUCAUUUCAGCCGAGGAGAAGGCACGCUUGGAUGAAGUUACGAACCUACCCUUGAUGUACAACGGGCCAAUUGAUGUGUGUCCCACAUAGGGUGGUAAUUUCGCGUCUCCCAUUUAUUUGCUCGGGCGAAUUCCACCGAGCACAGGAUGUUUAAUGGUUCGUUCAAAAUUUGGGAGAACGAGCAUCCACGUCUACCUUACCAAGUCGAUUCGAAUCAAAUUUUGAAAUAUUAGCUUGCCACUUCUUUUUUAGAUGGAGAGAUGAUGCUCAGGAGUAAUGUGUUUGUACAUGCUCGUUGCUAGCGAUUUACUAUAUGACAAAUAGUUAACCCACUAAAAAACGGGAAUCAAACCCAAAAUGAAAUAUCUCGAUUCAAUGAAAUAGCUCGUUCACCAGAUCAAAAUAGUGAACUAAAUCCAAAAUUGAACACCUCAAUCGAGUAGCAUGUUGUACAGUAUUAUAGUACUCCAUGAACAUGUUGAAAGUCAAAUUAAUAAACUUGUUUGAUAUACGCAUAUAUCCGUUCAUGUGUGGAUUGCAGACAACAUGUUCUCCAAUUUAAAUAUUUGAAUGCAAGUUUAUAUCAAAACAUGGUUUAUAUCAGUGUUUGAUGCAUAAAACGCGACCACCCCCUCUCCCGGACUCCUGCUCUCUCUCUCUCUCUCUCUCUCUCUCUCUCUCUCUCUCUCUCUCGCCGACAAUCUUCAAUUCUGUCACACGCAUCCAACACACAAACCUUGUUGGUCCCUCUCGCUUUCUCUCCAUCUCUCUCUCUCUCUCUCUCUCUCUCUCUCUUUGUGUGUGUGUGUGGGGGGUCUUUCUAGUUCGCAUGCAUAUAUACUCCAUCUAUAGGUCUCUCUCGCACACUAUGUAUGAUUCUCUAGUCCAAGCUAGAUAUCUUGGGUGCACUCAUCAUAUGCACACAAAUUCCUUGGCUCGUUGCCCGUAACUCUCUCACGCACCACUCUGUCAUCUUUGAGCUCUUCCCCCUCUCUCUCAAAUCUCCAUCUACCUGGAUCACACAUACACAUGCAUAUCUCACUCGCACUCGAUAGGCCCAUCUAAAACUCUAUCUCUCUCCCUCGUUCUCUCUCCAUCUCACACGCACACACACACAAUCUCAUGCCUAGCUAGCCAAGUAUGAUGGUCUCUCACUCAAUUGUAGGCACACGCAGUCCCCCCUAUAUGUAUAUGACUAGCUAAUCUUAGUCUCCAUCACAAACAUGUGCAUGGUCUAUCUCGAUUUCUCUCGGGGCAUCUUUCUAUCGCGCACGCACCUCCCUCGAUCUCCCACCCAUAUAGUCCCCUCACGAUCUCGAGGGGAUCUCUCUAUCACAAACACACCCUCUCACCCUCCCCAUGCAUCCAUGUUCUCCAUGUGUCCCUCUCGACCUUUGUUCCUUGUUGGCCAGACCUCUAUUGGACAUGUGCUAUAGGGGUGUCUCUCUCCGUUGCAACCAAUCACACACUAGCUAUCUUCGUGUAUCUCCUCGCCUCGCUUUUCUAUCUCGGAGAUGCAUGCGUGAUAUGUUCGCCUAAGAAACGAAAAAACACACUCUCUCUAAUUUAUCGUUUGUUGUCACUUUCUCUUUCACACACAUACUCUUUUUGCACACUUACUCAUUCUCCUUCACACGCACUUGAUCUCUCUCGAUUAGGCACUCUCCUCGGUCCAUAGCAUAUUAAUUUAUUGAAAAGUCAAACAUCACAAAGUUUGACCAUGUACGUGGAGAAAAACAAUUACAUCUAGAACGGCAAACAUAUACCAUUAGAUUCACCAUGAGAUGUAGUUUCGUAUGAUGUAUCUUUGGUAUUGUAGAUAUAAAUAACAUUUGCAUAAACCUGAUCAAAGUUUCCAAAGUUUGACUUCUAAAAAAUUUACAUGCACUGCAUUAUCGAGCGGAUGGAAUAUCUCUUUCCCCCUCUCAGCUAUCUGACGCACCACUCAGCCUUAUCGGGGCUCCUCAAUCUCUCUCAGACUUUAUAUCUCCCUGGUUCAGACAUACACAUGUCUCGCUCGCGCUAUACAUAUAGACCCAUCCAACACUCUCCGCCCUUGUUCCCUCUGUAUGUGACACGCACCCCCCUAAUAAGUACCAUAAUCCCUCACUCCAUCAUAGGCGCAAGCACUCCCCCCCCCUAAGUAUGAUUAUUUCUCACUAGCCAUCAGGAACACACGUAUUGUCUCCUUCCGUCCAUACGUCUAUCUCGAUAUCUCUCGGGGUAUCUUCUAUCGCGCACACACCUUGUCACUCGAUCUCCCACCCAUGUAGUCCCAUCACGAUCUCCAGGGGAUCUCUCUAUGACAAACAUACACUCUCUCCUCCCCGUGUUUGCAUUUUCUCCGUACGUCUCCCUCGACCUCUCUCCCUUGUUUGUCAGACCCCUCUUGGCCACGUGCUAGGGUUCUUGAUCUCUCGGUUGCAAACAACCACACACUAUCUCCUCGCCUUGCUUCCGUUGUCGAAGAUGCAUGUGUGAUAUGUUUGCAUAAGACACACACGUUUUUUCUCGACCUUUAUCGAGUGUUGUCCAUGCCUCUUUCACACACGCACACACACUUUUUUCACUCUCUCUCUCUCUAGUUAGGGACUCUCUCACGUCCAUAAGCAUAUGGAUGUUUUGAAAAGUCAACCUCAGAAAAGUUUGACCAGGUAUAUGUGGAGAAAAACAUUUACAUCUGGAACGAUCAUUAGAUUCAUCACAACAUGUACUUACUUCAUAUUGUCAUUUAUCUUUGGUAUUGUACAUAUAAGUAAUUUCUUUAUAAACUUGGUCAAAGUUUCAAAAGUUUGACUUUUAAAAAAAGUUGGAACUACAUUAUCGAACGGAGGGAGUAGCUCUUUCUCUCUCUCUGCUAUCUCUCACGGGCCUCCCCUCUCACUCGAACACUCUAUACCCACGGAUUAUACGCUCACUGUGUCAGCGUAUAGCUCCAUAUAUUGUUUAGUUGACCGGUCAACCAGUCCACAUGCUGCCUUGCCAGCUCGUGUUCUGUAUCUUCGUGUGUUGGCCCAUGUGGUAGUGGGUGAAAAUAAGUAAACUAGAGGACCAUCUGACACGCGGUGAAGUAAACAAAGUUGAAACCACUCGGGGUAGCACCCCGCACGCUAGUAAAUUGAGGGCGCGUUGAGGACACACUUCUUCCGCGUGAAGGACGCGCUCGCGCACAAUUCACCACUGCGCGGCAGCAUGCACAGAAGGACACACUCGCGCACACCCAGCACACAACACAGACCAGCACACGUGUACACCGGCGUCACCGCCGGUUGAGAUGGACAGCGAGGCAGCAAUCAAGCGGAGGCGGCUCGAGCCUAAACCGCAUCCGGCGAGCUUCCGUAACCCUCUCUACUUUCUUGCACAUGCUAUGUGGGUGAAAUGAUGAUACCAUGCCAACUUUCAACCUUUUCAGAGUUCAUUUGUAGUGCUUUUCAAUUUCAGGGUUUUAUAGCCCAAAAAAUCUGUAAAUGCAUGGAAAAUAACAAAUGAAGUAAGAAAGGGUUGAAAAUUGAUGAUGUGGCUUUGAAUGAAGCAUUUUGAACACAGAAAAACUAUGGAGUUCAAAUAAGUUCAAAAAAAUGAAUCCCUUUGUAUAAUAGUCGAGUUUCCGUAUGAAACCCUGAUACUCCGAAAGAGAUUGUCCGUUUUGUACAAGAAGUGCAUCUAGUUUUUGCCGUAACCCUCUCUACUUUCUUGCACAUGCUAUGUGGGUGAAAUGAUGAUACCAUGCCAACUUUCAACCUUUUCAGAGUUCAUUUGUAGUGCUUUUCAAUUUCAGGGUCUUAUAGCUCAAAAAAAUCAGUAAAUGCAUGGAAAAUAAUAAAUGAAGUCAGAAAGGGUUGAAAAUUGAUGAUGUGGCUCUGAAUGGUGUAUUUUGAACACAUAAAAACUAUGGAGUUCAAAUAAGUUAAAAAUGAAAUCCCUUUGUAUAACAGACGAGUUUCCGUAUCAAACCCUGAUACUUCGAAAGAGAUUGUCCGUUUUGUACACGAAGUGCAUCCAGUUUUUGUCGUAACCCUCUCAACUUUCUUGCACAUGCUACGUGGGUGAAAUGAUGAUACCAUGCCAACUUUCAACCUUUUCAGAGUUCAUUUGUAGUGCUUUUCAAUUUCAGGGUCUUGUAGCUCAAAAAAAUCAGUAAAUGCAUGGAAAAUAACAAAUGAAGUCAGAAAGGGUUGAAAAUUGAUGAUGUGGCUUUGAAUGGUGCAUUUUGAACACAGAAAAACUAUGGAGUUCAAAUAAGUUCAAAAAAAUGAAAUCCCUUUGUAUAACAUACGAGUUUCCGUAUGAAACCUGAUACUUCGAAAGAGAUUGUCCGUUUUGUACACGAAGUGCAUCCAGUUUUUGCCGUAACCCUCUCUACUUUNNNNNNNNNNNNNNNNNNNNNNNNNNNNNNNNNNNNNNNNNNNNNNNNNNNNNNNNNNNNNNNNNNNNNNNNNNNNNNNNNNNNNNNNNNNNNNNNNNNNNNNNNNNNNNNNNNNNNNNNNNNNNNNNNNNNNNNNNNNNNNNNNNNNNNNNNNNNNNNNNNNNNNNNNNNNNNNNNNNNNNNNNNNNNNNNNNNNNNNNNNNNNNNNNNNNNNNNNNNNNNNNNNNNNNNNNNNNNNNNNNNNNNNNNNNNNNNNNNNNNNNNNNNNNNNNNNNNNNNNNNNNNNNNNNNNNNNNNNNNNNNNNNNNNNNNNNNNNNNNNNNNNNNNNNNNNNNNNNNNNNNNNNNNNNNNNNNNNNNNNNNNNNNNNNNNNNNNNNNNNNNNNNNNNNNNNNNNNNNNNNNNNNNNNNNNNNNNNNNNNNNNNNNNNNNNNNNNNNNNNNNNNNNNNNNNNNNNNNNNNNNNNNNNNNNNNNNNNNNNNNNNNNNNNNNNNNNNNNNNNNNNNNNNNNAGUUCAUUUGUAGUGCUUUUCAAUUUCAGGGUCUUAUAGCUCAAAAAAUUCAGUAAAUGCAUGGAAAAUAACAAAUGAAGUAAGAAAGGGUUGAAAAUUGAUGAUGUGGCUUUGAAUGAUGCAUUUUGAACACAGAAAAACUAUGGAGUUCAAAUAAGUUAAAAAAAUGAAAUCCCUUUGUAUAACAGACGAGUUUCCGUAUGAAACCCUGAUACUUCGAAAGAGAUUGUCCGUUUUGUACACGAAGUGCAUCUAGUUUUUGCCGUAACCCUCUCUACUUUCUUUCACAUGCUAUGUGGGUGAAAUGAUGAUACAAUGCCAACUUUCAACCUUUUCAGAGUUCAUUUGUAGUGCUUUUCAAUUUCAGGGUCUUAUAGCUCAAAAACAUCAGUAAAUGCAUGGAAAAUAAUAAAUGAAGUCAGAAAGGGUUGAAAAUUGAUGAUGUGGUUCUGAAUGGUGCAUUUUGAACACAUAAAAACUAUGGAGUUCAAAUAAGUUCAAAAAAAUGAAAUCCCUUUGUAUAAUAGUCGAGUUUCCGUAUGAAACCCUGAUACUUCGAAAGAGAUUCUCCGUUUUGUACACGAAGUGCAUCCAGUUUUUGGCGUAACCCUCUCUACUUUCUUGCACAUGCUAUGUGGGUGAAAUGAUGAUACCAUGCCAACUUUCGACCUUUUCAGAGUUCAUUUGUAGUGCUUUUCAAUUUCAGGGUCUUAUAGCUCAAAAAAAUCUGUAANNNNNNNNNNAGUUCAAAUUAGUUCAAAAAAAUGAAAUCCCUUUGUAUAACACACGAGUUUCCGUAUGAAUCCCUGAUACUUCGAAAGACAUUGUCCGUUUUGUACACGAAGUGCAUCCAGUUCUUUCCGUAACCCUCUCUACUUUCUUGCACAUGCUAUGUGGGUGAAAUGAUGAUACCCUGCCAACUUUCAACCUUUUUAGAGUUCAUUUGUAGUGCUUUUCAAUUUCAGGGUCUUAUAGCUCAUAAAAAUCAGUAAAUGCAUGGAAAAUAACAAAUGAAGUCAGAAAGGGUUGAAAAUUGAUGAUGUGGCUUUGAAUGGUGCAUUUUGAACACAGAAAAAGUAUGGAGCUCAAAUAAGUUCAAAAAAAUGAAAUCCCUUUGUAACAGACGAGUUUCCGUAUGAAACCCUGAUACUUCGAAAGAGAUUGUCCGUUUUGUACACGAAGUGCAAACAGUUUUUUCCGUAACCCUCUCUACUUUCUUGCACAUGCUAUGUGGGUGAAAUGAUGAUACCAUGCUAACUUUCAACCUUUUCAGAGUUCAUUUGUAGUGCUUUUCAAUUUCAGGGUUUUAUAGAUCAAAAAAAUCUGUAAAAGCAUGGAAAAUAACAAAUGAAGUAAGAAAGGGUUGAAAAUUGAUGAUGUGGCUUUGAAUGGAGAAUUUUGAACACAGAAAAACUAUGGAGUUCAAAUAAGUUCAAAAAAUGAAUCCCUUUGUAUAACAGACGAGUUUCCGUAUGAAACCCUAAUACUUCGAAAGAGAUUGUCCGUUUUGUACACGAAGUGCAUCUAGUUUUUGCCGUAACCCUCUCUACUUUCAUGCACAUGCUAUGUGGGUGAAAUGAUGAUACCAUGCCAACUUUCAACCUUUUCAGAGUUCAUUUGUAGUGCUUUUCAAUUUCAGGGUCUUAUAGCUCAAAAAAAUUAGUAAAUGCAUGGAAAAUAACAAAUGAAGUAAGAAAGGAUUGAAAAUUGAUGAUGUGGCUUUGAAUGAUGCAUUUUGAACAUAGAAAAACUAUGGAGUUCAAAUAAGUUAAAAAAUGAAAUCCCUUUGUAUNNNNNNNNNNNNNNNNNNNNNNNNNNNNNNNNNNNNNNNNNNNNNNNNNNNNNNNNNNNNNNNNNNNNNNNNNNNNNNNNNNNNNNNNNNNNNNNNNNNNNNNNNNNNNNNNNNNNNNNNNNNNNNNNNNNNNNNNNNNNNNNNNNNNNNNNNNNNNNNNNNNNNNNNNNNNNNNNNNNNNNNNNNNNNNNNNNNNNNNNNNNNNNNNNNNNNNNNNNNNNNNNNNNNNNNNNNNNNNNNNNNNNNNNNNNNNNNNNNNNNNNNNGAAAAUAAUAAAUGAAGUCAGAAAGGGAUGAAAAUUGAAGAUGUGGCUCUGAAUGGUGCAUUUUGAACACAUAAAAACUAUGGAGUUCAAAUAAGUUCAAAAAAAAUGAAAUCCCUUUGUAUAACAUACGAGUUUCCGUAUGAAACCCUGAUACUUCGAAAGAGAUUGUCCGUUUUGUACACGAAGUUCAUCCAGUUUUUGCCGUAACCCUCUCUACUUUCUUUCACAUGUAAUGUGGGUGAAAUGAUGAUACCACGCCAACUUUCAACCUUUUCAGAGUUCAUUUAUAAUGCUUUUCAAUUUCAAGGUCUUAUAGCUCAAAAAAAUCAGUAAAUGCAUGGAAAAUAACAAAUGAAGUCAGGAAGGGUUGAAAAUUGAUGAUGUGGCUUUGAAUGGUGCAUUUUGAACACAGAAAAACUAUGGAGUUCAAAUAAGUUCAAUAAAAUGAAAUCCCUUUGUAACACACGAGUUUCCGUAUGAAACCCUGAUACUUCGAAAGACAUUGUCCGUUUUGUACACAAAGUGCAUCCAGUUUUUUCCGUAACCCUCUCUACUUUCUUGCACAUGCUAUGUGGCUGAAAUGAUGAUAUCAUGCCAUCUUUCAACCUUUUCAGAGUUCAUUUAUAGUGCUUUUCAAUUUCAGGGUCUUCUAGCUCAAAAAAAUCAGUAAAUGCAUGGAAAAUAAUAAAUGAAGUCAGAAAGGGUUGAAAAUUGAUGAUGUGGCUUUGAAUGGUCUAUUUUGAACACAGAAAAAGUAUGGAGUUCAAAUAAGUUCAAAAAAUGAAAACCCUUUGUAACAGACGACUUUCCGUAUGAAACCCUGAUACUUCGAAAGAGAUUGUCCGUUUUGUACACGAAGUGCAACCAGUUUUUUCCGUAACCCUCUCUACUAUUUGCACAUGCUAUGUGGGUGAAAUGNNNNNNNNNNNNNNNNNNNNNNNNNNNNNNNNNNNNNNNNNNNNNNNNNNNNNNNNNNNNNNNNNNNNNNNNNNNNNNNNNNNNNNNNNNNNNNNNNNNNNNNNNNNNNNNNNNNNNNNNNNNNNNNNNNNNNNNNNNNNNNNNNNNNNNNNNNNNNNNNNNNNNNNNNNNNNNNNNNNNNNNNNNNNNNNNNNNNNNNNNNNNNNNNNNNNNNNNNNNNNNNNNNNNNNNNNNNNNNNNNNNNNNNNNNNNNNNNNUUUGUACACGAAGUGCAUCCAGUUUUUUCCGUAACCUUCUCUAAUUUCUUGCACAUGCUAUGUGGGUGAAAUGAUGAUAUCAUGCCAACUUUCAACCUUUUCAGAGUUCAUUUGUAGUGCUUUUCAAUUUCAUGGUCUUAUAGCUCAAAAAAUCAGUAAAUGCAUGGAAAAUAACAAAUGAAGUCAGAAAGGGUUGAAAAUUGAUGAUGUGGCUUUGAAUGGUGUAUUUUGAACACAGAAAAACUAUGGAGUUGAAAUAAGUUCAAAAAAUGAAAUCCCUUUGUAACAGACGAGUUUCCGUAUGAAACCCUGAUACUUCGAAAGAGAUUGUCCGUUUUGUACACGAAGUGCAACCAGUUUUUUCCGUAACCCUCUCUACUUUCUUGCACAUGCUAUGUGGGUGAAAUGAUGAUACCAUGCCAACUUUCAACCUUUUCAGAGUUCAUUUGUAGUGCUUUUCAAUUUCAGGGUCUUAUAGCUCAAAAAAAUCAGUAAAUGCAUGGAAAAUAAUAAAUGAAAUCAGAAAGGGUUGAAAAUUGAUGACGUGGCUCUGAAUGGUGUAUUUUGAACACAUAAAAACUAUGGAGUUCAAAUAAGUUCAAAAAAUGAAAUCCCUUUGUAUAACAGACGAGUUUCCGUAUGAAACCCUAAUACUUCGAAAGAGAUUGUCCGUUUUGUACACGAAGUGCAUCUAGUUUUUGCCGUAACCCUCUCUACUUUCAUGCACAUGCUAUGUGGGUGAAAUGGUGACACCAUGCCAACUUUCAACCUUUUCAGAGUUCAUUUGUAGUGCUUUUCAAUUUCAAGGUCUUAUAGCUCAAAAAAAUAGUAAAUGCAUGGAAAAUAACAAAUGAAGUAAGAAAGGGUUGAAAAUUGAUGAUGUGGCUUUGAAUGAUGCAUUUUGAACACAGAAAAACUAUAGGGUUCAAAUAAGUUCAAAAAAAUAAAAUCCCUUUGUAUAAGAGACGAGCUUUCGUAUGAAACCCUGAUACUUCGAAAGAGAUUGUCCGUUUGGUACACGAAGUGCAUCUAGUUUUUGCCGUAACCCUCUCUACUUUCUUGCACAUGCUAUGUGGGUGAAAUGAUGAUACCAUGCCAACUUUCAACCUUUUCAGAGUUCAUUUGUACUGCUUUCCAAUUUAAGGGUCUUAUAGCUCAAAAAAAUCAGUAAAUGCAUGGAAAAUAACAAAUGAAGUCAGAAAGGGUUGAAAAUUGAUGAUGUGGCUUUGAAUGGUGCAUUUUGAACAUAGAAAAACUUUGGAGUUCAAAUAAGUUCAAAAAAUGAAAUCCCUUUGUAUAACAAAUGAGUUUCCGUAUGAAACCCUGAUACUUCGAAAGAGAUUGUCCGUUUUGUACACGAAGUGCAUCCAGUUUUUGCCGUAACCCUCUCUACUUUCUUGCACAUGCUAUGUGGGUGAAAUGAUGAUACCAUGGCAACUUUCAAGCUUUUCAGAGUUCAUUUAUAGUGCUUUUCAAUUUCAAGGUCUUAUAGCUAAAAAAAUUAAGUAAAUGCAUGGAAAAUAACAAAUGAGGUCAGGAAGGGUUGAAAAUUGAUGAUGUGGCUUUGAAUGGUGCAUUUUGAACACAGAAAAACUAUGGAGUUCAAAUAAGUUCAAAAAAAUGAAAUCCCUUUGUAACAGACGAGUUUCCGUAUGAAACCCUGAUACUUCGAAAGACAUUGUUCGUUUUGUACACGAAGUGCAUCCUGUUUUUUCCGUAACCCUCUCUACUUUCUUGCACAUGCUAUGUGGGUGAAAUGAUGAUACCAUGCGAACUUUCAACCUUUUCAGAGUUCAUUUGUAGUGCUUUUCAAUUUCAAGGUCUUAUAGCUCAAAAAAAUUAGUAAAUGCAUGGAAAAUAACAAAUGAAGUAAGAAAUGGUUGAAAAUUGAUGAUGUGGCUUUGAAUGAUGCUUUUCAAUUUCAGGGUCUUGUAGCUCAAAAAAAUCAGUAAAUGCAUGGAAAAUAACAAAUGAAGUCAGAAAGGGUUGAAAAUUGACGAUGUGGCUUUGAAUGGUGCAUUUUGAACACAGAAAAACUAUGGAGUUCAAAUAAGUUCAAAAAAAUGAAAUCCCUUUGUACAACAGUCGAGUUUCCGUAUGAAACCCUGAUACUUCGAAAGAGAUUGUCCGUUUUGUACAUGAAGUGCAUCCAGUUUUUGCCAUAACCCUCUCUACUUUCUUGCACAUGCUAUGUGGGUGAAAUGAUGAUACCAUGCCAACUUUCAACCUUUUCAGAGUUCAUUUAUAGUGCUUUUCAAUUUCAGGUUCUUAUAGCUCAAAAAAAUCAGUAAAUGCAUGGAAAAUAACAAAUGAAGUCAGAAAGGGUUGAAAAUUGAUGAUGUGGCUUUGAAUGGUGCGUUUUGAACACAGAAAAACUAUGGAGUUCAAAUAAGUUCAAAAAAAUGAAAUCCCUUUGUAUAACAGACGAGUUUCCGUAUGAAACCCUGAUACUUCGAAAGAGAUUGUCCGUUUUGUACACGAAGUGCAUCCAGUUUUUGCCGUAACCCUCUCUACUUUCUUGCACAUGCUAUGUGGGUGAAAUGAUGAUACCAUGCCAACUUUCAACUUUUUCAGAGUUCAUUUAUAGUGCUUUUCAAUUUCAGGGUCUUAUAGCUCAAAACAAUCAGUAAAUGCAUGGAAAAUAACAAAUGAACUCAGAAAGGGUUGAAAAUUGAUGAUGUGGCUUUGAAUGGUGCAUUUUGAACACAGAAAAACUAUGGGGUUCAAAUAAGUUCAAAAAAAUGAAAUCCCUUUGUAACAAACGAGUUUCCGUAUGAAACCGUGGUACUUCGAAAGAGAUUGUCCGUUUUGUACACGAAGUGCAUCCAGUUUUUUCCGUAACCUUCUCUAAUUUCUUGCACAUGCUAUGUGGGUGAAAUGAUGAUAUCAUGCCAACUUUCAACCUUUUCAGAGUUCAUUUGUAGUGCUUUUCAAUUUCAUGGUCUUAUAGCUCAAAAAAUCAGUAAAUGCAUGGAAAAUAACAAAUGAAGUCAGAAAGAGUUGAAAAUUGAUGAUGUGGCUUUGAAUGGUGUAUUUUGAACACAGAAAAACUAUGGAGUUGAAAUAAGUUCAAAAAAUGAAAUCCCUUUGUAACAGACGAGUUUCCGUAUGAAACCCUGAUACUUCGAAAGAGAUUGUCCGUUUUGUACACGAAGUGCAACCAGUUUUUUCCGUAACCCUCUCUACUUUCUUGCACAUGCUAUGUGGGUGAAAUGAUGAUACCAUGCUAACUUUCAACCUUUUCAGAGUUCAUUUGCAGUGCUUUUCAAUUUCAGGGUUUUAUAGAUCAAAAAAAUCUGUAAAUGCAUGGAAAAUAACAAAUUAAGUAAGAAAGGGUUGAAAAUUGAUGAUGUGGCUUUGAAUGAAGAAUUUUGAACACUGAAAAACUAUGGAGUUCAAAUAAGUUCAAAAAAAUGAAAUCCCUUUGUAACAGACGAGUUUCCGUAUGAAACCCUGAUACUUCGAAAGAGAUUGUCCGUUUUGUACACGAAGUGCAACCAGUUUUUUCCGUAACCCUCUCUACUUUCUUGCACAUGCUAUGUGGGUGAAAUGAUGAUACCAUGCCAACUUUCAACCUUUUCAGAGUUCAUUUGUAGUGCUUUUCAAUUUCAGGGUCUUAUAGCUCAGAAAAAUCAGUAAAUGCAUGGAAAAUAAUAAAUGAAGUCAGAAAGGGUUGAAAAUUGAUGAUGUGGCUUUGAAUGGUGCGUUUUGAACACAUUAAAACUAUGGAGUUCAAAUAAGUUCAAAAAAAUGAAAUCCCUUUGUAUAACAGAUGAGUUUCCGUAUGAAACCAUGAUACUUCGAAAGAGAUUGUCCGUUUUGUACAGGAAGUGCAUCUAGUUUUUGCCGUAACCCUCUCUACUUUCUCGCACAUUCUAUGUGGGUGAAAUGAUGAUACCAUGCCAACUUUCAACCUUUCCAGAGUUCAUUUGUAGUGCUUUUCAAUUUUAGGGUCUUAUAGCUCAAAAAAAUUAGUAAAUGCAUGGAAAAUAACAAAUGAAGUCAGAAAUGGUUGAAAAUUGAUGGUGUGGCUUUGAAUGGUGCAUUUUGAACACAGAAAAACUAUGGAGUUCAAAUAAGUUCAAAAAAAAUGAAAUCCCUUUGUAUAACAGACAAGUUUCCGUAUGAAACCCUGAUACUUCGAAAGGGAUUGUCCGUUUUGUACACGAAGUGCAUCUAGUUUUUGCCGUAACCCUCUCUACUUUCUUGCACAUGCUAUGUGGGCGAAAUGAAGAUACCAUGCCAACUUUCAUCCUUUUCGGAGUUCAUUUGUAGUGCUUUUCAAUUUCAGGGUCUUGUAGCUCAAAAAAAUUAGUAAAUGCAUGGAAAAUAACAAAUGAAGUCAGAAAGGGUUGAAAAUUGACGAUGUGGCUUUGAAUGGUGCAUUUUGAACACAGAAAAACUAUGGAGUUCAAAUAAGUUCAAAAAAAUGAAAUCCCUNNNNNNNNNNGUGAAAUGAUGAUACCAUGCCAACUUUCAUCCUUUUCGGAGUUCAUUUGUAGUGCUUUUCAAUUUCAGGGUCUUGUAGCUCAAAAAAAUCAGUAAAUGCAUGGAAAAUAACAAAUGAAGUCAGAAAGGGUUGAAAAUUGACGAUGUGGCUUUGAAUGGUGCAUUUUGAACACAGAAAAACUAUGGAGUUCAAAUAAGUUCAAAAAAAUGAAAUCCCUUUGUACAACAGACGAGUUUCCGUAUGAAACCCUGAUACUUCGAAAGAGAUUGUCCGUUUUGUACACGAAGUGCAUCCAGUUUUUGCCGUAACCCUCUCUACUUUCUUGCACAUGCUAUGUGGGUGAAAUGAUGAUACCAUUCCAACUUUCAACCUUUUCAGAGUUCAUUUAUAGUGCUUUUCAAUUUCAGGGUCUUAUAGCUCAAAAAAAUCAGUAAAUGCAUGGAAAAUAACAAAUGAAGUCAGAAAGGGUUGAAAAUUGAUGAUGUGGCUUUGAAUGGUGCGUUUUCAACACAGAAAAGCUAUGGAGUUCAAAUAAGUUCAAAAAAUGAAAUCCCUUUGUAUAACAGACGAGUUUCCGUAUGAAACCCUGAUACUUCGAAAGAGAUUGUCCGUUUUGUACACGAAGUGCAUCUAGUUUUUGCCGUAACCCUCUCUACUUUCUUUCACAUGCUAUGUGGGUGAAAUGAUGAUACCAUGCCAACUUUCAACCUUUUCAGAGUUCAUUUGUAGUGCUUUUCAAUUUCAGGGUCUUAUUGGUCAAAAAAAUCCGUAAUGCAUGGAAAAUAAUAAAUGAAGUUGGAAAGGGUUGAAAAUUGAUGAUGUGGCUCUGAAUGGUGCAUUUUGAACACAUAAAAAUUAUGGAGUUCAAAUAAGUUCAAAAAAAUGAAAUCCCUUUGUAUAACAGACGAGUUUCCGUAUGAAACCAUGAUACUUCGAAAGAGAUUGUCCGUUUUGUACAGGAAGUGCAUCCAAUUUUUGCCGUAACCCUCUCUACUUUCUUUCACAUGCUAUGUGGGUGAAAUGAUGAUACCAUGCCAACUUUCAACCUUUUAAGAGUUCAUUUAUAGUGCUUUUCAAUUUUAGGGUCUUAUAGAUCAAAAAAAUCUGUAAAUGCAUGGAAAAUUACAAAUGAAGUCAGAAAGGGUUGAAAAUUGAUGAUGCGCCUUUGAAUGGUGCAUUUUGAACACAGAAAAACUAUGGGGUUCAAAUAAGUUCAAAAAAAUGAAAUCCCUUUGUAACAGACGAGUUUCCGUAUGAAACCCUGGUACUUCGAAAGAGAUUGUCCGUUUUGUACACGAAGUGCAUCCAGUUUUUUCCGUAACCUUCUCUACAUACUUGCACACGCUAUGUGGGUGAAAUGAUGAUAUCAUGCCAACUUUCAACCUUUUCACAGUUCAUUUGUAGUGCUUUUCAAUUUCAGGGUCUUAUAGCUNNNNNNNNNNAAAAUCAGUAAAUGCAUGAAAAAUAACAAAUGAAGUCAGAAAGGGUUGAAAAUCGAUGAUGUGGCUUUGAAUGGUGCAUUUUGAACACAGAAAAACUAUGGAGUUCAAAUAAGAUCAAUAAAAUGAAAUCCCUUUGUAACAGACGAGUUUCCGUGUGAAAGCCUGAUACUUCGAAUGAGAUUGUCCGUUUUGUACACUAAGUGCAUCCAGUUUUUGCCGUAAGCCUCUCUACUUUCUUGCACAUGCUAUGUGGGUGAAAUGAUGACACCGUGCCAACUUUCAACCUUUUCAGAGUUCAUUUGUAGUGCUUUUCAAUUUCAGGGUCUUGUAGUUCAAAAAACUCAGUAAAUGCAUGAAAAAAAAUGGAGUCAGAAAGGGUUGAAAAUUGAUGAUGUGCCUUUGAAUGGUGCAUUUUGAACACAGAAAAACUAUGGAGUUCAAAUAAGUUCAAGAAAAUGAAAUCCCUUUGUAACUGACGAGUUUUCGUGUGAAACCCUGAUACUUCGAAUGAGAUUAUCCGUUUUGUACACGAAGUGCUUCCAGUUUUUGCGGUAAGCCUCUCUACUUUCUUGCACAUGCUAUGUGGGUGAAAUGAUGACACCAUGCCAACAUUCAACCUUUUCAGAGUUCAGUUGUAGUGCUUCUCAAUUUCANNNNNNNNNNNNNNNNNNNNNNNNNNNNNNNNNNNNNNNNNNNNNNNNNNNNNNNNNNNNNNNNNNNNNNNNNNNNNNNNNNNNNNNNNNNNNNNNNNNNNNNNNNNNNNNNNNNNNNNNNNNNNNNNNNNNNNNNNNNNNNNNNNNNNNNNNNNNNNNNNNNNNNNNNNNNNNNNNNNNNNNNNNNNNNNNNNNNNNNNNNNNNNNNNNNNNNNNNNNNNNNNNNNNNNNNNNNNNNNNNNNNNNNNNNNNNNNNNNNNNNNNNNNNNNNNNNNNNNNNNNNNNNNNNNNNNNNNNNNNNNNNNNNNNNNNNNNNNNNNNNNNNNNNNNNNNNNNNNNNNNNNNNNNNNNNNNNNNNNNNNNNNNNNNNNNNNNNNNNNNNNNNNNNNNNNNNNNNNNNNNNNNNNNNNNNNNNNNNNNNNNNNNNNNNNNNNNNNNNNNNNNNNNNNNNNNNNNNNNNNNNNNNNNNNNNNNNNNNNNNNNNNNNNNNNNNNNNNNNNNNNNNNNNNNNNNNNNNNNNNNNNNNNNNNNNNNNNNNNNNNNNNNNNNNNNNNNNNNNNNNNNNNNNNNNNNNNNNNNNNNNNNNNNNNNNNNNNNNNNNNNNNNNNNNNNNNNNNNNNNNNNNNNNNNNNNNNNNNNNNNNNNNNNNNNNNNNNNNNNNNNNNNNNNNNNNNNNNNNNNNNNNNNNNNNNNNNNNNNNNNNNNNNNNNNNNNNNNNNNNNNNNNNNNNNNNNNNNNNNNNNNNNNNNNNNNNNNNNNNNNNNNNNNNNNNNNNNNNNNNNNNNNNNNNNNNNNNNNNNNNNNNNNNNNNNNNNNNNNNNNNNNNNNNNNNNNNNNNNNNNNNNNNNNNNNNNNNNNNNNNNNNNNNNNNNNNNNNNNNNNNNNNNNNNNNNNNNNNNNNNNNNNNNNNNNNNNNNNNNNNNNNNNNNNNNNNNNNNNNNNNNNNNNNNNNNNNNNNNNNNNNNNNNNNNNNNNNNNNNNNNNNNNNNNNNNNNNNNNNNNNNNNNNNNNNNNNNNNNNNNNNNNNNNNNNNNNNNNNNNNNNNNNNNNNNNNNNNNNNNNNNNNNNNNNNNNNNNNNNNNNNNNNNNNNNNNNNNNNNNNNNNNNNNNNNNNNNNNNNNNNNNNNNNNNNNNNNNNNNNNNNNNNNNNNNNNNNNNNNNNNNNNNNNNNNNNNNNNNNNNNNNNNNNNNNNNNNNNNNNNNNNNNNNNNNNNNNNNNNNNNNNNNNNNNNNNNNNNNNNNNNNNNNNNNNNNNNNNNNNNNNNNNNNNNNNNNNNNNNNNNNNNNNNNNNNNNNNNNNNNNNNNNNNNNNNNNNNNNNNNNNNNNNNNNNNNNNNNNNNNNNNNNNNNNNNNNNNNNNNNNNNNNNNNNNNNNNNNNNNNNNNNNNNNNNNNNNNNNNNNNNNNNNNNNNNNNNNNNNNNNNNNNNNNNNNNNNNNNNNNNNNNNNNNNNNNNNNNNNNNNNNNNNNNNNNNNNNNNNNNNNNNNNNNNNNNNNNNNNNNNNNNNNNNNNNNNNNNNNNNNNNNNNNNNNNNNNNNNNNNNNNNNNNNNNNNNNNNNNNNNNNNNNNNNNNNNNNNNNNNNNNNNNNNNNNNNNNNNNNNNNNNNNNNNNNNNNNNNNNNNNNNNNNNNNNNNNNNNNNNNNNNNNNNNNNNNNNNNNNNNNNNNNNNNNNNNNNNNNNNNNNNNNNNNNNNNNNNNNNNNNNNNNNNNNNNNNNNNNNNNNNNNNNNNNNNNNNNNNNNNNNNNNNNNNNNNNNNNNNNNNNNNNNNNNNNNNNNNNNNNNNNNNNNNNNNNNNNNNNNNNNNNNNNNNNNNNNNNNNNNNNNNNNNNNNNNNNNNNNNNNNNNNNNNNNNNNNNNNNNNNNNNNNNNNNNNNNNNNNNNNNNNNNNNNNNNNNNNNNNNNNNNNNNNNNNNNNNNNNNNNNNNNNNNNNNNNNNNNNNNNNNNNNNNNNNNNNNNNNNNNNNNNNNNNNNNNNNNNNNNNNNNNNNNNNNNNNNNNNNNNNNNNNNNNNNNNNNNNNNNNNNNNNNNNNNNNNNNNNNNNNNNNNNNNNNNNNNNNNNNNNNNNNNNNNNNNNNNNNNNNNNNNNNNNNNNNNNNNNNNNNNNNNNNNNNNNNNNNNNNNNNNNNNNNNNNNNNNNNNNNNNNNNNNNNNNNNNNNNNNNNNNNNNNNNNNNNNNNNNNNNNNNNNNNNNNNNNNNNNUGUACACGAAGUGCAUCCAGUUUUUGCCGUAACCCUCUCUACUUUCUUGCACAUGCUAUGUGGGUGAAAUGAUGAUACCAUGCCAACGUUCAACCUUUUCAGAGUUCAUUUGUAGUGCUUUUCAAUUUCAGGCUCUUGUAGCUCAAAAAAAUCAGUAAAUUUUUGGAAAAUAACAAAUGAAGUCAGAAAGGGUUGAAAAUUGAUGAUGUGGCUUUGAAUGGUGCAUUUUGAACACAGAAAAACUAUGGAGUUCAAAUAAGUUCAAAAAAUGAAAUCCCUUUGUAUAACAGACGAGUUUCCGUAUGAAACCCUGAUACUUCGAAAGAGAUUGUCCGUUUUGUACACGAAGUGCAUCUAGUUUUUGCCGUAACCCUCUCUACUUUCUUGCACAUGCUAUGUGGGUGAAAUGAUGAUACCAUGCCAACUUUCAACCUUUUCAGAGUUCAUUUGUAGUGCUUUUCAAUUUCAGGGUCUUGUAGCUCAAAAAAUCAGUAAAUGCAUGGAAAACAACAAAUGAAGUCAGGAAGGGUUGACAAUUGAUGAUGUGCUUUGAAUGGUGCAUUUUGAACACAGAAAAACUAUGGAGUUCAAAUAAAUUCAAAAAAAUGAAAUCCCUUUGUAUAACAGACGAGUUUCCGUAUGAAACCCUAAUACUUCGAAAGAGAUUGUACGUUUUGUACACGAAGUGCAUCCGUUUUUUGCCGUAACCCUCUCUACUUUCUUGCACAUUCUAUGUGGGUGAAAUGAUGAUAACAUGCCAACUUUCAACCUUUUCAGAGUUCAUUUGUAGUGCUUUUCAAUUUCAGGGUCUUAUAGCUCAAAAAAAUCAGUAAAUGCAUGGAAAAUAAUAAAUGAAGUCAGAAAGGGAUGAAAAUUAAUGAUGUGGCUCUGAAUGGUGCAUUUUGAACACAUAAAAACUAUGGAGUUCAAAUAAGUUCAAAAAAAUGAAAUCCCUUUGUAUAACAGACGAGUUUCCGUAUGAUACCCUGAUACUUCGAAAGAGAUUGUGCGUUUUGUACACGAAGUGCAUCCAGUUUUUGCCGUAACCCUCUCUACUUUCUUGCACAUGCUAUGUGGGUGAAAUUAUGAUACCAUGCCAACUUUCAACCUUUUCAGAGUUCAUUUGUAGUGCUUUUCAAUUUCAGGGUCUUAUAGGUCAAAAAAAUCAGUAAUGCAUGGGAAAUAAUAAAUGAAGUCAGAAAGGGUUGAAAAUUGAUGAUGUGGCUUUGAAUGGUGCAUUUUGAACACAGAAAAACUAUGGAGUUCAAAUAAAUUCAAAAAAAUGAAAUCCCUUUGUAUAACAGACGAGUUUCCGUAUGAAACCCUAAUACUUCGAAAGAGAUUGUACGUUUUGUACACGAAGUGCAUCCGUUUUUUGCCGUAACCCUCUCUACUUUCUUGCACAUUCUAUGUGGGUGAAAUGAUGAUACCAUGCCAACUUUCAACCUUUUCAGAGUUCAUUUGUAGUGCUAUUCAAUUUCAGGGUCUUAUAGCUCAAAAAAAUCAGUAAAUGCAUGGAAANNNNNNNNNNNNNNNNNNNNNNNNNNNNNNNNNNNNNNNNNNNNNNNNNNNNNNNNNNNNNNNNNNNNNNNNNNNNNNNNNNNNNNNNNNNNNNNNNNNNNNNNNNNNNNNNNNNNNNNNNNNNNNNNNNNNNNNNNNNNNNNNNNNNNNNNNNNNNNNNNNNNNNNNNNNNNNNNNNNNNNNNNNNNNNNNNNNNNNNNNNNNNNNNNNNNNNNNNNNNNNNNNNNNNNNNNNNNNNNNNNNNNNNNNNNNNNNNNNNNNNNNNNNNNNNNNNNNNNNNNNNNNNNNNNNNNNNNNNNNNNNNNNNNNNNNNNNNNNNNNNNNNNNNNNNNNNNNNNNNNNNNNNNNNNNNNNNNNNNNNNNNNNNNNNNNNNNNNNNNNNNNNNNNNNNNNNNNNNNNNNNNNNNNNNNNNNNNNNNNNNNNNNNNNNNNNNNNNNNNNNNNNNNNNNNNNNNNNNNNNNNNNNNNNNNNNNNNNNNNNNNNNNNNNNNNNNNNNNNNNNNNNNNNNNNNNNNNNNNNNNNNNNNNNNNNNNNNNNNNNNNNNNNNNNNNNNNNNNNNNNNNNNNNNNNNNNNNNNNNNNNNNNNNNNNNNNNNNNNNNNNNNNNNNNNNNNNNNNNNNNNNNNNNNNNNNNNNNNNNNNNNNNNNNNNNNNNNNNNNNNNNNNNNNNNNNNNNNNNNNNNNNNNNNNNNNNNNNNNNNNNNNNNNNNNNNNNNNNNNNNNNNNNNNNNNNNNNNNNNNNNNNNNNNNNNNNNNNNNNNNNNNNNNNNNNNNNNNNNNNNNNNNNNNNNNNNNNNNNNNNNNNNNNNNNNNNNNNNNNNNNNNNNNNNNNNNNNNNNNNNNNNNNNNNNNNNNNNNNNNNNNNNNNNNNNNNNNNNNNNNNNNNNNNNNNNNNNNNNNNNNNNNNNNNNNNNNNNNNNNNNNNNNNNNNNNNNNNNNNNNNNNNNNNNNNNNNNNNNNNNNNNNNNNNNNNNNNNNNNNNNNNNNNNNNNNNNNNNNNNNNNNNNNNNNNNNNNNNNNNNNNNNNNNNNNNNNNNNNNNNNNNNNNNNNNNNNNNNNNNNNNNNNNNNNNACAUUGUCCGUUUUGUACACAAAGUGCAUCCAGUUUUUUCCGUAACCCUCUCUACUUUCUUGCACAUGCUAUGUGGGUGAAAUGAUGAUAUCAUGCCAACUUUCAACCUUUUCAGAGUUCAUUUGUAUUGCUUUUCAAUUUCAGGGUCUUAUAGCUCAAAAAAAUCAAUAAAUGCAUGGAAAAUAACAAAUGAGGUCAGAAAGGGUUGAAAAUUUAUGAUGUGGCUUUGAAUGGUGCAUUUUGAACACAUAAAACUAUGGAGUUCAAAUAAGUUCAAAAAAAUGAAAUCCCUUUGUAACAAAUGAGUUUCCGUAUGAAACCCUGAUACUUCGAAAGAGAUUGUCCGUUUUGUACACGAACUGCAUCUAGUUUUUGCCGUAACCCUCUCUACUUUAUUGCACAUGCUAUGUGGGUGAAAUGAUGAUACCAUGCCAACUUUCAACCUUUUCAGAGUUCAUUUGUAGUGCUUUUCAAUUUCAGGGUCUUAUAGCUCAAAAAAUCAGUAAACGCAUGGAAAAUAAUAAAUGAAGUUAGAAAGGGUUGAAAAUUAAUGAUGUGGCUCUGAAUGGUGCAUUUUGAACACAUAAAAACUAUGGAGUUCAAAUAAGUUCAAAAAAAUGAAAUCCCUUUGUAUAACAGACGAGUUUCCGUAUGAAACCCUGAUACUUCGAAAGAGAUUGUGCGUUUUGUACACGAAGAGCAUCCAGUUUUUGCCGUAACCCUCUCUACUUUCUUUCACAUGCUAUGUGGGUGAAAUGAUGAUACCAUGCCAACUUUCAACCUUUUCAGAGUUCAUUUGUAGUGCUUUUCAAUUUCAGGGUCUUAUAGGUCAAAAAAACCAGUAAUGCAUGGAAAAUAAUAAAUGAAGUCAGAAAGGGUUGAAAAUUGAUGAUGUGGCUCUGAAUGGUGCAUUUUGAACACAUAAAAACUAUGGAGUUCAAAUAAGUUCAAAAAAAUGAAAUCCCUUUGUAUAACAGACGAGUUUUCGUAUGAAACCCUGAUACUUCGAAAGAGAUUGUCCGUUUUCUACAUGAAGUGCAUCCAGUUUUUGCCGUAACCCUCUCUACUUUCUUUCACAUGCUAUGUGGGUGAAAUGAUGAUACCAUGCCAACUUUCAACCUUUUCAGAGUUCAUUUGUACUGCUUUUCAAUUUCAGGGUCUUAUAGGUCAAAAAAUCAGUAAAUGCAUGGAAAAUAAUAAAUGAAGUCGGAAAGGGUUGAAAAUUUAUGAUGUGGCUUUGAAUGGUGCAUUUUGAACACAGAAAAAUUAUGGAGUUCAAAUAAGUUCAAAAAAAUGAAAUCCCUUUGUAUAACAGACGAGUUUCCGUAUGAAACCCUGAUACUUCGAAAGAGAAUGUCCGUUUUGUACACGAAGUGCAUCUAGUUUUUGCCGUAACCCUCUCUAAUNNNNNNNNNNCAAAUGAAGUCAGAAAGGGUUGAAAAUUGAUGAUGUGGCUUUGAAUGGUGCAUUUUGAACACAGAAAAAUUAUGGACUUCAAAUAAGUUCAAAAAAAUGAAAUCCCUUUGUAACAGACGAGUUUCCGUAUGAAACCUUGACACUUCGAAAGAGAUUGUCCGUUUUGUACACGAAGUGCAACCAGUUUUUUCCGUAACCCUCUCUACUUUCUUGCAUAUGCUAUGUGGGUGAAAUGAUGAUACCAUGCCAACUUUCAACCUUUUCAGAGUUCAUUUGUAGUGCUUUUCAAUUUCAGGGUCUUAUAGUUCAAAAAAAUCAAUAAACGCAUAGAAAAUAAUAAAUGAAGUCAGAAAGGGUUGAAAAUUGAUGAUGUGGCUCUGAAUGGUGCAUUUUGAACACAUAAAAACUAUGGAGUUCAAAUAAGUUCAAAAAAAUGAAAUCCCUUUGUAUAACAGACGAGUUUCCGUAUGAAACCUUGAUACUUCGAAAGAGAUUGUCUGUUUUGUACANNNNNNNNNNUCCGUUUUGUACACGAAGUGCAUCUAGUUUUUUCCGUAACCCUCUCUACUUUCUUGUACAUGCUAUGUGGGUGAAAUGAUGAUACCAAGCCAACUUUCAACCUUUUCAGAGUUCAUUUAUAGUGCUUUUCAAUUUCAGGGUCUUAUAGCUCAAAAAAAUCAGUAAAUGCAUGGAAAAUAAUAAAUGAAGUCAGAAAGGGUUGAAAAUUGAUGAUGUGCCUCUGAAUGGUGCGUUUUGAACACAGAAAAACUAUGGAGUUCAAAUAAGUUCAAAAAAAUGAAAUCCCUUUGUAUAACAGACGAGUUUCCGUAUGAAACCCUGAUACUUCGAAAGAGAUUGUCCGUUUUGUACACGAAGUGCAUCCAGUUUUUGCCGUAACCCUCUCUACUUUCUUGCACAUGCUAUGUGGGUGAAAUGAUGAUACCAUGCCAACUUUUACUCUAUUCAGAGUUCAUUUGUAGUGCUUUUCAAUUUCAGGGUCUUGUAGCUCAAAAAAUCAGUAAAUGCAUGGAAAAUAACAAAUGAAGUCAGAAAGGGUUGAAAAUUGAUGAUGUGGCUUUGAAUGGUGCAUUUCGAACACAUAAAAAUUAUGGACUUCAAAUAAGUUCAAAAAAAUGAAAUCCCUUUGUAACAGACGAGUUUCCGUAUGAAACCCUGACACUUCGAAAGAGAUUGUCCGUUUUGUACACGAAGUGGAACCAGUUUUUGCCGUAACCCUCUCUACUUUCUUGCACAUGCUAUGUUGGUGAAAUGAUGAUACCAUGCCAACUUUCAACCUUCUCAGAGUUCAUUUGUAGUGCUUUUCAAUUUCAGGGUCUUAUAGUUCAANNNNNNNNNNUAACAAAUGAAGUUAGGAAGGGUUGAAAAUUGAUGAUGUGGCUUUGAAUGGUGCAUUUUGAACACAGAAAAACUAUGGAGUUCAAAUAAGUUCAAAAAAAUGAAAUCCCUUUGUAUAACAGACGAGUUUCCGUAUGAAACCCUGAUACUUCGAAAGAUAUUGUCCGUUUUGUACACGAAGUGCAUCCAUUUUUUGCCGUAACCCUCUCUACUUUCUUGCACAUUCUAUGUGGGUGAAAUGAUGAUACCAUGCCAACUUUCAACCUUUUCAGAGUUCAUUUGUAGUGCUUUUCAAUUUCAAGGUCUUAUAGCUCAAAAAAAUCAGUAAAUGCAUGGAAAAUAACAAAUGAUGUCAGGAAGGGUUGAAAAUUGAUGAUGUGGCUUUGAAUGGUGCAUUUUGAACACAGAAAAACUAUGGAGUUCAAAUAAGUUCAAAAAAAUGAAAUCCCUUUGUAACAGAUGAGUUUCCGUAUGAAACCCUGAUACUUCGAAAGACAUUGUCUGUUUUGUACACGAAGUGCAUCCAGUUUUUUCCGUAACCCUCUCUACUUUCUUGCACAUGCUAUGUGGGUGAAAUGAUGAUAUCAUGCCAACUUUCAACCUUUUUCAGAGUUCAUUUGUAGUGCUUUUCAAUUUCAGGGUCUUAUAGCUCAAAAAAAUCAAUAAAUGCAUGGAAAAUAACAAAUGAAGUCAGAAAGGGUUGAAAAUUGAUGAUGUGGCUUUGAAUGGUGCAUAUUGAACACAUAAAACUAUGGAGUUCAAAUAAGUUCAAAAAAAAUGAAAUCCCUUUGUAAAAAACGUGUCGCGCUUAUGUGUGGCCCAGGCCCGAGGGCUCCUGUCGGUGUACAAAAGAAGGGGCGCACCUUUGUACCUCUUUACCUGUGCACGGACAGUCGGAGCCGCGCCCACGGCCGCACCAAGCAGAACAGGGGAGGUGAACCGAGGUAAAACUGAAGCUCAAGACAGCCAAGGCAACGCCAAGGCCAAGAAGCACAAAGAAGCAGGGAGGCAAAGCAGGCUCCCUCGGCAAAGACCCUUGCAGGGGCAGCCUCAGCAGCCCCAACAAGACCCUUGCCGGGGCGGCUCGCCCACACCAGCGGAACGCGCCACCCUUGAGCCCAUGGUUUCCAGCACCCUACGUUGGGCCAGGGCUCGGGAGGCACCUCCAUGGUGGCAUGCAGAUCUUUGUGAAGAGAAGAAGUGUCCAAGAUCAGAUGAGGAUUAAAAGACAAAGGUCCUCGACAAGAUCCUUGCCGAGGAGAGCCACAAGACCCCCGGCAAGAUCCUUGCCGGCGACGACGGCACACCACGACAAGACCCUUGCCGGACCACCCGGCAAGGCCCUCACCAAGGGCGUCAGCAGGGCCACUGCCAGGCCCGCACCUGCUUAGCAGCCGACUCGGAACUCGGGGACUACACCCAGUGGGCUCCAGCUCGUCGGUGUAUUGCCUCAGCGCCGUAGCCUGGGCUUGGAGCCGGGUCCGGACGUCCUGCGCGGCCACGUUCAUCACGGCCGUCCCUCCCCCGGCGUCCACCCUGAGGUGGCGCUGGCCACCUCCACAUCCUGGCCCGACGAGCUGGAGCCCACUGCCGGCUGCGGCUCCGACGCCGCCUUCUGUGGCUCCGACGCAGCCUUCCCCGCGCGCCGGCUCGGCGGCAUCCGGACCGCCAGCUCGGACCUCGCGGCCGGCUCGCCCCCCGCCGACUGCGCAGGCGGCAGAUCAGGCCGGCCGCCUUGAGCCGCCCCAGUCGGCGGGGUCGGCACCGGCGCCCUCUCCAGGAUGACGACGUCGUCAUCCCUUUCCAGCCCUGGCUGGUCGCUGCUGGCUCCUUCUGGCGAGGGCUCCGGGGCCCCAGGCGCUGCGACGCGCAGUGGGGUAACCAACAAGGCCCCCUCCGCCGUUGCCGCAGCUACAGCCUCCGCUUGGGCCUUGGCUGCGGCGUCGGCGCGCGCAUUCGCCGCCUCCUCCUCCUGCGCCGCCUGGGCGGCGGCCGCCUUCCGUGCCUCCGCCUCCCGCGCCUCCCGCGCGUUCCGUUCUGUCGCCUCCUGAAGGUCAGCACGGGAUUCCACACGGCGAGUGGUGCUCCCAGACCCCCUCGGCGACUCGACGACGGAGGCGGCAACCGCCCGCUCAAGCGACAAUGGAGCUCUAGUUGUUUGGAGAAAAAGACAAGGAUUCAGGAACCACCAGAGAAAAGAAAGAAAAAAGAGUACACAAAAGAGUUCGAACUUACGCCGACACCGUCUGUGGUUGCUUCACCUUCUUGCGGAAGCGAGCCGCCUUCGCGGCCGCCUCCUCCCGCCUGGUCGCCGCCGCCCCGCCCCUGGGCUUCUUCGUCCGACUGCCGAACAAACCCUGGGAGGCGCGACGCUUUUGCCCGCCGCCCCGAGCAGGCGGUGCAGCGGAGGAACCCGCGCCGCGGCCAGAUGCCGGCCGACGGUGCGGGACGACUUCAGCCUCGUCGUCGUCCGGCCAGUCGUCGAAGGUGACUCCAUGCCCGGAGCCGCCUGCUUCGCCACCGGCUUGGCCACCACCCGGCUCGGUGUUGUCGUCCAUAGAGGCCGCCCCCAAGUCGGGGUCCUCCAGGUCGUGCUGCGUUCGGUCGGGGACGAAUCGGCGCUCCGCGUCCGACCCGCCGGCAGGCCGAAGAAGAGGGCUCUGUCGAAGACAAGCCGACUAGUCGGAGUCGGCCAAAGGAAAUCGGCGACAAAGCUGAGAGAAAAAGAAGAGACAAGGAGAACAUACCGUGGGCGGCGGAUUGGCUCGGCUAUAUGGCUCCUUGUGUGGCAUGUCCUUGGUACACAUCCGGCUUGGAUCGAGCUGGCCGCUCAUCUGACAGAUCAGAUGAGGGCGGCUCUGGAGCAGGAGUACCCGGCGCGUGACGAAGGCGGCCAGCAGGUCGGGCCCCGACAAGCCCUCCGACUGGGUCAUCGCUCGCACUCGGGCGACGGCUGCGGAUCCAGCCGGCGUCAGCGUCACGGCCCGGUAGGACCACUGGGGCCGCCUACCCGCCGGUGGGCCGGCUACGUAAGCCGGCAGCUUGACGUAGUCGCCCUGCGGGGCAACGUUCCUGAUGUAGAAGUACGACUUUUGCCAUAACUUCACCGACUGGAUCAGCGUGAUGACGGGGAAGGGGUUGCCGGCAGCCACCCUCCGCAUCGCGAUGAAGGCGCCAGUCUGAGCCGGCACGCCCUGCGAGCGCGUGCCCAGCUUGGACUGGAAGAACUCCCCCCAGAGCUCGAGGGUGGGGAGGACGCCGAGGUAGCCUUCGCACAGGGUGACAAAGGCAGACAGCAGCACCACCGCGUUCGGGGUGAGGUGGUGCGGCUGGAGCUGGUAGAACUCGAGCCAAGAGCGGAAGAAGGCGCUCACGGGCAGGCCGAUUCCGCGCAAGAAAUGUGAGCGGAAGACCACCCGCUCGCCCUCCCACGGCUCCGGCGUAUUCUCCUUCGCUGGCGCGAGACGGACCUCCACCUUGUCCGCGCUGGGCAGCCGCCGCGUCUUGCGGAGGAAUUCGACGUGAUCCUCGUGGACGUUGGAGCCGUCCCAAUCCCCGCCGUACUGCUCUGUGGCGGGAGGCAUGGUGGAAACAAGCGCGGCGGGGGAGGAAUGAGUGGUGGAAGAGCACGGCGGCGAGGCGCUGUUGCAAGAAAGGGCAGGAAGAAGAAGAUGGUGGAAAGAGGAGGAGCGUGCGAGAGCCUGCCGCUCUCCCCCCUCCCCCUACUUAUAGCUUCGCCAGGUGAAGCCGGGGAGGCCGGACGUGGGGUGAGACGUGGGAUUAACUGCACCCACUCCCCCCACGCCUCGCGAUUAUUAUGCCCUAAAGGCGUGCCGAAACUGCCGCAAGGAGACGUGCGGGCGGUUUCGGGCUGCAGAGAAUCCGCGCCUGGGCCCGGGCGUGGACGUGGCGGGCCCCCGCCCUGCGGCGACGUCCCGUCACGCGCGUGGGCUGGCAGGCUUUUUGGCCGAGAGAGGCCACGUGGUUCGCAGGCGACAAGUGGCCGGCCCGCGGCCCGGUGCACGCGCUGGCGAGCUCCCGACCUCCGACUCGGGAAUUUUUGGCCAAGACGGCGCGCCUAACCAAAGCCGGCUCCCAGCUGCCAACUUGUCAAGAUAGGAAGCUGAUCGAGCUUCUCAACUCCUACCCAACCUCGAAGCCCAAUCAGCUUCGGGGACUACUGUCGGAGUAAAUGGCCACGGGUAGCCUAACCGACUGCCCCUGGCUCUUCCAAAAAAUUAUCAGGCCUUUGGGCCUUCAAGCACUCCAAGCAUUGGGGCCGCCUUCCCUGGCCGGCUACCUCUAAAGCCAACUCAUGAAAGACGACCCAACCUCAGCAACCUCCCCCCAGGAUAACCACGGGGUGGCCGACUCUAGGAAGCCGGCCAUAGAGGAUGCCGACUUCUCAGAAGCUGGCCACGAAGAACGCCGACUCCAAGAAGCCGGCCAAGACCGCAACCACCAAAGCCACACCCACAUAACGGUGACAAGACGGGGUGUGGCCACAGUGCUGCCCACUACCCCCGAAGCCCGAGGCAAGCAUGGCCACAGGACGCCGUACGGGACGGCCAUCUCCCGUCCGGCUCGGCACUGUAGCCAUGUUGGCCUCAACGUCACCCACGACGGACGCCAGUACGGCCCAUGGGCAGCGGGUCCCUUUAGCCAGAGAGAGGCGCGAAGGCGGCCCGGCCUCCCCCAGUCGGCCGAGGGCGUGGCCGGCCCCCAGAAGCCGGCUACUCCCUCCCUCGAAGCAUGUGCCACAUUAAGGAGACAAGACGAGGUAAGGCUACAGUGAGCACCCUCGAGGCGGCACACUGUAGCCACGCUUACCUCGGCGAAGCCCUCGUCAUCAGGGGCGAGGCUACAGUAAGCAGCCGCCGACAAGACCCUAGGCGGUAGGGCCAGCCUGUCGACCAAGAGGCCGGCAGCCGGCGGGACCCACCAGUCUGCGGGCCCCAACAGCCGGCGGAGAAGCCGGUGAGCGUAGACACUGACGGCUGGGACCAGUGCCCAGCCGGAUUACAAUUGUAUCCCCGGGGGUAGGCCUAUAUAAACCCCCCGGGACACCCAUGCAAAGGGUUGGCUUCUUAGCAUUACACACACACCAUAGAGAGAGAGAAGCAAGAGCUAGCCUCGUUCUUCUUCUCCCUUGAACCCAACAGCUCUAGGAGCGAUUGUAGCUACUCUUCCUGAUCUAUUGAUCAUGCGGAGACCCCGCAGAGCAGGACUAGGGGUGUUAUCUCCUCGGAGAGCCCCGAACCUGGGUAAGAUCCGCCGGCGUGCAUGUCUUCGCCUCAUCCCGUUUCCAGGCACCGGCGACGUCUUACUGGCACCCACUAUGAUAAGCCACCCGUUGGCAUAUGUCGCACCUACCACCCGACAUAUUUAAUACUCCUAUACUCAAAUAGAAUCAUUAAACAAGCAAGCAUAUGCAAACAAUGCAAUCAUAACAGCAAUCUGCUAGAACAGUACAGUCUAUAAAGAAUGCAAGAGUAUCAAUACUUAUUCAACUCCAAACAUUAUGAAAUUCUACCAAACUAUAGAAAAUUUAUCAGAGCUUAUUAUGCAAAAAGUUUCAACAUUUUAUCACACUCUGACUUUCCUUGGGAAUUUUUGCAACAUCGAUAAACUUUCUGUUUUCAAAUAGCAACAUGUAUACUUGCAAGUUAAGCAUGGCAAAGGCUAUCAAUGCCACUUUUAUUGAAAUAAAGGAUGAAAAACAUUAUUCUAAAUAGCAACAAGCAAAUCCUAACAAAAUAAAUUGACGCGCCAAGCAAAACUCAUAUCAUGUGACGAAUGAAAACAUAGCUCCAAGUAAGGUUACCGAUAAUGUUGGAGACAAAAGAGGGGAUGCCUUCCGGGGCAUCCCCAAGCUUAGUUGCUUGGAUAUUAACUUGGGGUGCCUUGGGCAUCCCCAAGCUUAGGCUCUUGUCACUCCUUAUUCUCCUCAUAUCAUCAUCUCACCCAAAACUUGAAAACUUCAAUCACACAAAACUUAACUGAACUUUGUGAGAUAGGUUAGUAUGAUAAAGAGCAAACCAUUUCACCUUGAUACUGUCAAAGACAAGAUUCAUAAUUGUUCUCACACAAUGCCUACUGUAGCAUAUCGUUUCCACAACUUAUAUUGAGGAAUAAAAGCCAUAGAAACUAGAAAGCAAGCAAACUAUUCAUUAUAAACAGAGUUUUCCAUGCAACGUUCCCCAACAGUGGCAUCCGAGCCAGGUCUAUGCGUAGAUGAUAUGCACGAGUAGAACACAAAGAGUUGUGGGUGGUGAUAGUCAUACUGCUUACCACCAAUGUCUUAUUUUGAUUCAGCGAUAUUGUGGGAUGAAGCGGUCCGGACCAGCACAUGAGACCGGAUCCACCGACAGACAUGCAACUUGUUUUGCAUAAAGGUGGUUGGCGGGUGUCUGUUUCUCCUACUUUAGUUGAAUCGAAUUUGACUACGGCCGGUCCUUGAAGAAGGUUAAAAGAGCAAACUUGAUUAAUCACCAUUGCGGUUUUGCGUAGUGAUUUGUUACAGUAGAAAAUGAUAAGGUUUUUGCAUUGGUUUAUACUAACUUAUCUCACGAGUUCUUGUUGAGUUUGGUGUGGAUGAAGCUUUCGAGAUUUAGGAAACUAUGAUAUGAGAGGAAUUAAGGAGACACAAAAGCUCAAGCUUGGGGAUGCCCAAGGCACCCUAAGAUAUUAUUUCAAGAAGUCUGCAGCAUCUAAGCUUGGGUAUGCCCCGGUAGGCAUCCCACCUUUCUUCUUCAACAAUUAUCGGUUAGUAUCGGUUGAGCCUAAGUUUUUGCUUCUUCACAUGAUGAGUGCUAUCCUUGAAAUGUUGUUUUAUUUUGUUUUGCUUGCUGUUUGAAUAAUAUCCCAAGAUCUGAAAUUCUUAAAUGAGAGAGAGUCUUCACAUAGCUACAUAAUUAUUUAACUAUUCAUUGAUCUUCACUUAUAUCUUUUUGGAGUAGUUUGUCAUUUACUCGUGUGCUUCACUUAUAUCCUAUGAGUAAAUAGUUGAAUGAUUUGAAUAUCAUAAAUCUGAAAUUAUAUAUGUUUUAUAUGCUUAUCCCAUGGGGAGUAAUGACUUCACAUAUAAGAAGUAGAGGUGGUAAAUUUAUUGAAGUUUAGCAAACAUUGUAUUGGUCACUUGAACAAUUCAUGAAAGAAUACUGAAGGAAGAGAGAUUUCACAUAUAAAUAUACUAUCUUGGACAUCUUUUGUAAUUGUGAGCACUCAUUAAAAUAUGACAUGCUAAAAGGUUGAUGUUGGACAAGGAAGACAACGUAAUGGGUUAUGUUUUCUUAUAUCCGAAAUAAAGUAUAUUGUCAUGGAUCGCCCAACACGUUGAGCUUGCCUUUCCCCCUCGUGCUAGCCAAAUUCUUCGCACCAAGUAGGGAUACUACUUGUGCUUCCAAACAUCCCUUAAACCAGUAUUGCCAUGAGAGUCCACCAUACCUACCUAUGGAUUGAGUAAGAUCCUUCAAGUAAGUUGUCAUCGGUGCAUGCAAUAAAAAUUGCUCUCUAAAUAUGUAUGAUCUUUUAGUGUGGAGAAAAUAAGCUUUAUACGAUCUUGUGAUAUGGAAGCAAUAAAAGCGACGGACUGCAUAAUAAAGGUCCCUAUCACAAGUGGCAAUAUAAAGUGACGUUCCCUCGCAUUAAGAUUUUGUGCAUCCAACUAUAAAAGCGCAUGGCAACCUCUGCUUCCCUCUGCGAAGGGCCUAUGUUUUAUUCUUGUCUUUUACCUUAUGCAAGAGUCAUGGUGAUCUUCACCUUUCCUUUUUACAUUUUAUACUUUGGCAAGCACAUUGUGUUGGAAAGAUUCUGAUAUAUAUAUCCAAUUGGAUGUAAGGCAUCAUAAGCUAUUAUUGUUGACAUUACCCUUGAGAUAAAAGGUUGGGAGGCGAAUCUAUAAGCCCCUAUCUUUCUCUCUGUCUGAUUAAAACUUUGAACCCAUAAAUAUCACGUGAGUGUUAGCAAUUGUGAAAGACUAAAUGAUAGUUGAGUAUGUUGAGUUUGCUAAAUCAAAGCUCUGACAUAGACUCUUCCUGAAAAUAAGAUGAAUUGUAAUUGUUUGAUGACUAAUAACACGGUUUGUUAGUUUUCAGGAAAGUUUAUGAUCUAUACUUUAACAUGUGAAUAGUUUGUUACUUGAUCAUGAAAAGUCUUAUGAGUUGAGCUACUGUUAUCAUAUAUAAUGAUGCUAGAAAAGGUGAUUGAAAUUAUCAUUGAUCAAACUUGUGCACCUGCUAGCAUUCACACUUCAUAAAUUAUUUAUUUUAUCAUUUACCUACUCGAGGAAGAGCAGGAAUUAAGCUUGGGGAUGCUGAUACAUCUCCAACGUAUCUAUAAUUUAUGAAGUAUUCAUGCUAUUAUAUUAUCUGUUUUGGAUGCUUAUGGGCUUUACUAAACACUUUUAUAUUAUUUUUGGGACUAACCUAUUAACCGAGAGCCCAGUGCCAGUUUCUGUUUUUUCCCUUGUUUCAGUGUUUCACGGAAAAGGAAUAUCAAACAGAGUCCAAACGGAAUGAAACCUUCGGGAGCAUGAUUUUUUGAAUGAACGUGAUCCAGGAGACUUGGAGUUGAAGUCAGGGAAGCUUUGAGGUGGCCAUGAGGCAGGGAGGCGCACCUGCCCCCCUGGGCGCGCCCCCCACCCUCGUGGGCCCCUCGUGGCUCCCCUUACCGACUUAUUUUGCCUAUAUAUGUCCAUAUACCCUAAAAACAUCGGGGAACAGAAUAGAUCGGGAGUUCCGCCGCCGCAAGCCUCUGUAGCCACCAAAAACCAAUCGAGACUCUGUUCCGGCACCCUGCCGGAGGGGGGAUCCCUCACCGGUAGCCAUCUUCAUCAUCCCGGCGCUCUCCAUGACGAGCAGGGAGUAGUUCACCCUAGGGGCUGAGGGUAUGUACCAGUAGCUAUGUGUUUGAUCUCUCUCUCUCCCUCUCGUGUUCUUGAUUCGGCACGAUCUUGAUGUAUCGCGAGCUUUGCUAUUAUAGUUGGAUCUUAUGAUGUUUCUCCCCCUCUACUCCCUUGUAAUGGAUUGAGUUUUCCCUUUGAAGUUAUCGUAUCAGAUUGAGUCCUUAAGGAUUUGAGAACACUUGAUGUAUGUCUUGCAUGUGCUUAUCUGUGGUGACAAUGGGAUAUUCACGUAUUCUACUUGAUGUAUGUUUUGGUGAUCAACUUGCGGGUUCCGUAACAUUGUGAACUUAUGCAUAGGGGUUGGCAGACGUUUUCGUCUUGACUCUCCGGUAGAAACUUUGGGGCACUCUUUGAAGUUCUUUGUGUUGGUUGAAUAGACGAAUCUGAGAUUGUGUGAUGCAUAUCAUAUAAUCAUACCCACGGAUACUUGAGGUGACAUUGGAGUAUCUAGGUGACAUUAGGGUUUUGGUUGAUUUGUGUCUUAAGGUGUUAUUCUAGUACGAACUCUAUGAUAGAUCGAACGGAAAGAAUAGCUUCGUGUUAUUUUACUACGGACUCUUGAAUAGAUCGAUCAGAAAGGAUAACUUUGAGGUGGUUUCGUACCCUACAAUAAUCUCUUCGUUUGUUCUCCGCUAUUAGUGACUUUGGAGUGACUCUUUGUUGCAUGUUGAGGGAUAGUUAUAUGAUCUAAUUAUGUUAUUAUUGUUGAGAGAACUUGCACUAGUGAAAGUAUGAACCCUAGGCCUUGUUUCCUAGCAUUGCAAUACCGUUUGUGCUCACUUUUAUCAUUAGUUACCUUGCUGUUUUUAUAUUUUCAUAUUACAAAAACCUAUAUCUACCAUCCAUGUUGCACUUGUAUCACCAUCUCUUCGCCGAACUAGUGAACCUAUACAAUUACCAUUGUAUUGGGUGUGUUGGGGACACAAGAGAUUCUUUGUUAUUUGGUUGCAGGAUUGCUUGAGAGAGACCAUCUUCAUCCUACGCCUCCCACGGACUGAUAAACCUUUGGUCAUCCACUUGAGGGAAAUUUGCUAUUGUCCUACAAACCUCUGCACUUGGAGGCCCAAUAAUGUCUACAAGAAGAAGGUUGUGUAGUAGACAUCAGCACCAUUGCCAAAGUUCGUCAUUUCAAAGCACCUCGUGGUGAUCGGGUGUGAUAGACUCUACGUUCACAUACAACGGGUGUAAGACAGUUUUGCACAUGCAGAAUACUUGGGUUAAACUUGACGAGCCUAGCAUGUACAGACAUGGUCUCAGAACACUGGAGACCGAAAGGUCAAACGUGAGUCAUAUAGUAGAUAUGAUCAACAUAGAGAUGUUCACCAUUGAUGACUACCCCAUCUCACGUGAUGAUCGGACAUGAGUUACUUGAUUUGGAUCAUGUAUCACUUAGAUAACCUGAGGGAUGUUUAUUUAAGUGGGAGUUCAUUAGUAAUUUGAUUAAUUGAACUUAAUUUAUAAUGAACUUAGUCUUAUAGUUUUGCAUAUCUAUGUUGUAGAUCAAUGGCCCGAGCUACCAUUCCCCUGAAUUUUAAUGCAUUCCUAGAGAAAGCUAAGUUGAAAGAUGAUGGUAGAAACUACACGGACUGGAUCCGUAACUUGAUGAUUGUUCACAUUGCUGCACAGAAGAAUUAUGUCCUUAAUGCACCGCUAGGUGACAUACCUGCUGCAGGAGCUACUGCAGAUGUUAUGAACGUAUGGCAGGCUCGACCUGAUGACUACUUGAUAGUUCAAUGUGCCAUGCUUUACGGCUUAGAACCGGGACUUCAAAGAUGUUUUGAAUGUCAUGGAGCAUAUGAGAUGUUCCAAGAGUUGAAGUUAAUAUUUCAAGCAAAUGCCCGGGUUGAGAGAUAUGAAGUCUCCAACAAGUUCCAUAGCUGCAAGAUGGAGGAGAACAGUUCUAUCAACGAACACAUAUUCAAAGUGUGUGGGUAUCAUAACCACUUGACUCAGCUGGGAGUUGAUCUUCUAGUUGAUAGUGUUAUUGACAGAGUUCUUCAGUCACUGCCACCAAGCUACAAAGGCUUUGUGAUGAACUAUAAUAUGCAAGGGAUGAAUAAAACAAGUCAUGAGCUCUUCGUAAUGCUUAAGGCCGCGGAGGUAGAAAUCAAGAAGGAGCAUCAAGUGUUGAUGGUUAACAAGACCACUAGUUUAAAAAAAAGGGCAAGGGAAAGAAAGGGAACUUCAAGAAGAAUGGCAAGCAAGUUGCCACUCCCGGGAAGAAGCCCAAAGCUGGACCCAAGCCUGAAACUAAGUGCUUCUACCGCAAAGGGAAUGGUCACUAGAAGCAGAACUGCCCCUAAAUACUUGGCGGAUAAGAAGGAUGGCAAAGUGAACAAAGGUAUAUUUGAUAUACAUGUUAUUGAUGUGUACCUUACUAAUGCUCGUAGUAGUGCCUGGGUAUUUGAUAUUGGUUUGGUUGCUCAUAUUUGUAACUCGAAACAAAAGCUGCGGAAUAAAUGAAGAUUGUCUAAGAACGAGGUGACGAUGCGCGUCGGGAAUGGUUCCAAGGUCGAUGUGAUCGCCGUCGGCACGCUACCUCUACAUCUACCUUCGGGCUUAGUUUUAGACCUCAACAAUUGUUAUUUGGUGCCAGCGUUGAGCAUGUACAUUAUAUCUGGAUCUUGUUUGUUGCGAGAUGGUUAUUCAUUUCAAUCGGAGAAUAAUGGCUGUACUAUUUAUAUGAGUAAUAUCCUUUAUGGUAUGCACCCUUGAUGAAUGGUCUAUUCUUGUUGAAUCUCGAUCAUAGUGAUACACAUAUUCAUAAUAUUGAUGCCAAAAGAUGCAAAGUUGAUAAUGAUAGUGCAACAUACUUGUGGCACUGCCAUUUAGGUCAUAUUGGUGUAAUGCACAUGAAGAAACUCCAUACAGAUGGACUUUUAGAAUCACUUGAUUAUGAAUCAUUUGAUCCUUGCAAACCAUGGCUCAUGGGCAAGAUGACUAAAACUCUGUUCUCCGAAACAAUGGAGCGAGCUAAUGACUUAUUGGAUAUAAUACAUACCAAUGUAUGCGGUCCGAUGAGUGUUGAGGCACGCGGCGGGUAUCGUUAUUUUAUGACCUUCAUAGAUGAUUUGAGUAGGUAUGGUUAUAUCUACUUGAUGAAACACAAGUCUGAAACAUUUCAAAAGUUCAAAGAAUUUCAGAGUGAAGUGGAGAAUCAUCGUAACAAGAAAAUAAAGUUUCUGCGAACUGAUCACGGAGGCGAAUAGUUGAGUUACGAGUUUGGCUUUCAUUUAAAACAAUGUGGAAUUGUUUCACAACUCACGCCACCUGGAACACCACAACAUAAUGGUGUGUCCGAACGUCGUAAUCGUACUUUAUUGGAUAUGGUGCGAUCUAUGAUGUCUCUUACCGAUUUAGUACUAUCAUUUUGGGGUUAUACAUUAGAGUCACCCGCAUUCACGUUAAAUAGGGCACCAUCUAAAUUCGUUGAGACGACAUCGUAUGAACUAUGGUUUGGCAAGAAACCUAAGUUGUUGUUUCUUAAAGUUUGGGGUUGCGACACUUAUGUCAAAAGGCUUCAGCUUGAUAAGCUCGAACCCAAAUCGGAGAAGUGCGUCUUCAUAGGAUACCCUAAGGAUGUUGGGGAACAUAGUAUAUCAAAAAAUUUCCUACGAUCACGCAAGAUCUAUCUAGGAGAAGCAUAGCAACGAGUGGGGAGAGUGUGUCCAUGUACCCUCGUAGCCCGAAAGCGGAAGCGUUUAGUAACGCGGUUGAUGUAGUUGAAUGUCUUCGCGAUCCAACCGAUCCAAGCACCGAACUUACGGCACCUCCGCGUUCAGCACACGUUCAGCUCGAUGACGUCCCUCAAGCUCUUGAUCCAGUUGAGGACAAUGGGAGUGUUCCGUCAGUACGACGGCAUGGUGAUGGUGAUGAUGAAGUUACCGGCGUAGGGCUUCACCUAAGCACUACGACGAUAUGAUCGAGGUGUGUAACUAUGGAGGGGGGCACCGCACACGGCUAAGAGAAGACUUGGUGUGCCUUUGGGGUGCCCCCUGAGGGAGUCCUGGACUAAGGGGUCCUCGGGCGUCCGACCUGUUAGCCAUGGGCCGGACUGAUGGGCUGUGAAGAUGCGAAGACCGAAGACAGGACCCGUGUUCGGAUAUGACUCACCUUGGCGUGGAAGGCAAGCUUGACAACCAAAUAUGUAGAUUCCUUUCCUUGUAACCGACCUUGUGUAACCCUAGAUCUCUCCGGUGUCUAUAUAAACCGAAGAGCUUAGUCCGGAUAGAGAUAGACUCAUUACCAUAGUCAUAGAGGCUAGGCUUUUAGGGUUUAGCCAUUACGAUCUCAUGGUAGAUCAACUCUUUUAAUACUCAUAUUCAUCAAGAUCAAUCAAGUAGGAAGUAGGGUAUUACCUCCAUAGAGAGGGCCCGAACCUGGGUAAACAUCGUGUCCCCUGUCUCUUGUUACCAUCGACCUUAGACGCACAGUUCGGGACCCCCUAGCCGAGAUCCGCCGGUUUUGACACCGACAUUGGUGCUUUCAUUGAGAGUUCCACUGUGUCGUCCCCAAAAGGUUUGAUGGCCCCUUCAAUCGUUAACGACGAUGCCGUCCAAGGAGAAACCUUUCUCCCCGGACAGAUCUUCGUAUUCGGCGGCUUCGCACUGUGGGCCAACUCGCUUGGCCGUCUAGAGCAGAUCGACAGCUACGCCCCUGGCCAUCAGGUCAGAUCCGGGAGUUGAACUACGUCGCGGACAUCCGUGGAGACUUGAUCUUCGCUGGAUUCGAGACCGCGGCAAUCGCUCCUGGUCACCCCGAUGAACAUGACCUAAAUCUGUCAUCGGACCACAUCCAGGAGAUUGCUCCUGUAACUGCUCUGGCCGUAGAUCUGGAGCAUCCUGCGCCAUCCAAGGACGGGAGGCUCAACCCCACCGUGGAGGCCACAGAUUCCACGGCGUUGGAGCCGAACAUAGACCUAAAGUCACACGACGUCUUUGUCACCGGAUCUCUGGACUCGUCUCUGGUCAUAAAUUCCAAGCCAUGUGCAUCCGCGGACGCCGAACUUGAUCGCUUAUCGAUCUUUGAGUUUAGCGCCGCAGACAUCUUCCAACACUCGCCCCUCGGCGAUGUGCUAAACUCAUUAAAGAAUAUGUCCCUGGCAGGAGACUCAUAGCCGAAUUAUGUCCGGUUCGAAAUGGAGGCUGAUGAUGGGGGAGAAUUCAGCUUCCCACCCGCCACCCACUUCAUAGCCACUGUCGAAGACUUAACCGAUGUGCUUGAUUACAGCUUCGAUGACAUCGACGGUAUGGACGACGAUGCCGAGGAGAAGCAGGGCCAAAACCCGCCGCUUACCGGACGGUGGACGACCACUUCUUCAUAUGAUGUAUACAUGGUGGAUACAACUAAAGAAACUAACAACGAUGACAAAGAGGAUCCAGUUAAGGACAAACCCCCUGAGACACAGCCUCGGCACCGGCGUCAGCGGCGCCGGUCUAAGUCACGUCAUACAAAAGACAACAACACUGGCACCAGAGAAAAUAAUACUCCGGACGAAGCCGAAGACAAUGAAGACCCUGUCGGGGCAAUCUCCGGACAGGAUGAACGCGAGGGCGGUCAUGUUAGCCCUGAUGAACAGGCCAUACACAAAGACUCGGAGGAUAGUAAUUAUCUUCCGCUCUCCGAGGAAGAGGAGAGCCUCGGCAACGAGGAAUUCAUCGUGCCUGAAGAACCUCUCGAGCAAGAGCGCUUUAAACACCGGCUAAUAGCCACUGCAAGGAGCCUGAAAAAGAAGCAGUUGCAGCUUCACGCUGACCAGGAUCUGCUCAAUGAUAGAUGGACCGAAGUUCUGGCCGCCGAAGAAUACGGCCUCAACGGCCCAGCCAAAAAUUACCCGAAGCGCAAAUUGUUAUCUCAGUUCGAUGACGAGGCGCUGGAGCACGUACCAUCAUCGCACAACGCGGCCAACCGACCGCCACGCGGUCAGGAUAAAGCGGCAACUCAAGUCGAACACCGAACCGCCCCACCUCGCCGUGAAAGCAAGAAUAAAACAUCUCGGGGUUGUGCAUAUGACCGUCAACAGUACUUGGACAGUAGAGCAUGACACACAAUAUCGAUCUAUGGAUCGCGAGGCCGUGCCUCGACACGCGACAACGGCUACCUAUUCGGACGUGACAGAUCUAGCCACGCCCAGGCUGAAAACUGUAAACAAACUCCGUCGGAGGUACGUCGCAGUGUGGCCCAGUAUAGAGGCGCCGCACACCCUCUUUGCUUCACAGACGAAGUAAUGGAGCAUGAAUUCCCAGACGGGUUUAAACCCAUGAAUAUCGAAUCAUACGAUGGAACAACGUAUCCCACGGUAUGGAUCGAGGACUUCCUCCUCCAUAUCCACAUGGCCCGCGGGGAUGACCUUCAUGCCAUCAAAUACCUACCAAUAAAACUCAAAGGACCAGCUCGGUACUGGUUAAACAGUCUGCCGGAAAAUUCUAUUGGCAGCUGGGAAGAUUUGGAAGACGCCUUUCGUGACAACUUCCAAGGAACAUAUGUCCGGCCACCGGAUGCCGAUGACUUAAGCCACAUUGUCCAGCAGCCCGGAGAGUCAGCCAGGAAGCUCUGGACUAGGUUCUUAGUUAAAAAGAACCAAAUCGUCGACUGUCCGGACGCGGAAGCCCUUGCGGCCUUCAAACACAGCGUCCGGGAUGAAUGGCUUGCCCGCCACCUCGCCCAAGAAAGACCUAAAUCCAUGACAGCCCUUACCGCUCUAAUGACCCGCUUUUGCGCGGGAGAAGACAGCUGGCUCGCUCAUAGAAGCAACAGCGCCUGCGGCCCGGGCACUUCCGAAAUUUGAGACGGCAAUGGCAAGCCACGACGCAGCAAACACAAAAGUCGCAAUGAUAAUGAAAGAUCACGCGACACAACGGUCAACGCCGGAUUCAGCAGUCCCCAAUCCGGUCAACGGGAAAAGCCAUUCAAGGCGAACAGAGACGGACCAUCCAAUCUAGACAGGAUAUUGGAUCGACCCUGCCAGAUUCACAGCCACCCCGAUAAAUCAGCUAAUCAUACCAACAGAAGCUGUUGGGUCUUCAAGCAGGCCAGCAAGCUCAACGCUGAACACAAGGGGAGGAGGCCGCCCGGCGAUAGGGACCACGAAGAGAUCCACCAACCAAAUACCGGGGGUCAGAAGCAAUUUCCCCCCGAAGCAAAAAUAGUAAACAUGGUAUACGUGACACACACCCCUAGAGGGGAGCGCACGAAACACUCCCUCCGUACAGGAGAUCAUACUACGGCUACCUCAGCCGAACUACACAGCGGCCUUAUCACGCCGCAUACCACGUCAGCCAUCACGCCGCCGGUCUCGAUUCAACAUGACCGAUCAAUGUCCAUAUUGGACUAGCAAUUCGGCUUCCGCCGUUCGCCUAAUAUGCCUCGAAGUAGGUACCGCGCAUACAUAAUUAUGCACUUGAAAUACCCUGGGCAUCGGCGGAAGCACAAUACGGGUGUGCUGCAACCCCCCUACUUUUCUAACUGCCCCUUUUUUCCUUUUUAUUAGCCCCUUCACAGGUAGCUCAAGGGCCGGUCACCCCGAGGACUCCACCAGGGUUCGGGUUCGUACAAUCAUCCAAGGGUUAUUCCUGUCAAGGAAUCCCUUAACCGAGGACAGGCGGCGCAGACGUGCGACAGGAGGUCCAAAAUAACUUUUUGUAGACCGAGCUCUCUAUUCCUAGCCUGUAAAGUGCCUUUUUCCUCAGCCUUCGACCCCUAGCAUGUCAAAUAGCCAGGGUUGCGGCUUUGUUAUCUAUAUAAUAAUUGGUAUAUCACUCAGCUCCCAGUACAUGUAACCAGUGUCCAGUAUUGACUUUUUCCUAAUCGACCCGAAUUUUUGCUCAUGAGGUUGUUUUACACACACACCUCGGCAUAACUCGCCAGGGGCUCGGUAUGGGAACAAAUGAGUUGCCGGCAAGUCCGAACAGCUUUAUAGCAUACUUCGGCGUCGCGAGUUUGGCCUUAUAUGCGUCAGCUCCGAAUCAUAUCUUGGGUCAAUAGUUGGGUUGCCCGGCUCCUGUGCUUGCUACCCUACGUUCCACUCUAUCGGCUAGGGUAGUAAAGGGAGAACUACUGCGAUUGUGCUUCCGGUUCAUCUGGUCAAGCACCUCAGUUGAGAAAGCCGAAAACUGACUGUCAUGAUGCGGCGAGAGCUGGUCAACCACUCAAUGACUUAUUGGAAUCUUUAGCGAUUCUCUCCGUGUUAUACGAAGGUUCUUUUUUAGAUCAUCUGUACAGCGCAUCGUACUAAAAAUAAGCCGCGUACAUACCAGGGGCUAUAUCCUAGACCCACCAUAAAACUCUUAUGGCUUAGUGAAAGUGUUAACGCCCUAUAGUCUGAUUGCCUGGUUCGCCGCAUUGUCACCUCCUUCAUGGACCAAGACAUUGGGUCAAGCGUGAUCAAAUGCUUUUCCAAACACCCCCGUACUUCCUACGAGGGGGCUGAAGCCGACGACUGGAAAACUUUCAGAUUAUAUAAAAACGGCUGUGCAGGAGGAACAAAAAGCCUUCGAGCAGAACAUAAAAAUAGAUUAAAUAUAAAAUUGUCUUUUACAAUUCCCUUACACCUCACUCGAAUACUAUGUCUUUCGAGCAUUGACCCUCUAUCAAGCGGGCAGCCUCUAAGACGCCUUCAAAAUAAUGCUCCGGUGCGUGAUGGUCCUUGCCCUUGGGUGGACUCUUCGCUGCAACAUCGAUGGCCUUCAUCUUCCCCCAAUAUGUCUUGACACGGGUAAAGGCCAUCCGUGCACCCUCAAUGCACGCCGACUGCAGUGUCGAUACGUGGCACCGCAUCAACAAGCCGCUGCACCAAGCCGAAGUAGCUAUUCAGAAUAGGCUCAGUCGGUCACAGCCGGAUCAUGACGUUCUUCAUGACAGUGCCAGAUAUCCUAUGAAGCUCGGCCCAUUGGAAAAUCUGUUCAUUCAGCAAAAGAGGGCGCUUUGACACGCCAAAUUGUGACCAGAAAAGCCUCUCCAUUGCAUACCCCUCGCGCGCUUGGUAAAACUGCGCCGCAUCAGAAGAACUCUUCGGCAAGUCUAAAAACUCGUCCGGAGAACUCCACACUUGGUUAAGCUGAGCAUAGUCCGGAUCGCCGAACUUAGUCUGUAACAAAAAGGGCUUACCGGCCGCAAUCUCCCCAACUUGCCGGAUCUCCUCACGGGAUGCUCUGGAUUCAGACCGCGCUUCCCUCGCCUCUCGUAAGGCCUUGUCAAGUUCAGCCGUUUUGGCUUCAUUCUCCUUCUCAAGAAAUUCACAGCGGCUAGUAGCAUUUUUUAGUUCGAGCGCCAUUGUGGAUACUUUCUCCUCGUCUUGGCACCGAGCAGCUUGUUCGGCCUUUACCUCAGCCGAUGCCUUCUCGGCAGCCGCAUUACUAGACCGGGCCUGCUCCUUGGCUCGGGCCAGCUCCGCCCAAAGAAUCUCAAUAGCGGCGGCACCAUCUGCAGCCAUGCAUAUCCCAGUAUGCAACUUUCAGGGUCAUGCUUAUAUUAAAAACAUGUAUGUAUAAGGACUGCUCCGAAUACAUACCUUGCGACUCGUCAAGACGCAUAUUGAUUAACGCAAUGUCAUCCCCUGGCAGAUCAAGCUUCCGCUGCAGUUCGGCAAUAUCCGUAGUCCGGGAAGUUGCCAGGGGAGAAGCAGCCUGUGUUCCACUUAACCGGAUUAGUCCUUGAGUGUUUCUUCUUGAUCCUCCGUUCGCCUCCCAUGGGAAGCCAACCUGAGUCUCAGGGGCUACUACCUAUACACAGGUGCAUUUUUGCAAGUAAAAUAUAGUUAAAAAUAUUACAUCAACAAACCUCGAAGCCUCUUAGCAGGCUCAUGAAGGCUUCAUUCAAUCCGCUUUUCACGGACAGAACCUUCUCAACCACCGUACCCAUCAAGGUACGCUUUUCCUCUGAGACAGAUGCUUUUCGCAGCAUAUCCCUCAACAUAUCCGGCGCCGCCGGGUCUCCGGAAGCCGCUGUAGGAGCACGACCAUCCUUCGAAGGAACCUGUUCACCCGUCUCCAGAAUCAUCGUUGGCAGAAAACCGGAUAGUCCACGGCCUUCAUUGUUGGCCCCCGAAUCCCGGACGACCGGAGGUCUACCUUCAGGUACUGCCUCUUUCAUCCCCCGCACCGCUUGUUGAUCAAGAAAAAUCCUCCGAGAUGACACUUCGGAGUUGUCCGCCUUAGUGGGCGAGGAGGUCGGGGGAGGCGUCUCGCUUUCCAUCAUCUCCGGGAGGAGAUCCCCCAAAGAAGAGGAUUGCCCAGGAAAACUCUGUGGCGAACUGUAAAAACACACACGCACAUUACAUGUCUCUUCGAUAACAGGAAAGGAACGGGAUGCGAUCAAAGCACCCCAGAUUCACUUACGAUUUGGUCAAAGGCUUGUCCUCACCAUGGAGCAGUUCAACGGCGUCGCCUUCCAAUCCCGAGCCGCUCGACGGUGGCAUCUUGCCCCUCUUGGGAGGCCGCCCCUCCCAACCUUCGGAGGUGGCCCUUUUCUUCCUGAAUGGGGAAGGGGUACUUGCUUCCCCUUCGCCUUUGUCUUCGGGCGAAGAAAUGUCGAUUUCUCCGGACGCGGUAUCUAAUUUACCUUCGGAAUGAAGGUCAUCUUGGGUCUUCCCACUUUCCACCUUACCCUCCUCUACCGGCGCCUGGUACGGUGCCGGUACCAGCAUCCUUGUUAACACAGGGUCCGCUGAGUCUUCGGGAAGAGGGGCCAGACACCUAAUCCGUUUCACUUUCUUUAUCCAGCCCUGGAAAAAGAUGGUUUGCUUAUUGUCUUACCACAGGAUACCUGAUUAGGAGGUGUUCAGCGGACGGAUACUUACCGUGGUGUUCGGAUGGUUACAGUCAAGGCCGAUGUCUUCGGUAGCAUCCAACCACUGUUUUCGUUUCCCGAAGAAUAAUUUCCACAUUCCUUCGUGCGUACCCGUGGCCCUUCUGGGUUGAACUCCCACAUGCGGAGGGGCCGUCGCUGACACGGCAUGGUCCGACGGACUAGCAUUACCUGAAUAACAUGGCCAAGAUCGAUAUCCUUCUCAAUGAGGCUUCGGAUGCGGCUCUGCAGAAUACGCACUUCGUCAACUGGUCCCCAGUCCAACCCCUUCACUACAAAAAAAUGACACAUCCGUGACAUUUUGGGCCGAACGAAAUUUUUUUCUGUCAUACAUAUGACACUUCUAUGACGAUAAUUGUGACAAAACCCGGUAUCAUCAUAGAUGUGGUGGGCUCCUACUUCUACUAGUAGACCGCCCGUGUGUUGCUACGGGCUACAAUACAAUGCAUAUAAAUGAAUUAAACAAAUGACUAAAGUUGUCUUCAAGGUCGAAGCUCAUUUCUUCCUUGUAUAUUUGGGCAUGUUUGGACAUCAAACGGACAGCCGGUAGACUCUCCAAAUUCAGCUGUGUGGACAAUCGCUGCAACAUAGCUAACACUUUAUUUGCAAUCAACCACUCUCUUCCCAUCACAUCCUUUCUUCCUAUCAUUGUAGCCCAAUUGUUGAGCUCCCUCCGUAGUCACACAUUUCCUCACACCGCCAACCCGUGAACCACGUUGGGGGACACCAGAAGACAACCGUCCUUAUCGUCGCCCUCUCGCUAGGACGGACAAAGAGCGAGGCAUAAACAUACACAUACAUAAAUUAAUUCAUUAUUUCAUUAACUGAUUACUUAAUAUGAUGUCUUGUAUCCUCUACAUGGACAAAAAAUACAAAAAAAAUAUUAUCUUCAUUCUACAGAAUGAAAUUGAAAACUUGUGAACAAAAUCACAAAUAAGUGUUGAAAAGUAAGAAAACAUGAGGAUCCUUAAAUUGGUGCUCCUUCCCAUAUACAUAGGUCCCCUAUCAAAAUACUGACAAAAAAGAGAAGUGAUUAAUGCCCGUCUCAUGGGCCUCGCAUACUUGGACAGACGAUGUAAAUGAAAUCCAUAUAUUAGCUAAUUAUAAGGUGCUUCCAAUCAAAAGAAACCAUUUAUAAGGGAAGGGGCUACUACAACUUGUACAGUCCUGAGCCACCACGCUACUAACACACUCAUUGUCCAGUGUAUGCAAGUCAUCUCUUCCUCUCCCCAUCACAAGUGACAUGUUCAAACUGCAAAGUCGAUGGAUUGGAUCCUUCAAUGCGAAGACACCAAAUUUUGAACUCCAAGGUGCAACCUUGCAGCCUUCACAUGAUGCAGUAUAUUGGCCAAGGUAGCAUACUAUCAAAUUUAGAUCCGAUUAUAUUUUUAUACCUCUCAUAACAUAGAGAUUGACAAGAUAUGAUGAUUAUCACUUGAGAAUAUAUACCAGCAACAAAAACAUCCACAAAAUAUAAACACAUAUCACUUUUAAAAAGGUAAAACUUUGAGACACAGCAAAACACUAUAUGCCUAGAUGUAAAAAAUGACAAAAGGAGAAUAGGAAUAAAUAUGAAGACGUGUAGUAAUUGAACAGGAGCUCACAUGCUCCUUGAUGAACUAUAAAAUCCGAAAACACAGUAAAAAUAUAUAAAAAAAAUCUGAUUUUUUUAUAAAAAAUUAUGAAAGUUUUAACUUCUUGCAAAUGCUUUUGAUGAAAUGACAUUCGUGUAGGUCUGGGCAAAAAAAAUCGACGAUCCAAAAGAUUUGCUCUCGGAAGCAUUUUGGAGCAUCGAUUUUUUUUCUUUUUGUCAAGACAUCCACCAAUGUUAUUUCAUCACCAAAAUUUGCAGGAAGUUCAAACUUUCAUUGAUGUUUAAAUCCAGAAUUUUUUUGAAUUCUUUAACUAAUUUUUUGGAUUUUACUGUUCAUCAAGGAGAUUGUGAACUCGGGAUCAAAAGAGCACUUUCGUAAAUAUGAGUGGAAUUAAAUAGAGCUAAGAGCUAAUAGCUUAUGUACAUCUGGAGAAGCCAAUAUUGUAAGUUUAGUGCAAGGAAGUUUCUGCGGAAAAUGAAGUUAUUUAGUAAAAAUGAUAUCUUUUUACGCUGUGCCAUCCAAUCCCCUAACACUCAUUAUCAUGGCUCAUCCAUAUCUUUCGGUUUCAACAGAAUAAAGUGACCGCUAAUUAGAAGCUCACCAUCUUCCCUGAACAUUGCAUUGUAAUUUCUAGAUUGAAAUACCUAUGAGUUUGCCAUUUCUUAUGAUAAAUGUAAAUUCUUAGUACUAAAUGAUAAUUUUGUUCAUAAUUCUGCAUUAAGUUUCUAAACCAGAAUUUUGCAUACAUACACAAAAUAGUUAUGUAAAUUUUGUUAAGUGACAAAACAUGGUAAAUAUGGAAGAUGGUAGAACCUGAAGUACAUGAUUGGAGAUAAUUCAAGUGUUUGUAGCCAACAAUUCUGAACAUGUACACACACUGCUGAAUUGAUAGGAAGCAAAACUCACCGGUGGUCUAAGACUUCUCAUCACCAGGCACAUCUCCUCCUCGCGUGAACGGCCUCCAGCGUCGCCAAAGCAAUAACCUCCAGCUCAUUCUUGGCCAUAACCUUCCCACGGUGUGGUACGAGUAUGAACCAGUGGCGGAGCCAGAAAAUAUCUAUAAGGGAGGCCAAGUGCUACUAAAACUGGUUGGGGAGGACCAAAGUGUUGAAAAUAGAUUUUUAGCAGCAAAUUAGUACUAAUUUUGCCACUGUUCAUAGCAAAUUACAUGCAAAAUCAUGGUGUUAGGGGGGCCAGGGCCCCUGCUGGUCCCCCCUGUCUCCGCCACUGGGUACGACCUAGUGAGACCAGCUUAGGACUUUGUACAACUAAAAUCAUUAAGUGGACAGUUGAUCAAGCACAAACAUAGACAUGGAGAGAGAAGAAUAAAAAUUCUAAUAUAUUCACCUCAUUGUACCAAUCAUCGUCUUCGUAUUGUCCGCAAUGAACAUUUGUUUCACCGGGAAGUGGACCCCCAAAUCUAUUGGCUUGUCUGUCAUGAACCCUCGCCACAGAUGGAUUGCAAGCUAUAAAUUUAAGUUUUCAAAAAGGAAAUGUCAUGAGACCAUUGCCCAUCAGAUCUUCAUUGCACCACAGUGAACACAUGAGAAGCAUCAAACUCACAAUGGACUUGCGUGGUUGGUCCAUGCAUCCGUGGUGGGUUGCUUCUUGGGUCCUCUGAUGAUAACAUUCCCAAACAACAACUCUGCGUCCUCCGGCAUGGUUGGCCACAUGCCCCUUUCGAGGUCCAGUAUUAAGGUUGGCCUUCGGGCUGUGGGUACAAAAAUCUAUAUGAAUUGUUAAAAAUGCAAAGAAAUCAUAAAUAUGAUUCAUGCAUAGACACCUUGCUGGAGAGGACAAUCUGACAGAGAUGGAAAAGAGGUGUGAAGGAGGGAUUCUCCUGGCUGUCAUUUUCAUCGCCAAGGGUGCUAGUAUAGGGAGGAUAUGGAGGAGGUACUCGUGCUCACCGCAGGUGACCAUCCCCGACUGGCCAUGAAUCAUCUCCUCGCAGUGUGAUGGAACUGACCAUCCCCAACCGGCCAUGAAUCGUCCUCGCAGGUGAUCAUCCGCGACCAGCCAUGGAUCAUCCUCGUAGUGCGAUGGAACUAACCAUAUACAAAUGAAUUGAAAUAGCUAGAAAAUAAAACUAAAGAUAUUUUUAAAAUAAAUAAUAAUCAGUAAGAAGAAUGGUGUCAAGGGAGGGAGGCUGGAUCUAACAUGCAGCGGAGGACUGAUCAUUAUGUAUAUACUUUGGUUGUGUUAAACAGUAGAAAUGUUUAAACAUUUGACCAAUUUUUGCCCUGUUAAACAGUACAUAAAUAUAACGUAUGAGCAUGUGCGGCGGAAUGCUCACUAUGUAUAUAUUUUGGCUGUUCAGCAUUGAGAAGAUGACACUGAUCCAAAAUGAUUAUAUCAAUUUAGCAUCAUUUGUUCAGAUGAUGCGGAAAUAUUGUGAGUAUAGAAAUAAGACAAAUAUGACAUAUAGUACACUAAAUGAUGCCUUGAAUUUCAUAAAAGUCUGUUGGCCAACUAAUCAACAACGAAAUUCUAAAAUCAACCAAGAAUUCUACUCUGCACUCAAAUCUUCAGUUGACCAAAUGAUAUAUAUCAAGAUAAGAAUAAUGUACCAUGAUGCAAAAAAAAAGAUGGAACCAAUAUGCUACAGGAAGUUACUGAAACAACAAAGCAAACAUGAAUUAUAUCACCUAGAGUGGUCAUCAACAGUGGCAGCAGCUUUUCCUUCAACGCACUUGGUAAUAUAGCAGGCAAUCUAGACACUCCAUGAUUAGUUUCCAAAUCCAUAAUUUUAAUGAGAGAAAACAAGAAUGGAAGCUACAAAAUGUAUCCAUAUCUACCUAUGGGCAGGCUCACGGGUACUGCAGAUUGUGUCAAAAAAUCGUACUCUCUCCCUGUAUUAAUUAGUAUGUUAUUUCUAUAAGCAAAUUAGGCAGCGGCAGUGCCUCAAUAAGAAUAAUUAUGCCAUUCAAAAAUAAUAAGAAGAAUCAUUAUACAGGACACAAUGGCAUACAUGGCAGCAUGAAAAUCACGGCUCACAAGAUUGAGAGAUAUACAUACCAAGAAAAAGACAAAGAAAAGCUGAAGAACCGCACCUGCAUUAGUGCAUGGUCCCGAGCACGACACAGAUAGAGGAACGCCCUUGAGGUCGGGGCAGAGCGAGAAUCCUACCAGGCCAGAGGCAUGCUCCAAAUCAGGGACGCAUGCGUGCAUACUAACUGUACAACCAACAAUUCUGAUCCAUGAGGUGUCGUGCAGCCACUGUGCGAAACCGACAGGCUCAGCCACGGUAUGGAGCACACUUAUCUUCAAAUCCCGACAAUCAACAUUGUCGCCACACUGGAAGAUGCCAAGACAAUUCUGAACCUGACGUCCUGACCCGAUGGCUUAUGAUUUUGCUGUUCUUUAAUCUCUACAUCCCAAAUCAACUCUGGAUCAACCAAAACAAUAAAAAAAUAUUAGUAAAUACUAAAAGGGAAAUUAAUGGCCGAAUUUGGAUAUUUCUAUAUGCAUCAGACAUGCAAAAGUACUGAUUCUAGGCACAUGAAUCGUACAUUUGCAUGCUUGGACGGACUGGUUGCAUCAAAGAUAAUUAAGCUCUCAGUGUUAGCAAGUAUAAUGCUUAAAUACUGGCAGAAUCAUAUGCUAGUUCAACCAAAACAGCCGAGAUGAGACGGCAAGGAAGCGGGUCAGUGUUGUACCUCAAGGAUUUUCCUUCUGAACAAAUUCAGCAAAAUAGAUUACCUGGCAUAUAAUCACCCAGUCGCUCCCAAGGUCCAAAGGCACAGGAGACGGCGACCGGGACCUUCGCAAGAGGCCGGUCGUGGUGGCGGUCAGACGUCGAUCCCGCAGCUCGGCAAAAGGUGGCCAUGGCUCGCGAGGCGCAAGUGCGCAGUGCAGUUAGGGCAUCCCGGAUCGAGGAGGUUGAGGAGGAGGCGCGACGCUCGCGCCACAGACGACUGGUGACGGACCAGAGUUGGCGGAAGGAGAGGGCCAUGAAUCAGGGCGAGCUACGGCCGCGGAUGAACAAGGGUUGGAGAGAGAAGGAGGAGAACGGAGAGGAAACAGGAGGCAGGUAGGUUGCGCGAGAUCUCCGGUGUGGCCCUCAUCGGCGGCGGGGCUCCCGGCCAGAUCUACGUAUGGUGGGGUGGGGGCUCUGGCAGGAGGUAGGGAGACGGAACCGCCCCGCCGCUUCUGUCCCUGGGCGCGGCGCGGCUUCGCCGGCCGGCCCUCCGGCAGUGGCGUUGCGGGGAGCGGUGGGGGCGGAGCGGGCCUUGGGCGGCAGCGCGGAGUGUGGCGGCUGGGCAAACCCUAGCGUUGUUUGAGAUCGAGGGGAGCCUCGUUCCCGUCGGAGCUCGAGGGUUUUUUUCGUUGGUUUUUCUUCGUAGGUUUUUUGUCGUUCAAUUCUCUGGCGUGCGAGGGGCAUCGCUCCUUCUAAGGUGGGUUUUGGUUCUCCGGUUUUGGUUGAGAUUUUUUGUUGAGGUGGGAGGUGGGAGUGAGGACGAAAAAACCCGGACGAAAAUGGUGGGACGAAAAUAAACCCGGAACGGAGACUACCAACUAAGACAUUAGGAGUAGAGAUGACAAAAAAUCAUGACAGAAAAUGGGCUUUUCGUCCUGGGCAGGCCGGAGACGCAGCUGCAUGACAUUCUUUGGGUCGUCCAUGACGGAAAAAACUGUGGUAGAAGCGAGGGCGAGGAAAAUUUCGGGGAGUUCCCGGUUACGGUGGGAGGUCGGGGGCCGAGCGAUGCGCGUUUCUCUCAUACACGUACGCGCGUGUGUGCGAGGCGUUGGCUCUAACUAAACCCGAGCGAGGCGUUGGCUCUAACUGAACCCGAGCGAGGCGUUGGGCUCUAACUGAACCCGAGCGAUUGCACUGCAGGCUACGCGUUACUGAACCCGAGCGAUCGAUCGAUGGCUGUUAACUGAACCUGAUCGAGCGAUUCCUUCGCUACUGCUGCUAACUGAAGCCGAUCGAUGCUGCCUCUGGGAUGAACAGUGAGCGUUGCGGGGGGGUUUGGAUGAACAUUGAGCGGUGGCGUUGCCUCUGGAUGAACAUGACCCCGUGCUGUGGUGGAGGGCUGGAUGAACAGUAGACGAUGGAGGGGUGCCCGUGGAGGGGUGGUUGAACAGGACCCCGUGGUGUGGAGGGCUGGAUGAACAGUAGACGAUGGAGGGGUUCCCGUGGAGGGGUGGUUGAACAGUAGCCGGUGGAGUAGCGCGCGGUGGAGGCUGGAUGAACAGGAGCCCGUGGAGGCUGGAGGAGGUUGACGGUAGCCCGUGGAGGCUGGAGGAGGUCGACGGUGGAGAUGAACAGUAUCCCGUGGAGUCCCGUUUUGCGGUACGCCACACCCCUCCCGAUGAACAGGACCCCCGUUUCGACCGUAGGAGGUCCGUUUCAUCCGUUUUGCGGUACGCCACACCCCUCCCGAUCAAGAGGACCCCCGUUUCGACCGUAGGAGGUCUGUUUCGUCCGUUUUGCGGUACGCCACACCCCUCCCGAUCAACAGGACCCCCGUUUCGACCGUAGGAGGUCCGUUUCCUCCGUUUUGCAGUACGCCAGACCCCUCCCGAUCAACAGGACCCUGUUCCGAACGUAGGAGGUCCGAUUCCUCCGUUGUGCGGUACGCCAGGCCUCGUUUCCAUCACCUGUUCCGUCCAAGCCCUCCCGAUGAACACGACCACGCAUUCUGUUCCGACCCAGCCGGUUGGCUCCCACGCGUUCCGUUGCCUCCCGAUGAACACGACGCAUUCCGUUGCCUCCCCAUGAAUACGACACAUUCUGUUGCCUCCCCAUGAACACGACGACGACGCUGUUUCUUCGUUCCGACCCAGCCAUGUACACGAGCCCUGGCCGUACGUAUGCGCGAGUAGGCGUUCGAGACCCCGCCCGUAUUUACACAUACGUGGCCGUAUUUUCUUUCUUGCACCCUGGCCGCUGUACGUACGUGUACAUGCUACGUCGCGCCUCUACUACGACACGUACGCGCCUCUACUACGACACGUGCGCGCCUCUACAUCCACCAGUAUAUAUGUACGUACAUGUUUGCGACCAGAAUGACAACGCUACGUAUGCUUCGACCAGGUGGGUCCCGACCGUCAGGCACUUCCUAGCCUGCGAAGAUGUAGCUGGUGGGUCCCAGCAGUCAGGGGGGCGAAUCAUUUUUUUGCCCGGACGCACUUCCUUGCGUGCGAAGAUGUAGCUGGUGGGUCCCAGCAGUCAGGGGCAAACGUUUUUUUCGCGAAAUACGGUGGCCCGUCCGGUGGGUCCCUGCUUGUAGAUGGAGGAAUAAUUAUUUUGCACGUAAUAAGGAGGCACUUCCUUGCUGCGGCAGUGGACCCAGCUAUCAGCCUCUCCACGUACAGUCCACGUCCAAUGGAAGCCGUUCCUUGACCACGUUGACCAUGCUGCGCCGAGAGCACCAGGGCGGUGGACGACGGCGAGGCCUAGCAAGGGGACGACGCGGAGCCGGGGAAGAUGCGGCAGUGGAUCCCCACACGUAGAGGAGUACGAGGGUUCACUGGUUCGCUACGGUGUGAGGCUGCCGUCGCCGUAGAAUAACAGGGGGUGUGGGUGAGUAGAGGGAUGGCCUGGCCAGCGGUGGGAGUAGUAGGGGGCGGUGAGGCCUCCGCCGCAUCGCAGCCGGCCACGGGAGGCAGGAGAACGAGGCACGACCGGCGCUGGUUUGGGCGGCUGGAGCAAGAAGACCAGAGGUUGAAGAAGCACUACGGCCGUUGGAUGGACAUCGUACGGUCACCGGAGCUAGAAUCGUGCAUAUUGACUAAGUUGACAAAGCCCUCCGUCUCCGUCAACUUAGUAGGCCCACAAGUCAGCCUGCCACUAUACUGGGUCCCAGCUAACAGUGGGAGUAUUCAUUUUUUAUGCGUAAUAAGGAGGCACUUCCUUGCGUGCGAAGAUAUAGCUGGUGGGUCCAAGCUGUCAGCGGCGGUAACGUUUUUUUCGCGAAAUACAGAGGCCCUUUCGGUGGGUCCCUGAUGUCAGGUGGAGGAAUCAUUAUUUUGCGCGUAAUAAGGAGGCAUUUCCUUGCGUGCGGCCGUGGACCCAGCUCUCGGUCUCUCCACGUACAGUCCACUUCAGAUGCAUGUCGGUCGUUGACCAUGUUGACCAGGCCGCGCCGAGAGCACCAGGGCGGUGGACGACGGCGAGGCCUACGAAGGGAACGACACGGAGGCAGGGAAGACUCGGGAGUUGUUUCCCACGCGGAGGGGAGUACGACUGUACGAGGGUUUACUGGUUCGUCUGCCGUCGCCGGAGAAUAACAGCAGGUGUGGGUGAGUAGAGGGAUGGCUAGGCCAGCGAUGGGAGUACGGUGGGGCGGUGAGGCCUACGCGGCAGCAGAGCCGGCCGCGGGGAGGAGGGAGCAGGCAGUCCCGCCGGCGCUUGUUUGAGCGGCUGGAGCAGGAAGAGCAGAGAUUGAAGAAGCACGGCGGCCGUUGGAUGGCCAUCCAACAGGCACUGCUUGUGCAUCAACCUUUUUUUAGGAAAGCCUCAAAUCUAUGAAAAAGAGCAUACAGCCCAUCUGCCAUUAUUUCUAAUAAUUUAUAGCCCAUUUGCUAAUUAUUAAGGUUUUUUUGGAGCCCAUAUUCUUUUUGUUAGCAUUACAGCCCAUAUUGUGGCCACGGUUAAAAAAUUAUACGAAAUUUUGCAUAUUUCGGUGCGAUCCGAACUGUUUUUAAUCCCGAAAUUUCGACUCACAUUCAAACUGAUUUUAAAAAUAAAUGUAUAUCGAUAUAAAAUCCAACAAAUUCUCCACGCAUAAAAAUUAAUGUAAUUUAAAAUCUCAAAAUGAACAAAAAAGAUAUUUGAAACUAAUUGCCGGUUUGAUGUGUUUUAAAAAUGUACAGCCCAUUUCUCAUUACUGAUGGGCCAUUUUCUCGGCCAGCCAAAUGAAAGCUCUCCUCGUCUUGAAGAUUUGCUGCCCAACAGGCCUGACAAAGCGACUUACUUGGCAAAUCACAAAAAAACUGGGUUGUGGCCAUGGACCCAGCUGUCAGCCUCUCCACGUACAGUACUCUUCCGAUGGAAGUCGUUCCUUGACCACGUUGACCACGCCGCGCGGAGAGCACCACGGCGGUGGACGACAGCGAGGCCUAGGAAGGGGACGACGCGGAGCCGGGGAAGACGCGGCAGUGGAAGCCCGCGCGGAGAGGAGUACGAGGGUUCACUGGUUCGGCUGUGGUGUGAGGCUGCCGUUGCCGCAGGGCCUGGCCAGCGGUGGGAAUAGUAGGGGGCGGUGAGGCCUCCGCGGCAGCACAGCCGGCCACGGGAGGCAGGAGCACGCGGCACGACCAGCGCUGCUUUGGGCGGCUGGAGCAAGAAGACCAGAGGUUGAAGAAGCACUACAGCCGUUGGAUGGACAUCGUACGGUCACUGGAGCUAGAAUCGUUCAUAUUGACUAAGUUGACAAAGCCUUUCGUCCCCGUCAACUUAGUAGGCCCACAAGUCAGCCUACCACCAAGGUGGGUCCCAGCUAGCCGGGGGAGUAUUCAUUUUUUUGUGCGUAAUAAGGAGGCACUUUCGAUGGGUCCGAGCUGACAGCGGGGGGAACGUUUUUUCGCGAAAUACGGUGGCCCGUCAGGUGGGUCCCAGCAGUCAGGGGGCAAAUGUUUUUUUCGCAAAAUACGGUGGCCCGUCCAGUGGGUCCCUGCUGUCAGUUGGAGGAAUCAUUAUUUUCCGCGUAAUAAGGAGGCACUUACUUGCUGCGGCCGUGGACCUAGCUGAGACUCUCCACGUACAGUAUACUUCCGAUGGAAGUCGUUCCUUGACCACGUUGACCUUGCCGCAUUCCGUUGCAUGCAUGCGUCCAUGGGCGUGGUGCGUCCCCACUGUCAGCCUCUCACGUACAGUCAUCUUCCGAUGACUCUCGGUUGUUGACCACGUUGACCACACCGUGCCGAGCGCACCCAGACUGGAACGACCCGGAGACGGGGAAGACGGGGCAGUGGAGUCGCAUAUGGAGAGGAGUGGGAAACUUCACUGGUUCGGGUGCACGGCAGCACAGCGGCGGUGCCGCCCACGGGAGACAGGAGCAAGAAGAGAGGUUGAAGAAGGAGCACGGCUGUUGGAUUAACAUCCAACGGUCCAGCUGCUAGAGCCAUUUGUUGAUUAAGUUGACAAAGCCGUGCGUACACGUCUGCUUAGUAGGCCCACAAGUCAGUCACCAAAUCUGACGGGUCCCAGCUGUCAACGGGAUGAAUAAUUCUUUUCGCAAAACAAGGAGGCCUUCCUUCCAUGCGAAGAUACAGCCGGUGGGUCCCAGCUGUCAGGUGGAGGAAACAUUUUUUCAGCUUAAUAAGGAGGAACUUUCCUUGCAUGCGACCAUGGACCUCGUGGGUCCCAGCCAUCAGGCUCUCCACAUACAGUCCUCUUUCGAUGACUCUCGUUUGUUGACCACGCCGCACUGAACGCAGCGAGGCGGUGGACGACGGCGAGGCCCCGGACGGGAACGACUCGGAGAUGGAAAAACGCGGCAGUGGAGUCGCAGAUUGAGAGGAGGAGAAGGGUUAUAACUGGUUCUGUUGCGGCGUGGGGCUGUAGUCUGUGGAGAAUAACAGGAGGUGUCGAGGGGUGGAGGGAUAGCCUGGCCGGCGGUGGCGUAGCGCUUCGCAGCGAUGCAUGCUAAGCAGAGCCGCUAGCCGCCGGAGGCCGGACCAGGCGGUCCCGGCGACGCUGGAGGAAGAAGACGAGAGAUUGAAGGUGCAUGCCGGCCGUUGGAUAUAAAUCCAAUGGCUGUGGAUGACACAAUCAUUUGUUGACCAAGUUGACAACACCCUGCGUAGGCUUCGACCUAUUGGCCCACAUGUCAGCCUGCAAAAAUGUGGCAUAUAUUUAACCCAUGUUUUCUAGAAUAUACAGUCCAUUUGCUGGGCUAGGUGAACAAAUAAUUCUGCGUCAAUCAGGCCCAUUUAUAUUUUCUAAGAAAUCCCAACCCAUUUGCACUUCCUUGAAAUACACGUAUUAGGUGGGCUCGUUAUAUAUAUAAUGUUAUGUUAGAAGGAGCAAUUAAUAUCAAAGAAUAAACUGGAGAGCCACAUUUUUUAUAUAUAUGUAAUUAAGAAAUUAGCGAGUUAUUGCUCAAAAUAAAAAUGAGUGCGUUAUUAUUAAAUUGGUCCUUAAAAUCUUCGCAAGCUUUUGUACGCAAUCACCAGGAUUUUCCUUGCCUGUGAGUCAAAAACAACCAGGAUUUUCCUUGCCAACUUCCGUUAAACAUUUACUUUUAUAAGUUAAUAACACGUGGGAUGUUUUUAUAAUGUAUAUAUAUAUAUGUCUCUAUAAAAUAUACGAUAAUAGUAAUAAUAUAAAUAUAUGUAAUGUGGUUAGAAGGGAAAACAUAAAUUGGACACAACAUUACUUUUAUAAGAGGCCUGCGUUUUAUACCCCACAGUAGGCAUACUAACAAGUUCACACACAAAUACAACAGAAAAGGUAAACAUUCAUAUCAAACUCAGGUUCACAGGACACGUUCAUAUUCAUAGCCAACAUUCACUAUCAACAACUGAAAAGAUUCAUAUAUACACAAGCUCAGCAUAUCUAUGCAUCCAAAUGAUUGAUAGAUCACACGACAAUAUUCAUACAUAAUUCACAAAAAGAUUCAGAUAUACACAUGUUCAGUAUGUUUAUGCAUCCAAAUGAUUGAGAUCACAGCCAAUAUGAUCCAUGGACGAACUUUAAUUACCUAGGGUACAGACUAGUAAAUGGUGUUCAAUCGGAGGUACUUCUUGCUAAAAUUAGUUCUCGUACGAGUAAACUUUCGAGUACAUAAGAGGCAGCACAGACAAUCUGAACUUUGCUUGUAGGUUUAUCCUCAAAUAGUGGCCUCGUGCCAAGGGAGGUUUGAGCAACUUGGCCACUACUUUCAUCCAACUAGUUUACUGGCUCAUCUUGGUCCUGUAUCUCGCCAAAAUUCUACAUUGCAGACGAGAAACGAGGCGGUUGAGAAAAUGAACCACCCACUUUUUUUGUGCAGUUCAACUGAAAUGGAGCAUCCUUGGUGUGCAGACUAAUUAAGUGCCAGAUGAAUAUACGCGUCAACCAACUUGUAUGGAAUCUUUAGACUCCAUGCCAUAUAGUUCGCUACCAUACGUGCCGAUAACCAACAGGCACAAGUUGGGACCAAAGACUGGACUGCGUUUUUCUGGGCUAUGCACCAAGCAAUAUUUUUGGCGUUCACUCUCCUAAUACUUGGAGUUUGACAAUUGGUUGACGCCGGUUGAUACUCGAAUGAAUAUAGGUACUUCUUGUCAACAUCGAUGCUUGUCUGAGUGAACUUUGGAGUACAUAGCAGCAGCAUAAGUACCUGUCCAUCUGAUCAUUUUGUGCAGUUCUACUGAAAUCACCCGAUGUAAUGAUUUGCCUGCGAGUUCAGGCUCCAAAUUACUCCUUUAUGAAAUCGGCAAACAGUAGCACAAUACCAAAUUACCAAUACAUAUGACAGGCACAAUAAUCAGGAUAAAGACCAGUACCAACCUGUGUGAGGUAGCAUAUCAAUUACUAUUUCCUUUGACUGGAAGCCGAGAUAAGCCAAGCGACUGACAGCAAAGGAAGAAAGCAAGCGGAGAUUAGCGACUGACAGGAAAGGACGGAAGCUAUCGAGGCAAUGAAGCACCCAAAGUUUUUGUGCAGUUCCACCAAAAUUGAGCAUCCCCAUUGGCACAUAUAUUGAGAGAGUGAGAUUACUGUAAUAGUGGGACUAGUUGAUGAAACAUACACUAACAAAUAGAAGCACCCUCAUUAUCUUAAUGGGUAAAGUUAGCAACAUAGUAGUCUUGCUUAAAGAGAGGUAUUAGUUUAUUUAAUCAGUGCCAAUUAGCUCAACUCAACACUCAAAGCAUUGCCAUUUAUCAUAGGUUGCAAAACUUUAACGUGCAAAGAUAAAGGAGUUUCUCAUGACAGUAGCAUGAUACAAAUAGAGAUGACAGCAAACUAAUAUGGAUGAAGGCCUUAGGCCCGUACCAACCUGAGAAAAAAAGCUUAUUCAUGUAGUCUCAUAAGAGAUGAUAAAGCACUCACUGGAAUCACACAAUAGUAUAUAUUUUUGUGCACUUCAAAUGUAUGGUUGAAAUCACUCUUGUUUACCAGUGCUGAGAUUAUAUCGAAAGAUUAUCAAGAACUUCCAGCAGAGUAAAAGCACUGGCUGGGAUACAGUUCAUUGUAUUGUCUUGUGUAGUUCCACUAAAAUGUAUGAUUGGCACAACAUGAUCCCUGUUUGCUCAAGUAGGAACAAGGUGAAACCUUCAUUAGCUUAGUGAGAAAGGAUAGGAAGACAUUAGCAUAUUACUCAAACAGUAGCAUCAAAUUCAUGAUGGACAAUACGCAAAACAUUGCCUCAUUGAACCAAUGGAAAUAAAUUGACAUGCAAAACAAUAGCACUAUUAUGUCAUGACACUAAUAAUAUUCCCUCCCUGCUCCACCACAUGAUUCACCUCCAUAGACAAACAUACACACGUACAUGAUUCAGCAUAGGGUCCUACUAAAGAUUUGUUUAACUCCAACAGGAAAAUUAGGCAGCAAUAAAUUAGUGGUACUUAAGUACUCCUAAUUAAUUAAGUGAGACAGCAGAAGUGGAAGGGCUCCCUGGAGGAUCGUCUCACAUGUAAGGUAGUCGUUGCCGGAGCCCUUGAAUGGCCUCGACUGAGGCCUCUGGCUUCAGCAAGAUCGCCUUGGCACUGUUUAUUCUUCUUCUUCCUCUUCAUGCUCUGUUUCUCUUUCUCCUCGCCAGUUGGUGAAACCAAGUACAUGAUUGGCCUUCUAGUUCAGAAUUGGUUUUGUCAGUGAGGGAGUACAAGUGUACUAGUAAAAAACAGCAUUAUUUUCUCAUGGCAGUCGGAAAAUAGAGAUGAACACAUGCAUUAAAUAUCAUUCUUACCUAAAGGAAGGUUAUGGCGGCAAUAUGGAUGAUGAAGAUUGGAACACAGAUCUCCCUUUGUGCAGUUCCACCAAAAUGAACCAAUUGUUCCAUUCUAACAUUCCAGUUAAACAUCACAAAAGUCACUUCUUUUAAGAAGAGUUUUGUGCAGUGCACCAAAAGGUCACAACAGCAACCAUGUGAAUUGGAUAUCCCUGUUUGCACAAAAAGGCACAGAGGAAAUAGUCAGAGUCUCAAACAAUUACAGGCAAAAACAUUUGGCUAAACUUGUCAUGGCUUAUAACAGUGGCAUGGCUUAAUUUUUACCAGGAACAUUAGAUUAAGAACAGCUAAGGCUACGUUCGGUUCACAGGUUUGGUGCAGGAUUUUCGUAGGAACACAAUUCCUACGGUAUUCUUUCCCUUCCAACCGUUCGGAACACGGGAAAGGUGAAUAGUGUUUCAUAUGAAAGCUGGUCUGGUAGUACUGAUUCCAUGGAUUAGAAACAUCCACACACUGCUCAUUUUUUGGGCGGAAGCCCGAGGCAGGUGCUCGCUGCCAUGCGUUAGACAGGUUGCUGUGCUGUGUUUCCGGAAUAAAAAAAUCAACCUAUGUGUGGUACGUGAGGUCAGGACAAGAGUAGUCACUGUGCAGCUGAAUAAACAAAUAGCAUCUCAUACUGCCAAGCAUGCUACUCUAAAAAAACAAAUCUGUACAUUUCGUAGUCCAUCUGAACACAUUCUCUUGAGAGUUUCCUCCGGUUCGCUGUUCCAUAGUUUUAUACCUACAUUCCUUUCCUAUUUCUCUAUUUUCAUCAAGGCCUAUGUUUUCUGCCCCUUUAUUCCGAAUGGAGCCUAAAUAUUUGGUAUAAGGGCAUGGGACAGUGGAUGCACCAGCAGUCCAGCACCAUAUACGUAAACAGGGGCAUAAAGUGGUGAUUCAUAGUUUGUUGCCCCGAGAAACAAACAUCCAAGAAACAUAUCUAGGUUGGUCUCAUUUUUGUUCACUCUAGCCACCUACUCCUAUGUGUGGAUAGCAAAUCUAGUCCUGGUCAUACCACUGUGUACAGCGUUACCCCUAUAUUUCCCUUUUCGACCAAGAGACCGGUUGGAUGACCAGUCUGUACUACUUUCACCCCCUUUCCUUCCUGUUUGUACCAAGUCCGAUGUACAUUCUAAAUUCCCCCACCCCCACUUUAUUUCUUGUUUGAACCAAGUACUCCCUCUGUCCAGAAUUACUUGUCAUCAAAAUGGAUGUGUCUAGAACUAAAAUACAUCUAGAUACAUCCAUUUCAAUGACAAGUAUUUUCGGACGGAGGGAGUACAAGAUUCGACUCCAUGAAGUAGCUUUAACUCUAAAAAUAGAAGAAGAAAAAUAUGUGACAUUGGACCAUCCGAUCGAGAGGGGCUGAGAGGUAGAAAAUGAUGCACAUGCAGCGACGUAGCGAGCUGGGGAAGUAGAGCUAAGGCGGUUUCGAACGAAGAUAUACCUGAAGGUCGUCGGGAUGUGGAUAGGUGGGCGGCGGGAGGCCGGAUCCGCCCACAGGCAACGACGAAGGGAUCGGAGGACCUCCCGCGCCGGUGCUCGGCCAGAGAUAACGGUGCGGCCGACAGUGGGUCUCCUCCCUCGCUGUCCACGACGGCCUAAACGCUGCCCCUCCUCCCCUUCGCCGGCGGAGGGGGAUACGUCCGGAUAUGUAACCAGCGCUGAGGAUAGAAAGCCAGUGUUUUUUGAAGGGAGAAAGACAGUGUUACUACCCCUAUCUUGUUUAGAUCUGGAGAGGAUGAGAGUGUGUGAAUAGAGCAACCCUAGCAAGCAAGCGCGGAGGCUCCGGCCUAUAUAUACGUAGUGGGGUAGUUUUCCUUUUUCACUCCAUCAAAACAAUCAUUUAAAAUUGUGUACUACUACAUGCCAGGUCGCGGUUUUUUUAGUUGUUGUUUGUUAUUUGAGAUAGCUACCCGCUUGUUCCAAGUGGUGUUACGGUGUGCCAGGUCACACUUUGUAUCGUUCAAGUCUGGUACUACAAGUCCCUCCAUUAAAUGAACAACCACCCCCUCGUAAAAAUUGUGAAUAAGCCCACGACUAAAAUUAGCAGAAACGUGGGUUGCCCCAACAUGCAUUAUUAUUUAUAUUUUCUACUCCCUCCGUUCCUAAAUAUAAGUCUUUUUUAUAAGCCACACCUAAGACAAGAAUUUUUUUAUUAGCAGUAAACCCCACAUGUCAUAGACACAAAAAUUGUGGCAAGAUUCCCUUAGGCAAGCCAAAGUGUGUCUAACAAUUUGAGCAACUCAGGUUAGGCAAGUGUGGGAAAAAUAAUGUGGCAACAUAAGACAAACAUAGUCACAAUCCAAACAGCCCCGUAAUUUUUUGUGACAUGCAUGAAAAUUUGGUUAGUUAAAUUUAUAGUCAAAAAUUGGCAACGUGCAUCAAAUCAACACAUGCAAGUAUCAAAAGGAAAGUCACGGCAUGCAUGCAUGCGUUGUACUCCCUCCGUUUCCAAAUAUAAGUCUUUUUAGAGAUUGCAACAAGUGACUACAUACGAAGCAGAAUAUGUCUACUCCUACAUAUGAAGUAGCCCAUUUGAAAUGUGUAAAAAGACUUAUAUCGAGUGCAGUGCUUUGAUAUGUCGCGUCAACUCGUACAAGACCGAGAAAUUUGAUUACUACAACGCCCUCCCCCUCGCGGACCGAGCUCCGGUGCCUUAACUGCACCUGCCUUUGGCUGCAUGACAGGAGGGCCAACCACCUGUUGGGCCCACCUGUCAUAGACGCAAAGGCAGGAGCAGUAAGUAGAAGCUUUCACUACACGCUAUCCCUCCCGCACGAGGUGGACGGACAUGCAGCAGUGGAUUCAAUACUGUAGAAGUAGGAGUAACAUCAUUGUUUGUCUUCUCGAAGAGGCGAAGAGCCAAGCGCAACCCGAACGUGGCAGUUGCGAACGCUCGCGUGGUGCGGUUCCUUGGAGUACUAGCCAGGCUCUUGCAUGAGACAAAAUUGCUAUUGUUUAACAAUUAAACUCCAUUAUCCAUUGGUUGAUACUCAUUCUGCAUAGGUCCACACGCUUAGCACCGUUUCCUCCUGGGGUCACCAAUGUUUAUUUGCUAAUUAAUAGCAUUGCAUGCAAUGAACUAGCCAUUGCAAGUCGUUAAAACCAUGCACACCUCUCAUCUCUUAGUGGUUGAUAUGUCAAGAAACAAGAAACAAGGUAGAAGUUAAUGCACCGCGCCUAAGUGUUUUGGGACUAUUUGGUUUUCGUAAGAUGACUUACACACCUAGACGGAGGGAGUAGUAUAGCCCUGUAAACCGGAAAGGAGUAUUUGCCUUUCUAGAGAUUUCAACAAGUGACUGGACUACACCGUGUGCAGUACUCCCUCCCUUCCCGUUUAUAGGGCUCAAAUCUCAAAUCUCAUGAACCAAGGCAUUUUGCGAUUGGAGGAAUGUAUCUCGUACUUUACAAAACUACCCUAAUUAAACUCAUGCAUUAAUUAUGUAGUUCUCUCGUUUUCCUCUCCGCCUUGGUCACGGUGCACAAUAUUGAGCACUCCUAUAUGACUGGCCGCUCUAUCUACAUGCGGGGCAUUUCAAAGCAUCCGGGCCCGCAUGCCAUCUACCAAAUCACAGCGAGGUGCUAUAGUCGAGACUCACCUGUCACCCCGGUGUGGCCGUCAUGACCCGUCAUAUCACAAAACCCACACCUUUACCAGCAGUGGUAAGGUGGCCUCCUAGUUCGACUGGACGAAGCAACCAUCAUUUCACUGGAACGCUCGUUCAAGCCCUUUCUUCCCUUUCUUGAAGAAAACCUCACUCCAGGCUACUCACUUCUGCCAUUUUUCUUCUGUACCACGAAGGAAAGGUGGGCGAAUCAGUUAUGCUGCUAUAUUUUCAUUCCAAUAAUCUUCUUUUUGCGAAGCACCGACCGAUUCUCACAUCCUAUUCUUUUCCCGUUUUCAUUGCGAUUGUGGUUUCCUUUUGAUUGCUUUUUGUUUGUCAGUUCAUUGAUGGAUCCUGGAGCACGAGGCAAAGAGUUGCCGGCGGACAACCCACUGGAGACAGCGAUCUCCAGGAAGUGAGCACCGACCAACGAGUUGACCAUGUUAGCGGGCCAACCCAUGGAGAUGAAGAACUCCAAGAAACAAGCACUGGCCAAAGAGUUGAGGACGUUGGCGGACGAACUCCUCAAAGAAAGUUGGAAGAAUAGCAAGGGCCCCACCGUGCCUACCCCAGGAACUCUGAUUGCCACCUAUGUGAGGCUCAAGACCGAGUUUGAGGAGAUAGUCGCCGUUGAGAAGCAGUAUUCCCCUGGCAAGGUGAUGGCCCCCAUCGAGCACGAGAAGAUGGCCCCCGGAGGGAUGAGAUCCCCCAGUGAGCUGCACAAGGUAAAAAAUAAUGGCUUAUUACCAUAGUUGUGGUUUUUGAUUAUUUGCAAUGUGCUUGCUAAUAUGUUAGGGUUGUGCAGGUGCCGGUGGACGUCCUUGAUGAUUCAGAUGUCGUGGCCCGUCCUAUUCAUCCACCCCCACCGGGAACUGUUCAUCCAAACCCCCCGAGCAACGCUCACUGUUCAUCCAGAGGCAGCAUCGAUCGUCUUCAGUUAGCAGCAGUAGCGAAGGAAUCACUCCGGUUCAGUAACGUAGCUAGUGCAAUCGCUCGGGUUCAGUUAGAGCCCAACGCCUCGCACACACGCGCGUACGUGUACAAGAGAAACGCGCAUCGCUCGGCCCCCGACCACCCACCGUAACCGGGAAAUCCCCAAAAAAUUCCUCGCCCUCGCUUCUACCAUGGUUUUUUCCGUCAUGGACGGCCCAAAGAAUGUCAUGCAGCUGCGUCUCUUGCCCGCCCAGGACGAAAAGCCCAUUUUCUGUCAUGAUUUUUUGUCAUAGAAGUAGGAGCCCACCACAUCUAUGAUGAUAUCGGGUUUUGUCACAAUUAUCGUCAUAGAAGUGUCAUAAGUAUGACAGGAAAAAAAUUCGUUCGGCCCAAAAUGUCACGGAUGUGUCUUUUUUUUGUAGUGUUAAUAGCCUAUCCCAAGCAUUUUUCAAAGUUUCAUCAAGCAAAUAACGGAAAAUUCCAGGGUCAUCUUCAUCAAAAUUAUUCAAACUCUCAUUGAUAACCCCGGUAGGUCUUUCCAUAGCAUCAUUAUUUAUGGGCUUAGAAAGGACAGAGGAACUAUCCAAAGUAUUAAAACCCGGGAGAAAACCCUUAGCCCCUUUUGGUUCGGCCAUGGUGAUAGAAAGACAAAGGUUUUUUAAGAUCGUUUUAGAAGUGGGGGAGAGGAAAACGAGAGGCGAAUGGCAAAUAAUGUAAUGCGAGGGAGAAGAGUUUAUGAUGGGUACUUGGUAUGUCUUGACUUGACGUAGAUCUCCCCGGAAACGGCGCCAGAAAUCCUUCUUGCUACCUCUUGAGCAUCGUUGGUUUUCCCUUGAAGAGGAAAGGGUGAUGCAGCAAAGUAGCGUACGUAUUUCCCUCAGUCUUUGAGAACCAAGGUAUCAAUCCAGUAGGAGAUUACAUGCAAGUCACCUAGUACCUGCACAAACAAUCAAGAACCUUGCAACCAACGCGAUAAAGGGGUUGUCAAUCCCUUCACGGUCACUCGCAAAAGUGAGAUCUAAUAAAGAUAAUAAGAUAAAUAUUUUUGGUAUUUUUGUUGUAUAGAUUGGAAAGUAAAGAUUGCAAAAUAGUAAAACGAGAAGUGAUGUAAUUAAAAUAGAUGCAAUAUAAUAAGAAAGAUACCCAGGGGCCAUAGGUUUCACUAGUGGCUUCUCUCAAGAUAGCAUAUAUUACGGUGGGUGAACAAAUUACUGCCGAGCAAUUGAUAGAAAAGUGCAUAGUUACGAGAAUAUCUAGGCAAUGAUCAUGAAUAUAGGCAUCACGUCCGUGUCAAGUAGACCGAAACGAUUCUGCAUCUACUACUAUUACUCCACACAUCGACCGCUAUCCAGCAUGCAUCUAGAGUAUUAAGUUCAUAAGAACAGAGUAAUGCAUUAAGCAAGAUGACAUGAUGUAGAGGGAUAAACUCAAGCAAUAUGAUAUAAACCCCAUCUUUUUAUCCUCAAUGGCAACAAUACAAUAUGUGCCUUGCUGCCCCUACUGUCACUGGGAAAGGACACCGCAAGAUUGAACCCAAAGCUAAGCACUUCUCCCAUUGCAAGAAAGAUCAAUCCAGUAGGCCAAAUUAAACCAAUAAUUCAAAGAGACUUGCAAAGAUAUCAAAUCAUGCAAAUAAGAAUUCAGAGAAGAACCAAAUAUUAUUCAUAGAUAAUCUUGAUCAUAAAUCCACAAUUCAUCGGAUCUCAGCAAACACAUGCAAAAAAGUAUUACAUCGAAUAGAUCUCCAAGAGUAUCGAGGAGAACUUUGUAUUGAGAACCAAAGAGAGAGAAGAAGCCAUCUAGCUAAUAACUAUGGACAUGAAGGUCUGUGGUAAACUACUCACGCUUCAUCGAAGAGGCUAUGGUGUUGAUGUAGAAGCCCUCCGUGAUCUAUUCCCCCUCCGGUAGAUCGCCGGAAAUGUCCCCAAGAUGGGAUCUCACGAGUACAGAAGGUUGAGGCAGUGGAAAAGUGGUUUCGUGGCUCCCCCUGAUGUUUUUAGGGUAUAAGAGUAUAUAUAGGCGAAAGAAGUACGUCGGUGGAGCUCGGUGGGGCGCACGAGGGUGGGGGCGCGCCUACCCCCCUAGGCGUGCCCUCCUGCCUCGUGGCCGCCCCGCGGAGUUCCAGACUUCAACUCCAAGUCUUCUGGAUUGCGUUUGUUCCAAGAAAGAUCAUCGCGAAGGUUUCAUUCUGUUUGGAUUCCGUUUGGUAUUCCUUUUCUGCAAAACACUAAAAUAGGCAAAAAACAGAAACUGGCACCGGGCCUUCGGUUAAUAGGUUAGUCCCAAAAAUAAUAUAAAAGAGCAUAUUAAAUCCCAUUAAACAUCCAAAACAGAUAAUAUAAUAGCAUGGAACAAUCAAAAAUUAUAGAUACGUUGGAGACGUAUCAAUGGCGGUCGGCAUCGUCUAGUUAGCUAAGAGUAAGUUAGUACUUGUACACUACUAGAGUAUUACUGGGAGUAGAUAGUUAACUUGGCUAUGAUGGUUGUCAACGUGGAAGUUCGGUACUCUAUAUCUGGAUCAGACCUGUUACUUUGCUCUCAAUGUUGAACUUUCCGUUUGAACGUAUGAAUGGGCUGUUAUUUUUCUAAAUGUGUUGUAUUUGUCCGCCACGGGUUUAGAGGCUGAUUUGUGGGCCUACUAGGUUGACGCGUAAACAAUCAGGAGAUGAUUGUACGUGGAGAUGAUGACAGCUGGGACCCACCAGGGUCAUGGCAGUACGCAAGCAAGUGCCUCCUUAUUUCAAGCCAAAAAAUGGUUCCUCCUAAUGGAUUUCUCGCAUGUGGGUCUCAUGACAUUGUCAACGUAGUCAAUAAACGAGAGAAUUGCACAACGAGCGGCUGACACCAGGGACCCAACAACUCGCCUUUUCUUUUAUGUUUACCACAAGACCAACCCAGUGGUUUUCUUUCUUUCUGAAAAUGGCUAGCCCGGUUUUUUUGUUCUUUUGCAGAAUACCCAACCGAGGCCUACUUACUUUGUCAGCCCUGCUGGGCUGCAAAUCUUUCAAGACAAGGAGAGGUUCAUUCGGCUUGCUCAGAAAAUGGGCUAUUAGUAAUGAGAAAUGGGUUGUACAUUUUUAAAACACAUCAAACAGGCAAUUAGUUUCAAAUUUAUUUUUUUUCAUUUCAAGAUUUUAAAUUCCAUUGAUUUUUAUGCGUGGACAAUUAUUUGGAUUUUAUAUUGAUAUAAAUUUAUUUUUAAAAUUAGUUGGAAUGUGACUCGACAUUUCGAGAUUAAAAACAGUUCGGACCGCACCGAAAUAUGCAAAAUUUCAUAUAAUUUUUUAACCGUGGCCACAAUAUGGGCUGUAAUGCUAACAAAAAGAAUAUGGGCUCCAAAAAACCUUAAGAAUUAGCAAAUGGGCAAUUUAUUAGAAAUAAUGGCAGAUAGGUUGUAUGUUGUUUUCCACAUAUUUGAGGCUGACUUGUGCGCCUACUAUAGGUUGACGCAUACGCUUUCCUAAAAAAAAGGUUGACGCACACGCUACGCCGUGUCAACUUAGUCAACGAACGAGAGCAGUGACUAUUGGAUGUCCAUCCAAUGGCCGUUGUGCUUCUUCAAUCUCUGCUCUUCCUGCUCCAGUCGCUCAAACAAGCGCCGGCGGGACUGCCUGCUCUCUCCUCCCGUGGUCGGCUGUGCUGCCGCGCAGGCCUCAUCGCCCCCACCUACUCCCGCCGCUGGCCUAGCCAUCCCUCUACUCACCCACACCUACUGUUAUUCUCCGGCGACGGCAGGUGAACUAGUCAACCCUCAUACUCCUCUCCGCGUGGGCAUCCAGUGUCGCGUCUUCCCCCGCUCCGCGUCGUCCCCUUUCAGGCCUCGCCGUCGUCCACCGCCCUGGUGCUCUCGAUGCGGCAUGGUCAACGUGGUCAACGAACGACAUUCAUCGGAAGUGGACUGUACAUGGAGAGGUUGACAGCUGGGUCCACAACCACACGCAAGGAAAUGCCUCCUUAUUACACGCAAAAUAAUGAUUCCUCUACCUGACAGCUGGGACCCACCGGAAGGGCCUCUUUAUUUCGUGAAAAAACGUUCCCCCGCUGACAGCUCUCUUCGCACGCGAGGAAGUGUCUCCUUAUUACGCACAAAAAAAUGAAUACUCCCCCUGCUAGUUGUGACCCACCACAGUGGGAGGCUGACUUGUGGGCCUACUAAGUUGACGCAGAUAGAGAGCUUUGUCAACUUAGUCAAUAUGAACGAUUCUAGCUCUAGUGACCGUACGAUGUCCAUCCAACGGCCGUAGUGCUUCUUCAACCUCUGGUCUUCUUGCUCCAGCCGCCCAAACCAGCGCCGGUCAUGCCGCCUGCUCCUGCCUCCCGUGGCCGGCUCUGCUGCGGCGCAAGCCUCACCACCCCACCCUACUCUAACCUCUGUCUAGGCCAUCCCUCCACUCACCCACAACCCCUGUUAUUUUGCGGCGACGGCAGCCUCGCACCGUAGCCGAACCAGUCAACCCUCGUACUCCUCUUCGCGUGGGCAUCCACUGUCGUGUCUUCCCCAGCUCUGCGUCGUCCCCUCCCUAGGCCUCGCUGUCGUCCACUGCUUUGGUGCUCUCGACGCGGCGUGGUCAAUGUGGUCAAGGAACAGACUUCCAUCGGAAGAGUACUAUACGUGGAGAGGCUGACAGCCGGGUCCACGACCGCAGCAAGGUAGUACCUCCUUAUUACGCGCAAAAUAAUGAUUCCUCCACCUGACAGCAGGGAUCCACCGGACGGACCACCGUAUUUCACGAAAAAAAUUCCCCCCUGACUGCUGGGACCCACCAGCUACAUCUUCGCACGCAAGGAAGUGCGUCCAUAUUACGGGCAAAAAAUGAUUCUCCCCCUGACAGCUGGGACCCACCAGCAAUAACUUCGCACACAAGGAAGUGCCUCCUUAUCCUCCCUGAUAGUCAGGACCCACCUGGUCGAAGCGUACCUAGCAUUGUCAUUCUGGUCGCGAACGUGUAUGUACAUACUGGUUGAUCGGUCUGUCUGCUGGCUGCAGCGAUGAACCGUGGCUGAGUAAGGAAGGGCACGUGUCGUAGUAGAGGCACAGACGUAGCAUGUCACGCAGUCCCGUCAAUAUCAUGUACACGUACGUAUAGCCAGGGUGCAAGAAAGUAAAUACAACCAUGUACGUACAUACGGGCGGGGUCUCGAACGCCGACUCGCGCAUACGUACGGCCAGGGCUUGUGUACAUGGAGAGCCAGCGGAGAGCAGCGACGGUGUCCUGUUCAUCGGCAGCCAACCGGCUGGGUCAGAAUGGAGAAACUGCGUCGUCGUGUUCAUCGGGAGGCAACAGAAUGCGUCGUGUUCAUCAGGAGCCAACCGACUUGGACGAAACAGCCGAAACGAGGCCUGGCAUACCGCAGAACGGAGGAAACGGCCUUGUGUUCGACCGCCUAUGGUCAAGAAACGGGAUCCUGUUCACCGGGAGGGGUCUGGCGUAUCGCAAAACGGGGUCCUGCUGAUCGGGAGGGGUGUGGCGUACCACAAAACGGAGGAAACAGACUUGUGUUGGAGCGCCUACGGUCGAAACGAGGGUCAUGUUCAUCGAGAGGGGUGUGGCGUACCGCAAAACGGGACUCCACGGGCUACUGUUCAUCCACCUUCUACUGCCUCGCUCCAGCCUCCACGGGCUAUUGUUCAUCCACCGUCGACUUCCUCCAGCCUCCACGGGCUACUGUUCAUCCACCGUCGACUUCCUCCAGCCUCCACCUACUACUGUGCAUCCACCGUCGACUUCCUCCAGCCUCCACCGGCUACUAUUCACCACGGGGUCCUGUUCAAAUAGCCUCCACCGGCUACUGUUCAACCAGCCCUCUCCAUGGGGUCUUGUUCAACCAACCCUCCACGGGCUACUGUUCAUCCAACCCUCCACCGGCUGCUGUUUAACCAGCCCUCCACCGACUGCUAUUCAUCCAGCCCUCCAUGGGGUCCUGUUCAUCCACCCCAACCGGCUCGAUUGGGGUCCUGUUCAUCCAGCGGCAACGGCCUCUACUACCACAGGGUCUUGUUCAUCCAACCCCCAUCAGGAACUGUUUAUCCAACCCCCCAACGACGCUCACUGUUCCUCAAGAGGCAGCAGGUUUGAUCGGCUUCAGUUAGCAGCAGUAGCAAGGAAUCGCUCGGGUUCAGUUAACAGCCAGAUCGAUCGAUCGCUCGGGUUCAAUAACGUGUAGCCUGCAGUGCAAUCGCUCGGGUUCAGUAGGCGAACGCUUUGCUCGGGUUCAGUUAGAGACCAACGCCUCGCACGCGCGUACGUGUACGAGAGAAACGCGCAAACCUUCGUGCAUCGCUCGGCCCCGACCACCCAUCGUAACCGGGAAUUCCCCGAAAUUUUCCUCGCCCUUGCUUAUGCCACGAUUUUUUCCGUCAUGGACGGCCCAAAGAAUGUCAUGCAGGUGCGUCUCUGCCCGCCUAGGACGAAAAGCCUAUUUUCUGUCAUGAUUUUUUGUCAUAGAAGUAGGGGCCCAUAACAUCUAUGAUGAUACCGGGCUUUGUCACAGUUAUCGUCAUAGAAGUGUCAUAAGCAUGACAGAAAUUUUUUUCGUUCGGCCAAAAUGUCACGGAUGUGUCUUUUUUUAUAGUGUAUCUCUACUAGGAUUCCUUCCUUUUUUGGCUUCCCUAGCCACAUGGGCUUUUGAGGACUUGGUGCGCCUAGCCCAAUAAGGCCAGGGCGCCUCCCCGCAGCCCAUGCUAGCCCUUGAGUCGUGCUGGACCAACUUGUGGACUUCCGGACCCCUCCGGAAUCCUUCGGAACCUUCUGGAAGCUUCCCGGUACAAUACCGAAAAAACUGCAACUUUUUCCGGAACCCAAAAUAUGACUACCUCUCAACCAUUCGGAGAGUCCUUGUGAUGUCCGGGGUGUCAUCCGGGACUCCGAACAACAUUUGGUUACCACUCAUCAAAUAUCCCAAUACUACUCUAGCGUCAAUGAACGUUAAGCGUGCGACCCUGCGGGUCCGGGAAUUAUGUAGUCAUGACCGAGACACCUCUCCGGUAAAUAACAAACAGUGGGACCUGGAUGCCCAUAUUGAUUCCUACAUAUUCCACGAAGAUCUUUUAUCGGUUGAACCUUUAUGACAACAUACGUAAUUCCCUUUGUCUGACGGUAUGUUACUUGUCCGAGAUUCGAUCAUCGGUAUCUCUAUACCUACUUCAAUCUUGUUAUUGACAAGUAUCUUUACUUGUUCCGUAAUACAUCAUCUUGCAACUAACUCCUUAGUCACUUUGCUUGCAAGCUUCUUGUGAUGUGUAUUACCGAGAGGGCCCAAAGAUACCUCUCCGUCGCGGAGUGACAAAUCCCAGUCUCGAUCCAUGCCAACCCAACAGACACCUUCGGAGAUACCUGUAGAGCAUCUUUAUGAUCACCCAUUUACGUUGUGAUGUUUGAUAGCACACAAGGUAUUCCUCUGGUAUCCGUGAGUUGCAUGAUCUCAUGGUCGAAGAAACAUGUAUUUGACAUUAAGAAAGCAGUAGCAAUAAACUGAACGAUCAUAUGCUAUGCUAACGGUUGGGUCUUGUCCAUCACAUUAUUCUCCUAAUGAUGUGAUCCCAUUAUGAAAUGACAACUCAUGUAUAUGGUUAGGAAACAUUAACCAUCUUUGAUCAACGAGCUAGUCUAGUAGAGGCUCACUAGGGACACGGUAUUUAUUUAUGUAUCCACACAUGUAUUUAAGUUUCCGGUCAAUACAAUUCUAGCAUGAAUAAUAAACCUUUAUCAUGAUUAAGGAAAUAUAAUAAUAACCAUUUUAUUAUUGCCCUCUAGGGCAUAUUUCUAUCAUGUCAAUAGGAAGAUGAAGAUGAAGAUGAAUGAACGCAUCAAGAGGAGCGAAGCAUGUCAGUGUUUAGUAUUUCCUUACCUGUUUAGUAAUUCAGUGUCAAUGCCAUGUCAGUGUCAAUGUUAUGUAAGCAUCAGUGUCAGUCAGUUUCAGUAAGAUCAAUGUCAAUGCUAUGUUAGUAUGCAGAACUAUGUACACCAUGUAAUGUGAGUUUCAGUUAUAUGCAGUAACCAGUUACAUUCAGUCCAAAAAUAGAAACAUUCAUGCCACAUUCAGAAGUUGAUAAUUCAGGUACAAUUCAGAGCAUAAGAUCUACUCAUAACUGGCCUCCAAAACUACUCAAAUAGAUGGGCAUUUUUUGCUAUUCAGUGCUUCCUUGUAUGCAACAAGACUGAAUACACAGUGCUUUGGUAGGGCUGGUUAUGAGCUCGACUGUGAGUUAGGUUGAGAGGCAGUUUAAGAGCUCUGCUUGGGCUCAGAUAUCUUGAGGGCUCCAGACUUUCUCCUUAUCUGCAACUUCAUAGGUGUGGAUUGAACAACCACUGCCUUACAUUUCAAGUCAGUAGCAAUUACUUGAGAAGUAGCCUGAAAUAAACAAUUUCAGAUAUAGAAUGUGGCAAACUAAUUCAAACACUACAUUUAAAUUGCGAACAUAUAUUUCAACACCAUAGGUCUGUCUGUUUUCGUAGCCUUUUUAGUUUGAAGAGCUUCAAACACCUCCUUAUCAUGUUUAUUUCUCUUCGUAGAUUCUCUCACCAAGUGUGCAUUGCCAUUAUGCUUUCCUGCUUCAUUGUUUUUGCAAUUGCUUCUAUUGUGGCCAAUCCUUUUGCAAGCACUACAUGUGAUCUGACCACCAACUUUGCUCAUCUUAGUUCCUUUAGUUUUUCCCCCUUUCCUCUCUCCUCCUUUCUGUUUUUUGGCCUUCCUGGCAAACUUAUGUGACCAGGGGGAUGAAGUUUUGGAUUAGGUGAAAUGGUCCAGCUCCCCCUCCCUACAAUGGAUUUAAGCAAUGACCAUAUAUCAUGUUGUACACUUCAGGUUUUCCCCCUUUCUCUGUCCUAAGCAAACUUGCUACAUCUAUGAUUAGAGUAUGUUUCAGCAACUACAACUUGUAGUACCUCAUGUCUUGUAUGUUUCAGCUCCAUUUGUUUCUCCACAAAGAUCUCUGCAUAUUCCCCAUCUGGACCUGCAUGCACCAUCUUCUCAACAGUUGCAUCAUCAUCGAGAAAGAACAAACCAUCCCUCAAUGUUUUUCCUGGAACAAGCCAGUGCAUUUUAUAACUGAAUUUGCCCUUGCAGUGCCCUCUUUCCACCUGGUACAUAUAUUUUGAAUGUAGUAAUAACUCUUGAUAACCCAAUUUGCUUCUGUCCACAAAUAGCCUAGCUAUGAGUCCAUCAUUAUAUACUACAACAAAUACCCCAUACACCAACGCAUAUCUAGCAACGAUCUUAACAUAUGUGUUGUUGGGAUCCACCCCCAUCUCCCCACGAAGGGCUAACCUCCCCGUACCCACCUCACCUUAUCUGCAUCCCCUCCAUCCAAAUCACACAAACGAAAAUCCAUUUUUCCCCACCCGGCCACCUCUCUCCCCCUGAUUCCUCUGUCUCUCUCGCACCACAGCGUUGUCGCCGCCAACUCCGAUCCCAGGAAGCUCCAGCGGACUCCAACCCACUGCUCACGGUUCUGCCCCACUCCAUCUAUGUUCUCCUCUGUUCCUUCGCCUGAGGCCACCGCGCCCCUGCACGCGUGGCACGCAACAACCCUAGCCGCCACGCGUCGCCGGCGUGGCUCCGGCAGCUCCGGUUUAUCGACCCACUACCCCUGCGGCCCUGCCUCACCUCACGCGCGGCAGCACGCUCGAGCUUGACGUUGGUAUUCCGCCUCUUCUACCUCAACUCCGGUGUUGACGUUUCUGGUUCUGGUGUUUACACGCUCGAGCUUGACGUUGGUAUUCCGCCUCUUCUACCUCAACUCCGGUGUUGACGUUUCUGGUUCUGGUGUUUAUUUGAUUAGAUGUGAUUCACCAUGUGUUGAUCUGUACUAAUUCUGGAUGAGUACUCUGUUAUGCGUUAUGGUUAGAGUUUCCUCCUCCUAUUUAGAUGGAUCGAUGGAUAAUUAAGUAUUUUUUCAAGUGAAAUUAAUCAUUACAUACUAGCAUGUAGCAUGACCUGUUCAAAGAUCAGCGCAGUUUUUUCUUAUAAAAAGAGAUCAACUUAGUUCCAAUUGGAGUGAGAUAGUCGAUCAGCGAUAUAUCAUAUGUGACCAUGUAUGUCACUGAAGAACAUUACUACAAAAAUCAACAUGUCAGUGCAAUUAUGGGUCCAUGAUACUGGCAUGAUUAUUUCAAAUGGAGAAUCCCCAUCUCAAUAGGCUGAAUCGUUGUUUACUUGGUGUCACAUGUACAAUAUACUAAAUAAAUAAGUCCCACUCGCAUCGGUCUGUCCAAUUAUUUGUCUUUAUUCUAUAACCCUUUGCUCCAUCUACACUCACAGGUUCUGACAUUGUCUUUUACUAAGUGUGUGCUUCUGCUGUUUCUUAACAGAUCGAUGUACAACACUUAUGCAUUACAAUCAGGAGAAAUCCAUGCAGAAGAAGCCUGAAGAAUUAUUCAAGUUAUUUGUUUAUAGCAUGGUGAGGAUCCUUUCGCUAGUUCAUGUUACAGUAAGGAAAACAUGAAUUUGUAUCUUAUUCUUUUUUUUGGUUGAUGUAAUAUUUGUUUUCCCCUGGCAAAAAGUUAUAUUAGUUUCAGUUUCUUAUUCAGUUAAAAUGUGCACACUACAAUCUCGAAGUUUAUGCAAAAGCUCAGAUGGAAAUCAUUCUUACACUCAUGUUAUCCAAUAUAAAUUGUUAAAUAAUUGAAAAAAUUUGAAGGUGCGAUACAAGAACAUCAUACCUUGGUAUUCUCGUCACAUGUAUAUGACUCAUAUUGUUGAAAUCUCACCUCUAAAUCGAGUUUAGUGCUCUUUUUUGGAAAUAUAGGUACUUCUGAAUUCCUGCAAUCUCUGUACUAAUUUUGUAUUUCGUGGGGAGCCACAGAUAUUUCCAAAUACUAGAAUGAUGCAUGAUUGGUCAGCACACAAACUCUUGGCCAGGUUCCUCUCACAUCUUAUCUUGUUUGUAAUAUAUUCUUCUUAAACUGUUAACACGAUGAGCAUGUACUUGUUUCAUCCAAGAACGUAAACAUGAAAAGUAUUCCUCUUGUGCACUCUCCUUCCCUGACAUACAGGGCACACUACGGUGGUUGGAUGAUACAACCAUAAACAGACAGCUAAGCGAUCAGAUGCGGCGACUGUGCGAGUGUGUCAGGUAUGUCGAAUUCACUGAUCCCAAACUAUUGGAUCUGACUAGGAUCUCCUCUUCUCUGUAAUACUUAGGACCUUCUCCUCUACCUACUCGGGCCAACAGUUUCAGCAUCCAGCAACCAUGGUGACAAAGAUGAACGUACUGGAACUGCUCUAAGUUUCAACAUUCUCGGUAAACAAGUGAACUAAGAAAGCCAAUCCUACUUAGUAAAUGUUGGCAUAUACUAAUACGCUGGCACUACUUAGUUUGCAUGAAUGUUGUGGUCUUCUAAAUUGCUAGAAUAAUUUCAAGUAGUUUAGUAGGAGUCUCUGCUUGUUUAACUAGCCAAGUUUGAGUCUAAUUUGAUUAGGGUGAUUAGUUAGUUUUCCAACAUGUCUGGUUUGCAUGCCAUAAGCAUUUGUCUUCUUGGGUGGGUCGUAGUCCAUAUAUGAUUCAAUGAGUUUGCAUAGCUAGCUGCCUACAUGCUGUACUAUCAUAUCUUGUAGUUAGCAUGCUUUACUAGUCUAGGAAAGGGCGCUGGAGUCUGAGUCGUUUUAGAUGCUAUAAGUACGAGCAGCUUUAGAUUGUUUCGGCCAUGUAGCUGGUCAUAUCGUGUAACCAGGUCGUGCAAGUUUUUUUUCCAUAUUAGAACAAGGUCAUGUAAGAGUUUUGAUAUAAAAGAAGAAAGAGUACGUUAAAGUUUUUCAUGCACAUGUGUACAGCUAUUUUGAUGUUUGAUUCUGUGGGCAAAACCGAACAUAGAUUACUAAUACAUAUGCCAAAUCACCAGGUUACAGAGGCUCGAUUGUUCCAAGUCGAUGUUGUUGGCGCUAAAACAUAAAAGACUACUAGUGCCAAGCUGGAUUUACUAGGAGGUAUUUUCUGAUGGUAGUUCCAUAUUGCGUGAAUGAUUCUUCACCAGUUUGAAUGGAAAUUUUGGAGUAUUAAUAGCAUACUUGACUAUAUUUUAUUAUCUUGCACAUGUUUCUCUCUUUUUUCACAUAAUUUGUACAAGCGAACACUUUUCUUGCAUGUGAAAAUGGUCGUACUGCUUAUGUGAGAUAAGACUCUUUGCGGCUAGAUUAGGUAAAACAAUUCAUCAACUACUGUAUGCCUGCCUUACAAUCCCCAACCCCUAUAAAACACUUUGUUUCUAGUAACAUGGUGAAACUUAAUAAUGAAAUUAGCUGAGUUAGUUUACUGAGCUAAAAUGACUAUUAUUAGCUACAAAUGUGAUACUGGAUAAAUCCGAACAAGAACCCUGCUUUUACUUCAAUCCAAAGGAUCAACCCCGAAUAUAAAGCUAAAGUUGAUGUUGUUAAACUUGGUAAUGAAUUCAUGGUAUUGUGAGCUGAUGCUAUAUUAGCAGAAUCUUAUUAGUCUCUACAACUACAAAAAAGGUCAAAAUUAUUAGUCACGCAGCAAGAUUAAUUAUCACAUUUCUUCAACUUUCUAUGUUGCUCCUCCUUUCAAUUUUUCUGCCCUAUUAACCUAUUUAAUUUCUUUGUUGUAGAUUGCAAUAUUCGAUGACGCAUGGCUCAGAUGUUGGUUGCAAGGUCAAGAAUAGGGGUGCUACUAGAUAGUUUCACAUUAUGCCUUAGAAUGCCAUUUCCAGUGCCAAUGUUUCAAUCAUUAUGUUUCGGAUAUUUUUGGUGUCAAUAUUUCGAUCAUUAUGUUUCAGAAUGGCUGACACGUUGGCUGCAAGGUCAAGAAUGAGAUUACUACUAGUUUCACAUCUUGUAAUUUUUGUAUGGUGUACUUUGUAAUGCAACCAAGUUGAUUUAAUAUAUGAGAAAUUUCCGUUUAUUAUACUGUGUCCCUUGUGUAAUACCGAUAUUGUCUAAUUCUAGACGCUGAUGUAUAAAUAUCAUGUAUUUUUUAUGGAAUGCACUAGUAUUGUAGUACUCAUUUAUAAUCAUGUUCUGUUGGGUAGCCACCAACGCAUGUGAACCGUUGUUGGGCUCUAACUCUAUACGUUGCUAUCUUACAACACUUAUUCAGGCCGUUUACCAACGGAUGCAUAUACGUUGUUGUAGACCCUUGCAACGCCACCAACGACAAUGCAUACAAAUCCAUUGGUGUUGACCUUACCAACGCUUAUAUGGACCUGCCAACGCAAUGAUGCGUUGCCGUAGGGGGUUCUUGUUGUAGCCAUUCACUAUCUCAAACUUGCCAAAAUAGUGCAUUGAAACAAGAAAACUUUCCUCUGGAUCUGAUGCCUCCUCAACACCCAAUGUACAAACAAAAAAAAUCAAUAUUUACAACAGUACACAAAAAUUCAAACUUUAUACAACUACACAAAAAAGUUCAAUCUUUCCUCUCUUCUCAAUAUAGGCAUAUAUAAGGCACUAGAUUUGUGACAGAUAAGGCAAUUUCCCCUGUUUUAUUGUCAAAAGUUCAAGCUUUAUUUCCCAUGUUUCAUCUAAUCAACAACUGCUCGAUUAGAAGGACAGCUGCGGGCAUCGAAAACCAGGACAGUCCAAGCGUCCAAAACCAAAUCUAUUGCCAGGUGUCCUGCUGUUACACAGCUGCGCGAUCAUGGGGGGGGGGGGAGUAAUCAACCGACCAUAUGAAUCACCUAAUGCUAUGACGCUGGAGGGUGGGGACGGUGACGAGACUGUCGAUGGAGCAGUCGAUACUGCCGAGGGCGGGGACGGCGGCAAGACUGCCGUAGGGUGGGGAGGGCGGUGAUGGCAGCCAGUCGAUGGAGCAAAAAGGAAAGGAAAAGAAGAGUGCACAUGAGCUCCUCCUCCCAAGAAAACUACCUGAUAUAUUGUUUGGCACGUCAUCAUGUCCAGUCAGCGAUGCCCGAUAAAAAACCGCCUAAAAUUUUGUCCAAAACUACCUUGGGGUCUAAUUGAUCCGGUUUCAGAAAGUUGAGGGGGUGAUUUAUCUGGUCUUACAAUUGAGAGGGAAAUAGGAAACACUUGAAACCAGUCGACCAGCUGAAACUCCGCCGGUCACGUCCAAGCUGGCAGCAGGCCCACGCACUCAUCGCUUAAAGCCUUUCCUUAUCCUUUCACCUGGAAGCGUCCUUACCCAUUCAUUCAUUCAUUCCACCGCGCUCAUCUUCUUCCCUGUGACCUCCCUCUCGGCAGUGACCGCUGUCGAUUCCGGCCCAAACUGCCCGACAGCCAUCCCGCGUCAACAGCACCCCCCCCCCACCUGAUGGCCAUCACGCGUGGGCGCUAUUUUGGGAGGCACGCGCCACCACGCGAGGCAAGCGGGAGGUCAUGGCUGCGGUGCCGAGAGGUGAGGUGUUGGAGACCGGCCGGGAGAUUUGCUUCAACCGGCGAGGAUGGUGAUGGGAGGCGACGGCGGUGACCGCCAUCAGUUUUUUGCUGCAUCAUUUCUUUUUUGCUGGAACCACUUCUAUUUUUGCUGGAACCUUCUGUCAAUUUUGCUGCAAAUUUAGAGGAUGGUGGUGCCGUAGCUGCCAUGUUCUUUUGUUACAUCAAAUUUGCUGGAAUUAGCAUUCAUUUUUGCUACCACGGUCUUUGAAUUUUGCUGGAACCAGCCACUUUCGUUUGCUACAAACGGAUCUUUUUUUGCUACCAUCAUCUUUGGAUUUUUGCUAGAACAACCCUUUUUUUGCUACAAUCGGCUUUUUGUUCUGCUGGAACUAGCACCUAUUUUUGCUACAACCAUGUGGGGCUUGUACUAGAACCAACGUUUUUUUGCUACCACCAUCGUUUUGUUUUGGAACUGGGCUAAUUUUUUGCUACCACCGGCUUUGGCUGCGAGCGACACCGUGUCACCAUAUUAAUGCUGCAACCGGGCGUCGGCGGCACCGGCGAGGAACGGUUUUGCGGCCAACUCCAUGGUGGGGCUACCAUGGAUGCAGGGACGGGGACGAAAAGCUUCUAGUGUGGCUUUUUUGUGAUUGACGGCGGCGAGCCGCGACGGCGAGCGGCGGCGGCGGCGAGCAUCGACGGCACGACAACCCGAUGAGGGCGGCAGCACGCGAUGCUGGGCGCGGGAGGAGACAGGGGCGCCGCCAUGUUUUCUUAGCGAGGGAUGUGAAGGCUGAAAGAAACGGUGGGCAAAACGAGCAGAUCGAACGGUUUACAUGCGCGGGAUCGAAGGGCUGCGGUGCGACCGGCCCAAAUUUGGGCCGGCGCGCCGGCGCGUAUCAGUGCCCGGGGGAAAUUGAUCCGCAAGGGAGGAUUUGGGCGGGGAGGGGGGCUAUGAGCAUAAUUGGUUUGAUGCCAACAAUUGACAUUGCCAAUAUUUGGCAAGCCAACAUUUGGCAAAAUCAAAAGUUACCAAAUGUUGACAACUUUUUAUGAGGUUGAGAAAAAAAAUUGGUAGCCAACCAAUCACUAGCCAACAUUUGGCAUUUGCCAAAUAUUACCAUGUUAACUUUUGGCAUCGAACCAAUCAUGUUGUAUACUUUUCUCUUUCACUUUCGUAAGGACAGCAGCGUGCGGGCAGAGUCUUCCAUCCCGCGUCUUCGCGGGGCUGGGCCUGGGCCUGGGUCGUGGCAGCCAGACUAUCUACGUUCAUGUUAUUUUCUUCUUGUACUUUUCUUGCGGGGACCACCUUCAACUUCUAGUACCAUGAAAUGAACUACUUCUUUUAGACACGUGAAAUGAAGUAGUACAACGCCUAAAAGCCGGAGCUGGCGCAACCUUUACUAGUGAAGACAGGAGGCGGUUUUGCAAAAAAAAAAGGGCCUCCAUCGAUCUGGCGGAGACGGAGAGGGAAAGUGGGUGAGAUGGUGGCGCUGACACCGGCGGGAGGAGACGCCCGUACGGGGGUGGCCACGCUUAGGGGCCAUCAGUGCCCAGGAGUGAAGCGAAAUCAAGGCCAGGUCAAAAGCAAAUCCUCCGACGAUCCGUGGAUCGAAAAACAUUUCGGGAUGAAAAGGCGCACGGUGGAGCUGAUCAGCGGGAUUUCAGGUGAGAUCAAUUCCGAUCAAAUGGAGGAGGGGUUGCUCCGCAUUGGUUUUGGCAAGAAAUCCACUCUGGUGGCAGAUUCUAGGGAAGUGAAUGGGUAGAAGAUGUUCUCUGUCAAGGGAAGGGAGGCGUUUUUGGGUCUGACUAAUAUCUUAUUCGGUUUUGCUAAAGCACAUCUAGAUGUGCCAUAACAAUUGCACAUCUAAAUCCUAUGUCAUUGACCUUAUGCGCAAAUUCGUAUGGGAAUUUCAUUUUGCUUUUUCUUUUCCUUUUCAUAUUUGAUUGUGUCACUUAGAUCUGCAAUAACUAUGGGACAUCUAGAUGUGCCAUAUACAAACCCUAUCUUAUUUAGAUAUAAGAUAAUACCUCACAUCUAACAUAACAUUAUUUACAUUGUGGUCCUUCCCGUUGACAACUUUGUUCCCUCCAGGCCUGUUAAAUUUUCCCAAACAAUGGCUCCCACACGUUGUGACUCGCACGCGUCAAUAUCGUGACACAAUGAGAACGCUACAGAAAUGCUACAGUAAUACUUUGCAUGCUGGUGUUUCUGUUGCGCUACAUUACAUUUUUCCUUUUGCUACAGUAGCUUUGAAUGCUGGUGCUGCACUGCGCUAUACAUUCUUUAGCAAGGGGCCACAAAACUCCAUGAAACUUAAAAAUGUCACAUAAAACCAUAGCAACAUGUAAAUUUACAAAACUUGAAAAUGGGAACUCCUAUUGAAAACCUGAAUAUAUAUAUAUAUAUAAUUAAUAUAUAUAUAUAUAUAUAUAUGUAUAUAAUAUAUAUCACCUAUUGAAUUGGUGAAUGCAAAUUUUGAAAACGCAAACAUUUUUUAAUAGGCGAACACAAUUUUUCGAAAUGCAAACAUUUUUAAAAAUUCCAAAACAUUUUUUGGAUUGAUGAACAAACUAUUCUUAUAUACAAGAGAAUAUGCCUCAAAAAGGGUGUGUCUCAUUUGUAUACAACUAUGAGAUUUCGAAAGAAGGCGGGGAACUCCGGUUGCGGGAUUGGUAGUGCCUUUCUAUUCACCCCCUCUGGGUUCGACAGUCUACUUAUCGUGAAAGUGCUACAACAUACAUGUGCCCUUACAGGACAUCAAGCAUUAUCUGGCGCCAUUGCCGGGGAGCAUAGCAUUUGAAGUUACCUUCCCACUCGCAUAGAAUUUAUUUUGUUUGUUGUUAUUUAUAUUACCAUUUUUACUAAAAAAAACUCAUCAUGUCUUUUGAGAUAUAGAGACUUGCAAGACUGAAGGCGAUAGAUGAAAUGUUUAAAUCCUUGGGGCCGAGACCCGAGGGGAGUUAUGACACUAAUCCGAUUCUACUCGGUAUGCUGUAGAGUAAGCAAUUCACAUGUGAUGGCACGAAGGAUCCGUAUAAACAUUUGUAUCAGUUUGAAGAUUUAUGCGGGACUUUAAAUUAAAAACAUUUUUUGCGAGAAAACUUUCAAUCUAUUCAUAUUUAAUCAUGGUAGUACAAUGAACAUCAGAAAUAAUAAAAAUUACAUCCAGAUUCAUAGACCACCUAACGGCGACUACAAUGACUGAAGUGAGACUUAAGUUUUUUGUCAUUCAUUGUCGUUGAAGCGAGAUUGGCUAUUAACUCACCCUGCAUUAAUAAUUCAACCCGGAGCCUGGGCUCAGAUGAGCCCGGUGAAUAGUACCUUGAUUUAAAAUAGAAAGAAAGUUCAAAAAAUUUCAAUCUUCUUUGUGGUGCAAGAUUCUCCCGUGAGUGAACUCCGUGCAAAAUUUUGUGAAGUUUGGACAUUUGAGUAGCUCGUGGCAAAAAAGACAAAACCAGGCUUGAACAAUACGAUUUUAAAAUGUUCCUCGUACAUCCGAAAUUUCUUAUUUUUGCCAUGAAUUCCUCGUAUGUCCAAACUUCACAAAAUUUUGCACGGAGUUCACGCACAGGAGCAUCUUGCACUACAAAAAAAUUAAAUUUUUUUGAUUUUUUUUUCAUUUUAAAUUGCGGUAUUGUUCAUGACUGGGUUCAUUCGAGCCCGGGCACCAAAUCGCCGCUCUCACCCUGCAUGUACUUUUGACACUUGGGAUAAAUUGUCUAGCGCAUUCUUGGCGGGAAGGGCGUUUUGGCUCCCGGUGUGGCACCCCGGCUCAGAGAGAACGGAACACCCCGUAUUCCAGCCCAGAGAUCAAGUCUUCUGAAAUACGGCACUGCUUGACAUAGAACAAAUCAACUCUUAUUACAAAGGAUAAGGGAUACAAAGGUCUGAUGUUACAAAGGAUCACAUCAGCACGACGACACUACGCCUGCUAAGGUAGCUCUAUGCUAGCAGCGGAACAACUCGUAGCAGCGGAAUACUUCUAGCAGCGGAACAACGAUGAAGGUGGUGAACUCCACUCCGCAGGGAUUCUGACUGGGACACGAUCUAGCUCGCACGAUCGGUAACCUCGACAAGCAAUCAAUCACGGCAUCACCUGCAAUCUGGCAUGACACGCUAGGAAGUACAUUGAAUGUACUUGCAAGCUCACAACAACCAAAAGCAUCAAGGCAAGACAAUAGCAUAGCAUUAACAGGUUAAGUUAUUUACAACUACUAUGAUGUGGAAACAAUAACUAAGCAUAAUCUGGCACUACUAAAAAUACUGCUGAAUCACCAUCUCACUCUUGGCUAUCUGGCCAAGCAAUAAUCACCUCGAUCACCUCGUGAUCAAUACCUCCACGUGAUCACCGUGUGACCACAUCACAAACUGAAUGAUCAUCCUCGAGAUCAUCCCAAUAUCCUCAUCAACAUCCUGCCAAACUGUACUGCUCAAAUAUAUCAACAUAUAAAUCACAUAUAAGUCAUUCCGUCAUGCGAGUGUUGAUCGAACGAUGUGACCUAGUAAGAACUUUGUGCCCAUGACCGAGGACGCGGCUACCGAUAGAUUAAACACACACUCUACAGAGGUUAGCACACUGUACCCACAUCACAUAACCCAUGGCCUCGUCCUCCCAUUCGGGUGGACCAAUGGCGUUCCGACAAAACCGAUCUACUGCCAUGACACUCUCCCGGCCACUCCGACCAACUCCCCUCUGGGAUCAGUCCUAGGUGGCCCUAAUGCCACCUCGUGACAUCCAACGGCCACCGUCGUGGCAAAACAAAAAGUCCCAAACGGGGACAAGAGCGCUCAAACAACCCGGGCACGCAAGGUUAUUGCCGCCAACCGGGCCAGGGCAGCGCGCGCAUCUAACCUUCCCUAGUUGGAGGCACCGGCGAGAGGCAUAACAAUAGACCGCAUUAGGGCCUUCCCAUAGAGGCAAAUGUGGUUGCACUAGAAAAGCCCGGUUCGGUGGCACCUGACCAACGAAGUGACGGAAUUUUUCCCCAAAAUAUAUCUGCGAUACUGAUACUCUGAUAUCAUCUACCAACAUGUAAUCCAAGUCAUGGCAAUAUCUAACAAAUAAUCCAGAUGAUAAUGUAGUCAUAACCUAAUACUCUGAGGGUAGCAUAGCACUACUAUCAUAAUGAAUCCAAGUACCAAGAUACUACUAAUACAAUAACAAGAGUAAGCUAGCUAACCAUAAUCCAACAUGAUGACUUCAUAUCCAAAGUAAUACUCCAAAGCAUGAUAUCAAAUACUAUCAUCAUAAAAAUAAUAUAAGCCACUAACAAUCCAAUGGCACAUGUCAUCCUCAUAAGCUGCAAAAUAUUAGUCCUGGAACUCCAAGCAACAUUAUGGCAAUAGCAAGAUCAGAAUAUCACUCCGAGAAAAUGCCAUGAACAAGUCAAAUGUAGCCAAUGCAAAUUUUAAGCAAGUUUAAAUAAGUAAACCAUGUCACUGCAUUGUAAUCAUGCAAAUGGAGGGUGUGGCUUGCCUGGGGUGGAUGGAUUCACCGGGAGGAAGUGUGAGAAGCUCGCGGAAAGGAUCACCGGAAAACAUUCUCUCUUGGAUGGGGAUAAAUAAGGGCAAGGGCAUAAUGUUAAUUUUCAGAAUGUUGUCACAUGGUGAAAAUGAUCCCAUCGGAACGGGCUCAACGAUACGAAGAAAUGGGCUUUGGAAUCACCUCAUUUGGAGCUACGGGUGAAGAGUUGUGGCCAUUCGUUCUUUAGACAAAAAAAUCAAUAGAUUAUGUGCUUUUCUGCUCUUAACCGAUGAACGUUUGCAAUAUAGAGGGUUCGGACAGAGGCUGGAAAAGAGAAAGCGCCUUUCAGAGAAUACGCCUUCAGAGCAGUGAAAACGUAUUUUGGUCUAAAGAAACACUAAAGUACGCUUUCAAACCUGGAAAACGCAUUUACGUGGAUACCUGUCCACUUAAAUGACGUGGCGGCGGGGGGGGGGAGGGGGGCUCGCCUAGCCAGGUAAGCAUCUCCUUCCUCCAUCGCUCGCACCAGGCCGAAGGCAGGGCCGGCCCCGACGGCAUUUGCCAGCAACACGGGCCACCGUAGGUGGAGCCCGGCCUACCGGCGGAAUCAUUAGAGCGAGGCGGUCCCGACCCUAGGUGACGCAGCCGCCGGGGAGCUCGGAGUUGAGCGGAACAGCAACCGCGACGGACGACGGCUACGGCCAGAGUGGGGCGCAGUGCACGAGUCGCCGGAGGAGGAGGAGAGGUGCUGGGGUGUCUCCGGGGUGGUGUUGGAGGUCUCUGGUGGUGGUGGAACCGAGAGAGAAGACGCGGCUCGUCGGAAUUUGAGCGAACAGAGGCGGCGGCCACGGCGGCCAACUGAUACGAGGAGGGACUCUGGCGAUGGAUUGAGAGGUCGGGGUGGAUGCUGGGAGCGAGAGGGAGUGGCUGACGCGGUCGAGAGGCCUCGGGGCUGGCUAUAAAUAGCCGGGGGACGAGGUGUUGCGCUGGCGUCGCCUUAGACGUGUGGCCGGAGCCACGGACACAUGGGCACGCACGCGAGCUCGGUGUAGGCGACGGGAGGCCAAGGGGCACGGGGAGGAAGAAGCCGAGCGCGAAUAGAGCCAUGUCGGUCGUUGUUCUCCUGUGGGUGCGUGGCAGCGAGUGCCGACGAGGAAGCUGACGGAGGGGGAGAGGGGUCCAGGUUGAAGGCGACGACGAGGGGAUCCUCCUCGCUAUAUUGGCCCAUUCACUAUUCUCGAAAGGCGUGGAAAAGUGGCAUAUCAACUGGAGCUUCCGCCGAACCUUUCUCAGGUUCACGAUGUGUUCCACGUGUCACAACUCCGCCGUUGCUUCAAGGACCCAAUCCGAGCAGUGGAUCAUGAAGUGCUCGAAUUGCAGCAGGACCUCUCCUAUAAAGAGCAUCCGGUCCGCAUUCUCGACCAAGCUGAACGCCGCACACGUCAGAAGGCUAUCAAGUUCCUCAAAGUCCAGUGGUCGAAUCACUCUGAAGACGAAGCCACUUGGGAACGUGAGGAUCGCCUGCGUGAUGAAUACCCCGCACUGUUUCCUUCUACCUCCUAAAAUCUCGGGACGAGAUUUCUUGUAGUGGAGGAGAUUUGUAACGCCCGGAUAAUCAUGCUACAGUAAUCUCACGCUAAUCUUGCCACGUCACCGCAGUUACUGUUGCUAACCUCGCAGCAUUUCGAAACCAAGUCAAAUUCAAAUUUAAAAUUAAAUCAAACGAUAAAAGUUCUCAAACAUCAAAACAAAAAUGUUCGGUGGGUGCCAAAUAUUGCCAUGGUAAUUAUGGUGUAGAAAACACAAUUUUAUAAAUUACCUAAAUGCCCUAAAUCAAAUACAACAGAAAAGAAAUAAAAGAACAGAAAAUUAAAAACAAAAAACAAAAAAAAAACACCCCCCACUGGGCCUCGGCCCAGCAGGCCACCAGGCCGCCAGGCCGGCCNNNNNNNNNNNNNNNNNNNNNNNNNNNNNNNNNNNNNNNNNNNNNNNNNNNNNNNNNNNNNNNNNNNNNNNNNNNNNNNNNNNNNNNNNNNNNNNNNNNNNNNNNNNNNNNNNNNNNNNNNNNNNNNNNNNNNNNNNNNNNNNNNNNNNNNNNNNNNNNNNNNNNNNNNNNNNNNNNNNNNNNNNNNNNNNNNNNNNNNNNNNNNNNNNNNNNNNNNNNNNNNNNNNNNNNNNNNNNNNNNNNNNNNNNNNNNNNNNNNNNNNNNNNNNNNNNNNNNNNNNNNNNNNNNNNNNNNNNNNNNNNNNNNNNNNNNNNNNNNNNNNNNNNNNNNNNNNNNNNNNNNNNNNNNNNNNNNNNNNNNNNNNNNNNNNNNNNNNNNNNNNNNNNNNNNNNNNNNNNNNNNNNNNNNNNNNNNNNNNNNNNNNNNNNNNNNNNNNNNNNNNNNNNNNNNNNNNNNNNNNNNNNNNNNNNNNNNNNNNNNNNNNNNNNNNNNNNNNNNNNNNNNNNNNNNNNNNNNNNNNNNNNNNNNNNNNNNNNNNNNNNNNNNNNNNNNNNNNNNNNNNNNNNNNNNNNNNNNNNNNNNNNNNNNNNNNNNNNNNNNNNNNNNNNNNNNNNNNNNNNNNNNNNNNNNNNNNNNNNNNNNNNNNNNNNNNNNNNNNNNNNNNNNNNNNNNNNNNNNNNNNNNNNNNNNNNNNNNNNNNNNNNNGCCCACUGCUCCCGCGCUCGCCCUGCUGCCGCGCCGCGCCCCUUUGCCGCCCGCGCGCUGCUCGCCGGCUGCGUCCGCCGCGCCUUCCGUCCCCGACGGCCACGCACGCACACAUCGCGCUCGCCGCCCGCGCGGUACUACCGCUUACCAGCGCGGUACUACCGUGCCACUGCCGCCGGCCCGCCCCUAGAACGUUUAAUAAUAAAAAUAAUCAAUUAAUUGAUUAAUUAACUAAAUUAAUAAAUUCUUUUAAAAUCAAUAUAAAAUAAACCGUAGCCCAGAUGAAAAUACUUUCUACAUGAAAGUUGCUCAGAACGACGAGACGAUUCCGGAUACGCAUCCUGUUCGUCCACCACACCUCCCUAACCUAUCGAACAUGCAAAUUUCCCCCUCCGUUUCAUCUGUCCGAGAAACGCGAAACACCGGGGAUACUUUCCCGGAUGUUUCCCCCCUUCGCCGGUAUCACCCCUUACCGCGUUAGGGCACACCUAACACCGCGCUUUCUCUGUCAUGCAUCGUCAUGCAUAUGUUUGCAUUAUAUUUAUUGUUUCUUCCCCCUCUUCUCUCGCUAGACACCGAGACCGACGCUGCUGCUGGUGCCCCGACCGACUACGGUGUUGACGACCCCUUCUUCUUGUCUGAGCAACCAGGCAAGCCCCCCCCCUUGAUCACCUGAUAUCGCCUACUCUCCUCUAUACUGCUUGCAUUAGAGUAGUGUAGUAUGUUACUGCUUUCCGUAAUCCUAUUCUGAUGCAUAGCCUGUCCUUGCUACUACUGUUGUUACCAUUACCUGCAAUCCUACUUGCCUAGUAUAGGAUGCUAGUAUUUCAUCAGUGGCCCUACAUUCUUGUUCGUUUGCCAUGCUAUACUAUCGGGCCGUGAUCACUCGGGAGGUGAUCACGGGUAUAUACUAUAUACAUAUGAUACAUGACACAUGUGGUGACUAAAGUCGGGUCUGCUCGAAGAGUACCCGUGAGUGAUUCACGGAUUGGGGGCUGAAAGGACCUUUGUCCCAACGGCCCUCUGUGUGGAUCUUUGUGGCGGAGCGACAGGGCAGGUUGAGACCACCUAGGAGAGAGGUGGGCCUGGCCCUGGUCGGCGUCCGCGGUUACUGCAAAAUAACACGCUUACGAGUUCUUGGUAUUUGAUCUGAUUCUGGCCAUUUGGUCUAUACGCACUAACCAUCUACGUGGGAGUAGUUAUGGGUAUCCCGGCGUCGUGGUAUCAGCCGAAGCCUUCUUGACGUCAGCGACGGAGCGGCGCGCGCCGGAUUGGAACGUAAGCCUGCUCUUGUAUUAAGGGGGCUAGUUCUGCUUCCGGCCGCCCUCGCAACGUGCAGGUGUGCUAUGGGCGAUGGGCCCAGACCCCUGUGCUCUUAGGAUUAGACCGGCGGGCUGACCUCUCUGUUGUGCCUAGGUAGGGCUGUGAUGUGUUGAUCUUCCGAGGCCGGGCAUGACCCAGGAAAGUGUGUCCGGCCGAAUGGGAUCAAGCGUGUUGGGUUAUGUGGUGCACCCCUGCAGGGAAGUUUAAUCUAUUCGAAUAGCCGUGAUCUUCGGUAACAGGACGACUUGGAGUUGUACCUAGACCUUAUGACAACUAGAACCGGAUACUUAAUAAAACACACCCUUCUAAGUGCCAGAUACAACCCGGUGGUCGCUCUCUAACAGGGCGACGAGGAGAGGAUCGCCGGGUAGGAUUAUGCUAUGCGCUGCUACUUGGAGGACUUCACUCUAUUCUCUUCUAUAUGCUGCAAGAUGGAGAUGGCCAGAAGCGUAGUCUUCGACAGUAUUAGCUAUCCCCCUCUUAUUCUGGCUUUCUGCAGUUCAGUCCACUGAUAUGGCCCUUUACACAUAUAUCCAUGCAUAUGUAGUGUAGAUCCUUGCUUGCAAGUACUUUGGAUGAGUACUCACGGUUGCAUUUCCCCCUCUUUUCCCCCUUCCUUUCUUUCUGGUUGUCGCAACCAGAUGCUGGAGCCCAGGAGCCAGACGCCACCGUCGACGACGACUCCUACUACGCUGGAGGUGCCUACUACUACCUUCAGGCUGCUGACGACGACCAGGAGUAGCUUAGGAGGAUCCCAGGCAGGAGGCCUGCGCCUCUUUCGAUCUGUAUCCCAGUUUGUGCUAGCCUUCUUAAGGCAACUUGUUUAACUUAUGUCUGUACUCAGAUAUUGUUGCUUCCGCUGACUCGUCUAUGAUCAAGCACUUGUAUUCGAGCCCUCGAGGCCCCUGGCUUGUAUUAUGAUGCUUGUAUGACUUAUUUUUAUUUGUAGAGUUGUGUUGUGAUAUCUUCCCGUGAGUCCCUGAUCUUGAUCGUACACGUUUGCGUGUAUGAUUAGUGUAUGGUCAAAUCGGGGGCGUCACACCAGAAACUUGAGAAAAUUCUAGAGAAAUAUGGGCUUGAUGAAUUGAUCCCAAAAUUGAUGGAGAGAGGUUUUAUGGUCAUGAGAAUGCUCUGGUAAAUUUUCAGCCAAAAUGAAGCAAUAUAAAAUAUAUACUUGCUUCACAACCUGAAAAUAUUGAUAGAAGCAAAGAUUUGAUCCUGUGCUCCCAUAGAUGAUUGGAUGGAGCUGAAAAUUGGUGGAGUGUGAUAAUAUUAGCACAUUAAAAAGUGUGCAAAAUUUCAACUCGUUUGGGUACUCCUAGAUAGUACUUCCUUUACGAUGGCUUCUGUUUGAUAGAAACUUUGAAAAAUUGACAAGAAAGAUUCACUAGGCAAAUGAAGUUGAAUUUUGGCAUGAGGCAAUGAUUUGGAUGUAAAAGCAUUCCCAAAGAGUUUGGGAGCAAACAAGAUAAGAUAAAUGACACUUAUUUCACAAAAAACCACACUAUACAGAAAUGAAGAAUAAAUAUUGAAGAAUUAUUUUUGAACUUCGCAAGGAAAUAUUUGGGCAUAUUUGAGCAAUAUAUGACCCAAAUGAAUUAUGAGAAUUUAUUGGGAGUUUUGUGGCAGACAGAGAUAUAGGAUGCUUCACAACCUAGGGCAAACAAGGUUAUUCCUUUAAUAGAAAAAGGAAUAUUCCUGAGAAAAAGAAUUUUAGGGUUUGGCUAGAAUAAGAAUGAAAUGAUCUUGGGAAAGAUUUAAGAAUGAUGAGCCACUUGGGAGAAGAAAUGACGAGCCACCCGGGAGAAGAAAAGAUUUAAGAAUGAUGAGCCACUUGGGAGAACAAAUUUGGGGUGACAUUUGGGGGUGACAUUUGGUGUGUGUGUUUUUUUUUUGCACAUGCCAAAAUGCUUAACCUUUUUGCCUCAAAAUUUGCAUGUAGCAUUUGGAUGUGACUAACAACACACAAAAAUUUUGUUUUGAUUUUUUUGACAUUUCAAAAAUUAUUUUUGGGCCCGGGAGCACGUGCUCCCGAGAGCCGAAUUGAAUUUCCGAUGCUUGGCUCGCUUUUACUCACAAAAGAAGACUUAUAGAGCGAGGUGCAUGAUCGUGAACUUCAAAAAAAAUUAGGUGAAAGUCUUGUCGAGACUUAUCAAAGGUACAACUCUCUACUUGAUAAUUGUUCUCAUCAUAAUUUGUUAUCAUGAAUGGUGUUAAAUUUUCAUUUUGGAGGACUAGAUGAUGAAUGUAAAAGAAAAUUAAGUCUUGCUUCGGUUGAUCAAGGUUAGGAAUUGUUAGAUAAAGUCGGUGUGAAUCAUGGCGUUUGGGGGGAGGCGGCGGAGUAUAACUUUAUUAUGAUUGUGUUAAAACCUACUACUAAUCUGAAAAUGUCAAAAAUCUGAGCAAAUAAAUUCAUCUUGAUUCUGACACUAUCUUGUAAGUAUAUUGUAAAAAAUUAUAUUGAUAUGUUGUGAAAAAUUAUACUGGUCAUAAUCUCAUAUUCCUAUUAUAAUUUUAUAUCUGAUAUCUUGUAAGUUCUAUUAUAUUUAUAUAUAUAUAUAUAUAUAUAUAUAUAUAUAUAUAUAUAAUUUUAUUUACCACCACUUCAGUUUUGUAUGUCACAAGACAAGAGAAUUUGCAGUUUAUGUAUAUUUUACACUAUGUUUUUACAUUUGUAAUUUUACAUAACAUAAAAGUUUUUUUAUGGUUUCUUUCUAUAAAGUUUUUACAUUUGCAUUUCUGUCCCUAACUCGAACCACCUACUCAGAUUUGCCCUUAAUUUCAAAGUCUGCUCAAAUUUGCCCCUCUGCCGUUAGAUGACCUUAUAGAAAUGUCCUUCCGUGCCGUUUUCGUUAGGUCAAAGGCCUUUGACCGUCUACGGGACGUUUCUUGGACAUUUUGCCCCUGCCUCCAUGUGUCACUUACAUGUGGAACCCACUUAGGAAAAAAUAAAAAUAAAAACACUUUCUCUCACCCCUCUCUCUCUCUCACUUACAUAUGGGCCCAGAAAAGGAAAAAGAAAACCUCUCUCCCACAUCUCUCUCUAACUUACAUGUGGGGCCUAGCAAAAAAUAAAGAAAAGAAAAAAGCUAUCUCUCUGUCUCCCGACCUCGCGGUCUCUCUCAUCUCCGGCGAACUACAUGCGACGGCCGGCGGACCGGUCCUCGCGCCGCCACUGGAGCUGGCUCGCCAUGCUCCUCCACCAGCUCAUCGCGCCCGGUCACCAGCUCGCCGCGCUCUGCCGCCCUCUCCCUCUCUCUCUCUUGCCAAGGAAUAGCAAAGCAACUAUCGUCGGCGUUGACGCGCACGCACGGCCAGCGACAGUGUAGAGCUCCAAUAAAAUGUCUAAUAGUCCGACCGCUCUCCGAUUCAUCUUCCUGUGCAAUUAAUUGGAUUGAAACGCCCCAUAGUGACGGAUCCUUCCUCGUCUUCCCCAGCUCCGGUGUCACGCCGCUACCGCUCGAUCUCCUCCACCAUUGAGCACUGCCGCCUUACCUCGGGUUCUUGAGUUUCGAAAUCUCCUCCUGAACAUCCUCCGCCUGCUCCCGAUUAUCCUCGCCUCCCUUAGCAGCUCUGUCGGCGAGCACCCCCCGUCGCCGUCGCUCAAGCUCGCAACUUCCCAUCCGCCCCGGCACCCCACAUUCUCUGGCCACCUCAGGCCACUGAAGCUUCUCUCCCGCACCCUCACAAGCCCGAUCUUGCAGCCACUCGACUACUCCGGCGUCUUCCCGUACAUCGCCGUCGUGUCUUCGUGUGCUGGCGCCGGCGUGUUUUUAGUUAGCCUAAUCCCAGAUUAUCCUAAACUAUUAUUAGUUCUAAUUACACUCGUUUUACAAAAGCUAACUAGUGGGUCCAGCCCUCAAAUAAAUCAGUAGAUAACGUUUCAGAAAAUAAUAGAACAAUAACUGACCCAUAUCAAGUUUUAUUUUUCAUUUUAUUAGUUGGGCUCAUAUGUAAGUGAGAGAGGGGGGUGAGAGAAAAUGUUUUUUCUUUUUAUUUUUUCUUUGAGUGGGCCCCACAUGUAAGCGACACAUGGAGGCAGGGGUAAAAUGUCCAGGAAACGUCCGGUAGACGGUCAAAGGCUUUUGACCUGACGGAAACGGCACGGAAGGGCAUUUCUAUAAGGGCACCUAACGGCGAAGGGGCAUUUUUAAGCAGGCUUUCGAAUUAGGGGCAAAUGUGAGUAGUGGGUUCGAGUUAGGGACACAGAUGUAAAAGACCCAUAUAUAUAUACUACAUCUGGGCUAUUUUGUUACGCGUAACAGAAUAUUAUUCUGUUACCCUACUUGAACUGAUGAAUUCAAGCUGUUGAACUGAUGAAAUUCGAGCAGUUGAACUGAUGCUUCUGUUGCUGUUAAAAAUCAUCUUCUUUAGUUCAAAUUUUUUUGCACUUUUUUUUGUCGAAACGGGGCGUGUAAUAUAUCGUUGGAAAGCUCUUGACAUCCACAUUACAAUCUUAUAAAAAAAAUUGCAAAAAAAUUAUGAUUUAAGAGCAGUUUUGAAAAAACCAUUUUUUUCAAAACCGAAAACGCGAAUCGUAUUUUGGACUUAAUUUUCAAAUGGUUUGUUGGAAUUGAGAAAAUGAGAUGGCGUUGGAAAGCUUGUGAAAAUCCGCAUCUUCCAUAUAUCUACUAUUUUUUCAAAAUUUAUAUGAUUUAAAAGUAAUUUGAAAAACGGUGAAAUUCUGGGCGAAAUGUUUUUUCACUUUUUUUGCAAAUGGUUUGUCGGAUUGACGCAAAUGAUACGGCGUUGGAAAGCUAUGGAAAAUGCGCAACUUUUGCGUAUAUAAAGUUUUUUCUAAUUCCUUACGGUUUAAAUACGAAUUCAAAUACGGUUAAAAUUGGUUUUGAAUGUGAUUUUUUUAAAAAGUUUGUCAAAAUGGGGCAAAUAAUAUACUGUUGGAUAGCUAUCAAAAAUGCGAAACUUAGUUAUGUUGGACGUUUUCUCUACUUCGCAACCGUUUAAUAGUAAUCUUGAAUACGGCAUGACGAAUCCUGCUGUUUUCUCGUUUGAAAAACAGAGUAAUCGUACUGAUAUAUGUGUAUGUUUGUACUGAGCUAUUUUCGUAGAGUAAUUUUAAAUGGUUCCGAAAAAAGGUACUUGUACUGAUGCUUGCAUGGGUUUGUAUUAAGUGUGUUUUCACUAACUAGACUUUGCUCUGUUUUUUGGGUAAUAUUUUUCUCGUAAAUUUUCAACGGUUUACUGUAUCCUAGCCCUGAACUUGCAUGGUUUAUAUUGUUGAACUGAAUGUUAUUGUAUCGUCGGCCCUGUACUUGCAUGGUUUAUAUCAUCGAACUGAAUGAUUUUUUUAAAUGUUUUUUUAUUCUUUUUUUUUAACUAAACAUUUUUUUUACAACGAUGUUUUGGACUUCUCUUAUUUUAUGACUUGUACUUUUACCAUUUGAAUUGCAUGGGGUUUCCUUUUGCUUGAACUUUUACAAUUUGAAUUUCUGUCAUUUCUUUUAUUCCGAACAGACCACCGUUUAAAACCAAUUUUCCUUUGUAGAACGGACCACCGUUUUUGUUUGUCUGCAUCAGUUGUAGAACUUGGACGUCAACAUCACAGAAUUACACUUUGGACGGAUCACCUUCUCCCAUCUGGACAGACCACAAAACUUGCAUCAGGAAACACACAAAAACAAGGACGAUUACAACAAGAUCGACCAGAAUGUAUGAACCAUACCUUCUUUAGCUGAAUAAAUACUAUACACAGAACAAGCAGAACUUAUUAAACAAGAUGUUUUUGAAGUUUCUCACAUUAACACUUUUUAUAAUACAAAACCAAAUGGUUCACUUUUACCUCCUCUCUUUAAAGUAUUACAAACUGAUGAACUAAAAUAAAAUGGUGAGCACAGUGCAUUUUUGUACCACAGUUGGUAAUAGGGGCACAAUCCAAGUGGAUUGUAUAAAAGGUAAGUAAUUAUAGAGUUUGUAGUACCAUCACAAUCAAAGUUCAUACUGACAUAAGCUCUGGUCGUGCUCCGGCCAGAAAAAGAUACAUAAGUAAACUGCGGCCAAAGUAUUACAAACUGACAAACAUAAUCAGCCACCUCGCUAGAACAGAGCAUCUCAAAAGCCUCUACUCCGGUUGCUUUUCCUUGUGCAGGAGGCUGUUGACGGAGCACGCAGUGAUGCAGGUGGCCAUGGUAGCGACACGGGCAGUGACGCAGGUCUCCAAACUGAUGGUCGCGACGAACUCGGCCACCCUGAAGCCACGGGGUUGGACUGAGCAUGGCGCUGAAGUUGAGUAGAACAUUUAGGAAUUAGGAUAAUUAGGAAACAACAAACAUGUGAAGAAACCAUGAAGUGAAAUGAGUUAUAGAAAACAGUAUGCAUUAGACCUUGCUGAUUUCUCAACUGAAGUUGUUUACUGCACAGCUGCCAUAUUUGACUGAGCUACCCUGAAGUUGCUGGAAUGGACAAAAGUCUUAAUCAGAGUUUCACCAACGUUUGACACUAGAAUGAAUUUCUGAAAACUUACCCAGUUCAGUUAGCUGCUGACUUGAGAAGAGCCAUCCUUUUUGCAUUGAAGAGCUGCUGUGAUGUACUGAGCAAUUGCUUUUUCUGAACUUACAAAAUUAUGUCCGAUGAAUCUCUCUAAUAUGGAUGUGCGAACCUUCCAAAAUUAAAUCCAAAAAUGUACACACACUGUUCCCUGUGUGACGUAGGGUUGUACUGACACACUCAGCAUCAGGGAAUUUCCAACUUGCGCAAGAUCAAACUGCAUCCGUUCUCAGCAGUAAGUUUUGGAAAUUUCCCAAAACGAAAUCGACAAUGAACGGACACCAGCAGCAACCUCUACUAGACAAGAUGAACUUUGCUUUUUUCAUACAAUGAACUGAAAGGCGCUGCAAUUUUUCUAAACUUCCUUGAUAUGAACCUGUAGCCAUACGCAAGUCUUGUUGUAGGAGAAAAAAGCCGGAGUAGCGCUGUAAUGAACUGACAUCUCCAUAAUAGAAUAAUUGCACACACAGACCAGCGAAUGCAUGAAAUGCCCGUGGAGCUUGGGAUCAACGGUGGAAUUCCCAAAAACAAAAUCUGCAAUCAACGACAGCAGUAAUAUAUACUAGACAAGAUGAACUUUACAAAAGGUAGCACAUGCACAAAAGUUUAGUACUAAUAAGCUACAAUUAGCCAAAUUCAGUACAAUUAACCGAAGGUAACCGGAACAUAAAUAUAGAUGCAAGUUCCAACUUUUUUCGUGAAGAUGUGGAUGAGAUGUAACCCAAACCAAUAGGUGAUUUGCGAACUUAUGAGAAAUAAUUCUGUUAAACACCUAGCUUCAGUACAAUCAUCUAUGAAAAGUUAUCUAGUUCCAAAUUAUGACCUUGAAGAAUAAUUCUCAUAAGCAUUAGAACAAGCACGUAGAAGAGUGCUGAGGGCACACAUGAUUUUGGGGGUAUUUCCUCAAGUUUCUACACUUCUUUUAAGUAGAUAAAAAUGAUGAAAGGAAACACACUUUGUAAGAUGUACUGAAAAAGCCUAAAAAGGUGAAGUGAAAUGUUUUGAAGCUCCAGGAAGCCUCUCGACGAACUGAAACUUCGUGUAUCCCAGGAGGUUAACCUGCAGAGGAGCACGAACUAGAACAUUAAGCAUCAACUUCUACAACUUAUAUACACAGGAAAAAUGAAUUUCUACAUCUUGUUUUGAACUUCUAGUAAUCGAUCAAGUAGUCAUAAAACCAAACAAGGGUGAUGGGAGUUGAACCAGAUCCCUCAGCCUCAUCUCUAAACAUUACCCUUUAAUCUUCCUGAACUGAAUUCCUCUCAUCUAUGUUCUUUAACUCUGUUUGUUUAUGUAGCACGAACCAGCAGCAGCCUGGAGGACGGUCGGUGCGUCGAGGUCAGCACGAGACAGCAGUGGCGCUUGAGGAGCAGAGGAAGAGCGACAGUACAAACAAGUGCAGCUCAACGAGCCUUUUUCUUACGAUGCUUGUGGUUGCCGUGAGCACACAGCAAGUAGGAUCAGGCUCUCGGUGGCGCAGGCAUAGGAUGCCCGUUAGAGAAAGAUUACUUGCUGAAGGCCACCAUAUUUUCCUACAGUAAGACAUAGGAAAGAUAAUAUAUAAAGCCCAUUACAGAAAGAAUCAGCAGUCCAUUUUAAAAAAAAAAACAUUUUACUAGAACUGAAAGCAAUGAUUUUUUCAUACUUCUGGGUGAGGACAUGGCGCUCUAAUCCAUUUUGCCAUAUCUAAACCUCCAAUUUUUUGGUGACCAAAACUGAUGCAUAACAGCACAAGUGAAGAAUUGUUCGUAGGCAUAAAAACAAUUACGUAGAGUGCACAUAUGAUAUUUCAGGAUUUCAUCAAUACAUUAAAGUUUAUGAACUGAAAAGAACGGAAAAGGUGAACUGAAAAUCAAAUAAAAGUUGUAUCCUAUAUAGUUCAAGGUCAAAAGAACAACACAGGGAACGGUGGGCCGUGACGUGUGCACCUGCUGGGGUAGGGGACGCAUACGGGAGCCCAAGGUGCAGGCGGAAGGUGGCUCGACACAGUCGGCCAGGGAGCUGCGACGGUGAACGGCCUGGGGCGGCCGGGUUGGACUGCUGAUCGCAGCAGCGGCGAACCCAGCGGCCUGGCCACACCGGGAUGACUAGCAACCAGAAGGAGGUGGAGGGGCGUGUCCACGACGGAGAGAUUGAAUGGCCUGUAGUUGCAGCGUUGAACUUCCUGUACACGGCAGUGGAGCGAUAGCAGCUCAAGGACCAGGACAACAUGUAGUUUAAGAAUUACAGAUUGUGGUCAGCUAUAGGAUGUUUAUGGGACCAUGUUUUAGCUAUGAGAGAGCAACAACAUCACAUCAUGAGAGAGAGGAUGCAGCAUCAACAAUUCAGUUGAAAGAUCAGAGCAGAGCAGAAGUAAAUAUGUUUUGAGGAGAUGAACUGACCAGGAUUUAAAUGAACUCUCACUAGCAGUAAUUUUUGUACUUCGCAUGUAGUACUACAUGGACUUGCUGUAAAAUACAUGGACCAUGUAGGAAAUUUGGAGUUAAUUGUAUGAUCAUCUCAGGGAGCUCAAGUUGUACUGAAAGCUCAAGUUGGACAGAAACUCACUCGAUAACUGAAACUCCUAGGGUGAGGGGUGGGAUCCAGGGUGCUGCUGGCAAUGAAAGGCCUGGGGUGAUGGCGUUGAACGGCCUAGAGUGGUGGCUGUGAACGGCCAGGGUGCUCCGGCGGCAGAGCCCCACCGGGAGAUGGCGAUGCAAGCAGGAGGUAGGGAAGCAGUGGUGCCAGUGGUCGGGGUCGUCCAAUGCUAAUGGCACAACAGUACAGGAAGUUGAUUCAUCACCCAUCCAUAAUUUUUUCCUUUUUGGAAUCCAUUGAACUGAAAAAAAAGCUACAGUGUGAGCUGAAAGUAUGAAAACAACAUAUCUCUGAAAGAAUAAAGAAUUAGCUUUAACAUAUCUAUGAAAGAAUACACCUCUGAGGAACUAGCUUUGAACAUAUCUCUGAAAGAAUAGAGCGCAUGCAAAGUCCAAGGAAAGAAUAAGCAAAAUGGCACACUAGUACGCACUAGUACGAGUCCAGUCUUGUACGUGCUAGUAUUAGAUUUGAAUAGUAGCUAGAAUUGAAGUUCAGGUAACCAUGGCACACACAUCAUACAGUUUCAGUCAUGUACACACACACUGUAAUAGUAGCUGCAAUUAAAGUUCAAAUAACCACGGUGCCCAUAACAGAACAAGAAUCAGGCUAGCAGCUAGGCAAGCAAGCUUCAUCGGCAUGAAUACACAUCAGCGGCAAGCUAGAACACGCUAGUAGGCUGCAGAAGUCUCCUUGUAAUUUUUCAAAUAGAAGUGCUUCAGUUCUGUUCAGUAGUAAUGCAUGGAAAAAGAAAAGCAAUGGAAUAAACUAUAACCGAGCCAAAUAUGUAAUUUCAACAAACUAGACCUCAUUGCUUGACUUCAGUAGUACUAAUACACGAUCAUCAGUUCAAUAUAAACAAACUGAUGUCAACAUCGCCAAUAUGCUGUCCGUCCAACCUCCCUCGGGCUGCAGUUCCAAUAGAAAACAAAUUAGUAAGAUAAAGAGCAUUAGAGAGGAAAGAGAUAGAACGGGUGCAUGGACUGCCGCUGGUUUUCUUGUUGAACCGCAGCUGAAGAAACUCCUACAGGCUACAGGUCGUAAUGAAGAGAAAACGGAGAUGAGGUUGCGUGGCGGCGGCGCUGAAUGUGAAGGAGCUUGGGGAUCUAUCGUGUGACGCGCGGCUGGUCACCGGAGCGAGCGCCGGGCGAGCGAGUAGGGUAGCCGGAGGGGAGCGGGGAUCCAAGGACCAGGGGCGCCAUGCGUUAAGACGGGCAGCUCCCCCGUCAUCUUCCUCGUCGUCGCUGGGAGGCGGAGAGCCGCGCUAGAAACAGGCGGUGGCGGGAAUCGCAGGAGAUGGCGCACGGUGCUCGGAGGGAUCUGGGUUGGUGGCGGAGGGAGGUGGCGAGAGGCGCGGCGGCGACGGAGGGAGGAGGCCGGAGAUGGGAGUCACCGGGGCUGAGGCGCGCCGGGGCUAGGGUCGCCGGGGCUGGGGGCGCCGGGGCUGAGGCGCGCCGGGGCUGGGGUCGCCGGGAAGGGGGGCGCUGGGGCUGGGAUGCGCCGGGGUGGGGCGCCGGGGCUGGGAUGCGCCGGGGUUGGAGAUGGUUGGGGGCGGCCGGAAGGUUAGGAGCGCGUCGGGGGUGUUAUAGGGCCGAACGGUAACAGAAUAUCCCGUAACAGAAUAGUCCAGCCUUUUAUAUAUACAUAUAUACUAGCAAAAAGUCCGUGCGUUGCAACGGAAAAAAACAACAAUGCAAAUUUGUGGUGGACGUGUGACCUUGACGUCUCCAUCGACGCCUAGCUUCCAAUGAUAUUGUUUUUCCGGCGGGUCACAAUAUUUUGUUGAGUCCUAGCAAAUAUGUCCGUGCGCUGCAUUAGGAAAAAAAAAUCAUAAUCCCAUUCCCAACACCUCCCCACACAGCCCACGACAUCUAUUUCAACGUGACACCCCAUUUGUCGACGUUUAUCCUCUUUUCCACCGUCACCAACGGUCUAACAGGUCGUAAGGGAUCUGAACAUGGUCAAUCCCAAGGCGACGAGCUCAUCCAUCCAUUAAACCAUACCAAUACAAGAAAAUGUUUAUAACUUAAAAACACAUUCCACUUAAGCUAGGCGUGAGGGCGUCCUCAAUAAGCUACUCUAUGGUGUCCAUGUAUUGGUAAAGAAUACAAAAUCUCUUACAAACAACAUAUUUUAACUCGGUAAAGUCGUACUCCAACAUUGACCUCAAUAAUUGGAGUAGUUGAUCAGAAAAAGUGAAAUAUUAUUAUUUGCAACAAAAAUCUAAAUUGUUAACAAAUCAUCUAAUGAAAUACACAUUUCCAUCUAUUAGUCGAAUAUAAAGGAUACAAAAAUCACACUCAUUAUUUAAUAUCCUUUUUUAGGGGAACUCAUUAUUUAAUAUCACUCAUUAAGCUUUCAAUUUGCGCGUACAUGCAUGAUUGCAUGCCAUUUGAGCGUGAUAGGUAUGAAGGCUCCUGUUUUUUUUUCUAAACACCAGUUCGACUCCGACAACACACACAUUCACAUGAGGACACGGCAACAGAAUAGCUCGGCCGUGGCCAUAAUUUAAGCAUCUCUGCUUCUUUUUUAUGGGAGGUCUGCUAUUUGAUCUACUACAUAAAAACGUAGAACAGGACAUUGUAAUGGGAAAGAGAAGAUGUUUAAACGUCAAUGUGUUCCAUGUUAAUGAAAGAAACCUAUUAGUGUCCACAAGCCGUGUUAAUUUGUCGUUCAUGAAAACUGCAAGUACACAUCACUAAUUCCUCCAGCCUGUUCGUCGCUGCUACCACAAUCGUCUACUUAUCCUCUGAACCCCGCCGCCCCGGCAACGCCACCUCUGCCUCCCGCUGUGCUGUCUUGGCCGCUGCCGCCGGGCACGAGACGGCUGGAGUGCGGAUGCAGUCCGUGGAGGUGUCUUACAUGCGAAAUCAUUGUCCUCCUACGGUGCGACCUGAUCGGGAAGGACAGGCGUGCGCAGUCGUGGCCACACACGAUGCCGAGUGUUGUACGAUAUCUCGUUCGACCAGUGCAUCGGCUGGCGGCGUUCAUCGCGGACCGGGACCAUGUAGGCAUGGCACGACGGCGAACCGUCUGUUGGCGAGGCGGAUGGAGGGCAUCUUGCUCAUGCGCCGGCGGAUAGCAUGACGGCGGUCCGACUGUCGGCUAGGAGGAGGGAGAUCCUCUGGCUCCUCGACUUUCAGCUGAUGACGACACAACGGACGACAUCGGCAAGUUCCUAUAUGGCACCUAUCAUUGCCGGCACGGCCGUCUGUUGAUGCACCGCCUUCACAUAUCCAGGCCUCCGUCUCUGCCGAGACGAUAUUUAUGGGAGGAAUUGGGAAGUCGGCCAGGGAUAUCGGUGUUCGACUCCACCUGUCCUCGUCCUCUAGAGUCACGAAGAAAAAAUAGUACGUAUUGGGUAACACGGUAGCAGGGGAGCGAUGUACGAAAAGACCAAGCAGAUAAAGUCAGGUCGUGGUUAUCUCCAAUUCAUCGUUCGUCUAGCUUAACUGGACGUGGCCUUGUGGGCCAGUCUUAGUUAGAAAAAAGAAUCGAAUUUGGCAUAUAACUUGGCUGGAUGAGUUGCCCGACUGCGUGAACAAUCGUGAGGUGGGCAGAAAAAUAGUACCAUCGAAAAAAUAUAAGGACUUUUUCGCAAGCGUUUUAGUACCACCUCGUUUAUAUUACGAUUUUGUCUAUACAAAUCGUAAAAGCAUAUUAUAACAUAAGAAAAAAGCAUAUUAUGAUGGUGAACCCGACAAAGUCAAUCCGUGCUUAUNNNNNNNNNNNNNNNNNNNNNNNNNNNNNNNNNNNNNNNNNNNNNNNNNNNNNNNNNNNNNNNNNNNNNNNNNNNNNNNNNNNNNNNNNNNNNNNNNNNNNNNNNNNNNNNNNNNNNNNNNNNNNNNNNNNNNNNNNNNNNNNNNNNNNNNNNNNNNNNNNNNNNNNNNNNNNNNNNNNNNNNNNNNNNNNNNNNNNNNNNNNNNNNNNNNNNNNNNNNNNNNNNNNNNNNNNNNNNNNNNNNNNNNNNNNNNNNNNNNNNNNNNNNNNNNNNNNNNNNNNNNNNNNNNNNNNNNNNNNNNNNNNNNNNNNNNNNNNNNNNNNNNNNNNNNNNNNNNNNNNNNNNNNNNNNNNNNNNNNNNNNNNNNNNNNNNNNNNNNNNNNNNNNNNNNNNNNNNNNNNNNNNNNNNNNNNNNNNNNNNNNNNNNNNNNNGUCCGGUCAAGUUUUUUUUUUUGAAGGCGACGGUUAAUCCACUCUUCCCGUCGAUCAAAAGUAAAAAAAGAAAAAAGAAAAGAAGAAUGGAUAACCCCGGCAUUUUGGAUCUAACCGGCGAGCAGUUUUUCGGAGGCGAGCGGCGGGAGGUUUCGACGGCGAGCUGCCGGCAGCUGCUGCUGGACACGGAUGCGUGUGGCACUGGUGGUGCCCCGUUUGCCGGAGGCAGCACCGAGGCGAGCGGCUGGUGCUGCAAGAGGCUUCACGGCGGGUGGCGGCCUCUUCGGCGGCGACAGUGUGGCGACCCGCCUCCAUCCCCCGCUCCCUUCCUUGCCCGUGGCGAUGGACGAGGACCAUGGCCCGACCUCCUUCUCCAUAACCCGCACCCGUGCUCCCCUAUUUUUGCCACUGGACUCGUCGCCACGGCGGCGGCGGCCCCUGCCUCCACUCCACGCUCCUCUUCUCUUCGUCGCGCACGGCGGCAGAAGGAGGGGUUCUGAUGGGAGCAAGGCUUGCGACCCCUCCGUCACAACUGCUCCGGAGCCCGGACAAAGCCGAGGCCGUCUCUGUGAACUCUCCAGCGAGCUGACCAUUGCCCUCCUCCAUCUAAGAUGCAAGGUAGCAGCAGCAACACAGGUUCCAUGGCCUCUGUCGCAUAGCUGCCACCCAAGCCGUCCCCAGGUUCUCUCUCUCUCUCUCGAUGCUUGUCUGUAUCUUCUUAUUAGUCACUUUGCUACUGCAUUUAGAUUAAUUAGCAUAUUAUAUAGGAAGAGAAGUGUGCACCAAGCCUCAUCAGUGAAGUGAUAAAGAAUUGCAAUCAUAUCUGACUACCUUAGACAUUUACUUACUUACUUGCUAGGUUCAUGCUUCGGCUGUGCUUUCUUGUAUAAGGUUGUUCCCAGUAAGGAAACAUCUACUGUAUAUUCAGGAUCUAGGAGAAUGUUUUCUCACUCAAGUUCAGGUUGGGUUGUUGAUUAAAUAUCAGGCUGCUGAGGCGGGGGUAGACAGACCCAGGGGGGCCUUCUAACUCCCUCCUUUAAUCUCCUAUUGCUCUCCCCAUCAUUUGCCAAACAUGCCAUAUAUGAGGUGCUUUGUUUGAUGGUAGCCUGAACCUGAAGCAAAACCAGAACCAUUGGUAUUCCGAAUUUUAGGAGUGUUGUUUGAAUGCUCUUCGGUUUAUUAGUCCCAAAUUUUGGUUUGCAUCAGCCGCUUCAGGAGAUGGCCAUGGUGCGCCACAAAAUUAGCUUGAUCUUAAGAUAGUACGAGUAGGCAUACUCCCUAGCUCCUAGUGUAGCAGGCUGUACUAUGCAGCUAUCUAAUUGGAAUUCGGAACUAUUGUCUUUGGUUGUUCCAACAAAUCAGGGAUUCAGUAUAAAGCUUAUGGGUGUUUUUCUGUAUUCGAGUUUUCUCUCCUUAGUACAGGGAUAGCUUUGCCUCCAAAAUAUAUAGUGAUAACUUUACAAACCAAUGAAAAAAAAUUGUUUGCUCAAAGUUCCACCAUUGUCCUGUUCAAACUGUAAUAUUUAGAUGACAUGAAUCGUGAUCUAAGAGUUCAGUUCAGAUUUAAGGCGUGGAGAAAAAUAAUAAUCAAAUAGACUUAUGACCAUCGCCGUGUUCACUUUGUUUUGGUUUCAGCUAGCCUGAUGUCUCUGCGUAAAUAUUGAAUUAGCUGCCUGAAACUUUCUUCAUAACAUGAAAAUUUAUGAAGGGCUACCAGGUCAUCUAUAACUGGAUUAAGGAAGUGCUGAGUUAGCUCGAACAGUCUCCACAUAGAUUACUGGAUAAAUAAGAAAUUGUAUGAAGUAAUAACUUCAAAAAGGAAAUCCCAGUGCACUUUUACUUAUCACUUGCUAUGACCAUAGUAAUACAAUCAGUAUCGCCCCCUCUCCAUCAAUUUAUAUGAGUAUGUGUCUUAUUCUCCCAUCCAAUAUAUCUGCUCGAAUUAUGUGUUUAUUUGCUGUUUUCAUAUAGAACUUAUGUUCUUGUAUAAUAUUUUAACAUCACUGGCAAUCAUUGUUAGGGUACGGUGGUGGUUGGCAUUAUGUUUGAUGCGGGCUGCAUCUACUCCCACGACAACGGUCAGCAACUAGGUGUUCACCAUCGGAGUUCUUCAGUAUCGCCCCCUCUCCGUCAUGUAUGUGUAGUUUACUCUCCCAUGCCAAGUAUCUGCUUGAAUUAAGUUAGAUUCAGUAAGAAAAUUGGUUAGCUAUAUUUGGAUGGAUUGUGUCCCCAAGUGCAGAGCUGAAACAUUAUGUAUUUUAUUUUGGUCUCGUCCCCAAAUAUAUUUGUUUUGGGCAUAGCUAUCCUACAAGCUUAGUACUCGGGCUGUCAUAAUUUCUUUUGCGUAGUUUGUAUGUGCUUAAUCAGAUAUCUUAUUACUUUUGUUCAUAGAUAGAGUCAUUUAUUGAACCAUCAAACAGAGCACCUCAUCUAUGGCCUGUUUGAUGGUGGCCUGAAGAAAAACAAGAACCAUUGGUAUUCGGAUUGGUUAGGAGUGUGGCUCGAUUCAUCUUCAUUUUAAUAGUCCCAAAUUUGAUUGCAUCAGCCGCUUCAGGAGAUGUUCAUGUGCGCCACAAAAUUAGCUUGAUCUGACGAUAGUACGAGGCUACCAGCCAGCUACUCUGUAGCUCCCAGUGUAGCUGGCUGGACUAUGCAGCUAUUUAAUUGGCGUUCAAAACUAGUGCCUUUGGUAGUUCCAGCAAAUUGGGGAUUCAGUAGCGCUCUUCCGUUUUCGAGUUUGCUCUCGUUAGUACAGGGAUAACAUUGCCUCCAAAAUAUAUAGUGAUAGCUCUACGACCGAAGAAAAAAAAAUUGUUGGCUGAAGGUUCUACAAUUGUCCUGUCCAAACUGUAAUAUUUAGAUAACAUGAAUUCUGAUCCCAGAGUUCAGUUUUGAUUUUCAGGAGUGCAAAAUAACUGUAAUAUCUGCUUGAAUUAAGUUAGAUUCUAUAAGAAAUAUAGUUUCCUGAAUUUGGAUGGAUUACGUCCCCAAAUGCAGAGCUGAAGCAUUUUGUAUAAUAUUUUGAUCUCGUCCCCGGAUGUAUGGCGUUUUGGGCAUAGCUCUCCGACAAGCUUAGUACUGAGACUGUCAUAUUUUCUUUUCCCCAGUUGUAUGUGCUUAGUCAGAGUUUUUUCUUGUUUUUGUUCAUAAAUAGUGUCAUUUCUAAUUUAACUUUACUCGACAUGUACAUGUCAAUUCAUAGUUUAUGACUAUGGUUAUACAUUCAUAUUACUUUGCGCCCAUCUCCUUAUAAUAAGAAAUUGCUAUUGUUUCCAUCCUCCAUUGAUUACGGGAGGAAGAGUGUUCAGCGUUGUCAUAUACCACACACGUGAUGUCUUAAAAAGCUUGAUACAGUGCAUNNNNNNNNNNNNNNNNNNNNNNNNNNNNNNNNNNNNNNNNNNNNNNNNNNNNNNNNNNNNNNNNNNNNNNNNNNNNNNNNNNNNNNNNNNNNNNNNNNNNNNNNNNNNNNNNNNNNNNNNNNNNNNNNNNNNNNNNNNNNNNNNNNNNNNNNNNNNNNNNNNNNNNNNNNNNNNNNNNNNNNNNNNNNNNNNNNNNNNNNNNNNNNNNNNNNNNNNNNNNNNNNNNNNNNNNNNNNNNNNNNNNNNNNNNNNNNNNNNNNNNNNNNNNNNNNNNNNNNNNNNNNNNNNCCUACCCUAGGGCCCUUUAUAAACUCUUUUGUAAAUUCUCUAGUUUAGAGCUCCUUCUCUUUGCGGUUACUCUAUAACCUUUUCCUCAGUCAUGGGGAGAGAAGGAAUAGGGUGAGACUCCAGCAUUUAAUUGUAAAUUGUGAUUCAUGAGUUAAUACAUGUCAGCAGGAUUGUACGAAUCUUUCCUACUGUCUUUGAUGCUUCAAAAAAAAAAGGUUUGAUUUCUCAAUAAAUGAAACUGUAGAUUUAGGUGACUGAAAAGAGUAGGUUUUGUCCCCAAAAAUCAAUCUUCAGUGACUUCGGGCUUCCUGUGAUGGUUUAUUUUGACUACUAGCUUGUUUUAAUCUAGACUAGAUAGACUGAUGGCAUGCAUCUCCAUUACUGAUUGAAAUUCCCGGCUACAGACUAGUUUGUAUGAUUCCUUUUCUUAUGUUCCUUGAAAAAGAAAAUGUUGUGUACAAAUUUGGGUAUGAGUUUAAAUUAUCAUGACAAGCUUUUAGCUCAUAAUCUUACAGAAUUUUUAUUAGUAUACGAAGAGGAAAUCAGAAGUUUAAGGUUCCCUUUGUUCUUGUAUAAUCUGCUCAUUUUGAUCAUUUGCAUAUUUAUAUUAGUUUUUGCUCUGUUUGGUUUACUGCAUCAUUCAGAUAAUCCACGAAUGUUAUAUGUUCUUGCGUGUUGGCGCCUUGGCGGCCUCUACCUGUUUGUUGGUAUGCUUCUCACAGCGGAGUAUGUUUUUUCAAGUGUCUAUUCAAGUGGAUGACUGCUAAUAUACAAGGGAUAGAAUGUACAGUAUUUUAUUUCUAACUGGAGUGGAUUUCUGGAACAUGUCUUCUUAUUUUAUUGUUUGGCGGGUGCAAGUAAUGUUAGAUUCAAAUUUUGGGACCUUCCUUUACAGUAGCAAAAUUCAGGAUUGGCGAGAAGAAAAGUGAACAUAAAGGCUUCAGAUCUAUUAAUAGGAUACGAUGUUGCUUCCAACCCAUGGAUAUGAAUGUUCCGGUCGCCGGAGAGAUUGUUGGACAGAUGAAAUUGAUGAGAAAUCUUUGCCCCCCUGCAAAUUAAGCAGCUUGAAGACCAAGCUGAAACCUGUACGAUGGCACUGAAGUUGCGCCUCCAAAUCUCUUUGCAUCUUGAUGUAAUUAGCCCAGUAGUAUUCAGUUUUGUAGUAAUGAUUUGUGAUUUUUCCUGCUGCUGGUUACCGAGUGCCAAGUGGCAUUUAGUUUCUCCAAUGGAAUUUCAUUUGUACUCGUAUGGAUGAUUUUUAUUACGUGAGAUAUUUUGUGGAAUCAUCAGUUUUUUUUUCUACAUGGAAUAUAUUUAUUUGGCUUUGUUAUUCCUGGGCCAUGUCGUUGUUAUUCCAUGCAGUGUGAUUUAAAGGCCACCAGGUUAGUUCUUGUCUUGCUCUCAAAUUCUGUACAUUAAUGCCUCUCACGGGCCUGAUUAUCACCUUUUAAGAGGUUCCAAUAAUCUGUACGUUGGCUACAGAUUUUUCUUACGUCAUGGUUGUCCAAAUGCCUCCUGUACAGAUUUUUCUCACGCCAUGGACAUCCAAAUGCCUCAUGUAUGCUAUUUUAUACGGGUCAUAAAAUUACUUAAGAGAAAAUACAAUAUAGGAAUGCAGGCUUCUUAUAUCAUAUAAAGAAAAUUAUGAACACCUCCCCAUUCAUUGCCGUAACUAUCUUUCGUUUUUAUAGCAUGAUUUUGGUGCACGUUUCAUGGACAUGACGGAACUUGCAAGCAUGCAUUCCAUAAGAUUACGUGUUUCUCUUUGUGUGAUGGGAGACCAGUCUCUUUUCUCCCCACUGUAAUCUUACCUUAAGUAUUUUCUUUCUCACGCUUUCAAGUCUUGCCGGUGAGAUUGGGCUGGGGUGAGGAAUAAGAAUUCCUCACACUGUAUUUGUCAACCCUGGAUUGACUAUUCGUCACCCUGGGUGAGGAAUAGUUAUUCUUCACUCCCUUCUAUUUUACCACCAAUGAUUUUACGUUCCGUAAGUUUUGUCUUAUUUUUGACAUAAAAAGAGGCCGUAAGAAAAUAUAUAAUCACCGUCAAAAAUAUUUUAUGUAAUAUAAAUUACAAACGUAAAAACAUAGUGUAAAAUAUACAUAAACUCCUAAUUUUCUUGUCUUAUGACCUAUAUUUUUUCUCCUAUACCAAAUUUUACGUAGUAAAUCAAUAUGAAUGUAACUAUUUGAAUUCCAAAUGUAGUUUAAUUAUGAAGUGAUCGUAAGAUUACCUCGGGUGAAGAAUAACUUAUUCUGCACCCUGGGUGAUGAAUAGCAUUAAUAUAUAUAUUUUUGUCUUAUUUUUGACAUAAAAAGAGGCCGUAAGAAUAUAUAUAUAUAUAUAUAUAUAUAUAUAUAUAUAGAGAGAGAGUAACACUAUUCUAAUCCAGAUUAGAAUAACUAUUCGGAUCACAACCCCUAUAUAGGGCCCAAUAGGGCCCUCCCGAACUUCCCAAAACAAAAAGAACACCCCGUCUUAUCUCCCUAGAUCCCCCGCUGCCGCGGCGACCUCCCAGAUCCUCGCCGCCGCGCCCAAGCAGCCCCGUGCCCGCCCCGCCACAUCCCUGCGUCGUCGCCUGCGCACCACCGCCGCCGCGACCCACCUUCCUGCACCGCCAACUUCUCACCAACGCCGCCACCGGGAUCCACACACCUCCACGCGUCGCUGGCACCUGCGCUCGCGCGUGUCGUCGUUCCUGAGCUAGUGCGCCGCCAUAGCCAUUCCUGAGUUCGCCCGCCGCCGCCGUUCCCGAGCUCGCACCCCGCCUCUUUCCACCACUCGCCUCUCUUGGAUGAUGCCGGCGCUCCAACCUCCCUCCCCCAAGCGAGUCGCCAUACAUCACCGUGGAUCCCCAUGGCGAACCACGCUGAGACCCUGAUCUGGACUUCCAGCUCCUCCCACCUCACCAUGGGUUGGCCCCGUAUCCCGCCUCCUUUCUCGGGUCACCUGCGCACCGGGCGUCGUGCGCCACCCCCGCAGUCUGCCUUCUCCCAUGCACCGCCUCUGAGCUGGUCAUCGCGCGCCGUCCGAGCUUCCAGCCUCGUCCCUCCGCCGUCUGACGCCUCCGCAGGUCGCCUUAGUCAUCCCUUGUACAGGUCGUUGUCGAUGAUGCUGUUCUCAGCCCCUCCUACCUCAUCCACUCCACGCUCCCCUUGGUUCCUCUGCAUCUCUCGUGCGCAGCCACGACUUGUCCUCUAAUGGUUAGCGUACGACAGUGGUUGUUAAUGGAAAAUUAGACCCACCUGUGCUACUGUUGUUGUUGGUCGUCAGGUUGGCCGUGCCCAAAUCCAACGAGGAGCAGUAGUAGUAGCAGGUACCAGAGGAGAUCAAAGUAUGUGCUGUGGCGAGGAGUGUUGUUUGCAAAAUUUCCGUUGGCCUUUGAUACGUCUCCGUCGUAUCUAUAAUUUUUCAUUGUUUCAUGCCCAUAUUAUACAACUUUUACAUACUUUUGGCAACUUUUUAUAUGAUUUAUUGGACUAACCUAUUGAUCCAGUGCCCAGUGCCAGUUUCUGUUUUUUGCAUGUUUUUUGUAUCACAAAGUAUCCAUAUCAAACAAAGUCCAAAUGCAAUAAAAUUUUACGGAGAAUUAUUUUGGAAUAUAUGUGAUUUUUGGGAGUUGGAAUCACCGCAAUCAGAGGCCCACACAGCCCACAAGACACCAGGGCGCGCCAGAGGCCCCUGGCGUGUGGUGGUGGGUUGUGCCCUCGAACGUCGGUUGGAGCUCUACUUCGGGCGCAAGGAAGUUUAUAUCUGGAAAAAAAUCGUGUUAAAAUAUCAGCGCAAUCGAAGUUACGGAUCUCUCGGAAUAUAAGAAACGGUUUUCGGCCAGAUCUGGGGAACGCGUAACAGAAGAGAACAGAAAGGGAGAUCCAAUCUCGGAGGGGCUCCCGCCCCUCCGCCGCCAUAGGAGACCAUGGACCAGAGGCAGAAUUCUCCUCCCCAUCUAGGGGGAGUCCAAGGAAGAAUAAGAAGUAGGGGGGCUCUCUCCCCCUCGCUUCCGGUGGCGCCGGAGUGCCGCCGGGGCAACGAUCGGGACGACGAUCUACAUCAAUAAUCUUGCUACCGUCAACACAAACUUUCCCCCCUCUAUGCAGCGGUGUAACACCUCUUCUCCCCGCUGUAAUCUCUACUUAAACAUGGUACUCAACUCCGUAUAUUAUUUCCCAAUGAUCUAUGGUUAUCCUAUGAUGUUUGAGUAGAUCCGUUUUGUCCUGUGGGUUAACCGUGAUCUUGUUGGUAUGAUUGUAUAUUUUAUUUAUGGUGUUGUCCUACGGUGCCCUCCAUUCUCGCGCAAACGUGAGGGCCCCCCGCUGUAGGGUGUUGCAAUAUGUUCAUGGUUCGCUUAUGGUGGGUUGCGAGAGUGACAGAAGCUUAAACCCGAGUAGGUGGGCUAUGGCAUAUGGGAUAAAGAGGACUUGAUACUUAAUGCUAUGGUUGGGUUUCAUGACCUUAAUGAUCUUUAGUAGUUGCGUAUGCUUGCUAGAGUUCCAAUCAUAAGUGCAUAUGAUCCAAGUAGAGAAAGUAUGUUAGCUCAUGCAUCUCCCUCAUAUAGAAUUGCAAGAAUGAUUACCGGUACUUGUUAUCGAUUGCCUAGGGACAAAUAACUUUCUUGUUGACAAAAACCCUUUUACUAAACACCUAACUUUUAUUAUCUCGCAAAAUACUUCUCGUUUUAUUCUCGCAAAGUACUCGUAGUUUUAUUAUUGCAAACUAGUUUCAUAGUUGUUCUAGGUAAAGCAGACGUCAAGUGUGCGUAGAGUUGUAUCGGUGGUCGAUAGAACUUGAGGGAAUAUUUGUUCUACCUUUAGCUCCUCAUUGGGUUCGACACUCUUAUUUAUCGAAGAAGGCUACAAACGAUCCCCUAUACUUGUGGGUUAUCAAGACCUUUUUCUAGCGCUGUUGCCGGGAGCAAUAGCGUGGGGUGAAUAUUCUCGUGUGUGCUUGUUUGCUUUAUCACUAAGUAGUUUUUAUUUCCUGUUCUAAGUUGUUCUCUAUCUUUAGUUAUGGAUAUGGAACACAAAACACCAAAAAAUAGUGGUACUUGCUACUCACGAGAUGGGGAACCUCCUAAAACCCUCGAUGCUUGUUAUGUGAAAAAUAUUAUGCACUUCUUUAAUAAUCCUGAGAAAACCCCAUUCAACAUGAUAAUGGGAGUAACGUUGGAUCAACAUGAAUACUUUAGGGAUUAUCGCUUGACACAAAAAGGGAAACUUUUAUGGGAUCAAAUUUAUAUGUUGCAUUGGUAUGCUCGGGAUUUAUGCUUGAGAUAUGAUUUUACUUGUUGCUCUAGGAUGAAUGCUCCACACCUUCCCUUUUCAUGCAAAUUUAAUGAUAAUGAAACCUUGGCUUCUUAUGCUAAUGGUAUAUAUGAUUAUUAUGAUGUGGAACGAAUAGAAGAAUUUGUUGCUUUUAAGGAUGCUUAUGAAAUUGAAUCUUUGUUUGAAAAAUAUGAAGCUUUUGAUGAUGAUGUUUAUAGACCUGAAAAUUUUGCCAUCCUUAAAUAUUGCUAUGAUAAUUAUAAAUAUAAUUCCGAUAUUGAUGAAUUUAUUGAGAAAGUCUCCACUGUCCAAGAAGAGACUAAUAUUUUGCCGGAGUCUAUGGAAGAAGGAAUUGAUGAAACUGUGAGCUCAUUGGAUGAAAAAGAUGAUGAGGAGAGUGAAGAACAAAAGGAGGAAUAGCGGAUUAGCUACCCGUGCCCACCUUCUAAUGAGAGUAACUCUUCAACUCAUACAUUAUUUAAUUUCCCUUCGUUCUUACCGAAGGAUGAAUGCCAUGAUAAUUGCUAUGAUCCCGUUGAUUCGUUUGAAAUAUCCCUUUUUGAUGAUGCUUGCUAUGCUUGUGGCCAAGAUGCCAAUAUGAAUGAUGCUUAUGGAGAUGAACUUGCUACUGUUCCUUAUGUUAAAAAUGAAAUUUUUGCUAUUGCACCCACAUAUGAUAGUCCUAUUAUCUUUUUGAAUUCUCCCGACUACACUAUAUCGGAGAAGUUUGCACUUAUUAAGGAUAACGUUGAUGGGUUGCCUUUUACCGUUGCACAUAAUGAUUUUGAUGAAUAUAAUAGGCAUGUGCUUGCUGCUCCUACUUGCAAUUAUUAUGAGAGAGGAACUACAUCUCCACCUCUCUAUGUUUCCAACACGAUAAAAUUGCAAGAAACUGCUUAUGCUAUGUAUUGGCCUUUACUUGAUGUGCAUGAAUUGUUCUUGUAUGACAUGCCGAUGCAUAGGAAGAGAGUUAGACUUCGCCAUUGCUUGAUAUAUGUUGCUUUGUGCUCACUACUAAAUGCCAAAUCAUUGUUAAUUAAAAUUGGCUUUGAUAUACCUUGGGAUCCGGGUGGAUCCAUUACUUGAGCACUGUAUGCCUAGCUUAAUGGCUUUAAAGAAAGCAAUGCCAGGGAGACAACUCAGAAGUUUUAGAGAGUCAUUUAUUUCUAUUGAGUGCUUUUAUAAAGUUUAAAAACAAAAAAUAUAGAAGGGAACUUAAAACUUCACAAAAAGAAAAGUGAAAGUGAGAAGGACGAGCACCGUGGAAGCGGGAGCUAGCCUUGAACUUUGUUCAUGCCCUUGGAAACUUUGUGAAUCUUAAUUACAGAAACUUUUCAACAAAAAUAAUUAUCCCCUUGUACAAUUCCAUUGUAUUAUAAAAAUAAUGUGCCAAGAUUUGCCUUUAGGAUGUUUAAAUUGCUUGUUGGUUUGUGCGGUGCAAAACAGAAACUUUGGCUGUAGUGUGCGAUUUUACAUUUUUUACUGGAAUAUCAAACGGUUCUGAAACCUUUUGCACUGUCUUUCUAUAAAUUUUUUUUAUUUUUCCUAUUUUUUUCAGAAUUUUUUAAGUUACAGAAGUAUGGUGGAUGUUCAAAUCUUUACAGACUGUCCUGUUUUUACAGAUUGUUGUUAUAGCUUCAUUAUUUGCAUAUGUUUGAAUUCUUGUUAAAGCCUCCUUGACUUGAGGCCAUAGAAUUGUGAUAGCAUACAGUGGGUAAUGUUUUUUAUAAUUAUACAAUAAUGUUUUGGCAGUACAUGAUGGGAUUUCAUUGCCAUAUUCACUAACCCCGCCACUAAAAGUUCGGUUAAGUUUUGUGUGGAUGAAGUGUUCGAAGAUCGAGGAGGUCUCGAUGUGAGGAGAAGUAAGAGAGGCAAGAGCUCAAGCUUGGGGAUGCCCAAGGCACCCCAAGUAAAUAUUCAAGGAGACUCAAGCAUCUAAGCUUGGGGAUGCCCCGAAAGGCAUCCCAUCUUUCUUCAACAAGUAUCGGUAUGUUUUCAGAUUCGUUUCAUUCACGUGAUAUGUGUAAAUCUUGGAGCGUCUUUUGCAUUUAGUUUUCAUUUUUCUUUUAUGCUCCAUGCUGGUAUGAGAUAGUACAUGGUUGAUUUAUAGAAUGCUCAUUGCACUUCACUUAUAUCUUUUGACUAUGGCUUUAUAGAAUGCUUCAUGUGCUUCACUUAUAUCGUUUGAAGUUUGGAUUGCCUGUUUCUCUUCACAUAGAAUACCAUUGUUUGAAGAAUGCUCUUUUGCUUCACUUAUAUUUAUUAGAGCAUGGUCUUUUGUAGAAAGAAUUAAACUCUCAUGCUUCACUUAGAUCUAUUUAGAGAGUCAACAGGAAUUGGUCAAUUGCAUGGUUAGUCAUAAAAUCCUACAUAAAACUUGUGGAUCACUGAAUAUGAUAUGUUUGAUUCCUUACAAUAGUUUUGCGAUAUAGAGAUGGAAUAUGUGGGAGGUACUAGUAAACGGUUGUGGUUAGUAGGAAUAUUGGUGUUAAGGUUUGUGAUUCCCGAAGCAUGCACAUAUAGUCUCUCGUUAUUCUAUGAAGUUGGAGGAUGAUUUAUUAUUGAUUGUCUUCCUUAUGAGUGGCGGUCGGGGACAAGCGAUGGUCUUUUCCUACCAAUCUAUCCCCCUAGGGGCAUGCAUAGUAGUACUUUGCUUCGAGGGCUAAUAAACUUUUGCAAUAAGUAUAUGAGUUCUUUAUGACUAAUGUGAGUCCAUGGAUUAUACGCACUCUUACCUUUCCGCAAUUUGCUAGCCUCUACGGUACCGUGCAUUGCCCUUUCUCACAUCGAGACAUGGUGCAAACUUCGCAGGUGCAUCCAAACCCCAUGAUAUGAUACGCUCUAUCACACAUAAGCCUUAUUAUAUCUUCCUCAAAACAGCCACCAUACCUACCUAUUAUGGCUUUUCCAUGGCCAUUCCGAGAUAUAUUGCCAUGCAACUUCCACCGCUUUCGUUUGAUGACUUAAGCAUUCAUUGUCAUAUUGCUUUGCAUGAUCAUAUAGCUGACACAGUAGUUGUGGCUCAGCCACCGUUCAUCAUUUUUCAUACAUGUUAUGCUAGAUCAUUGCACAUCCUGGUACAUGCCAGAGGCAUUCAUAUAGAGUCGUAUUUUGUCAUAGGUAUCGAGUCGUAAUUUUUAUUUCUUUUGAGUUAUAAGUAAAUACAAGUGUGAUGAUCAUCAUUAAUCAUUUUUAGAGUAGUGCCCCAGUGAGGAAAGGAUGAUGGAGACUAUGAUUCCCCCACAAGUCGGGAUGAGACUCCGGACAAUAAAAGAAAAAAAAGAAAAGAAAAAAAAUAAAAAAAAGAAAAAAAUAAAAGAAAGAAAAAGAAAGAAAGAAAGAAAAGAAAAAUAAAUAAAUAAACAAAGAGAGAAGGGGCAUUGUUAGUAUCCUUUACCACACUUGUGCUUCAAAGUAGCACCAUGGUUUUUAUAUGGAGAGUCUCCUGUGUUGUCACUUUCAUAUACUAGUGGGAAUUUUUCAUUAUAGUAUUAGAUGCACACCCACUUAGUUUUCAUAUUGAGCUUUCAUACACUUAUAGCUCUUAGUGCAUUCGUUGCAUGGCAAUCCAUACUCCUCGCAUUGAUAUCAAUUGAUGGGCAUCUCCAUAGCCCGUUGGUUAGCCGCAUCGGUGUGAGACUUUCUUACUUUUUUUCUUCUAUAUACUUACCCCUAUCAUCAUACUCUAUUCCACCCGUAGUGCUAUAUCCAUGGCUUGAACUCAUGUAUUGCGUGAGGGUUGAAAAAGCUGAAGCGCGUUAAAAAGUAUGAACCAAUUGCUCGUCUUGUCAUCGGGGUUGUGCAUGAUAAAUACUUUGUGUUAAGAAGACAGAGCAUGACAAGACUAUAUGAUUUUGUAGGGAUAGCUUUCUUUAGCGUUGAUAUUUUGAAAGACAUGAUUGUUUGUUGGGAUGCCUGAGUAUUGAUGUCUUUAUGUCAAAUUAUAGACUAUUGCUUUGAAUCACUUAUGUAUAAUAUUCAUGCCAUGAUUAGAUAUAUGAUCAAGUUUAUGCUAGGUAGCAUUCCACAUCAAAAAAUAUCUUUUUUAUCAUUUACCUGCUCGAGGACGAGCAGGAAUUAAGCUUGGGGAUGCUUCGUAUCUAUAAUUUUUGAUUGUUUCAUGCCAAUAUUAUACAACUUUUACAUACUUUUGGCAACUUUUUAUAUGAUUUAUUGGACUAACCUAUUGAUCCAGUGCCCAGUGCCAGUUCAUGUUUUCUGCAUAUUUUUUGUAUCGCAGAGUAUCCAUAUCAAACGAAGUCCAAAUGCAAUAAAAUUUCACGGAGAAUUAUUUUGGAAUAUAUGUGAUUUUUGGAGUUGGAAUCACCGCAAACAGAGGCCCACACAGCCACAAGACAUCAGGGCGCGCCAAAGGCCCCUGGCGCGUGGUGGUGGGUUGUGCCCUCCUCGAACAUCGGUUGGAGCGCUACUUCGGGCUCAAGAAAGCUUAUAUCCAGGGAAAAAUCGUGUUAAAAUCUCAGCGCAAUCAGAGUUACGGAUCUCUCGGAAUAUAAGAAACGGUUCUCGGCCAGAUCCGGGGAACGCGGAAGAGAAGAGAACAGAGAGGGAGAUCCAAUCUUGGAGGGGCUCCCGCCCCUCCGCCGCCAUAGGAGACCAUGGACCAGAGGCAGAAUUCUCCUCCCCAUCUAGGGGGAGGCCAAGGAAGAAUAAGAAGUAGGGGGGCUCUCUCCCCCUCGCUUUCGGUGGCGCCGGUGUGCCGCCGGGGCAACGAUCGGGACGACGAUCUACAUCAAUAAUCUUGCUACCGUCAACACAAACUUUCCCCCCUCUAUGCAGCGGUGUAACACCUCUUCUCCCCGUUGUAAUCUCUACUUAAACAUGGUACUCAACUCCGUAUAUUAUUUCCCAAUGAUCUAUGGUUAUCCUAUGAUGUUUGAGUAGAUCCGUUUUGUCCUGUGGGUUAACCGUGAUCUUGUUGGUAUGAUUGUAUAUUUUAUUUAUGGUGUUGUCCUACGGUGCCCUCCAUUCUCGCGCAAACGUGAGGGCCCCCCGCUGUAGGGUGUUGCAAUAUGUUCAUGGUUCGCUUAUGGUGGGUUGCGAGAGUGACAGAAGCUUAAACCCGAGUAGGUGGGCUAUGGCAUAUGGGAUAAAGAGGACUUGAUACUUAAUGCUAUGGUUGGGUUUCAUGACCUUAAUGAUAUUUAGUAGUUGCGUAUGCUUGCUAGAGUUCAAUCAUAAGUGCAUAUGAUCCAAGUAGAGAAAGUAUGUUAGCUCAUGCCUCUCCCUCAUAUAGAAUUGCAAGAAUGAUUACCGGUACUUGUUAUCGAUUGACUAGGGACAAAUAACUUUCUUGUUGACAAAAACCCUUUUACUAAACACCUAACUUUUAUUAUCUUGCAAAAUACUUCUCGUUUUAUUCUCGCAAAGUACUCGUAGUUUUAUUCUUGCAAACUAGUUUUAUACUUGUUCUAGGUAAAGCAGAGGUCAAGUGUGCGUAGAGUUGUAUCGGUGGUCGAUAGAACUUGAGGGAAUAUUUGUUCUACCUUUAGAUCCUCCUUGGGUUCUACACUCUUAUUUAUCGAAGAAGGCUACAAAUGAUUCCCUAUAUUUGUGGGUUAUCAGCCUUCUCUAGUUGCGUCCUCGUUACUGCUGCUCCAGACAAGUAUGGACUGCAGGACGCCUCCGCAGCAUGACCAAGUGUCAGUCUUUUUCUCUGAACCUCUUCCUUUCUGCUUGCACACUCUGAACUUGUUGCACCUGCCGUUAUGUGCUCCACCAAGGAUGGCAAAAGAAAUUUCUAUUUUUCCUUUAUAGUGUGUGUUUUUAUUAGAAAAAAUAAGAGAAGUUCAGUUUGUAACGAUGACAUAAAAAGGGCAUGAAUUCCACUUAGAGAAACCAAGGAUUGUUCCCUGUUGUAACCUCCGUUAGUUCAAGACUAAAAAUGUAUUUGUAUUGGGAAUUUGAUUUUGUAUCCCUCCAAUUUAAUGAGAACUAGCGGUAGCAUCUGGAAUCUCUUCCAAAACAUUUUCUAAUGCAGGGCAAACAAAAAUGGGCACAUUAUUUUGCUCGGCACUGAUGUGCAUGUCGUCGCCGCCAUUGCAUCCUCCAGCUCAACCCCACCGUUGCAGUCCAACGACUCCAGUUGCAGUCGUUCGUCACUGUCGUGCGAGGUAAGAUGGAUCUCAACAUCUUGCUCAUCCUUGUCGCAGCCAUGGCUCCCGGCAGGCCGCUGCCUUGUGACGAGGAUGUCGGUGUCCCGCACGAACCCCACAGUGCUCCGCCACCGGGACCCGGCCUGCAAAGCACUGGUUGUUCACCGCCGUCGGGCCACCACUCCCUGGAUCGGGGCCGCUAUGCUCGCGAGAUGUGUGUGCGCUAAUUGACGCUGAUCGAUGCUCAUCUCCUCCCUCAUGUAUGCAUCAACAAAAAUUGUGUGGGUCGUUGCAGUCCAAGUCGUGCCACAGCAGCAGGGCGACUCUUCCAGGACGCAUCUCAUCUCAACCAGCUCCAAUUUUGCGUGCACGGGGUGGUGGGUGCUGCUCUAGCGAGCUCCUUCGUCCCCGGCCCGUCCCUGAAUGUGGAUGCAUCACCGCAGGUUCCCUACCCACCGUGCCUCCUCUCUGCUUCUUCACUCUCCAAUUCUCUAGUUUUUUGUGUGUGCACGCAAAAUGUUGGCUAAAAUGUCUCAGUGCACUAGUACUAGUUUUGUGUGUUCGUUUUCCCUUCUAGCUUAGUCCUUACCUGCUAAUUGAUAUGGCUUGGAUUACUUAAGAGUGUUUUUCAUGUAUGUUCUACACUUCAGGUACAAGUUCACCCUGCAUCCCUGACGUAGCGCUGCUCCGGCUCCUCCCCCGCUUGCUGCCAGGUCUGUCUCUCCUUCCUCCCCUACUCGCUAUCUUGUGCGGAGGUGGACGCGGCUACCUGAUGGAGCGAAGCCGGCCUCCCAGCACUGGCAGUUGCAAAAGAAAAUAACAAUAGCAAGUUCAGAAUAAGAAAAAUGAGAAAUUCAAGAAGAACAAAGAUGUUGCCUUCACUCAAGUGCUUGCAAAUUGCUAGGCUGUAGCUCGUAUAUUGUUUGCAACUAUCUUCAAUUUCUUCAGUAGCUCGUACACAUUUUGCCAAAAGCUAUUACUUUCAUAAUCGUAAAGUUGAUAGUUGGCUCGCAGGGACAACCAUGUUGAUCGUGAUUGAAAAAGGAUUAUGAAAUAAUAUUAUUGAGACUGAAGUCCAACUUUGAUGCACGAUGUCAGAGGAUUCCAAGUCUUUUUCUGAGGCGGUCGAUGGCUUUCGAGAGAUGCAUUCAUAUCUCAAAAGUUUCCAGGGGUUCAAGUUCAUCUAUAUAAGAAGGAAUGCCAAUUUUGUUGCACAUUUGUGUGUGAAAGAGGCACUAAAACUUGAUGUACUCGCUAUUUCUUUUCUUGUAACGCCUACCUACCUGAUUGAGACUAUUCAAUCACAGUUAUUUUUGCCUGCCAUGCCCUGGCACCUCCUCCAUCUUAGACUAGUCACAAUGGGGAGUAACUUAGAGUAGUAACAUGCAUAUGUUACUAGUCUAUGUUACUACCUCCACAGUGGGUAGUAACAUAUAUGUUGUGUCAUGCAUCACUUCAUUUAUUAGGUUGUAGACUCAUCUUUUCUUCAUAUGUGUGAUGUUAUAGUAACUAGCUAUGUUACCACAUGUCUCUCUUUCUUUAUUAAUUACAUGCCACAUCAUCUAUCUUGCCUAGAUAAGUGUGAUGUUAUCACCUAUGUUACUCCCAUUGUGAGUAGUCUUAGUGCCGCCGUCACGACCCAGCCUCCAUUUGCUGGUCGCUGCUUGCUGUUGUUGCUGUGGCCUGCCUCGCCCUCUAGCUAAUGUUGGUGCGCUACUAUUGAAGUUCAACUAAAUGCUAGAGAGAGAUUUCUGCGAGAGUUUAGCUACUAUAGUCCUUGGUUUUGUGUUUGAACUUGCUGUUGUCCAUGGCUAAAGAUUAUGAUGUGGCUUUUCUGCAGAUGGUCUUCCUGUAGAUAUAUCAUUUUCCAUCCUCAUUAUGUCAUUGUUACGGAGGUGGUCGGGAGGAUCAGGAGAGAGGUGGUGCGGGAGGAAGGGUGGGCCGCUCGGAGGGGUUAGAUGGACCCACCAGUUUUUCUUUUUCGGUGUUUCUGCGGUCUCAGAAACAUGUGCAUCGCCCCUAGGGGAUGAUGAGUAUUUCUGUACGCAUAUAAAAGAGAAUACAAAGAAAUUGAUCUAUUUUUUGUGCUUGUACAACCGUGUAUUUUUCUCUUUUUUAUUUAUUUUCCUAAGGCCAAGAAAUUGUGUUCGAGAAGGUCAAGUUUGAGGUAGUUCAUGAAUUGUUUAUUCAAAACAAAAUGUAUGUAAGUACGUCUCCCAUCAAGAAAAAGGCGAAGGUAUAUUAUUAAAAGUUAAAGCAACUAUGAUUUUUGUUCUAGAAAUACAUCCAAGAUAUACAAAGUAAAAAAAGCAAUUGUGAGCCACGUUAAAUUGUUGUUUCUUAUUUUAGCUAAAAGAAAAAGAUAUUUCAAAGCACUAAAAUAAAAUAAAAACACCCACAUCUUUGUAGUUCUAUUUCAUCAUGCGUGAGAGUCCAAAAUGAAUAGUUCUUGAAAAGUGCACGUCCACAAGUGCGUUAAAAAUGCACACAUAAUGUUCAUAUACGAUAUUUGCAAAAAGGUCAAAAUAUGAAAUGCAAAAAUAAAGUUUGUACAUGAAUAAAUUCAGAUGGUAUCAUGUAAAAAAAUUAUCAAAUACAAAAACGUUUAUAUGUGUGCGAAAAAAUGUUUAGUUCUUAUUUCCCCAAUCAUAACAAAAAAGAAAACUCAGAAGUUCAACUUUAAUAAAAUGAGUAGUUCAAACUUUACUUAUUCUCUAAAACCAAGAAGUCCAAAUUUAAAAAAUGGAGUGGUAUGAUGUUUAUAAAAACUCAGAUUUUACUCUUUACAAAAAUCCUCCGAAAAGUUUCGUUAUUAAAGUGGUUUUAUGUUUAUUACAAGACUGAAUUUUUUCUGCUACCAAGAAAUAAAACCAAGAAGUCCAAAUUAAAAAUAUGGAGAAGUUCGAUGAUUAUAGGAACUAUUAUUUUCCUCGUUAUUUAAGAAUGAAAACAAGAAGUUCAAAAUAAAGUAAAGCAAUAUUUCAAUGAAUAAAAAAUGGAAAAUCUGAAUCUGCUGAUGGGAAGAACAUAAGAAGUUCAGACAAAAAUAACGCAAUAGUACAAAAAUAGGAGAGCACUUUGAAACAGAUAUUUCACCGUUUCUAAUGAAAAAUAAUAAGUUCGAAUUUUAAACAUAGAGUAGUUCAAAAAAUCAUAAAAAACGGGAUCAUCAGCAUUUCUAAAAAACUCUAGAAGUUCAAAUUUAAAUAACGGAACUAUUCAAUAUUUAUUACAAAACUAGGAUUUUGCCAUCACUGAAAGAAUAAACCAAGAAGUCCAAAUUACAAAAAUAGAGAAGUUCGAUAUUUAUAAAAAACUCAGAUUUUCCUUGUCACUAAAGAAUAAAAAUGACGAAGUUCAAACUAAAAAAGAGGAGUAAUUCGAUGUAUAUGGGAAACUCAAAUUAUUACCGUUUCUAUGAAAAAUAAAACAAUGAAGUUCAAUUUUAAAAAGAAUGUUUGAUGCUUAUUUAAACACAUAUUUCCUUUCUAAGAAUAUGACUAAGAAGUUGAAAUUAAAAUAACAGAGAAGUUCGAAGUAUAUAAAAAAACUCAGAUUUGUUGCAAGAAGUUCACGUCACCUCCGUGCACGGUUCAUAAUUUAUAUUGCGGGACGUCCGUCCUCCAAUUAAAUGUUUUAAAAAAUGGUAAAAAAUGACGUCCAGCCUUCAAUUGCGUGUAAUUCGACGUAUACACAAAAAUGUUGGCUGAAGUUCAUAGUGAAAACAACGAGAAGUUCAAUUACUGCAAGGAAUGCAUUUCCGGUGAAAAUAAAAGUAUAGAAAAAUAAAAGCUUAAAAAGUUUGUUGAAAGAAGUUCAAGUGCUCUGUCCAGGGAAGUUCAAAAAAAAUUGCAAGAGAGGUUCACCUUGUAUUUUCAUGUUUAAAAACACAAAAAAAAUGUGUUUUAAAACAAUUCUCUCAAUCCACAAAGAAGUUCAGUUAUUAUUUGGGAGUAAUUUGAUUUAAAAAAUAAAAUAAAAAAUUCAAAUUAUAAAAAGGAAAAAGUUUAUGUACUACAUGGUGUGUGUUUAAUAUGAGAUUUUUUUUGCUAUAAGUUCAAGUACUCUGUGGGAGAAAGUUAAAAAAAUAUUGUGAGAGAGGUUUGUAAAAAAGGAAUAUCAUUUGUGUAACACCGACAAAUGGAUGAGAAAAUUAGAAACAAAAAUACGUCACAGAAGUUCAACAUGAAAAGAACAGGAAGUUCAACUACUACACUGAAUGAAUUUCAGACGAAAUUUUUAAAAAUCGUCGCGAGUAUGAAAAAAUGAUCAACACGGAAAAGUUGCGUGUUUACAGCAACUUUCCAUCGGUAUAUCACUUGCUCAAUUCCGGUGAGUGGAUGGAGAGCUACGAGCCAAAAAAACACGUGAAAAAUAGAGUGAAGUUCAAGUAGACAUACCGAGAAGUUCAAGUUCUUCACAAGGUGCAUUUUCGAAUAAUCUGUUUCGCAAUAAAGGCGGAAUGCAUGAUCUCACUAUUUUAAAAAUUACUUCAAAACAGCUAGGAAUCAGAGAAAACCAAUAACAUGAAAAAAUUUCGCAUUUUUCGUAGCUUUUUAACAGUGUAUUAUUUACCCCAUUCCGAUAAAGUUUGUAGAAAUUACGGCGAAAAUACGCUUUUUGCCAUUUUAAAAAUUGAUUUUAAACCGUAAAGAUUUAGGAGAAACAAUAUAUAAGAAAAAAUUUCGCAUUUGUCCUAGCUUUCCAACGCCAUAUCAUUUGCUACAUUCGGACAUACGGUUAAAAAAUUAGCUGGAAAAUAAGAACUCGGUGAAACUUGUACCGUUUUCUAAAUUACUUUUAAACCAUUCAAAUUAGAAAAAUAUUUCAAAAUGAAAAAGUAGCGCAUUUUCAUAAGCUUUCCAAUGCCAUAUUAUUUGCCUCAAUUGGAUUAGCCGUUUAGAAAUGAUAUCGAAAAUACGAACUCAGCUGUUCGGUUUGUGAAAUUUUACGAUUUUCAAAAUUACUCUUUAACCAUAGGGAAUUAGAGAAAACUAUCAACAUGUGGAAGGAGCGGUUUUGCAGCAGUUUUCCAACGUCAUAUUAUUUGCCUCAUUCCGACAAACGGUUUAGAAAUGCGAUAGAAAAUACGAUUCACGUAUUUUGUAUGAAGAAAAAACGAUUUUCAAAACUACUCUUAAACCGCUGACAUUUUGCCAAAAAUUCAACUUGGGUCAUGAUACUCGUGUCCAUAGCUUUUCAAUGGUAUAUCGCAAGCCCCAUUUUGCAAUGUUGGCUGAAGUUCAACCUAACCCUUGAAGAAGUUUAGGUCGAACAACUCAGACAGUAAAAUUGUAACAGACGCAUGUUCAUCACGACUCGAGAGUAAAAUCCGCCAAUGAGCGAGAUUCCUAUUUAAAACGGACAUUUACUUCCUAAAAACUGUUUGGAGAUUACACUUACAUCACAUAGAACACAACUAACAAAAAAAUCACGCGAGGAGACACGGUUGCGAAGAUAGCCCGAAGGUCAGGUUCCUACAGCGNNNNNNNNNNNNNNNNNNNNNNNNNNNNNNNNNNNNNNNNNNNNNNNNNNNNNNNNNNNNNNNNNNNNNNNNNNNNNNNNNNNNNNNNNNNNNNNNNNNNNNNNNNNNNNNNNNNNNNNNNNNNNNNNNNNNNNNNNNNNNNNNNNNNNNNNNNNNNNNNNNNNNNNNNNNNNNNNNNNNNNNNNNNNNNNNNNNNNNNNNNNNNNNNNNNNNNNNNNNNNNNNNNNNNNNNNNNNNNNNNNNNNNNNNNNNNNNNNNNNNNNNNNNNNNNNNNNNNNNNNNNNNNNNNNNNNNNNNNNNNNNNNNNNNNNNNNNNNNNNNNNNNNUAUAUAAACUCUAUUAAUAACCCAGGGUGAAGAAUAAUGGUCGGUCGAUCGAGCUGAAUAGCCGAUUCCUCCGUCGCAUCCGUGGGGUGGUGUAAUUUUACCUUUUCUUUAUGACGGUCCCUCCUUUUACUUUUUUUUUUGCUUGGUCGUGCUGUUUGGAUCACGCCCACUACCAGCCGAAUCAAAAAAAAGAUCCAAGGGAUUCAGUCAUGUUCUAAUCAACAACUGCGGCGAGCGGUUUGGGGCUAGGCGAGCGGCGGCCAUCGUCCGACAGUGAUACGAGUGGGCCCGGCGGGAGCUCGGCCUCCAGCGCCGUUCUCUCAAGCCCGGUGUGGUGGACGACGCCUCGCCGGCGAUGAACACCUGGCCACACCGCCACAGUCGGGCGCAGUCCGCGAGUCAGGGGUUGGAGGCGUCCUCGUCUAGUCGACGAGCUGGUUAUGGUCGGGAGGGCAGCGCGUCGUGGCUGCUGCGUGAAGAGGUACUUCAUCGCUUUUCGGUAGAUGCCCCCAAAUGAUUAUGCUUUAGGAUCCAGCCCUUUCAAUUUGAUUCUAUUUUACGGAGCUAUGGUUGAUUCUCACUACAACUUCACCAUCGAUUGCUUUAUUAUGCCUGACUACCUACGUAAAUCAAGAUCCCGCAGGCUGGCAUCCAUGGCUGGAUAUGCUUCAGUAGCCUCACUUUAUUUUCUUUAUUUUUUUGCGGGGUAGCCUCACUUUAUUGCCUCGAUGUUGCCGGUCGAUGGCCGUAGCCUUAUUCGUUUUGCCUCAGAUCUUGGACUAUUGCUUCAGGAGCAAACACAUAUAACAAUAAAUCAGACGCAUGCAGGCAAUACUUCACUGCACACGAUAUAUUUGAUCCGGCAACUAGUUUAUCCAUAUCGUUGAUUGAUGCGGAACAAACAUACUAAUGGUCAAUUUCGCAAUUCAGUUCUUGUUCUCGCCCACUAAUAAUAAUAAAAAGCGACGAAAUCCUUAUCCGUCACUUGCUGCUAGUAAUCCCGAAAAGAAACCAAGCAAAGGUUUGGGAGUAAAAACUAAUUCCUUGCCCAAUACACUACUAAGUCCCUCCUCUAAAGUCAUAUCCCUCUUCCCAUUAUUACCAAAUACUCCCUCCGUCCGGAAAUACUUGUCGGAGCAAUGGAUGUAUCUAGAUGUAUUUUAGUUCUAGAUACAUUCAUAUUUAUGCAUUUCUUCGACAAGUAUUUCCGGACGGAGGGAGUAGGCUAUAGAUGAGUUGCUCGGGUGGCCUGAAGCAAAACAAGAACCAUUUGUACUCCAAUUGGUUAGGUGCGUGGUUUUAUUGUUCUUCAGUUUAUUAGUGCGAAGUUGGUUGCAUCAUCCGCUUCAGGAGAUAGUCAUGUGCGCCACGAAAUUAGCUUCACCUAGAGAUAGUAUGAGCAGGCAUACCUCCUAGUCUAGCUAGCUGGGCUAUGCAACUAUCUGAUUGUUUUUUUUAGAAAAGAAGGAUGACCCCCGGCCUCUGCAUCUGGGAGAUGCAUGUGGUCAUUUUAUUAAUUAUUCUCGAGGACCUUACAAAGUAGAACAACAAUAUGCCUGAAUCCGCCAUCUUGGCAACUUCUGCCGCUACUCCUAUCCAAAUGAUGAAGGGGUGCAAGUUGGGCCACAUACCCAGAGCUCUCACCUAAGCCUAACAUCUAAAGCCGAAGUCCCCGACCGAGCCAUCUGCCGGGUCCGGGGCUCAAACCGGUCCGACGCACUCACAUCUGUCGUCGCCGCCAUCUUCCACUGGUCCAUCUUCAGAGCAGCUAUCUGAUUGUAAUUGAGGACUAGUGUCUUUGGUAGUUCCAACAAAUCAGGGAUUCAGUACGAAGCUUAUUGGCAUUCGGUAUUCGAGUUUGUUUGUUUUGCCUCCAUAAUAUAUGGUGAUAUCUAUAUAAACCCAAGAAAACAUAUGUUGGCUUUUCAGCUCUACCAUUGUCCUGUACAAACUGGAAUAGUUGGAUAACGUGAACCGUGAAUAAGGGUUCAGUUAUGUUUUAAGGAGUGGAGAAAGAAUAUUUCAAGUAGGCUCAUGACGAUCACCUAUUCACUUCGAUUCUGUUUUCAGCGGCUUGAAUUGGGCAAUUAAGCGUUGGCUAUAAGAUAAAUGGGUACCCACUGAUUUUGGGAUUUAUGUUAGCUUGAAGACAACAGUUUAUACCCAAAUAAAGUGAAACAAACAUUAUCUCUAGUACUGAGAUGAGAAGUAUCUCAGGUCUGUAGGUGCAGAAUCAGGGUGGACUAUAAUGGAGCAUAUGCAUUAGCUUGAAGACAAUAGUUUAGCUCAAAGAAGAUGAAUCAAACAUUAUAACGAGCACUGAGAUGAGAAAUAUUUCGGAUCUGUAAGUGCCGAAUCAGGAUAUAUUAUAAUGUGGCUUAGCUAUAUUUUAUUUUGGUGAUGCCGACUAACCUAUGACUAGCUAUGCAGCUUUUCAUGUAAAAAUAAAGGAAAAACUUGGCUUAUUUUCUACUCCCUCCGUUUCAAAAUAUAAGCCCUUUUAGAGAUUUCAAUGCAAACUACAUACGGAUGUAUAUAAACAUAUUAUAGAGUAUAGAUUCACUCAUUUUGCUUCGUAUGUAGUCUAUAUUGGAAUCUCUAAAAAGGCUUAUAUUUAGAAACAGAGGGAGUACAUGCCGCCAAGGCAUAAUUUCUGAUCCAUUGUAGAACGGAAUUUUUUCUGUUCAUGCAUGAGAAUACACACAUAAACCAUUUAUUACUGAACGAAGAAUCCUUUUAUCAAGUUUCUACUUUGUACUGGAGCUUUCAGAUUUAGCAUCUGUUUUGGCACCUUACGGAAACAGACAUAAUUUACUGUUUAUUUCCAGCCAUUGAUUCUACAGCAUAUCUACGCACCACUUCUUUUUCAGAUUCUUGUAAACUGUAUGACAUUGAUUUUGAUCUUCUAUAACAUUUCUCCUGUCUUUCAGAACUAUCCAUUCAAAUAUCAGGUAUUCUGGGUAAUCUUUUGUGAUGUCAUGUUUAGCACAAUAAUUUUCUGAGUAAAUCCAACGUUCCAGGAAUCUUUAUAUUUUAGUUGCAUUUAUUGCACGAUCUAGAAGAGAAGCUUCGAUUUUGGCAAUAGACGCUGCAGAAAGUUGUUGCUAGUUUUGGAGGUUUAUAUGUGAUAGUUCUCGUGUCCUAUGUGUGAGCAGCAGUACAAGUGAGUUAACAUGUUUACGAGUUUAUCACAUGGUUUUCUCAAACAAAAAAGUAGCUUCCUGAUGAAUCAGAUGCAUUUCUGUGUGGUGCUUCAGCUGAUGCGUCGCUUGUCAGGCCUGUCGUGGAUAAUCGGUGCAUGGUAGGAAGAACAAUGGCAAAACGAGGACGGACUGAAGGCAGCAGAUUCCGUGUUGGUCGGAGGGGAAGACGUUGUCUUUAUCUAAGUGCCUCCUGCAACCAUCUCCUUGUAGCCUCAGAUAAUGACUUCAGGUAGGGCAGACCGAGUGACAUAACUGUAACUGUGAUAAUCAUUUUAGUAAUCUUAUUUGAUGACAUUUCUGGAGGGAUAUGUUCCUCAGCUGUUCAUAUUAAUGUUUCUUACUGUCGUCGGCUAAAAUUUCACAUUCAAACUGAACUUGUUAUCACAGAAGUUAGGACGAGAUUUUUUUUGUUCAAUGGUAGCUUCUAUUUUUUUUCAUUUAUUUGUUGUGUCUGGUACCCACCAUAUUGUUUCUGGGAAGAAGUAUCCUCCAUAUCCCAGUCACACAUUGACUUUCUUGGUGGUCGUCUUGUCGUUGUCGUUCUCCCUUGUAGAUGGAGAUGGCCGUAUAAAUGGCAUGCCCAAUGUUUCACCAACCUCAAGCAGGGAGCCACCAUUACCUUGUGUUCGGAUUGGUUACCAUAAUCAAAUCCUUUUUUGCCUCACCCGCAAAAAAAAAAGAAAUCCCUUUUUGCCCAUUUAAAUUAGUUGGCUCGAUUUUGUUGAUAAUUGAGUUUGAUUGGCAGUAUAUACUCCAGUGUCUUCGUUGUUCUGAUUUAUAAUCUAAUUGCCAGGAUGUUUGCUAUAUUUUUAGUAUGUAGAUCGUGGGAGAUAAAAAUGGCUUCAUGUGGUGGUUAAUGUUAAAUCAUAUUCCACCUGCUCACGAUGUGCAAGAGAUAAAAAUGGCUUCAUGUGGUGGUUAAUGUUAAAUAAUAACCCGGACGCUGCUACGCAGCGCCCGCGCGCUAUGCGGGUGGAUGUCGCGGCCGCCAUAUUAGGAAAGUCAAUCCUGUCGGUCCCCACCCAUGUGCUAAAAAGGCAGGCCCACCUCCCCCUCGUUUCCACGUCCCAACAAGCAGCGACCGAUCUGCCUCACGUGAUCUUUCCCCUCCCCCACUCACCCACCACAAGAAAAACCCUACGUCCCACAAGCGCAGAUAUGCAACUUCUUGUUUCCAUCCCCAGCCGCCGCUGGACGCCAUGGCCUAGCGUUGGGGACCUCCCCUCCCACUGCGAAAAACAGAGUAAAAAAGGCCAAAAAUCAAAGCGAAAAAUCCUGGGGGAAAUUCUGGAAAACACAAUUGUGUCUGCAACUCUUUCGUGCUGACCAGGCAAAAAUUCUGGAGAUCGAGGGCAAUUCAAUUGCCAGAGCUGGGCAAAUUUCUCCCAGUGAACAGCAAAAGGUAAACAAAGUUGUUCCAAUGUUUAUGAACUUCUUUUAAUUCUAGAACUAGUGGAUUUCCCUCUCUAUACCUACCCCCCCCUGAUAUACUACUUGCAAAAAUUGCCCCUGUACCUAAGUGUUUCAGAACCUGGCUUGAUUCUUGUCCCUGUUCUUGCCUCCCCCUUUACACAUGUAUAACUUGGAUGCUAGAUAAUAAAAGCUGCUGACUCUUGGCUCUUGAAUUGCAUCUUGUCUAUUGUAUUGCACCUUGCUUCUGUAAGCAAAAAGAAACAAAAAAAAGCACAUUUGUGUUACUAAUCAGUGUACAGGAAAAACUAGUCAAAAAACUAUUGAGUUGCUUACAAAAAAAGCUAGUAGUAAAGUCUAGUUGCCUACUAAAACAAGUAUCCAGGAAAAAAGCCUGAGAAACCAGUACUAGAAAAAGAUUCCUGCAAACCCUACAAAAGGCUGCUCAUUGAGUUUGGUGUGUUUUGGUGAAUUAUGAAAAAAAUUGCCCUUGUUCAUUCAGUUUUGCUUGCAUGNNNNNNNNNNNNNNNNNNNNNNNNNNNNNNNNNNNNNNNNNNNNNNNNNNNNNNNNNNNNNNNNNNNNNNNNNNNNNNNNNNNNNNNNNNNNNNNNNNNNNNNNNNNNNNNNNNNNNNNNNNNNNNNNNNNNNNNNNNNNNNNNNNNNNNNNNNNNNNNNNNNNNNNNNNNNNNNNNNNNNNNNNNNNNNNNNNNNNNNNNNNNNNNNNNNNNNNNNNNNNNNNNNNNNNNNNNNNNNNNNNNNNNNNNNNNNNNNNNNNNNNNNNNNNNNNNNNNNNNNNNNNNNNNNNNNNNNNNNNNNNNNNNNUUUACAUUAUGUCGCUUACGUAUUAAUUCCUUGCCCCCUAUUUUGGUCUUCUAAAAUGUGCAGAUGGCUGGCAUUGAUCUCAAUGAGCUAUGCGACAUAGCACCGGACAUGUGGAUGAGUAGGGUCGAUGGGCUAUGCGACAUAGCACCCGGGGGUGGGCGAGUUGGUUGGACAGGCUUAGGCGAUUUCUGCAAAAAAAAAUAGAGGGGUGUGGUGUUGUAGGAGAUCAUGGUAGAUGGGCUAGGCGACAUAGCACCUGGGGGUUGGCAAGUUGGUUGGACGGGGUUAGGCGAUUUUGCAAAAAUAGAGGUGUGUGGUGUUGUAGUCGAUUGGGGUUGACGGGCUAGGCGACCUAGCACCAGGCGUGUGGGCGAUUUGGUUGGUCAGCUUAGGCGGUUUUGCACAAAAUAGAGGUGUGUGGUGUAUCUAGGUGAGUAGGGUCAAAUGGGCUAGGCGUCGUAGCACUAGGCGUGUGGGCGAGUUGGUUGAUCGACCUUAGGAAAUUUCUACAAAAGAGAGGGGUGUGGUGUAUGUAGGCGAGUAGGGUCGAUGGGCCAGGCGACAUAGCAUCGAGGGUGGGCGAGUUGGUUGGACGGGCUUAGGCGAUUUCUGCAAAAGAGAGGGGUGUGGUGUAUGUAGGCGGCUAGGGUCGAUGGGCUAUGCNNNNNNNNNNNNNNNNNNNNNNNNNNNNNNNNNNNNNNNNNNNNNNNNNNNNNNNNNNNNNNNNNNNNNNNNNNNNNNNNNNNNNNNNNNNNNNNNNNNNNNNNNNNNNNNNNNNNNNNNNNNNNNNNNNNNNNNNNNNNNNNNNNNNNNNNNNNNNNNNNNNNNNNNNNNNNNNNNNNNNNNNNNNNNNNNNNNNNNNNNNNNNNNNNNNNNNNNNNNNNNNNNNNNNNNNNNNNNNNNNNNNNNNNNNNNNNNNNNNNNNNNNNNNNNNNNNNNNNNNNNNNNNNNNNNNNNNNNNNNNNNNNNNNNNNNNNNNNNNNNNNNNNNNNNNNNNNNNNNNNNNNNNNNNNNNNNNNNNNNNNNNNNNNNNNNNNNNNNNNNNNNNNNNNNNNNNNNNNNNNNNNNNNNNNNNNNNNNNNNNNNNNNNNNNNNNNNNNNNNNNNNNNNNNNNNNNNNNNNNNNNNNNNNNNNNNNNNNNNNNNNNNNNNNNNNNNNNNNNNNNNNNNNNNNNNNNNNNNNNNNNNNNNNNNNNNNNNNNNNNNNNNNNNNNNNNNNNNNNNNNNNNNNNNNNNNNNNNNUGUUUGUAGGCGAUUAUGGUCGAUGGGCUAGGCGACAUAGCGUCGGGGUGGGCAAGUUGGUUGAACAGGCUUAGGCGGUUUUGCAAAAUGGUUGUGUGGUGUUGUAGGCGAUUAGGGUCGAUGGGCUUGGCGACCUAGCACGAAGGGGUGGGCGAGUUGGUUGGACGGGGUUAGAAGGUCUUGCAAAAAAGGUGUGUCGUGUAUGUAGGCGAUUAGGGUCGAUGGGCUGUGCGACAUAGUGUCGGGGGGUGGACGAGUUGGCUAGACAGGCUUAGGCGGUUUUGCGUAAAAGGUGUGUGGUGUUGUAGAUGAUAAGGUUCGAUGGCUAGGCGUCGUAGCACCUAAGAGUGCGCUAGUUGGAUGGUCGGCUUAGCCGAUUUUGUAGGGUGUGUGUUGUUGUAGGUGAGAAAAAUUGGUGGGUUAGGUGACCUAGCACCGGUUGUGGUGCGAGUUGGUUGGAUGGGUUAGGCGGUUUCAAAAGUGUAUAUAGUUUAAGGCGACUUUGGAUUGAAUGGGUGGGAUUGCCUGAUUCUGAACGGGAUAGGUUCCAGGCUCGUUUAGCAUUUAAAAACGUGUGAGAUUGCCUAAUUCUGAAUAGGACGGGUUCUGAAUAAAUUCCGUGCUGAUCUAGUUUGCAGGGUUUUUUGCCUGAUUCUCUACCUAAGGCAUGUAAUAAUGUUGUGAAAAAAAUAAAGAAAACCAAAAAAAUGUGUAGUCAGUAGCUUGCCAUCGUAUUGAUCUGGGGAGUCCUCCAUCUUAAAAACUGCCAUGCCAGGGAUGGUGGGAAAGUUGUGCUUGGCUAGUUUUCACUAUUUCUGUUGCCUGCAGAGAAGCAAAAAAGAAUGGAUUAUUUCAUGACUUCUACACUGAACCAGUUUCUCAUUUAUUUCCACAGGGAAAAAAUCUAACAAAAGCACAUGCAAUAUACAUAAGUAAUCGACAUGUAUAAAAGAUGCACUCUGCUAUCUGCUCAAAAAUGGAGCAGUAAUUUGGCUCUAGAGACUAUGCAGUGCUUGCUAUCUGCUCAAGCAUUGUGCCAAAAAAUGCUAACAUUUCAGGGAGCAAUAAACGAUACUCUGAAGAAAUAUAGUACGUUCAGAGCAAAAUUCUUAACUCAAAAAGCCUGCAUGUACAUACAUCAAAAAACAGCAAACCACUAAAACAUGUAGGUAUAUUUCUGGCAACGUUAUAUCCACUCUCCAUACCACUUCCCUUCUCUCGUUUGUGCCGUGCGGGGAGAGCCACGUUAAUAUCUCUGUUCCCGGCUUGCCAUAACCUACUUAACAUCAACCGCGAUAGAGAAAUUUGCCCACUGUAAAUAGUCUCUGGUGCAUCAGCUCGAAAAAGGGAUCCACUGCGACAGAGAAACAUGCCCACUGUAAACUUGCCCCACAACCUGCUGAACAUGAACCGCAAAACAGAGCCACAUUGCCCGGCUUGGCACUGAAUUGACGACUGUAAGUAGUAGCAUUGCCUAAUUCUGGAGGAAAGAAUAUGCUACAAAAGUGCCCACUGUAGGUGCUAACAUUGCCUACAAAAAUGUGCUUGGGGUCAUCAGGGAUGGGGUAGGAAAAACCUGGAAACACUACGCUGUAAAAAGUGAAGUGAGAAACAUUGCCUGUAAAACUAAACUUGCCUGUGAAUUGCUACAGAUUUGCACGCAAAAUCUGCAAACAAUUGCCCAGUGUAACCUGACAUUUGCCUACCUAUUGGUGGAAAACAAACCUACAGCGUACAAAGCACCUGGGAUCGAUUCCUUGCUUGCGAUGCACUACACAAAAAAUCACGCAAGAAAAUUCCUCUCUGCUUGCUACUGUUUGAUAUCAAAAUCGAAAAUCGGUUUUGGUUGGUAUUCUGCGCACGGGCUUGCCGGGGCAUCGAUUCCCCGUAUCCUUACUCCUCUGCCGGCAUCCCCGCCGUCCCCGUCCUCCCCCUCCCCCCGCUCAUCCAUGUAGAUGACGCCGCCGUGUCAGCGAAACACCUCCCCCCUAGUUCGCGAAAAUUGGGGGAAAAUGGAGGACUAGGGCGAGUGACUUACGUACUCUCUUCCCGACGGGGAUGAAGCAGCUCGCCGCGCCCUCGUCGUCUUCGCGUCGCCGAUUUGUCCGCCUGUACCUUCUCCCUCCCCUUCACUGGCCGCGCGGUCGCCCUCUCAAUCGAAACUGGUGGUGCUUCGCCUCCGCGCGGAGCGAUGUGGUCGACCUCCUCGCCUGUGCGGGCUGCCCCCGUGAUUUUUCGCCGCCGUUUGUUCUCUCGCCGGCUGCGGUCGCCGACGACCUAGGGAUUUCUCUCGACCUGCUGCUGAGGAGGUGGGUGUGAGGAGAGGAGGGGGCGAAUGCGUGCGAGACGACAGGCCGGUUGGAAACGUAAAACACGACAAAACGCCACCGCUCUCUCCCCCUCCCGUGUCGGAUCUGUCCACCACGUGGCAGGAUCAUGUCGCGUGAUGGACGGCUGGCGUUUGGCCACUCGAGAGUGCUAGAUCGCGCACACUCGUUAGACAGCGUUUGGGUAAGACUAGUCACAAUGGGAGUAACUUGACUAGUAACAUCACACAUUUUAAUAUAAGAUUGCUUAUGUGGCAGCUAAUUAAUAAGGAGAGAGGGAUUUGUGGUAACUUAGCUAGUUACUGUAACAUCACACAUUUCAAGACAUAAUGAGUCUAUAACCUAAUAAAUGAACUCUUUCAUGAUACCACUCAUAUGUUAUUACCCACUAUGGAGGUAGUAACAUAGACUAGUAACAUCGGCAAGUUACUACUCUAUGUUACUCCCCACUGUGAGCAGUCUAAUAACCCUUACGGUUAUUAGGUAUAAUCCCUGCUCCCAUCUCUCCGUGCUGGCGGUUCCAAAUGUUGAAAAUAAUAACCCAGUGGUUAUUAAGGGAAAAUCUCCGCUUCUCAUACCGGCAGUUGCCUCCUGAGGAGGCGCCUCAUUGAACCGUUGCGUCUCAUGGACGCGUCCGUUCCCCUCGUAUACAAGUGUAUAUUCAUGAUUAAUAAAGGAUACUGGAAUCAUUUGUUGUCAUUCUCGAUUCUCUCUCGAUUACUCUUCUAACACGUUAUCAUGCACUUUGCUCUGCCAAGAGCGAGAAAGCCAACCAACUCGCUAGCCAUGGCGCCCGCCCUCGCCGCAACCCCCCUGGCUCCAGCGCCGGCCGUGCCCGCGCCGCGCGGGCCUCGCNNNNNNNNNNNNNNNNNNNNNNNNNNNNNNNNNNNNNNNNNNNNNNNNNNNNNNNNNNNNNNNNNNNNNNNNNNNNNNNNNNNNNNNNNNNNNNNNNNNNNNNNNNNNNNNNNNNNNNNNNNNNNNNNNNNNNNNNNNNNNNNNNNNNNNNNNNNNNNNNNNNNNNNNNNNNNNNNNNNNNNNNNNNNNNNNNNNNNNNNNNNNNNNNNNNNNNNNNNNNNNNNNNNNNNNNNNNNNNNNNNNNNNNNNNNNNNNNNNNNNNNNNNNNNNNNNNNNNNNNNNNNNNNNNNNNNNNNNNNNNNNNNNNNNNNNNNNNNNNNNNNNNNNNNNNNNNNNNNNNNNNNNNNNNNNNNNNNNNNNNNNNNNNNNNNNNNNNNNNNNNNNNNNNNNNNNCUCGCCCGGCCUCCACCAUCGAUCGCCACUCGGGCCGUCGAUCUGGGGCGUGGGCUCCGGUGCGCCUCGUCCUCAUCACCGCCCCGCCGCUCGGAGCUUGUCAAGGCCCCGCCGCCACUGGGGACAACCGCGGGCUCGAGCAGCCGCGCGGAGCGGCACUUCAGCCACCUCUUCAGGCACUCCAUGGCCGCCAUCGACCGCUACCCUGGCCGCCUGCGCCGGUGAUCGCCUGAGAUGCAAGGGAUGCGGCGACCACUCCAUCCGUCGGCGGCGCUGGGUAGGAGGUGGGGAUCGGGGUGGUUCGGGCUUCGGGGUCUCCUACCCUUACCCGUAACCGCUGAGGGAUUCCUGGACUAAGGGGUCCUCGGGCGUCCGGCCUAUUAUCCAUUGGGCCAGACUGAUGAGCCAUGAAGACAUGAAGGCCGAAGACUAUACCAGUGUCCGGAUUGGACUCUACUUGGCGUGGAAGGCAAGCUAGGUGGCCGACUAUGAAGAUUCCCUCUGUUGUAACCGACCCCAUGUAACCCUAGAUCUCUCCGGUGUCUAUAUAAACCGGAGAGCGUAGUCCGGAUAGGACAGAUUCAUUACCAUAUACUCAUAGGCUAGACCUCUAGGGUUUAGCCAUUACGAUCUCGUGGUAGAUCAACUCUUGUAAUACUCAUAUUCAUCAAGAUCAAUCAAGCAGGAAGUAGGGUAUUAGCUCCAUAGAGAGGGCCCGAACCUGGGUAAACAUUGUAUCCCCUGUCUCCUGUUACCAUCGAUCCUAGACGCACAGUUCGGGACCCCCUACCCGAGAUCCGCCGGUUUUGACACCGACAUUGGUGCUUUCAUUGAGAGUUCCACUAUGCCGUCGGCGAAGGACUCGAUGGCUCCCCCGAUCGUCAGUAAUGACGCUGUCCAAGGAGAAACCUUUCUCCCCGGACAGAUCUUCGUGUUCGGCGGCUUCGUACUGCGGGCCAACUCGCUCGGCCAUCUGGAACAGAUCGACAGCUACGCCCUUGGCCAUCAGGUCAGAUUCGGAAGCCUAAACUACAUUGCGGACGUCCGUGGAGACUUGAUCUUCGAUGGUUCGAGACCGCGGCAAUCGCCCCCCUUCACCCCGACGAACAUGGCUUAAACCUGUCAUCGGGCCGCAUCCAGGAGAUAGCUCCUGUAGUUGCUCUGGCCUUAGAUCCGGAGCAGAUCGAGUCGUCCACAUAUGGGAAGGUCAACCCCAUCAUGGGGGCUACCGAUCCUGCGGCGUUGGAGCCACCCGCAGAUUCCACUCCAAACGGCAUCUGCAUCAACGGAACCCCGGACUCUCCUCCGGUGUCGAGUUCCGAACGCUGCGAGCCUGCGGAUACCGAACUCGACCGGUUAUCGAUCUUCAAGUUCACCGCCGCGGAUGUCUUCCAGCACUCGCCCAUGGGAGAUCUACUAAACUCAUUGAAAAACCUGUCCCUGGCAGAUGACUCAUCGCCGAACUAUGUUCGGUUUGAGUUUACGGCGGAUGAUGGAGAAUUUUGCUUCCCACCCGCCACCCACUUCAUAGCCACUGUCGACGAUCCAGCCAACACGCUGGACCCCGGCUCCGAAAACAUCGACGGUCUGGACGACGAUGAGGGGCAAGGCCAGAACUCGCUACCCACUAGUCGCGGGACGGCCAAUUCCUGGUAUGACAUGUGUAUGGUAGACACACUCAACGAUGCUCUCGACGAUAACAAGGAGGACCCAGUUGAGGAUACGCCUCCUGGCAUACAAUCCGAACACCGGCGCCCCCAGCGCCGCCCUCAAUCUUGUCGCUCAAGAGAAAACAAUACUUAAGCCGAAGAGGAUUACACUCUGAACAAUGAAGACCCUGUUGAGGUAGGAUCCGAACAGGAGGAACUAGAAAGCGGGCAAGAUAGCCCUGAUGAACAGGCCACAUACGGAGACUCAAAGGAUAGCAAUUAUCUCCCACUCUCCGAGGAGGAGGAGAUCCUCGGCAACGAAGAUUUCAUCGUGCCUGAGGAACCUCUCGAGCAGGAGCGCUUUAAACGCCAGCUAAUAGCCACCGCAAGGAGCCUAAAGAAGAAGCAGCUGCAGCUUCAAGCAAGCCAAGAUUUGCUCAAUGAUAGAUGGACCGAGGUCCUAGCCGCCGAAGAAUACGGCCUUAGCGGCCCUUACAGAAGCCACCCCAAGCAUAGGUGGCCCCCUCGAUACAAUAGCGAGGCGUUGGAGCCCGCGCCACCAUCGCACAAUGCGGAGGGUCAACCACAGAUCGGUCCGGAUAAAGCAGCAGCUCAAGAGAGACAACAUACCAACCCAUCCGGCCGUCCAAACAAAAGCAAAACAGCCCGGGGGAACACUCGUGACAUCCAACAAGACCUGGAGGGCAGAACAGGACAGACAAGAUUAAGGUACAGAUCGCGGGGACAUACCCCAUCCAGCAAUGAUGGUCACUUAUUCAGACGUAGCAGACCGGAACAUACCCGGUCCGAACAACGUAAACGGAGUACCGGAGGUGCUUCACAGCGUGGCUCAACAUAGAGGAGCCGCACACCCUCUCUGCUUCACGGACGAGGUCAUGGAGCAUGAAUUCCCAGACGGGUUCAAACCCAUUAACAUCGAAUCAUACGAUGGAACAACGGAUCCCGCGGUAUGGAUUGAGGACUAUCUCCUCCAUAUUCACCUGGCUCGCGGAGACGACCUUCAUGCCAUCAAAUACCUACCUCUCAAGCUCAAAGGGCCAGCGCGGUACUGGCUAAACAGUUUGCCAAAAAAUUCUAUUGGCAGCUGGGAAGAGUUGGAAGAUGCCUUUCGAAACAACUUCGAAGGAACAUAUGUCCGGCCACCAGAUGCCGAUGACUUAAGUCAUAUUGUCCAGCAGACCGGCGAGUCAGCCAGGGAGCUUUGGACUAGGUUCUUAGUCAAAAAGAAUCAAAUUGUCGACUGUCCGGACGCGGAAGCCCUUGCGGCCUUCAAGCAUAGCGUCCGGGAUGAAUGGCUAGCACGCCACCUCGGCCAGGAAGGACCUAAAUCCAUGACAGCCCUUACUUCUCUUAUGACUCGCUUCUAUGCGGGAGAAGACAACUGGCUUGCUCGUAAAAGCAACAAUGCCAGCGACCCGGGCACCUCCGAAAUCCAAGACGGCAACGGCAAGCCACGACGAACCGAAUACAACAGUCGCAGUCACAAUGAAGGAUCAUGCGACACAGUGGUCAAUGCCGGAUUUCACAAUCCAAAACCCGGUCAAUGGAAGAAGCCAUUUAAGGCCAGCCAGGAUGGACCGUCCACCCUUGACAGGAUAUUGGACUGACCUUGUCAGAUUCAUGGUCACCCUGAUAAGCCAGCCAAUCACACCAACAGAAACUGUUGGGUCUUAAGGCAGGCAGGCAAGCUUAACGCCGAGCACAAGGGGAGGAGGCCACCAAGCGAUAAAGACGACGGAGCGGCUCGUCAGCCGAACGCCAGGGGCCAGAAGCAGUUUCCCUCCGAAGUUCGACCACUCCCAGAACGUAAAUAGCAGUUCGGCUUUCGUCGCCCACUUCCUACACUGGCAAGAUUUACACCACGCGUACAUCAUUACGCGCUCAAAAUACCAUGGGCAUCGGCGGAAGCGCAAUACGGACAACCCCGCAAGCAUUCCCGUAACGUCUUUUAUCUGUUUUCUUUCUUUAUUGUAACUUAAAAAUUGGUGACCAACAGGACAGUAUCUACAAAGGACUCUACCGGAGUUCGGAUCCGUACACUCACCUCAGGGGCUACCUCCGUUAAGGAUUCCCCUCCAAGAGGACAAGCGGCGUAGACGUGCGACAGGAGGUCCAAAACAGCUUUUGUAGACCGCACUCUUUAUUUUUGAGCCUGUACUAUGCCUUUUUCCUCCGUUCCCGACCCCGGGCAUGUCAAAUAGCCGGGUUGUGGUUUUCCUUUAUAUAUAUAUAUAUAUAUAUAUAUAUAUAUAUAUAUAUAUAUAUAUAUAUAUGAAUUUAUUAUUGGCUUAUUGCUCCGCUCCCAAUAAACUUCAUCCGAACUAUAUCUUCCAUACUCCUUAUGGAAUGAGUAUGACCGUAACGGCUGUGUUACAAGAUACACCUCGGCAUAACUUGCCAGGGGCUCGGUAUGGGAACAAAUGAGUCUCCAAUAAAAGUCCGAACAACUCUAAAGCAUACUUCGACGUCGCAAGUUUGGCCUUAUAUGCAUCAGCUCCGAAUCAUUGUCUUUGGUCAAUAGUUGGGUUGCCCGGCUCCUGUGCUUGCUACUCUACGUUCCGCUCUAUCAGCUAGGGUAGUAAAGGGAGAACUACUGCGAUUGUGCCCUGGCUUUGACCGGAUGAGCACCUCAGUAGAGAAAGCCGAAAACUGACUGUCAUGAUGGGGCGAGAGCUGGUCAACCACUUGACGACUUAUUCAAAUCCUUAGCGAUUCUCCGUGUCACACGAGGGAUCUUUUUCAGAUCAAAUAUGUAAGGCACCAUAUGAUAAUACUGCCGAAUACAUACCAGGGGCUAUGUCGUAGCCCCACCAUAUGGUUAAUGAAAGUGUUAACGCCCUAUAGUUCGAUUGCCUGGUUCGCCGCAUUAUCACCUCCUUCAGGGACCAAGACGUUGGAUAAAGAGUGAUCAAAUGCUUUUUCGAACACCCCCGUACUUCCUACGAGGGGGCUGAAACCGAUGACUGGAAAACUUUCAGAUUACAUUAAAAUGGCCGCACAAGAGGAAUUUAAGCUUUUCAACAAAAUACAAAUAGAUUAACUAUAAAGCUGUUUGUUACAACCCUUAUACAUUACUCGAACAUUAUGUUUUUCGAGCACUGACCCUAUAUCAAGCGGGCAGCCUCUAGGACGUCUUCAAAAUAAUGCUUCGGUUCUGGAUGGUCCUUGCCUUUGGGUGGACCCUUUGCCGCAACAUAGAUGGCCUUCAUCUUCCCCCAGAAUGUCUUGACUCGGGCAAAAGCCAUUUGUGCACCUUCAAUGCACGCCGAUCGCUUCACAGCGUCGAUACGCGGCACCGCGUCGACAAGCCGCUGCACUAGUCCGAAGUAACUACUCGGCACAGGCUCAGUCGGCCACAACCGGGCUAUGACGUCCUUCAUGGCAGCGCCGGAUAUCCUAUGCAUCUCGGCCCACUGGGACAUCUGUUCGUUCAGCAACAGAGGGCGCUUUGACGCGCCAAAUUGCGACCAGAAAAGUUUCUCCUUUGCAUACCCCUCGUGCGCAUGAUAAAACUGCACCGCAUCGGAAGAACUCUUCGGCAAGUCUAGAAAUUUGUCCGGAGAACUCCAUACUUGGUUAAGCUGAGCAUAGUUCGGAUCGCUGAAUUUGGCCUGUAGCAAAAAGGGCUUGCCAGCCGCAAUUUCCCCAGCUUGCCGGAUUUCCUCACGGGCUGCUCUGGAUUCAGACCGCGCUUCUCUUGCCUCUCGUAAGGCUUAUCAAGUUCAGCCAUUUUGGCUUCAUUCUCUUUCUCAAGAAGUUUACAGCGGCUAGCCGCAUUCUCUAACUCAUGCGCCAUGGUGGACAUCUAUUGGGGAACGUAGUAAUUUCAAAAAAAAAAUGCUACGCACACGCAAGAUCAUGAUGAUGCAUAGCAACGAGAGGGGAGAGUGUGUCCACGUACCCUCGUAGACCGACAACGGAAGUGUUGACACAACAUAGAGGAAGUAGUCGUACGUCUUCACGAUCCGACCGAUCCAAGUACCGAACGUACGACACCUCCGAGUUCUGCACACGUUCAACUCGAUGACGUCCCUCGAGCUCCGACCCAGCCGAGUGUUGAGGGAGAAUUUCGUCAGCACAACGGCGUGGUGAUGAUGAUGAUGUUCUACCGACGCAGGGCUUCGCCUAAGCACCGCUGCGAUAUUAUCGAGGUGGAUUAUGGUGGAGGGGGGCACCGCACAUGGCUAAGAGAUCAAUGAUCAAUUGUGUGUCUAUGGGGUGCCCCCUGCCCCCGUAUAUAAAGGAGCAAAGGGUGGAGAGGCGGCCGGCCAGGAGGAGGCGCGCCAGGAGAAGUCCUACUCCCACCGGGAGUAGGACUCCCUCCCUACCUUGUUGGAUUAGGAGAAGGGGGAAGGAGGAGAGAGAGAGGAAGGAAAGGGGGGCGCCGCCCCCCUCCUUGUCCAAUUCGUACUAGAGGGGGAGGGGGCGCGCGGCCUGCCCUGGCCGCCUCUCCUCUUCUCCACUAAGGCCCAUGUAGGCCCAUUAAUCCCCCCCCCCGAGGGGGGGGGGGUUCUAGUAACCCCCGGUACUCCGGUAAAAUCCCGAUUUCACCCGGAACACUUCCAAUAUCCAAAUAUAGGCUUCCAAUAUAUCGAUCUUUAUGUCUCGACCAUUUCGAGACUCCUCGUCAUGUCCGUGAUCACAUCCGGGACUCCGAACAAUCUUCGGAACAUCAAAAUACAUAAUCUCAUAAUAACCGUCAUCGAACUUUAAGCGUGCGGACCCUACGGGUUCGAGAACUAUGUGGACAUAACCGAGACAUGUCUCCGGUCAAUAACCAAUAGAGGAACCUGGAUGCUCAUAUUGGCUCCUACAUAUUCUACGAAGAUCUUUAUCGGUCAAACCGCAUAACAACAUACGUUUGUUCCCUUUGUCAUCGGUAUGUUACUUGCCCGAGAUUUGAUCGUCGGUAUCUCAAUACCUAGUUCAAUCUCGUUACCGGCAAGUCUCUUUACUCCUUCUGUAAUACAUCAUCCCGCAACUAACUCAUUAGUUGCAAUGCUUGCAAGGCUUAUAGUGAUGUGCAUUACCGAGUGGGCCCAGAGAUACCUCUUCGACAAUCGGAGUGACAAAUCCUAAUCUCGAAAUACGCCAACCCAACAAGUACCUUUGGAGACACCUGUAGAGCACCUUUAUAAUCACCCAGUUACGUUGUGACGUUUGGUAGCACACAAAGUGUUCCUCCGGUAAACGGGAGUUGCAUAAUCUCAUAGUCAUAGGAACUUGUAUAAGUUAUGAAGAAAGCAAUAGCAGAAUACUAAACGAUCGUGUGCUAAGCUAACGGAAUGGGUCAAGUCAAUCACAUCAUUCUCCUAAUGAUGUGAUCCCGUUAAUCAAAUGACAACUCAUGUCUAUGGCUAGGAAACAUAACCAUCUUUGAUCAACGAGCUAGUCAAGUAGAGGCAUACUAGUGACACUCUGUUUGUCUAUGUAUUCACACAUGUAUCAUGUUUCCGGUUAAUACAAUUCUAGCAUGAAUAAUAAACAUUUAUCAUAAUAUAAGGAAAUAAAUAAUAACUUUAUUAUUGCCUCUAGGGCAUAUUUCCUUCAGUCUCCCACUUGCACUAGAGUCAAUAAUCUAGAUCACAUCGCCAUGUGAUUUAACAUCAAUAGUUCACAUCAUCAUGUGAUUAACACCCAUAGUUCACAUCGUCAUGUGACCAACACCCAAAGGGUUUACUAGAGUCAAUAAUCUAGUUCACAUCGCUAUGUGAUUAACACCCAAAGAGUACUAAGGUGUGAUCAUGUUUUGCUUGUGAGAGAAGUUUAGUCAACGGGUCUGCUACAUUCAGAUCCGUAUGUAUUUUGCAAAUUUCUAUGUCAACAAUGCUCUUGCACGGAGCUACUCUUGCUAAUUGCUCCCACUUUCAAUAUGUAUCCAGAUUGAGACUUAGAGUCAUCUGGAUCAGUGUCAGAACUUGCAUCGACGUAACCCUUUACGAUGAACCUUUUUGUCACCUCCAAAAUCGAGAAACAUAUCCUUAUUCCACUAAGGAUAAUUUUGACCGCUGUCGAGUGAUCUACUCCUAGAUCACUAUUGUUCUCCCUUGCUAAACACAGUUGAGGGUAUACAAUAGGUCUGGUACACAGCAUGGCAUACUUUAUAGAACCUAUGGCUGAGGCAUAGGGAAUGACUUUCAUUCUCUUUCUAUCUUCUGCCGUGGUCGGGCUUUGAGUCUUACUCAACUUCACACCUUGCAAUACAGGCAAGAACUGUUUCUUUGAUUGUUCCAUUUUGAACUACUUCAAAAACUCGUCAAGGUAUGUACUUAUUGAAAAAAAACUUAUCAAGCGUCUUGAUCUAUCUCUAUAGAUCUUGAUGCUCAAUAUGUAAGCAGCUUUACCGAGGUCUUUCUUUGAAAAACUCCUUUCAAACACUCCUUUAUGCUUUACAGAAAAUUCUACAUCAUUUUCGAUCAACAAUAUGUCAUUCACAUAUACUUAUCAAAAAGACUGUAGUGCUCCCACUCACUUUUUGUAAAUACACGCUUCACCGCAAGUCUGUAUAAAACUAUAUGCUUUGAUCAACUUAUCAAAGCGUAUAUUCCAACUCCGAGAUGCUUGCACCAGUCCAUAGAUGGAUCGCUGGAGCUUUGCACACUUCGUUAGCACCUUUAGGAUCGACAAAACCUUUUCGUUAUAUACAACUCUUCUUUAAUAAAUCCAUUUAGGAAUGCAGUUUUGUUUACCCAUUUGCUAGAUUUCAUAAAAUGCAGCAAUUGCUAACAUGAUCCGGACAGACUUAAGCAUAGAUACGAGUGAGAAACUCUCAUCGUAGUCAACACCUUGAACUUAUCGAAAACCUUUUUGCGACAAUUCUAGCUUUGUAGAUAGUAACACUACUAUCAACGUCCGUCUUCCUCUUGAAGAUCCAUUUAAUCUCAAUGGCUCACCAAUCAUCGGGCAAGUCAAUCAAAGUCCAUACUUUGUUCUCAUACAUGGAUCCCAUCUCAGAUUUCAUGGCCUCAAGCCAUUUUGCGGAAUCUGGGCUCAUCAUCGCUUCCUCAUAGUUCGUAGGUUCGUCAUGGUCAAGUAACAUGACUUCCAGAACAGGACUACCGUACCACUCUGGUGCGGAUCUUACUCUGGUUGACCUACGAAGUUUUGUAGUAACUUGAUCCUAAGUUUCAUGAUCAUCAUCAUUAACUUCCUCACUAAUUGGUGUAGGAAUCACUGGAACAGAUUUCUGUGAUGACCUACUUUCCAAUUCGGGAGAAGGUACAAUUACCUCAUCAAGUUCUACUUUCCUCCCACUCACUUCUUUCGAGAGAAACUCCUUCUCUAGAAAGGAUCCAUUUUAGCAACAAAGAUUUUUGCCUUCGAAUCUUUGUUGCUAAAAUGGAUCCUUUUCUGACAAAUCUCGGGCAAGUAACAUACCGAUGACAAAGGGAACAAACGUAUGUUGUUAUGCGGUUUAACCGAUAAAGAUCUUCAUAGAAUAUGUAGGAGCCAAUACGAGCAUCCAGGUUCCGCUAUUGGUUAUCGACCGGAGAGGUGUCUCGGUCAUGUCUACAUAGUUCUCGAACCUGUAGGGUCCGCACGCUUAAAGUUCGAUGACGGUUAUUAUGAGUUUAUGUAUUUUGAUGUACCGAAGGUUGUUCGGAGUCCCGGAUGUGAUCACGGACAUGACGAGGAGUCUCUAAAUGGUCGAGACAUAAAGAUCGAUAUAUUGGAAGCCUAUAUUUGGAUAUCGGAAGUGUUCCGGGUGAAAUCGGGAUUUUACCGGAGCCCCGGGGGAUUAAUGGGCCUACAUGGGCCUUAGUGGAGAAGAGGAGAGGCGGCCAGGGCAGGCCGCGCCCCCCUCCCCCUCAAGUCCGAAUUGGACAAGGAGGGGGGGCGGCGCCCCCCUUUCCUCCCUCUCUCUCUCCUCCUUCCCCUUCUCCUAAUCCAACAAGGAAGGGAGGGAGUCCUACUCCCGGUGGGAGUAGGACUCCUCCUGGCGCGCCUCCUCCUGGCCGGCCGCCUCUCCAUCCUUUGCUCCUUUAUAUACGGGGGCAGGGGGCACCCCAUAGACACACAAUUGAUCAUUGAUCUCUUAGCCGUGUGUGGUGCCCCCCUCCACCAUAAUCCACCUCGAUAAUAUCGCAGCGGUGCUUAGGCGAAGCCCUGCGUUGGUAGAACAUCAUCAUCGUCACCACGCCGUCGUGCUGACAAAACUCUCCCGCUACACUCGGCUGGAUCGGAGCUCGAGGGACGUCAUCGAGUUGAACGUGUGCAGAACUCAGAGGUGCCAUGCGUUCGGUACUUGGAUCGGUCGGAUCGUGAAGACGUACGACUACUUCCUCUACGUUGUGUCAACGCUUCCGUUGUCAGUCUACGAGGGUACGUGGACACACGCUCCCCUAUCGUUGCUAUGCAUCACCAUGAUCUUGCGUGUGCGUAGGAAUUUUUUUGAAAUUACUACGUUCCCCAACAGUGGCAUCUGAGCCUGGUUUUAUGCGUUGAUGUAAUAUGCAUGAGUAGAACACAAGUGAGUUGUGGGCGAUACAAGUCAUACUGCUUACCAUCAUGUUAUACUUUGGUUCGGCGGUAUUGUGAGAUGAAGUGGCCCGGACCGACAUUACGCGCACGCUUACGUGAGACUGGUUUCACCGUUGCGAGCACUCGUUGCUUAAAGGUGACCGGCGGGUGUCUGUCUCUCUCACUUUAGUUAAACCGAGUGUGGCUACGCCCGGUCCUUGCGAAGGUUAAAACAUCACCAACUUGACAAACUAUCGUUGUGGUUUUGAUGCGUAGGUAAGAACGGUUCUUGCUCAGCCCGUAGCAGCCACGUAAAACUUGCAACAACAAAGUAGAGGACGUCUAACUUGUUUUUGCAGGGCAUGUUGUGAUGUGAUAUGGUCAAGGCAUGAUGCUAUAUUUUAUUGUAUGAGAUGAUCAUGUUUUGUAACCGAGUUAUCGGCAACUGGCAGGAGCCAUAUGGUUGUCGCUUUAUUGUAUGCAAUGCAAUCGCCCUGUAAUGCUUUACUUUAUCACUAAGCGGUAGCGAUAGUCAUGGAAGCAUAAGUUGGCGAGACGACAACGAUGCUACGAUGAAGAUCAAGGUGUCGCGCCGGUGACGAUGGUGAUCAUGACGGUGCUUCGGAGAUGGAGAUCACAGGCACAAGAUGAUGAUGGCCAUAUCAUAUCACUUAUAUUGAUUGCAUGUGAUGUUUAUCUUUUAUGCAUCUUAUAUUGCUUUGAUUGACGGUAGCAUUAUAAGAUGAUCUCUCACUAAAUUAUCAAAGUAUAAGUGUUCUCCCUGAGUAUGCACCGUUGCGAAAGUUCUUCGUGCUGAGACACCACGUGAUGAUCGGGUGUGAUAGGCUCUACGUUCAAAUACAACAGGUGCAAAACAGUUGCGCACGCGGAAUACUGAGGUUAAACUUGACGAGCCUAGCAUAUAACAGAUAUGGCCUCGGAACACUGAGACCGAAAGGUCGAGCGUGAAUCAUAUAGUAGAUAUGAUCAACAUAGUGAUGUUCACCAUUGAAACUACUCCAUCUCACGUGAUGAUCGGACAUGGUUUAGUUGAUUUGGAUCACGUGAUCACUUAGAGGAUUAGAGGGAUGUCUAUCUAAGUGGGAGUUCUUAAAUAAUAUGAUUAAAUUGAACUUAAAUUUAUCAUGAACUUAGUACCUGAUAGUAUCUUGCUUGUCUAUGUUGUUGUAGAUAGAUGGCCCAUGCUGUUGUUCCGUUGAAUUUUAAUGCGUUCCUUGAGAAAGCAAAGUUGAAAGAUGAUGGUAGCAAUUACACAGACUGGGUCCGUAACUUGAGGAUUAUCCUCAUUGCUGCACAGAAGAAUUACAUCCUGGAAGCACCGCUGGGUGCCAGGCCUGCUGUAGGAGCAACACCAGAUGUUAUGAACGUCUGGCAGAGCAAAGCUGAUGACUACUCGAUAGUUCAGUGUGCCAUGCUUUACGGCUUAGAACCGGGUCUUCAACGACGUUUUGAACAUCAUGGAGCAUAUGAGAUGUUCCAGGAGUUGAAGUUAAUAUUUCAAGCAAAUGCCUGGAUUGAGAGAUAUGAAGUCUCCAAUAAGUUCUAUAGCUGCAAGAUGGAGGAGAAUAGUUCUGUCAGUGAGCAUAUACUCAAAAUGUCUGGGUAUAAUAAUCACUUGAUUCAGCUGGGAGUUAAUCUUCCGGAUGAUAGCGUCAUUGACAGAAUUCUCCAAUCACUGCCACCAAGCUACAAGAGCUUCGUGAUGAACUAUAAUAUGCAAGGGAUGGAAAAGACUAUUCCCGAGCUCUUCGCAAUGCUAAAGGCUGCGGAGGUAGAAAUCAAAAAGGAGCAUCAAGUGUUGAUGGUUAACAAAACCACCAGUUUUAAGAAAAAGGGCAAAGGGAAGAAGAAGGGGAACUUCAAGAAGAAGAACAAACAAAUUGCUGCUCAGGAGAAGAAACCCAAGUCUGGACCUAAGCCUGAGACUGAGUGCUUCUACUACAAGCAGACUGGUCACUGGAAGCGGAACUGCCCCAAGUAUUUGGCGGAUAAGAAGGAUGGCAAGGUGAACAAAGGUAUAUGUGAUAUACAUGUUAUUGACGUGUACCUUACUAAUGCUCGCAGUAGCACCUGGGUAUUUGAUACUAGUUCUGUUGCUAAUAUUUGCAACUUGAAACAAGGACUACAGAUUAAGCGAAGAUUGGCUAAGGACGAGGUGACGAUGCGCGUGGGAAAUGGUUCCAAAGUCGAUGUGAUCACGGUCGGCACGCUACCUCUACAUCUACCUUCGGGAUUAGUUUUAGACCUAAAUAAUUGUUAUUUGGUGCCAGCAUUGAGCAUGAACAUUAUAUCUGGAUCUUGUUUGAUGCGAGAUGGUUAUUCAUUUAGAUCAGAGAAUAAUGGUUGUUCUAUUUAUAUGAGUUAUAUCUUUUAUGGUCAUGCACCCUUGAAGAGUGGUCUAUUUUUGUUGAAUCUCGAUAGUAGUGAUACACAUAUUCAUAAUAUUGAAACCAAAAGAUGCAGAGUUGAUAAUGAUAGUGCAACUUAUUUGUGGCACUGCCGUUUGGGUCAUAUCGGUGUAAAGCGCACGAAGAAACUCCAUACUGAUGGACUUUUGGAACCACUUGAUUAUGAUUCACUUGGUACUUGCGAACCGUGCCUCAUGGGCAAGAUGACUAAAACGCCGUUCUCCGGAACUAUGGAGCGAGCAACUGACUUGUUGGAAAUCAUACAUACUGAUGUAUGUGGUCCAAUGAAUGUUGAGGCUCGCGACGGGUAUCGUUAUUUUCUCACCUUCACACAUGAUUUGAGCAGAUAUGGGUAUAUCUACUUGAUGAAGCAUAAGUCUGAAACAUUUGAAAAGUUCAAAGAAUUUCAGAGUGAAGUUGAAAAUCAUCGUAACAAGAAAAUAAAGUUUCUACGAUCUGAUCGUGGAGGAGAAUAUUUGAGUUACGAGUUUGGUCUUCAUUUGAAACAAUGCGGAAUAGUUUCGCAACUCACGCCACCCGGAACACCACGGCGUAAUGGUGUGUCCGAACAUCGUAAUCGUACUUUACUAGAUAUGGUGCGAUCUAUGAUGUCUCUUACUGAUUUACCGCUAUCGUUUUGGGGAUAUGCUCUAGAGACUACCGCAUUCACGUUAAAUAGGGCACCAUCUAAAUCCGUUGAGACGACGCCUUAUGAACUGUGGUUUGGCAAGAAACCAAAGUUGUCGUUUCUUAAAGUCUGGGGCUGCGAUGCGUAUGUGAAAAAGCUUCAACCUGAUAAGCUCGAACCCAAAUCGGAGAAAUGUGUCUUCAUAGGAUACCCAAAAGAGACUAUUGGGUACACCUUCUAUCACAGAUCUGAAGGCAAGACUUUUGUUGCUAAGUUUGGAUCCUUUCUAGAGAAGGAGUUUCUCUCAAAAGAAGUGAGUGGGAGGAAAGUAGAACUUGAUGAGAUAACUGUAUCUGCUCCCUUAUUGGAAAGUAGUUCAUCACAGAAAUCUGUUCCUGUGACUCCUACACCAAUUAGUGAGGAAGUUAAUGAUGAUGAUCAUGAAACUUCAGAUCAAGUUGUCACUGAACCUCGUAGGUCAACCAGAGUAAGAUCCGCACCUGAGUGGUACGGUAAUCCUGUUCUGGAGGUUAUGUUACUAGACCAUGACGAACCUAUGAACUAUGAAGAAGCGAUGGUGAGCCCAAAUUCCGAAAAAUGGCUUGAGGCCAUCAAAUCUGAGAUGGGAUCCAUGUAUGAGAACAAAGUGUGGACUUUGGUUGACUUGCCUGAUGAUUGGCAAGCAAUUGAGAAUAAAUGGAUCUUCAAGAAGAAGACUGACGCGGACGGUAAUGUUACUGUCUAUAAAGCUCAACUUGUUGCAAAAGGUUUUUGACAAGUUCAAGGGAUUGACUACGAUGAGACUUUCUCACCCAUAGCGAUGCUUAAGUCUGUCCGAAUCAUGUUAGCAAUUGCCGCAUUUUAUGAUUAUGAAAUUUGGCAAAUGGAUGUCAAAACUGCAUUCCUGAAUGGAUUUCUGGACGAAGAGUUGUAUAUGAUGCAACCGAAAGGUUUUAUCGAUCCAAAGGGAGCUAACAAAGUGUGCAAGCUCCAACGACCCAUUUAUGGACUGGUGCAAGCCUCUCGGAGUUGGAAUAAAUUUUUGAUAGUGUGAUCAAAGCAUAUGGUUUUAUACAAACUUUUGGAGAAACAUGUAUUUACAAGAAAGUGAGUGGGAGCUCUGUAGCAUUUCUCAUAUUAUAUGUAGAUGACAUAUUGUUGAUCGGAAAUGAUAUAGAAUUUCUGGAUAGCAUAAAGGGAUAUUUGAACAAGAGUUUUUCAAUGAAAGACCUCGGUGAAGCUACUUAUAUAUUGGGCAUCAAGAUCUAUAGAGAUAGAUCAAGACGCUUAAUUGGACUUUCACAAAACACAUACCUUGACAAAGUUUUGAAGAAGUUCAAACUGGAUCAAGCAAAGAAAGGGUUCUUGCCUGUGUUACAAGGUGUGAAGUUGAGUAAGACUCAAUGUCCGACCACUGCAGAAGAUAGAGAGAAGAUGAAAGAUAUUCCCUAUGCUUCAGCCAUAGGCUCUAUCAUGUAUGCAAUGCUGCGUACCAGACCUGAUGUGUGCCUUGCUAUUAGUUUAGGAGGGAGGUACCAAAGUAAUCCAGGAGUGGAUCACUGGACAGCGGUCAAGAACAUCGUAAAAUAACAAAAAGGACUAUGGAUAUGUUUCUCGUUUAUGGAGGAGACCAAGAGCUCGUCGUAAACGGUUACGUUGAUGCGAGCUUUGACACUGAUCCGGACGAUUCUAAAUCGCAAACCGGAUACGUAUUUAUAUUGAACGGUGGAGCUGUCACUUGGACAAGUUCUAAGCAAAGCGUUGUGGCGGGAUCUACGUGUGAAGCGGAGUACAUAGCUGCUUCGGAAGCAGCAAAUGAAGGAGUCUGGAUGAAGGAGUUCAUAUCCGAUCUAGGUGUCAUACCUAGUGCAUCGGGUCCAAUGAAAAUCUUUUGUGACAAUACUGGUGCAAUUGCCUUGGAAAAGGAAUCCAGAUUUCACAAGAGAACCAAGCACAUCAAGAGACGCUUCAACUCCAUCAGGGAUCAAGUCCAGGUGGGAGACAUAGAAAUUUGCAAGAUACAUACGGAUCUGAAUGUUGCAGACCCGUUGACUAAGCCUCUUCCACGAGCAAAACAUGAUCAGCACCAAGGCUCCAUGGGUGUUAGAAUCAUUACUGUGUAAUCUAUAUUAUUGACUAUAGUGCAAGUGGGAGACUGAAGGAAAUAUGCCCUAGAGGCAAUAAUAAAUUUACUAUUUAUUUCCUUAUAUCAUGAUAAAUGUUUAUUAUUCAUGCUAGAAUUGUAUUAACCAGAAACGUAAUACUUGUGUCAAUACAUAGACAAAUAGAGUGUCACUAGUAUGCCUCUACUUGACUAGCUCGUUGAUCAAACAUGUUAUGUUUCCUAGCCAUUGACAUGAGUUGUCAUUUGAUUAACGGGAUCACAUCAUUAGGAGAAUGAUGUGUUUGACUUGACCCAUUCCGUUAGCUUAGCACACGAUCGUUUAGUAUUCUGCUAUUGCUUUCUUCAUGACUUAUACAUGUUCCUAUGACUAUGAGAUUAUGCAACUCCCGUUUACCGGAGGAACACUUUGUGUGCUACCAAACGUCAGAACGUAACUGGGUGAUUAUAAAGGUGCUCUACAGGUGUCCCCAAAGGUACUUGUUGGGUUGGCGUAUUUCGAGAUUAGGAUUUGUCACUCCGAUUGUCGGAGAGGUAUCUCUGGGCCCACUCGGUAAUGCACAUCACUAUAAGCCUUGCAAGCAUUGCAACUAAUGAGUUAGUUGUGGGAUGAUGUAUUACAGAACGAGUAAAGAGACUUGCCGGUAACGAGAUUGAACUAGGUAUUGAGAUACCGACGAUCGAAUCUCGGGCAAGUAACAUACCGAUGACAAAGGGAACAAACGUAUGUUGUUAUGCGGUUUGACCGAUAAAGAUCUUCGUAGAAUAUGUAGGAGCCAAUAUGAGCAUCCAGGUUCCGCUAUUGGUUAUUGACCGGAGACGUGUCUCGGUCAUGUCUACAUAGUUCUCGAACCCGUAGGGUCCGCACGCUUAAAGUUCGAUGAUGGUUAUUAUGAGUUUAUGUAUUUUGAUGUACCGAAGGUUGUUCGGAGUCCCGGAUGUGAUCACGGACAUGAUGAGGAGUCUCGAAAUGGUCGAUACAUGAAGAUUGAUAUAUUGGAAGCCUAUAUUUGGAUAUCGGAAGUGUUCCGGAUGAAAUCGGGAUUUUAUCGGAGCCCCGGGGGAUUAAUGGGCCUACAUGGGCCUUAGUGGAGAAGAGGAGAGGCGGCCAGGGCAGGCCGCGUGCCCCCUCCCCCUCUAGUCCGAAUUGGACAAGGAGGGGGGCGGCGCCCCCCUUUCCUUCCUCUCUCUCUCCUCCUUCCUCCUUCUCCUAAUCCAACAAGGAAGGGAGGGAGUCCUACUCCCGGUGGGAGUAGGACUCCUCCUGGCGCGCCUCCUCCUGGCCGGCCGCCUCCCCCUUUGCUCCUUUAUAUACGGGGGCAGGGGGCACCCCAUAGACACACAAUUGAUCAUUGAUCUCUUAGCUGUGUGCGGUGCCCCCCUCCACCAUAAUCCACCUCGAUAAUAUCGCAGCGGUGCUUAGGCGAAGCCCUACGUCGGUAGAACAUCAUCAUCGUCACCACGCCAUUGUGCUGACGAAACUCUCCCUCAACACUCGGCUAGAUCGGAGCUCGAGGGACGUCAUCGAGUUGAACGUGUGCAGAACUCGGAGGUGCCGUGCGUUCGGUACUUGGAUCGGUCGGAUCGUGGAGAUGUACGACUACUUCCUCUACGUUGUGUCAACGCUUCCGUUGUCGGUCUACGAGGGUACGUGGACACACUCUCCCCUCUCGUUGCUAUGCAUCACCAUGAUCUUGCGUGUGCGUAGGAUUUUUUUUGAAAUUACUACGUUCCCCAACACUAUUAUCCAUUGGGCCGGACUGAUGAGCCAUGAAGACAUGAAGGCCGAAGACUAUACCAGUGUCUGGAUUGGACUCUACUUGGCGUGUAAGGCAAGCUAGGUGGCCGACUAUGAAGUUUCCCUCUAUUGUAACCGACCCCAUGUAACCCUAGAUCCCUCCGGUGUCUAUAUAAACCGGAGAGCAUAGUCCGGAUAGGACAGAUUCAUUACCAUAUACUCAUAGGCUAGACUUCUAGGGUUUAGCCAUUACGAUCUCGUGGUAGAUCAACUCUUGUAAUACUCAUAUUCAUCAAGAUCAAUCAAGCAGGAAGUAGGGUAUUAGCUCCAUAGAGAGGGCCCGAACCUGGGUAAACAUUGUGUCCCCUGUCUCCUGUUACCAUCGAUCCUAGACGCACAGUUCGGGACCCCCUACCCGAGAUCCACCGGUUUUGACACCGACACCUCCUCCCCAUAUGCGGUGCGGCAGCGGGUGGGCCGGCCAAAGGCUGUGGAGGCCUAGGCCCAGGCGCCUGGGGUGACCUCCGACUGCCCUUUUCCCCCUCCGCUCGGCUGUGGGCCGGAUGGCCAUGGGGCGUUCUUUUUUCUUUCUUUCUUUUCUGUUUCAAUUAAAAUAAUUCUAGCAGUGAUUUCAUUCCUGUUUUAGACCUGUUAAAUCCAAUACAUAUAUUUCAGUAUUGUUUUCUAUUGAGUACCGAGAUGUAUUCCAGAUCUUAAGUUGAUGUAAUACAUUUCCACGUUUAUUACGUGUUGAGAUUAAUUACAUCCAUUUGCAAUAGAGAUUUUUUUAACCUCUUGCAAAGAUAAAUUUAGUACCUCUGCAGUACUGUUUCUCCGUUGAGUACGAGGUAUUUCGGAGUAUUUCUAUGAUGUAUUUAUUUCCAUGUUAACCACAUGUUGAGAUUAAUACGUCUAUUUGAAAUUGAGAUUUUCAAUUUCUUGUAAAUACAUAUGCAAAAUUCAAGGUGUCGUCCUUAGCAUUUUGAGAUUCGCACUACUGAUUUCGAGCCACCUUUCUUGAAAUCUAUUAAUUUUGCAACAUUAAGAUGUAUUUAUAUUACACAACCUGUAAUAUAAAUAAAUUACCGGUUUUUCACCGGGGAUGAUAUGUUCUAUGUGUUUACCACAUUGACAUUCUUCAUGACCAUGUCACAGCGGUCGAGAUUGAUUUCUCCCGCAGAAUAAAAUUCUAAAUUUUUGACAAUAACAUCUCCCUCAUUAUAUUAGGAAAAAACAAGGUAAUGAGUUGGAUCUACUGCCCAUGUGCAGACUAUCUCUAUUACUGUGAGAUCUGUAUGAUCUUCAAUGUGUUAUGUUCCCACAAUUGAGGUUGAGCAUUUUCAAGUUAUACACUUGAGUCAAAUUUUUGCAUUCAUAUACAAAACCAUGAUGGUUUUUAAUUUACUUCUUGUAAAUUAAUUACCUCUGGCUUGCCCCUAUAAGUAAUCGAUGGCUAACAAUUUGAGGCUUUUUCCCUCAAUGGCCACAACUUACUUAAGUAGGUCAUGGACAUGAAGAUCAGUCUUGCAUCCCAUGGGAUAGCGCGUGCAAUCCAAGCCACGCCACCGGGACGCAAUGGACCUCAAGGGUAAUUGUUUGAAAAUCAUUUCAAACCCUCAACCUGACACCAUCAAGCUGUCAUGAGACCCUAUGAGCAUGGAGAGCAUGAUGGUUGAAUAUGCAUCAACCGACAUGUUUGGAGACUAUACAUUUAGUCCCUUAGUCUCCUUAGUGAUCUACUUAUUUAUGUCCAUUUAUGAUGUUCUAAUAAGAACAUGAUUAUUGUUGUCAUCAUAUAUUGUAUAUCACAAAAUAUUGUGUCAGCACUUUGAUACAAAUUCAUUUGUAUGUAUUCUAUAUAUCCGACAGUGAUUUUCUUAAGAAUCUUCAUGUCUGUAUAUAGAUUUCUACGGGAGUCAAUCCAAUGAAAAAUGAUAUGUGCCUUGUGGACAUAUGCACCACAAACUCUAUACUCAGGGAAGUCCAAUGUUUCCACUCUCAUUGAGAGAAAGGAGAUAUUUUAAAAUCGCUAGACGCGAUGAGGUAUUUGUUGGUUCAACUCGAGUCAUAUUUACUAUCCCUGUGGGUACUCGAGUAACGUCGGGAUGCUUCAUUGCUUCCCAAGUUUAACUCGUACCCUACUAAGCUAUAGAGAUGUUCGUCAAAAUGGUUUCCAUAGCGAAACUUAUGCUGACAAGAAAGAGAAAUACAUUCUCUUUAUCAUAUGCAACGAAUAUGGCAAGCACAUUAUCUAUGUAUCAUCUGGAUUGUACUACACAUACUACAAAACCCGUAGCACAUGUUGUGCCCAAGAUAGUUUCCAAAAUGUCUUGUACAUGAAAAACUUGGCAUACUCGCCUUGGUCAUCGAGACAUUGGGUUGAAACCGAAACUAUCAACAAUUCCAAUAGUUUAUGAUUAUUAUGAUGCUAAAUUCUAACACCAUUUGGAUUUUAUGUGCACUACAAGUGACACAGGGAAGCUAAUUUUAAGGCUCGCACACCUUAAAGUCCACGCUGAACCACUUAGACUCCUUGAAUGCAUCAAGUUGAGGUAAGUGGUUCUUCCCAUCCAUUGACUAGACGAUUCAGGUGUUCCAUGGUUCUAAAAGACAUAUCUACAUGAUGGUCUUAAGUGUGUGCUUUAUUCACACGAAACCAUUGGCUCAUUAUCCUGACAUCGAUUUCAAGCAAAUCGAAUGGAUAACAUUGCUGAAUUCUCCUUGAGUGCCUUCUCUAUGGCCCUUGGAUUGAGUUUAGCAAUUUGUCCUAAGGACUAGACUCAAAAUGGUUUGGUAGAAUCCUAUCCAAAGGGUUAAGCUCCUUGCAUUAUCUUCACUUUGGAAUUGCAACUUGCCAACUUUACGUUAGAGUCAUGCAGUUUUACACGCUCAUGACAGAACUGCAUAAUAUUAUUCCCCUCUAUCUUUGAUAUGUGGAUAUCUACCAAGUAUUUCCUAUCUGCGGUAAUUCGGUUGCAUACCGAUAUCACCACCCGACAUACAGCAUUGGCCCAUCAACAUAUAGUUGGGAUCUAUGUGAGGAAUAACUGUAUUUCCGUCAAUAACUCAAGCCCGUCGCAUGGGGAGUUAUUCAAGGCCAGUAUGCUGAUUCAAUGAGGAACAUUUCCAGGCAUUAGGGGGAGAUUUCAAGUACCAUAAAGAAUGCCAGGAAAUUAGUGGAAUGUUCAACACAUUUCUGCCUCAAAUCCACGUACUCAAAGAUCUGAACUAUGCGUUCAGAAGAUUUGCAACACAUUGCAAAUAACCUGCUAGAUUCAUUUACUGACUAUAAAGGUGUCACACAAUCCUACAAUCCUGCAAUAGUAUGCGAAAGAGUGGAGGUACCAACAAAAUCCACUCCACUCCCCAUUCAAAGCAACAGGGGGAGAUGUAUGGCAGAAGUACAUCAGGAUUCAGCUUCUCGCAAGCAAUGAUAUCAAGGCCGGUGAAUCAGUAAAUGCAAGUCAACUUCACGUUGACAAACACCUGAUGGGUAGUAUACACCCAGUGGACGGGAAACCUCCACCAACUCAGGUCAUAGUGCACAAAAUGACCGGGACAUCGGAAUACUCGACUCAAUCGCAUUGGAAAAUCGCGAGCAGUCACUAUGGGUAACAAUAUUUCCAUCAACUCUAUAUUGAUAUAUAGAUUCUGGAGAAACAUAUAACCGGAAGUCUACAAUUGUCGACAUACAUUUCUCAACUAGAUUGAAAAACCUUUCAAAUGAUUUAGCUCCAAAGACCAUGGCCAUGGCAAAGUGUGAACAACACUCGAACUGAACUCAAGCAAAGGGUAUAAUCUAAAUAUAAAUGAUCUUGCUCAAUAAUGGGAAGGUAUUCAUAAGCAAUACCUACAGCAGUUUUCUUCUGAAAACAUAAUUGAGAACAACGAGGUGGUGAAACAAAGAGCAAGUAUUGUAGCACAAGGGUUCAUGCAGAUACCCAACUAUUCUCUAGAGGUGGAAUCUCUUUCCGAUAACUUAUUUCAUUGGCAGUACAAAAUCAUCCAUCUCUGCAGUUGAUAGAUGUAGUGAUUACAUAUCCAUGUGGAUCACUAGAUUCUGACAUAUAUGAUUGAUUCCCGAUGGAAUCUCAAUUCUGAAUCGAAAUACAAAAUGCAAACAUACAUUUGUCUAAAUUCAGUAAGUCACCAUACGACUUAUUAUUGUCAGUACAUAUGGUACAACUGACGUAGUGAGAUCGUUAUACACAAGGAUUACUCAUACAAUGAUGAUUAUCCAUUUGUGUGUCUGCAAUAAUGAUACGUCUCCAACGUAUCUAUAAUUUAUGAAGUAUUCAUGCUAUUAUAUUAUCCAUCUUGGAUGUUUAAUGGGUUUAUUAGACACUUUUAUAUUAUUUUUGGGACUAACCUAUUAACCCAGAUCCCAGUGUCAGUUUCUGUUUUUCUCCUUGUUUCAGUGUUUCGCAGAAAAGGAAUAUCAAACGGAGUCCAAACGGAAUGAAACCUUCGGGAGAGUUAUUUUUAGAACGGAAGCAAUCCAGGAGACUUGGAGUGCACGUAAGGGAAGCAACGAGGAAGGCACGAGGCAGGGGGGCGCCCACCCCCCCGGGCGCGCCCUCCACCCUCGUGGGCGCCUCGUGGCUCCCCAGACCGACUUCUUUCGCCUAUAUAUCUCCAUAUACCCUAAAACCAUCGAGAAACAUAAUAGAUCGGGAGUUCCGCCACCGCAAGCCUCUGUAGCCACCAAAAACCAAUCGGGACCCUGUUCCGGCACCCUGCCGGAGGGGGGAUCCCUCACCGGUGGCCAUCUUCAUCAUCCCGGCGCUCUCCAUGACGAGGAGGGAAUAGUUCACCCUCGGGGCUGAGGGUAUGUACCAGUAGCUAUGUGUUUGAUCUCUCUCUCUCUCUCUCGUGUUCUUGAUUCGACAUGAUCUUGAUGUAUCGCGAGCUUUGCUAUUAUAGUUGGAUCUUAUGAUGUUUCUCCCCCUCUACUCUCUUGUAAUGGAUUGAGUUUUCCCUUUGAAGUUAUCUUAUCGGAUUGAGUCUUUAAGGAUUUGAGAACACUUGAUAUAUGUCUUGUCGUGCGUAUCUGUGGUGACAAUGGGAUAUCACGUGAUUCACUUGAUGUAUGUUUUGGUGAUCAACUUGCGGGUUCCGCCCAUGAACCUAUGCAUAGGGGUUGGCACACGUUUUCGUCUUGACUCUCCGGUAGAAACUUUGGGGCACUCUUUGAAGUACUUUGUGUUGGUUUGAAUAGAUGAAUCUGAGAUUGUAUGAUGCAUAUCGUAUAAUCAUGCCCACGGAUACUUGAGGUGACAUUGGAGUAUCUACGUGACAUUAGGGUUUUGGUUGAUUUGUGUCUUAAGGUGUUAUUCUAGUAGGAACUCUUGAAUAGAUCGAUCCGAAAGAAUAACUUUGAGGUGGUUUUGUACCUUACCAUAAUCUCUUCGUUUGUUCUCCGCUAUUAGUGACUUUGGAGUGACUCUUUGUUGCAUGUUGAGGGAUAGUUAUAUGAUCCAAUUAUGUUAUUAUUGUUGAGAGAACUUGCACUAGUGAAAGUAUGAACCUUAGGCCUUGUUUCCUAGCAUUGCAAUACCGUUUACGCUCACUUUUAUCAUUAGUUACCUUGCUGUUUUUAUAAUUUCAGAUUACAAAAACCUUUAUCUACUAUCCAUAUUGCACUUGUAUCAUCAUCUCUUCGCCGAACUAGUGCACCUAUACAAUUUACCAUUGUAUUGGGUGUGUUGGGGACACAAGAGACUCUUUGUUAUUUGGUUGCAGGGUUGCUUGAGAGAGACCAUCUUCAUCCUACGACUCCCACGGAUUGAUAAACCUUAGGUCAUCCACUUGAGGGAAAUUUGCUACUGUCCUACAAACCUCUGCACUUGGAGGCCCAACAACGUCUACAAGAAGAAGGUUGUGUAGAUCAAGCUCUUUCUUGGUGCCGUUGCCAGGGAGGUGAGUGCUUGAAGGUAUAUCUUUAGAUCUUGCAAUUGAAUCUUUUAUUUUCUUGUUUUAUCACUAGUUUAGUUUAUAAAAUAAAACUACAAAAAAAUGGAAUUAAGGGUGCCUCAUAUGCAUCAUCUUUUUAAUGUCUUUCGUGAAAAUGAUGGGAAGGUAAAUUGUGCUCAAGUACUAGAAGAAGAAUUACAUAGAAUGCUUGGCAUAAAAUAUGUGAAUGAUGAGCAUGAUUGCAAUGUUGUUAGUAUGAAUGUUUUGAAUACCCAUGAUGCUAAUGAUAUGCAAAGCCACAAGCUUGGGGAUGCCAUGUUUGAUGAAGAUGAUAUGUUUAGCCCCCCAAGUUUUGAUGAGCAAAUUUAUUAUGAUGAAAGCAUGCCUCCUAUUUAUGAUGAUUAUUGUGAUGACACGUAUGCUAUAAAGAAUAAAGAUAACCAUGAAACUUGUCAUCAUGAUUUUAAUUUUCAAUUGGACUAUGCUUCACAUGAUAAUUAUUUUGUUGAGUUUGCUCCCACUACUAUUGAUGAGAAGAAAUUUGCUUAUGUGGAGAGUAAUAAAAUUUCUAUGCUUGUGGAUCAUGAAAAGAAUGAUUUAUGUGAUAGUUAUAUUUUUGAAUUCAUUCAUGAUGCUACUGAAAAUUAUUAUGAGGGAGGAACAUAUUCUUGUAGGAAUUUCAAUAAUAUCAAGUUUCCUCUCUAUGUGUUGAAAAUCUUGAAGCUAUGCUUGUUUUACCUUCCUAUGCUAGUUGAUUCUUGUUCCCAUAAGUUGUUUGCUCACAAAAUCCCUAUGCAUAGAAAGUGGGUUAGACUUAAAUGUGCUAGUCAUAUUCUUCAUGAUUCUCCCGUUAUGUUUCAAUUCUUAUCUUUUAUGUGAGCAUCAUUGAAAUCAUCAUGCCUAGCUAGGGGCGUUAAACGAUAGCGCUUGUUGGGAGGCAACCCAAUUUUAUUUUUGUUUCUUGCUUUUUGCUUCUGUUUAGUAAUAAAUAAUCUGUUUAGUCUCUGGUUAGAUGUGUUUUUAUGUUUUUAAUUAGUGUUUGUGCCAAGUAGAACCGUUGGGAAGACAUGGGUAAAGUUUAUAUGAUCAUGCUGUAAAAAACAGAAACUUUAGCGCUCACGAGAAUAGCUGUCAUUUUUUAUAAGAGAGUGAUUUUUAGUUGAUUCUUUUUGCACGUGAUCACUAGGAAAAUUCCUCACUUCCACCAAUUUAUUUCAGAAUUUUUGGAGUUCCAGAAGUAUACGUUUGAUACAGAUUACUACAGACUGUUCUGUUUUUGACAGAUUCUGUUUUCUAUGUGUUGUUUGCUUAUUUUGAUGAAUCUAUGGGUAGUAUCGGAGGGUAUGAACCAUAGAGAAGUUGGAAUACAGUAGAUAUAACACCAAUAUAAAUAAAGAAUGAGUUCAUUACAGUACCUUAAAGUGGUGGUUUGCUUUCUUAUACUAACGGAGCUUACGAGUUUUCUGUUAAGUUUUGUGUUGUGAAGUUUUCAAGUUUUGGGUAAAGAUUCAAUGGACUAUGGAAUAAGGAGUGGCACGAGCCUAAGCUUGGGGAUGCCCAAGGCACCCCAAGGUAAUAUUCAAGGAUAACUAAGAGCCUAAGCUUGGGGAUGCCCCGGAUGACAUCCCCUCUUUCUUCUUCGUUCAUCGGUAACUUUACUUGGAGCUAUAUUUUUAUUCACUACAUGAUAUGUGUUUUGCUUGGAGCGUCAUUUCCUUUUAUUUUGUUUUGCUUGUUGUUUGAAUAAAAUAUCAAGAUCUGAAAUUAUUAAAUGGGAGAGUCUUCACAUAGUUACAUAAUUAUUCAACUACUCAUUGAUCUUCACUUAUAUCUUUUGGAGUAGUUUGUCAUUUACUCACGUGCUUCACUUAUAUCCUAUGAGUAAAUGGUUGAAUGAAUUGAAUAUCAUAAAUCUGAAUUUAUAUAUGUUUCAUAUGCUUAUACCAUGGGGAUUAAUGACUACACAUAUAAGAAGUAGAGGUGGUAAAUUUAUUGAAGGUUAGCAAAUAUAGCAUUGGUCACUUGAACAAUUCAUGAAAGAAUAUUGAAGGAAGAGAGGUUUCACAUAUAAAUAUACUAUCUUGGACAUCUUUUAUGAUUGUGAUCCCCAUUAAUUAUUUUACUUGAGCAAAUUAGUUGAAGUUGAACAAGGAAGACAACUUAAUGAGUUAUGGUUGGGUAUAUUUGUAUAGAAGUUAUAUUGUUAUAGAUCCUCCAACAUGUGGUGCUUGUUUUUUUAGAAUCCUUUGCUAGCCAAAAUAUCUGUACUAAGCGGGAAUACUGCUUGUGCAUACAAAUUCCUUGAACCAAGUUUCUUCCAUGAGUGUCCACCAUAUCUACCUAUAUGCGGUAUUUACCUGCCGUUCCAAGUAAAUUUGCAUGUGCCAAACUCUAAACCUUCAAAUAAUAAUCUGUUUUGUAUGCCUGAAUCGCUCAUGUAGCGACUAGGGGCUGUCAGUAUCUUCCAUGCUAGGUGGGUUAUUCUCACGAUGAGUGGACUCCGCUCAUCAUUCACGAGAAAAUGGCUGGUAACUGGGAUGACCAGUCCUAUGAUCAAAAGAUCAAAAACAAAAUUGCAAAUAAUUUAAACAAAAAUCCCCCAGGAAUGUUGAUAGUUGGACGACACCCGUUGUUUCGGACAAGCCAUGGAGUGUGAAUGUUGGUGGAGGGGGAGUAAAAAAAAACUUUACCUUUCUGCGUGGGAACCGCCUAUAAUGUAUGUAGCAUGGAAGAUAUUGGGAACUCUUGGUUGUUAUGUUGACAAUGAAAGCAUACCUCUCAAAAUUAUUUUCAUCUCUGUUUUUGCUUCGAGCUCUGGCCCCUCUGCAAAUCCCUGCUUCCCUCUGCGAAGGGCCUAUCUUUUACUUUUAUGCAAGAGUCAGUAGUAUUCCUUCUCUCCAACCUACUCUUUAGUUGGCAAGCAUCAUGUGGUGGAGAAAGAUCUAAGCAUAUAUGGCCAUUCAAAUAUAUUUGAUCAUGAAUUAUUAUUGUUGACAAUUAUCUAUAUGAUAAAUAAGUUGGGAGGCAAAACAUUAAGCCCCUAUCUUUCUCUGUGUUCGAUGGAUGCUAUUUGUUAUAAAAAUAUGCUUUGAGUGGUAGCAAUCAUGGAAGGCUAUAUGAUAGUUGAGUAUGUGAAGUUUGCUGAAUCAAAGCUCUGACAUAGACUCUUCCUGAAAAUAAGAUGAAUUGCAAUUGUUUGAUGACCGAGAACUUAGUUUGCUAGAAAGUUUAUGAUCUAUGCUUUAACAUGUGAAUAGUUUUCUACUUGAUCAUGAAAAGCUUUAUGAUAUGAGCCACUAUUAUGAUAUAUAAUGAUGCUAGAAAAGGUGAUUGAAAUUAUCAUUGAUCAAACUUGUGCACCUGCUAGCAUUCACACUUCAUAAAUUAUUUCUUUUAUCAUUUACCUAUUCGAGGACGAGCAGGAAUUAAGCUUGGGGAUGCUGAUACGUCUCCAACGUAUCUAUAAUUUAUGAAGUAUUCAUGCUAUAACAUUAUCCAUCUUGGAUGUUUAAUGGGCUUUAUUAUACACUUUUAUAUUAUUUUUGGGACUAACCUAUUAACCCAGAUCCCAGUGGCAGUUUCUGUUUUUCUCCUUGUUUCAGUGUUUCACAGAAACGGAAUAUCAAAUGGAGUCCAAACGGAAUGAAACCUUCGGGAGAGUUAUUUUUGGAACGGAAGCAAUCCAGGAGACUUGGAGUGCAUGUAAGGGAAGCAACGAGGAAGGCACGAGGUAGGGGGGCACGCCCACCCCCCGGGCGCGCCCUCCACCCUCGUGGGCCCCAUGUGGCUCCCCUGACCGACUUCUUUCGCCUAUAUAUCUCCAUAUACCCUAAAACCAUCGGGGAACAGAAUAGAUCGGGAGUUCCGCCGCCGCAAGCCUCUGUAGCCACCAAAAACCAAUCGGGACCCUGUUCCGGCACCCUGCCGGAGGGGGGAUCCCUCACCGGUGGCCAUCUUCAUCAUCCCGGCGCUCUCCAUGACAAGGAGGGAGUAGUUCACCCUCGGGGCUGAGGGUAUGUACCAGUAGCUAUGUGUUUGAUCUCUCUCUCUCUCUCUCGUGUUCUUGAUUCGACACGAUCUUGAUGUAUCGCGAGCUUUGCUAUUAUAGUUGUAUCUUAUGAUGUUUCUCCCCCUCUACUCUCUUGUAAUGGAUUGAGUUUUCCCUUUGAAGUUAUCUUAUCGGAUUGAGUCUUUAAGGAUUUGAGAACACUUGAUGUAUGUCUUGUCGUGCGUAUCUGUGGUGACAAUGGGAUAUCACGUGAUUCACUUGAUGUAUGUUUUGGUGAUCAACUUGCGGGUUCUGCCCAUGAACCUAUGCAUAGGGGUUGGCACACGUUUUCGUCUUGACUCUCCGGUAGAAACUUUGGGGCACUCUUUGAAGUACUUUGUGUUGGUUUGAAUAGAUGAAUCUGAGAUUGUAUGAUGCAUAUCGUAUAAUCAUGCCCACGGAUACUUGAGGUGACAUUGGAGUAUCUAGGUGACAUUAGGGUUUUGGUUGAUUUGUGCCUUAAGGUGUUAUUCUAGUAGGAACUCUUGAAUAGAUCGAUUCGAAAGAAUAACUUUGAGGUGGUUUCGUACCCUACCAUAAUCUCUUCGUUUGUUCUCCGCUAUUAGUGACUUUGGAGUGACUCUUUGUUGCAUGUUGAGGGAUAGUUAUAUGAUCCAAUUAUGUUAUUAUUGUUGAGAGAACUUGCACUAGUGAAAGUAUGAACCUUAGGCCUUGUUUCCUAGCAUUGCAAUACCGUUUACGCUCACUUUUAUCAUUAGUUACCUUGCUGUUUUUAUAAUUUCAGAUUACAAAAACCUUUAUCUACUAUCCAUAUUGCACUUGUAUCAUCAUCUCUUCGCCGAACUAGUGCACCUAUACAAUUUACCAUUGUAUUGGGUGUGUUGGGGACACAAGAGACUCUUUGUUAUUUGGUUGCAGGGUUGCUUGAGAGAGACCAUCUUCAUCCUACGCCUCCCACGGAUUGAUAAACCUUAGGUCAUCCACUUGAGGGAAAUUUGCUACUGUCCUACAAACCUCUACACUUGGAGGCCCAACAAUGUCUACAAGAAGAAGGUUGUGUAGUAGACAUCAAAUAACGACAUUUGUAAUCAUCUAAAUGACGGAGUUUAAAAUGAAGGAUUUGGGUAAACCAAAAUACCGCUCGUUACUACAACUUGAGCACCUUCAUUCAUACAUUAUGGUAUACUAUGUUGUCUAUAUCCAAAAUAUAUUGGAGAAAUUCAUUGUGGAAAAAUCUUAUCCAUCCAUAACUCUGAUGGUAGUUCAUUCUCUAGACGUAGAGAAAGAUCUAUUUAGACCAAGAGAUGAUGGAAAUGAGAUAUUGGGACUCAACGUUCCAUAAUGCCAUUGGAUAGACCAAACACAAUUGGUUGGUACUCAAGAAUAUCUUUUGAUAUCUCCAAGGCAUCAAACAUCUUGUCCUGAUUUUUCAGUUUCACAUAAAUGUGAACACCAAUAUCAUUGGAUACAUCGAUCAGAUCCCCACUAUGUCAGAUCGUAGACAAGCUUAGUGUUCCUACUAGGUGUGGUAGCCCUCUCAUGAAGAGUCUUCAAAACAGACCUCAUGGAUACAUCCACCAACCAUUAUCUCAAAGAUAAUGUUGCUUGUGUUGCCCGGAUGCAAACAUGUUACUAAUAAGCAUUAUCUUUAUAUUGCCUAUCUUGCAAGUCAAAUCAUGCAACUGAUUUGUUCACCAAGUUUCUACCAACUUUUACAUUCCAGAAACAUGUUCAUGGAAUUGGUAUGUGACGGCUUUGGAAUUUGCAAGAAUCAGGGGGAGUAUCUUCCUAAAUUGUUCAUGUUCAAUGCAUCAUAUUAUACUCUUUUUCCCUUCAUGAGUUUACUAUACAGAUUCUCAUAAAGGUUUUUAAUGAGGUAAUAUCAACAUGAGAUCAUAUGUCAUACUUUCUGUUUUCCCCACCGUUUUUUUGGGGAAAGUAUAUACAACAUAUUUAUUGUCCUCUAAAUUCUAUGAAUAUAUAUUUCAUAUUGAGUUAACAGAGGCAAUAAUCAUUAUGUGUUGUAUCAUUUUCUCCUUAUUUUCCCACUGGGUUUGAAGGAGUUUUAACAGCACAUACUACACUACUCCUCAUAUUUUUUCCACAGGGUUUUUGAAGGAGACUUAAUCAAGAUAAUGGAUUCUUAUGUCAAGCGGUGAUUAGGGGGAGUGUUGAAAAUAAUAACCCAGUGGUUAUUAAGGGAAAAUCCCCGCUUCCCAUAUCGGUAGUUGCCUCCCGAGGAGGCGCCUCAGUGAACCAUCGCGUCCCAUGGACGCGUCCGUUCCCCUUGUAUAUAAGUGUACAUCCAUGAUUAAUAAAGGACACUGGAAUCAUUUGUUGUCGCUCUCGAUUCUCUCUCGAUUACUCUUCGAACACCAAAAAGGCCACUGUCCACGACGGUUCCCGUGGAGACGCCUCUAGCGAACCAUCGCGUCCAUUGUGAUUGUAUAUAUAUCAUGUCAAUCAUCAACAGAGACCACUGAUUCGAUCAUUUGUUCAAUACUCUUGUUCCUUUACAAUUGAUUCUUAACACGUUAUCAGCACGUUGCUCUCCGUUGAGAGAAAUAGGCCAUGCCUGAUACAGCAACUCCGGCGGUCCUCGACCUCGCCCCAUCGAUGCCCGCGCUACCGAACUUGCGUCCUACCCGCUGGCUCACGGCAUGGUGUGUUGCCCGGCCUAGGCGGUCGACCAGCGGCAACGCCCUCUGGCACACCCCUGCGUGGCACGGCUCCCUUGCCUGCCCAUGGCGGCAGCACCCUUCAUUACGGCACCUGCCGGCAGCCUCGGCUGUAACGGCGUGGCGACGCCCACAACGGUUUUCGCCUCCGGCCCCGGCGCGUCAAGCCAUCGUCAGCAUCAACGAGGCUGCGCAGAGGUGCGGACGCGCUACUGAAGGCCCGGCCAUCGAGACGCGAUGACUGGCGUGCGCCACGGCGCGGCUACGCGGUGGCGUCAACCCGCCCAUCCGACGGUCGGCCCCUACGCCUCCACCGGUGUCUUCGUCUCCGUCGGCAACUGCCACGACCACUCAAGGCGCCCGGGGCCUCACAGCCGGCAUCGCCCGGCAUGCCUCGAGCCACAUCUACGGCGGUGGCUCGUCCUGUCCAUGCGCGUCAGCAAAGCAAAGGCAAGGCUGGCGGCGCAACCACCUGGAGCGGUGGCAGCCCGCGAGGCGGCGGCAAUGGCGCAGUCUUCCCGGCCGUCGUAGCGGGUCCCCUUCCCCGGAGAGGCCCCUACCAUGCGCGGCGCUCGCGCUCGCGGUACACAACGGUGUGGCGAGCUCCUCUAGCGUUGCGGCAGUCGAUGCCCGACGUUGCCGUGCCAUCCCAGACGGCCAUGCACAGGCGCUCACUGCCGCCUCGUGGCCCUCGCCGUUCCGCUGGUGAGCCCGUUGUUGAGCAGCCGCUCCGCGCAGCAGCAGCGCUCGGGCUCGCGGAUGGCGCCUACAACGGCGUGACCUUGGCACCCACCUCCGCGGUGGCUCCUCUUCCAAGGACGAGCGCGGCGGGAGAUCUUCUUGCCGCCGGUGAUGCGGCCGGCCGGCCGUCUCCGGCUGUCUCACUGUGGAUUUGGGAUAGAAAGUGGCUGGGAGAAUUUUCCUCGGACGGCGAUAACUACCACACGUGUGGGUGUUAAGAGGUCUGCCCACACGUUUUGUGUGGUGUCUAAGAAGACCAGCCCACACGCCUAUGUGUGGGCAAAACAACUAGCGCCCACCCGCCUCUUUUUUUCCUUGCGGUCCCUCUCACACGCCUACGUGUGGGCAAAAUGCAUAACGCCCACAUAACCUCUCUCAGCCACCCACCUCACGGUCCCGCACGCCCCGCGUGACAGUCACCAUGCGUCACUGCAGUUGCCAUGGUCCGGACCCUCUUCAAUGUCCGUUUAACUGCAGUUGCCAUGUCGCUGAACUACAGUUGCCAUGUCGGACAACUACGGUUGCCAUGGUUGCUCAACUGGAGUUGCCAUCUCAGGUCAAGUGCCAGAUGCCAUUUUGGACAACUACUGCUGUUGCCAUGUAUGGUCUGAUUUACUAUAGUUGCCAUGAUUUGAAAACUUUAGAGGCUGCCAUCUACUAACACUAAGCAGUUGCCAUGUAUGGUCUGGUUUACUACAGUUGCCAUGAUUUGAAAACCUUAGGAGUUGCCACCUACUAGCACUAGGCAGUUGUUGUGUAGCGCUACAAAAAGACAUGGCAAAACAACAUGUUCGGAUAAAAGAGAGAGUUGUCAUAUGUUUACAAGCACACUAGGUCAGUUGCCGUGUACCCUGCAAAACACAUGGCAACUGACAUGCUCGGGUAAAAAAAAAGAGAGUUGCCAUAUUUUUACAAGCACACUAGGGCAGUUGCCAUGUACACUGCAAAACACAUGGCAACUGGCAGCUUGGGUGUGGAAGAGGAGACGGGCAUGUGGGCGAGAUGACAAAUGCGCACACACCAGCCCCUGUGCGUGAGUGAAAACUGGCGUGUGGGCGAACUGAUAAACGCCCACACACUGGCCCCUCCGUGUGGUGAAACGGAUGUGUGGGCGACCGGGUGAAUGCCCACACACCAGUCCAGUCCUACAUGGCACCACAAACAUGCCAAGAUUCGUGCACCCAUAAACGGACGCGGAUCCACGCGUGUGGCGAGAUGCAAAUGCCCACACAUGUGGGCGUUAGUGUUUCCAUUUUUCUGGUCGCUCUGCCUUAUCUGCUCAGCUAGACCAGGCUGGGCUGCCUUGCGUGGCUAAUUUGCAUGCCGCUGGAAAUUUAGGCGACCAGCAACCAUUGCUAUCUUUGCUUAUUUGCCCCUUUAAUUUAGCAUAUUAGCAGAUAAGCCACCUAGCAGUAGUUCUAGCAGUGAUUUCAUUCCUGUUUUUUAGACACUGCUAAUUACAGUACUAAAAUUUCAGUACUGUAAAUAUGUUGAGUACUAUGUGUUCCAUAUAAUAUGUUGAUGUAAUAUAUCUCCAUGUUUCUUACAUGUUGAGAAUAAUUACAUCUAAUAUUUGCAAUUGAGAUAUUUCUUUUAUCUCUUGCAAAGAUAAAUUCAGUACCUCUUGAGUAUUGAUUUGCGAUUGAGAAUUUUCUUCUCUCGCAAAGCAAUCUCAUAGUGAUUGAGAUUAAUUUUCUCUCGCAAAAUAUUAAUUCACCCUGUUGAAUUAUCUUGCAACUUGAUACAAGAUCACCUAAUUUAAUUUGAGGUCCAUACAAUUCAAGUUUUUCACUUGAACAUCAAGUUUGCAACAUCAUUACUAUUUAUUAUAAUAGUGGCGUAUUUCUGUUGAGUAUGAUGUAUUCCAGAAUGUAUGUAUCUCCAUGUUCGCUACAUGUCGAGAUCAAUAUGUCUAUUUGCAAUUAAGAUUUUUUUUCUUGCAAAUAAGAAUGCAAAAUUCAAAGUGAUUUCUUCAAAUUGAUGUAUUGGGAUCACAAAGUAGUCAUAUAGAUCUACUGCCUUCGCACAUUAUCAAUGACUACUAUUAAAGCCCAUAUUUUGUCAUUUUGACAUUAAAAUUGCUUUACAAAGUGCCAUCCCACACAUUUUACUAAGUCAUGGCAUAAGGCAUUACGAAUGAGUAUCUACUGAUUUCAUCAGAUUAUACUCUCUAGUGCUGUGUGGAGAUUAUCUUCAAGGUGUCAUUUAGCAAUUGAUUUUGCUAGUUCAUUACAACAACAACAACCAUAAUGGUUUUUAAUUUAUUGGUUGUAAACUAAUUAUCUCUGGUUUACCCAUAGAGGUGAAAUAUGGCCAUAGAGUUUGAGGCAUUCGCCCUUAAUGUACUAACAGAACAAAGUUAACGUGUCUAGGUCGACGGUCAAUGACUGACUUCACAAAUCCGUCGGCCUUAAUCGGAAAUGAUACACAAAAGGGAACCGCUAGGAAUCAGACUACUGAUUCUUAGCUUCCCAUCAGACUAGUGUUCCACCGUAUGAUUGGAUUCAUCUGGAACGUGCAAUGGGCCAGAAAAAGGUGCCUAUUUUGUUUCCAUGCAACGACCUAUGAAUGGCAAUUUAUUUGGUAAUAAACCAUUCUCGUAAAUAUCUUUAGGCCUAACUUCUAGCGUCGUGCAAUUUGCUUCCAUCCAGGAUGUUUGUUUCCAAUUGGGUGAAUUUAUUCCCAGCGCAAAUUAAUCAUGCUUCCUACGAAGAAAAUUUGCUUCCAUACCAAGAAGUUUGUUUCCAAUUUGGUGAAUUUAUUCCCAGCGCAAAUUAAUCAUGCUUCCUACGAAGAAUAUUUGUUACCAUGUCAUAACGAGAUUGCUUCCAGCUCAAGAUUAUUUUGAUUAGUAUUUUUGUUUUCCAACAUGGAAAAACGUGCUUUGAACGGUCAAGCCGUGUUUUCGUUUAACAUGGAAUUAUGCUUCCAAUGUUUUCCCCUUCUAUCAACAAUGCUUGAAAGAGAGAAUAUAAUUUGCUUCCAAAAAAAAUAUUUUUCUUCGAAAGAAAUAUAUUUUGCUUCCAAACAAAUGGAGAUAAUUGUUGAAGCAGGAAUAUAUGUUGCUUCCAAUUAAUGCAUCUUAUGUCUAUUGUGAGCCAUCAGAACAUAGUUGCUAAUUGUUGAAGUAUGUACAAAAUAGUAUCGAAGCAUUGCCAUGGGCAUGUAUGUACUUGGAAACAUAUUGUACAUACAUAGGAUACAUGUCGCAUAUGAUAUCGAAGCACGUAUGUAGUCUAAACCAAAUGAAGCAUAUAUAUAUAUAUAUAUAUAUAUAUAUAUAUAUAUAUAUAUAUAUAUAUACAUUUUUUAGAUAAACUAGUAAACUCAAUACAUAGAACCCUGAAGCACUGCAUCCAUGACAACAACAAACAACAUUCAAAAGAUUAGCCCAGCCUUUCUCUCGAGCGGGAUCCUUCCAAGCAGGUUUAAGAGGCCAUCUUUUAAGUGAGAGCCGCAUAACGACUGUUCAAUGUCCACCAUGCUUUGGGCUGCUUCAUUAUCCCAGGUCCACUGAAAAAUAAUCAGAAAUAUAAUCUGGGAAUUGAGCGAAUAAUCAGAAAUAUAAACAUUAUCGAGAAAGCACGGCUCAACAUUCAUUUUCCAAAGAUGUACAGAAGCAAAUCACCUACAACAAAUUCAAAGUUGUACUGCAAAUUAAAUAAUUAAGUAGCAGCAAACAAGGUAGCUUGGAUCAGCAACCAUAGAAGCAAAUUAAGAGUAACACAGGAAGCUCCAAUUACAAGAUGCAUGACAAUAAGCUAUUUAUAGGUGACAUAGAACGUGUGUUAUGUACAGGAGCUCCAGUGGAAGCACAAAACAACAAAAAUUUAAGCAAACUAAUAUUGUGGGUAACAAAGGAUGGAAAUUAUGUGUGGCGAACAUACAAAUGGAUCAAAAUUUUAUAACCUAUGGAAGCGAAAUUAAUAGAGUUCAGAAGCAUAUGUAUUGCAAUUUAGAUGCGACACAACAAAGAAACAUGAACAUGGUACUUUGGGAAUCAAACUAGUCUUAGAUGGAAACAUGGAAAUUUGAAAUUGUACAGAAAACUGGUAUUAUUGUGAUAUGCGUACCUACUUAACCAAAAUCCAUAGAUUAUAUGGUGAUCAAAUACACAUUGGGUACUAAACCAAGAUAUGAACAGAAGUAACCCAGAUCAACUCAAAUGCUUCAGAUUAAAUUUGUAUCAACAUAAGAGAACUGAAAACAUUAAGUCGGGUGAGUAUGUACUAGGGGCAAUUCGUCAAUGUGCCUAUUACCUGCGAGUGAAGAGCACAUGGCCGCCUUACCUCACCGACGGCGGUGCUGUACAUGGAUCAUGGUUGAUGGAGAAGGUGAUAUGUCGUUUAGGAUCCUGGAGGUGGAGUGGUGGAGAAUGUUAGGGAGUCGUGGUCUCAAGCAGAGCAUGGAACAUCGAUCUGUAGCAAUUUGGGAGGAAACAAACCAAACUGGGGGAGGAAGGUGCGGGAUUAUGGGAAGAUAAUGUGCGUGCUUAAUUUAUGCGGAUAAAUGGGUGGUUGGUAUGGGAUAUGUUGGAGCCUCUCAGCCAUGGGAUUGGAAAUAAAUCAACGGACAAGCACUAGACUGAUGAUUUGUUAGUAUCCAGACGUCUGGAUCUAAGAGUUUCCCUACACAAAACAGGCAUCAUGAUGUGGGGGCAACCGAACAUCAACAAAGGCUAAUAAGGUCCAUAACUCCAUAGACACAUUAAAGUAUUCAAAUGUUUUAAAGCAUCGUCCAUGAUAUGAUAACAGAUGGUGGUAGAGUCUGUGAACAUGUCAGCACAUCAGCGGCAUGCUAGAGCAUACACUUUGUUGACAUUCCAGGUCAUCAACCAUGAUAUUCCACCAGCUCGCCAGGUGCACGAGAUGAAAAAAUGGCUUCAUGUGGUGAUGUUUGCCAUGGUUGAGGACAGCCGUCAAAGUCAUUCAUCAACAGUCACCUUGGAGCGAAGGGGUUGUGCAAGCUGCACUGGCCUUGGAGGCAUCAAAGGGGGCACCAUCGUCAGCUUGCACAUUUCACUUGAUG